rnacentral:lncRNA from 1 species
CUAUGUCUAACCCUAGUAUGAAUGCAAUACUCUUAUGCUAUUCAUGUUAUUACCCAAUCCGCUAGGCUACUUUGCCUAAGAUCUCAAAUCUAGUAGGUGAAAAGCUACCUCAUUCUUGUCUUAUUCGACUCAUGUCUUAAGGGUCCUGGGCAAAGAGCUACCCCGCUCCUCGCCCGACUGAGAUCUCGAAGGUCCGACCCAAUCUCGAAGGUCCUAGGCAAAGAGCUACCCCACACUUUGCCCGACCUACAUCUCAAGGUCCUAGGCAAAGGCUACCCCGCACUUUGCUCGACUCACAUCUCGACCUACUAGGUAUAAGGCUACUCCGCUCAAAUCUCAUAGGUGAAGAAAUAGUAUGUCCACUCACUGUAUGUAGGCAAAUCCACCAAUCCAACUACCAAGCGACUAUGCUCGCUAUCAAUGUAAGUCUUAGUGAAGGCUAACUACCAUACCACUAGGUUCAUCAAUAAGGCUAUUCAUUAGAUCACCCAAUCAGCCGGCAAGCCAAAGGCAACUAUGAACAACAACAAUAACUAUGGAAGCAAGCUAUCAUGAACAACAAUAACGAGUAUGACUCAAUAGGUAACCAAAUCUCAUGGUGAACUCGGGGUUCACGAACAUAUCUCACAUGUAAGUCUCAUAGGGAAAAGUCUCACUGAACUAUUCCCCGAGACCGCCUGCGGACAGCACACUGACCGUCCAGACAGCACACUGAAUGUCCCUCGAGUGACCAACCUCCGGAAUGCACAGCUUGUGGGGAGCGACCCCUCCAAGCGCAGACAGGCUAUCAUAGGAAAAAGUCUCACUGAACUAUUCCCCGAGACCACCUGCGGACAGCACACUGACCGUCCAGACAGCACACUGACUGCCUCUCGAGUGACCAACCUCCGGAGUGCAUAGCUUGUGGGGAGCGACCCCUCCAAGCGCAGACAGGCUAUGUGAGCACGAUCAACUCACGAACAGCAGCAACCUACCCUCUAAGGGUAAUCUCAUCAUGGAAUCAAGGUGUUCUUGUACCCAAUCUCAUAGUAUCUCAACUACACUAAUGUUCUCACAUCAAGGUCAUCAACAAUCAUAUGCCACUCAUCAUAGUUUUCUAAACUAGAUGCCACUCGUCAUUUAGACUCAUUUCAACACUAGUUACAUCAUACUAGUUCUUUAGCAACAUAAGCAUUAAUCAUCUCACAUAUAGGGUCUAGGUUCUCAUGCAUACUAGUUCAUGGAUCAAUCAUCAAGAUGUAUAGCUACUAGCAUGCAAAUAUAAGCAAUAACCAUAAUCAUCUAGCACCUAUAUGCAAUAAAUACAAUAUGCAACUUGAUCGAUUAAUGUACUCAACUAAAGUUUAAUCCACAUUAAUCAUGCCCUUAUAGGGUUUCACAACACUAUGUCCCAAUCACAUGCAUACUAGGUACAAGUAUUUAAGCAAAUCAACUUUACAUUACUCUACUAGCAUGCAAGAAUAUAUAUCUAUGUAUAUACAUUUAUCAUCUAGCACCUUAUAAUGCAAAGCUCGAUAUGCAUAAUUGAUCAACAUAGAGAUACUGAGACAUAGGGAGAAGCCCGAUUGCUUCGGGAUGACACCCCCCACCUUUUAUCGCGUUCCGAUUGCUCGUCGCCACUCGCAAUCGGCCUCCCACGGCGCACGCCGCUCGGCUUGACCCAAUCCGCGCGCGACCACCAAAUGACCUCCGAUCUGCGAUCCGAAAAUUAAAGGUCUUCAGUUUCUUGUUACGAUGCUUCAAAUCCGUUUCCAGGAUUUUACGACGUCGCCUCGGCCCUCCAGGCGGAAACGAAGCCUAAACGUCCGCUUCUUUAAUAACUUCUCACCGGCUCGACGAAUCGCCGAACCGUCGCUUCCAACGCGUUCAGUGACCUAUCAAUUAGGUUUAUACAUGAUCAAUUUAGAUCAAAACCCCUCAUAAGCAAAACCCCUCUUUUGAUGCCCUAAGAUGCAACUAUGCAAGAAUUCAUCAUUUGAUCUCUAAAUUCGAGUAUCAACCAUCUAUUUAGCAUCUAGGAGUUUCACUAAACCCAUUUCUAAGGCAUACAAAUCGCUACUUAGCAAUCUAUCAUUGUUGCUAUCAAAGCUUACCUCUUAAACCCAAGCUUUCUUCAAGCCAAUGGUGAAGAAAAAGAAGGCUUCACCUCUAAGCAAGCUUUUUCUUCUCCAAAUCCACCUCCAAUUCUCUUUGGUGGAGAAAUUGCUAGAGAGAGAGAGAUCUUUCUCUUUGGUUGUAAGUGAGAGGGAAGGAGAGAAAAGGCUCAAUUCUUCAUAUAUGUAUAUAUACAUAUAGGAAACUUGACCUCCAAGUUUUAUCCAAGAACACUACUCACAUUCAGGCAGCUCGAAAUCUGAUAUCUUUCGCCGGAGCCCUCUGAAUAUCCGUUUGAGCUCAAAUUUGACAGUCAUGUUUGGUUUAACGUACUGAACAAGAAUAUAUCUUAAGUUUUCAGUUUCGACCUCGUUUGGUCACUGAAAGCUACACCGAACUGUAAUAUUUAUCAGAUAACUGUUGGAUUUUAUUUCUCACUCUACGGGUGUCAGAAAAAUAUGAAACCUUAAAUCUAGCCUCAUAAAAAUAUUUCUGACUUAUCCUCCAAUUUUCAUAAUUCUCUGAGACUGUGUAUUUUCUGCUAAUUUAUCUGUCCUGUUUCUCACAGAAAAUCCUAAAUCUUCUGUUUUCACUCCGAUUUCAGCACAAGUCAUUCCUAACCUAUAUUUCACUUCUCUAAAUCCAAUAAAAAUAGUAUCUCAUACUAUUUUUAUUUAUUUUUAUUUUUAUAUCUAAAUCCGGUAUAUUACAUUACACUGCCACCUCACCGGAACCAUUUAAAUGUACACCGUAACUUCAUAUUUUUAGAAGUCCGGUACCUUACAUCUAGGAAGUCUACCACGUCCUGUGGAAAGAGAUCGGGAUUUUUGAGACAAUUCAACUUUCAAGACACCUUCUUCUGUUGACAACCUCCUUCUCACUUCUGUCUUAAGUUUUUAGUCUUCGGCUUAUAACACAUUCUUCUUUAGUUCGGGACCCUUCACUUCGCCUUGUUUGAUACAACCACUAUUACUGGUUUUCAUCGUCAUAGCACCAUUAUCUCUUCGGCUCUCAAUCUUGGGCUGUCGAGUUCAACGAGAGCUUGGAUUGAAAGGCAGAUCUUAUAUUGCGAAUUUAUGAAGGUAAUCGCGAGUCACAACCAAACACCUCAGAAUUAGGAGCACAUCGCCUUUCUAUUAUAUUGGUUGUACCAUAGCUUUUUUUUGCUCUCGGUCCUAAAAGAUUAAUUGAGACUUCAUUCCGAUCGUCGUCGCUCUGGCUAACGGUGACAAACUUGCUCUCGUUUUCGUUCUUAUACCGAGAGAUCUUUGAAUCGAUCAAGUAGCUACACAAAAAGAAGAUUGGUGCCAUAUCGGUUCAAGCUGUGAGGUUUUUUGCUUUCUUCAAAUUUGCCUCUAGUUAUAUUUCCACCUAUCUCUAGCGAGUGCCACUCUAUCCCAAUUCACUUUAGCAAUUCAACACCUGUGGGCUUACACUUAGUUGCCUAGAACCAUUAACCCCAAAACAACCCUCUGACUUCCCAAAUUACUUUCGAGUUUUUUAUUCUGAGGAGAGCCGAUCAUUCGACUAUUGGACCUCUUUUGGAGAGCGAUCAAUUAGUUCACACUAGUUUAGAGAACGUUUUGAGUAUAUCCGUAAUUGGUGUAUUCUCUAGAAGUAUUUGAGCAUAUUAAGAUAUAGUACUCUUGUUUGGCAGCCUAGGAUCUCUAUAUUGGCUUGAAGAAGUGAUCAAAUCUUGAGCUAAGUACGAAAGUAUAUUCCAUAUUUUAUAGUUGGACAAUCUGGCUUAAUUCGAGUGCUUCCGACCCCACCAAAAUUUUUCACUUUCAAAAUUUCUUGGUCUCGCCCAACUACCAAGCAAGUAACUGAAGAUGACCAUAUCUUGGUAUAUGGGAAAGCAUCUGAAGCCGAACUUCAUCUCUGUAGUCUUUCAGCCGACUAGACAGGAAAUCUUUUCUGACUUUUAUCAACAUUCAUGGGGGAUUUAUGCAACAUUUUAUUCCUAUUGACCCAAAGAACUGUCUUCAUAAAUUUCAUUUUAGCUCCAAUCGAUCCUACUUCGAAAGAAGAAAAAUCCAAAGAUACCCCUUGAACUUCUUUUCUUUCAGCUUCUUAUGUAUAAUUUAUCUUCAAGUUUGAACAAUCUAAGGGAAAGGAAGUUGCUAGUGAUGCACUCGAGAGUGAAGCCUUAGAUGAUGGUUCAAAUGAAGAAAAAGCUUUCUAUCCCAAACCUUAGUGGUAAUUUCCUUAUGCUUUCCCUUUUCUUUUAUCAACUCUUUAUUUAUUUUGCCUAUUCUUUUUCAAUCAGCUAGUUUGCAUUUUCAACUACCGAUUCAAAUUUCUCUACAUCAAGCUAUAAAUUGUUCAGCUGAUGAAACUAUUCAAUCUCCGCUAGCUCCAAAAAAAAUUAAAAGUUUCAAUUGCUUAUCUUUCUAGGCAAACUUUGAAAGAAGGAAUUCAAGUCCGCGAACAAUAAGAAACACAUGCCCUCAUUGAUCAGCUUCAAGAAGAGAGCCGAAAAUAGAGGGAAGAGGCCUUUUUUUUAAAUUCUUACUAAAGUGAGUCAAAGGCCCACUUUACGAGAACUAGCGACUCAACAGCAAAAGCAAGAGGCCGAGUGACUCCAACUCAAGAAAGAGGUAGAGACUGUUAAGUCUUGUGUGUUGGCAAGUUUCGUGAAGUGAGUCGGAGUCUUGAAGAAUCGGUGAGUGUCGUCGAAGAUUAAAGAAUUCAAGAUUUCGAAAAAGUUGGAAAGUAACUCACGAUGUGAAUCACGACGUAAAGGUAAUGUGUUAAUUCAUGUUAUGGUGAUUCAUACUUAGUUAUAGGCAUUAGAAUCAUUAUUAUUGAUGUUUAGCUGAUUAGAAAGUGCUUUGGAACUCUGCGGAACCUGAAACAGUGCAAAAGUGUGAAAAAUGCACUGUGUACCGGUACAGCAAUUGACCCGUACCGGUACAACCAUCAACUUUGGCUUCGCAAAUUUUUGUUCCGUCAUCGUGUAACCGGUGACAGCCUUUCGUGUAACGGUACACUGUGUAAAAUCGUGAAAACUUUCUAAUCCGACUACGUUUGAUUCUAAAGUCUAUAAAUAAGCUAUUGGGGUUCUCUAACUAAUCAAGCAUCACGAGAAUACAUGUUUGAGAAACCCUAGAGGCUCGGAUUUCAUCUAAAACCUAUUUUCUACAUAAAGCCUCUUUUAGGUCAAAUCGAGAUUUUGGAUUUUGAUAUCAAUAUGUCGAAUUGAUCUCCGUUUCGCUUGGAGUUCGCUUCCCUGGUUUUCAUCGAUACUCUAAGCGAAGGAUCACCAUACACAUAAUGUUCUUCAUGAUGGCGUUGUGGAUUCGGCGUGAUUGACGGCGGUUCGUGGAUUCGGAUCGUGGGCUCGUGGAUUCGAGUGGCGUUCGUGGAUUCGGACGUGUGCGAGGCGUUCGUGGAUUCGAACGUGAGGGCGUGGACAACCCGGAGGAUUGCGCGAGGUUCAUAGGAGGUUAAGAGAGGUUGAGUCUGUGGAGUCGGUAAUCACCUUGUAAUCUUUUCUCUUAGUGAAUUAUUUUUUCGCGUGUUGGUCCCGUGGGUUUUUCUCCAAGUUGGAGUUUUCCCACGUAAAUCUCGGUGUGCUUUUUAUUUUCCGCAUUUAUUUUUAUUGCAUCGAGAUUUGUGGUUUUUGGCCGUUACACCUAUUCACCCCCCCCUAGGUGAUAGAUACAAUCUAGAUAGAUCCUUGGGCUCCUCAAAACUUUCAAUUGGUAUCAGAGCAGGAUCUAGAUAAAUUGUUAUCUAUUGGCCGAAGGCGGAAACAUUAAUCGACCACCGCUCUUCGACGGCACAAAUUAUGCCUAUUGGAAUGUUCACAUGAGAGCUUUUCUAAUCGCUAUCGAUGAGCACGUUUGGCAAUCAAUAGAAUUUGGAUGGAAACAUCCUAUUGAAAAGGUCGAGAAUGUUGAAACGCCAAAACCACGGAACAAGUGGACGAAAGAUGAAAAUGAGGCAUCUUCAUUUAACGGCAAGGGCAUAAAUGCUUUAUUUAAUGCAUUGUCCCAAACGGAGUUUACUCGUGUUUCGGCGUGUGAAACCGCCAAGGAGAUUUGGGAUACUCUACAAGUUACACAUGAAGGAACGAGCUUAGUAAAGGUCCAAAAAUUGCAAAUGCUAACAAGCAAGUUUGAUUCUAUUUCUAUGGAUAAAAACGAGACCUUUACCGAGUACUAUACGCGUCUACAAGAUGUUGUGAAUACAUGUGCUAACUUGGGAGAAAAAAUUCCGGAUUCAAAGGUUGUUAGAAAGAUUCUUCGAACUCUUCCAGAACGCUUUCGGGUAAAAGUUGCCGCGAUCGAAACCGUUAAGCAUCCGGACGAGAUGAAAGUCGAAGAGUUAGUAGGCGCUUUACAAACGUAUGAGAUGACUUUUCCUACUAAUCAAUCUUCUUCCAAGUCUUUUUCUAAAAGCACAGGGGUUGCAUUAAAGUCGACGAAGGAGGAAGAUAAGGAUUCAAAUUUCGAUGAAGAUAUAUCGCUUGCUGAUUUCGAACAUCAACUUGCACUAUUAACGAAGAAGUUUUGUCGAAACUUUCGGAACAAGCACAAGUUUGACAAGGCUACAUGGUCUAAGCAACAAACGUUUUGUAAGUCUUCAUCUUCUAACGAGAAGAAGCAUGCAAAGGCUUGAAAAUAAAAGGAUGUAUUUGAAGGCGAGAUCCGAUGCUACAAGUGCAAAGGCUACGGCCACAUCGCAACGGAUUGUCCUUCAAAGAAAUUGUAUACUAAGAAGGCAUUGCAAGCAAAGACGUGGGAUGAUACAACUUCAAGUGAAUCAAGCUCAAGUGACGAAGAAAGAAUGGAAAUCUUGCUUUAUUUGCUAAAUCUACCUUGCCUUCGUCUAACGUUGUUUGUUUAUCCUCUAUUGCUACUAAUUCCAAUAUUUCCCUUUCUUCGCAUGAUUCUUCGAGCAACAAUGGCGAAAGCGAGGAGGAAUCAAACGACGACGACAUAGCGGAAGCAUACAAUCAACUUCUUAUUGAAUCAAAGAAGAUGGCUAAACUUAAUAAGAAGUUGAGACGUCGUUUGUUGAAUCUCGAAGAGAAAAACAACAACUUAACGAUCACGAACAAAGCCCUCGAGGAGGAAAGGGAAUCAAUUUUGAAAAAUAAUUCGGACCUCCAAGAGAAGCUUAAUGAAGCAGAAUCAACAAUCAAAUCCUCUAAAGACAAGAUUGGAUUUUUUGAGCAUCAAUUUGAGGAAACCUACACAUUCAAUCAAUCCUUGACCAACCAAGUUCGACAACUCAAAUCCGACAUACUAAAGUUCUCAUCGGGAUCGAAGAAAUUAGAUCAUAUGCUCGGGUUGGGUCAAACGGAUAAGUUAGGCUUCGGAUACGAAAGAGUUUUUGUUGAGAAGGGUUCUAAAUCAACUUUGAAAGUCUCGGCAACUUUGAAAGACAAGGCGUGUCAUCGAUGUGGCGUCAAAGGACACAUCAAAAGGAAUUGCCCAAACAAAGAAAAGAUGAAUCGAUCGACAAGGUCUUCACAUCGAUCAACAACUUCUAAACUCCAAGCAAAUCGGUUUUCUUAUGUGCAACACCAAAUCCGACAGAACCCAAAAGCUAAUCGGAUUUCUAAACCUCAACGACAAAUUCAAACAAAGCCUCAAGCGAAGAAACCACCAACGGUUGAUCAAAAAUCUAAGCAAACGGCACCAAACGUCGACAAGCCGAGAAAAUCAAAGAUCCGACAAGUUUGGAUCCGGAAAGGUGAUAUCUUUCAUUGCUUCUCGUCUUAGUUGUUUUCUUGUGUAGUGCUUUGAUAGGUGCUUAUUGCUUAUUUUUAUUCAUUGCAUUACAUGUUUAAAUUUUUUUUUUUGUGCUUUGAAUUUUGUUUGUUUACAAAAUUAUUUUGAGGAAAGGUGUUUAGGAAUUCAAAAUUUUUAAGAAAGGAGAUGAUUGAAAAUCAUUAUUUUGAAGUGAGAAAUUUUUUCAAAGUCGCUUAAACGGUGUUUAACUUCACAAUCAUAUUAAGUUAAAUUCAUAUUAAUUAUCAUUUUUACUCCACUUUUUAUUAUUUUGAAGAUAAUUUGAUAUAUGAUUUCUCAAUACAUAUAUUCAUCAAAAUUUUGAAAUCAAAUUUGAUCUCUUGGUGAUUAAUCUAUCUCGGUUGUGUGUAUUGAAUAUGAUAGAUGGAUAUUUGCUAAUAGACUAAAAUUUGUCAAAAUAUUUUCAAUUGUGAGAUUGUCUAAUUUAGGGGGAGUUUGAAUUUAUUAAAAAAAAGGGAGAAAACUCCUAUGUUUAAAAAGAUGUGGAAAGAGUUAUAUCCAAAAAGAGUGUGAAAACUACCACCACAUGUAGGAAAGAGCUACCACCCCGGUCGUCCGGCAAGUGUGUGAAGCUACCACAUGAAGAUUGAGUUGAAUAACCGAAAAGGUUGAGAAAAAUUUGAAUAUUUUAGAAUUUUCGGAGUUAUAAGGUGAUAGAUUGAAAAUGAUGCUCAAAGAGCCACCCCCGGUAUCAUAUUAAUUAAAUUUCUAUUUUGAACGGAUUGUAACAAAUUGGUGUCAAUUUUGUCGAAUUUCUAAAAAUUAUUUUUCGUGAACCAUUACAUCUUGAUGAUUUUGAAACUUGAGGUCAGUUUUUAUAAUGAAAUUUUGAUGUCUCGAUGCAUUUUGAAAUCUUAUAAUAAUUUAUUCUCAUUUUAAUGAUUUUUGGAGUAAAAUCCUUAAUUUAUAUGAAAUUAAUUUAACUUGAUGGAUUUUUAAAGUAAAUUUUUCGAAAUCUGGGGAUGUGUACCGGUACACAAUCCCGUGUACCGGUACGGUUACUGUAGCCGCGGAAAUAUAACCGGUUACAGGGCUUUAUUUCUCACUCAAAUCAAAACCAAACUUCGCUCUUUCUCUCUCUAAAAAUCCCUAGUGCUUUCCUCUUCCAGAUCUACAUGAUUUCCCUCAGAAAUUUGUGAGUAUUUAGCUUGGAUUUAAUCAUUACAUCGCGUUCAUGCCUAUUUUUCGAAAAUAUUCCGAGUUGAAGCUAGAUUUCUAUUUUGAUUUAUUUUUGAUGCAAUUUUUUGCUGUAGAUCAGUGUUUAAUGACAUUAUCUUGCUUCUAGAACACUUGAAUCACAUCAAAACACAUUAUUUUUUGCUGAUCUAUUUUCUAAGUUCAAUUUGCAUGUAAUUUCGGAAUUUUUGAUAAAAUGUCAUUUUUGAUAAAAAAAAUUUUCAUGAUCUGGUUAGAAAUAGCAUUUGUAUGCAUUCUAAUGUUAUUAGAAAUCUUUUCGCUAUUUUUACAGAUUUUUUCAAAGUUUUGUUCAUGCAAGGUUAAUUUUUGUAUAGAAAAAAUGACGUUUCACUUGUGUUGAUGAUUUUGGUGCUGAUGGCCGCAAGACGUGAUUGAGGUGGUGGUAGAGGUCGUCGUGGGGCCUCUAAGAGGACACGUACAGCUGAAGAAGCAUCCGGAUCUGAUCCGGAUUAUCAGGCAAGCUCCCCGGAAGAGGCUGAAGAACCUGUUGCUCGUCUUGACAAGGGCAAAGGAAUAGCUGGAGAAUCCUCGCGUGGCGGUGGUUCUCGUGCAAGAGAAACUCGGUCGAAGCAUGCCGCGGAUGUUCCCCCAGAGCGACGGAGGAUGUUCAUGAGCAAGUCUUGUAUUGGAGAGCAUUAUGUCAACUUCAAUGAUCUUAUACAUGACGUUCCUGACUUUAGGCGACUACUUCAGCGGGUUCCUAUUGAGCCAGUUGGUAGGGUUCCUGCUCGGGCUCCUUUUUGUGUGGAACUCAUUCGUGAGUUCUAUAUGAACGGGAAGGUACUUGCAGAAGAUGAAGAGACCGGGACUUUUCUUUUUGAGACAGUUGUGCGUCAGCAGAAGGUUGUCGUUACCCCAUAUACUAUUGGAGAGCUUUUGGGGAUGAAUGUAGACACUACUGGUCUUCUUUAUACAUCAGGAGGAUUUCAAUUAUCAUCUCACUGGGAUAUAGUUGUAGCAGCUAUCUGCAAAGUUGGAGUGCAAACGAAUCGAGCUUAUGUAGAGUCCAAGGAUUUGCGACCAGAGUAUCAUCUGCUGUCCUUGGUCUUGAGCUACAAUGUACAACCAACGAUUGGAACAAAAAGGAUUCGUUGGGAUCGUUUGCUUCUACUGUUUCUACUUGGUCACCCGGAGCAAGUAUAUGGAUUGAACAUCAACAUUCCUUUUCUGAUGUGGCAGCGGAUGAUUCAUGUCAUUCAGGCUUCUGCUUGACGGGAUCUACUUCCAUUUCCUCUUUUGAUCACGAGGAUUCUGCAAGAUAAUGGAGUGGAUGUUUCUUGCGAGAAGUAUGAUUUUGGUCUUGGUCCAAUCGAUGCUGUUACCUAGGCCAAGUUGGUCAGCACUCUAAAGACUUUUCAGCAAACAAAAGGACCCUCGCGAGCAGCUCCUAGCCAGGCACCUCCACCACGUGCAGAGCGUGAGGGAUCUUCCAGUUCAGGGGGAGAAUCACUUCGCCAUGAAGUACGAUCUUUGAAGAAGAAACUGGCAGAUCUUGCUAGAAAGGUGGAAGUGGGUAUGAAGAGGAUGAUGGACAAAUUAGGAUGUAGGCAUUAUGAUAUUUUUCCGACUCAGCCUGUCUAUACGAGGUCUACUUCGCGACAUCCUCUUAUUCGUCCAUUUACUGGAGCUUCAAAUACGGGAGGUUCUGGAGCUGGCGCUGGAGCUGAUGAUGAUGAUGACGAGGACACAGAGUGAUUUCUUUGUCGAGCUUAGUCUUUCUCUUUCACUGUAUUUGCUGUUUAGGGUGAUGUUUUAGUUUAGUUUUUCUUGCUUAUCUUUUUUUGGCAUGUUUUUAUUUUUGUUUUAGGCCUGUAACUAUGACUUGACUACUCUUUUGCUUCUUAGUGUAUUUCCUAUCUAUAUGCUUUCUUUUGGCAAUUUUUGACAAAAAGGGGGAGAUCAUAAGAAGAACGGGUAUUGAUCAAAGCAGAGCAAUGGAGAGGAUGAUGAACAAAGGGGGAGAAGGAUCGACAAAGUGGGAAAAGGAUCGAGUACAAUAAGAACGUUGAGAGAACAUGAAUUGAAUGUAAGAUUUCUAUAUCUUUUUGAUUGAUCUGUUUUGCAGGACUUCAAGACUUCAAGACUCCUAGUUGCGUCUAAGUCAUAGAGUCUGUUUUAGGAGUUUAUGAUGUACUUUUGAGUUUCAAAUUGUAUUUGGACUACAUGCGAGGGGUUCGAUGUUUUGGUGAUGACAUUGAACUUUAUUUUUUUCUUUAAAUUGUAAUUUUUGAGUUUGUGUGAGUUUUGUCACGAAAUUGCUAAAGGGGGAGAUUGUUAAGUCUUGUGUGUUGGCAAGUUUCGUGAAGUGAGUUGGAGUCUUGAAGAAUCGGUGAGUGUCGUCAAAGAUUGAAGAAUUCAAGAUUUCGAAAAAGUUGGAAAGUAACUCACGAUGUGAAUCACGACGUAAAGGUAAUGUGUUAAGUCAUGUUAUGGUGAUUCAUACUUAGUUAUAGGCAUUAGAAUCAUUAUUAUUGAUGUUUAGCUGAUUAGAAAGAGCUUCGGAACUCUGCAGAACCCGAAACAGUGCAAAAGUGUGAAAAAUUGUCACACCCCGGGACCCAGCGGAAGCUCGCUCGGCGCGUGUCCAGACCCGCCGUACGUCUAAAACAUACAAGACGUCUAAGAUAAAGCGGUAAAAAAGCAAUAAAGAGAAAGCAUCUAAGUGUAUCACAGCAAGAAUACAACGAAGUGCUACAACAAGAAGAAGAACAUGAUGCUGAAAACCCACUAAGUAAAACAUAAGGUAAUACAAAAGGAGUCCCAUAACAAGUACUAGUCUAAAUACAAGGUGGUCUCUCUAUACAUGGUGCAAAAUCUCUCCUCCUCCUCUCAACACAAACAAAGAAGGAGUAACCACCUAAAGCAAAACGGACUCUCUCUCCGAGCUAACUACGCGACACCCUUGCCGUGGUCCCGUGCCUCCGCCUGUGCCGAAGGCUCUGAAAAGAAAACAUAGAAACAGGGGCGUGAGAACUAUUAAAUAAUAGUUCCCAGUGGGCAAUUACUGACUUCAGUGAAUGCGCCACUAGGCCCAAAGGCUACAACAAAAGGGUCAGUAUACAAGUAUAAGCCAAAGCAAUAAGAACAGCUAGGAAAUAAAUAUAAAUACUAUUUAACCAUGAUGUCUCUACUUAGCAUGAUUUGCAUAAGUAAGAAGGCAGUUACUACAAGUAUGUGCACCAGAGUAUCCAACAUGCAAAUGCAUAAGUAUACAACUAAUCCAAUGUCCACAAUGUAAAUAGUAAAAAUGUCAUUGUUUACUAUUCUAGUCAAUGUCCACUUGUCACUUUAAAUGUUUACGGUUCAACUUUGAUAAGACCCACCCGAAGGCUGUCUGGCAUAAGACCCACCGGAAGGCUGUCUGGUUUUACCGUGCCUAAUGGCCCCGUGAUAGUCAACAUCCCCACCGUAGGAAUGAGCCUUUCCCACGGCAAUCCACUUCGGCGCCCAGUCCUGCACGGCGAACGUAUCGCGAUGGCCAACUCCGGAGUGCCGGCUUGUAGGGAGCGACCCUCACAAGCAUGUGCGAAUGAGCACAAUGGCAAGCAUGCGUAUAAGUCUGUCUCAAGUACCAAGUUCUCAUGUCUAUGAACAUGGAAUGUAUCGAAUAUCACAAAGGCCUAUCACUAUGUCAUCAUGUCUCUAACAUGAAAUAUAGUCGAUGUCCAAUGGCCUAUUACUAUGUCUCUAUGUUGCAUUUUCAUAGUUUACUAGUUUCAAGUGCCUCUUUAUGACACUAUUGUUCAAUGAGUCCAAGCAUGGUAUCUAAGUUCAUGAAUACAUAAUUCUACUCAUUUCAAACAUAAGAGACAUGUUCUCAACUUACAAGGUCAACUACCCUUCACAAUGCAUGCAGUCUACACAUAUGGCUCUACUAUAUAGAGUGCAAUUUCAUGAUACAUAUAGCAUGCAUUUCAAGUGUUUUAAAAUUCACAUAAAUCAUGUUUAACAUGGAUUUGCAUUCAAAAAUACUUUACGACAAGUAUAGAAACAUAGGGGGGCCAUUUUGCCCCAUGCUCAUGAAGCCAAACCCACCGAGAUACCGAAACCCUUCGUAAGCUCCGAUGAAGGUGUCGACUAGUCUCCUAGCAUCCUAAAGAUGUAGGAACAAGGGUCAAACAAAACUCACGAUCAACCCUAAACUCAAUCCAAAAGCAAUAUAGGCUAAGGUGGAGAAAACUCACCUAGGUGAAGAAACCCUCUCUCAAGCUCCAAAAGGGAGUUAGAGUUCUUCAAAUCCAAUCCAAAUAAAGGUUCUAAACCCAUCAAUUAGGUUUCAAAGCCCUCAAAUCAAAAAUACCCAAAACAAACCCUAAAUCCCAAAAUCUAGGGUUUCAUCUAGUAAAAUCUAGAAAAACUUGUAUUAAAUGGAGAAUACAAGCAACCAACCUCAAGAGAAGCUUCAAUCCAAGCUCUAGACUAAGUAGAGUUAAAGUUUGAUCCUCCACAAAGCUUCAACCGCAAGCUCCAAGCCACCAAAGUGAGAAAUGAGGAAGAAGAUGAUGCUCCAAGGCCUCCAAGCAAGAUUCUCUCCUUCUUCUCCAACUCCUUCUUCUUCUCCUUCUCUUUCUCUCUCUAGGGUGCAAAAGGGUUGAGAGAAAUGAGGAAAAGAGAGAGGAGAAAGGCUCUCUAUAGCCUUUAAAGUAACAAAAUCCUGAUAAGCCCCUCAAAAAUUCACUCUGUGCACUGCUCGGUCUGGGCAGAUUUCGCGCUGAGCGACCGGUCUCUCCCUGCAUGGGAUCGGUCUCUCGUGUCGAACCCGAAAAACCAACGUUCGGGAAUCGGUCUCUCCCCGCCAGGGACCGGUCUCUCAGACCCUUCUCGCAAAACACGCGCUCGGGAACCGGUUUCUCCCAGCCAGGGACCGGUUGCCUCAAGUCCUGCUGCAGCACUGCGCUGAGGGGACCGGUCUCUCCUAUCAGGGACCGGUCCCCGAGAGUGAAAACUCUCAGGACUAAGUCAAAACUCUAGAGAUCGAACCUUUAGGCCGGAAUACCAUCUACGGCCUUCCACCAAGUGUGGAAAAGUUCGAAGUACACAUCAAACACUCGAACCUCGCAAUUUGUAAAGGUCCAGUGCGCUACAAAAAUGCACUGUGUACCGGUACAGCAAUUGACCCGUACCGGUACAGCCAUCAACUUUGGUUUCGCAGAUUUUUGUUCCGUCAUCGUGUAACCGGUGACAGCCUUUCGUGUACCGAUACACUUUGUAAAAUCGUGAAAACUUUCUAAUCCGACUCCGUUUUAUUCUAAAGUCUAUAAAUAAGCUAUUGGGGUUCUUUAACAGAUCAAGCAUCACGAAAAUACAUAUUUGAGAAACCCUAGAUGCUCGGAUUUCAUCUAAAACCUAUUUUCUACAUAAAGCCUCUUUUAGGUCAAAUCGAGAUUUUGGAUUUUGAUAUCAAUAUGUCGAAUUGAUCUUCGUUUUGCUUGGAGUUCUCUUCUCUGGUUUUCAUCGAUACUCUAAGCGAAGGAUCACCAUACACAUGAUGUUCUUCAUGAUGGCGUCGUGGAUUCGGCGUGAUUGACGGCGGUUCGUGGAUUCGGAUCGUGGGCUCGUGGAUUCGAGUGGCGUUCGUGGAUUCGGACGUGGGCGAGGCGUUCGUGAAUUCGAACGUGAGAGCGUGGACAAUUCGGAGGAUUGCGUGAGGUUCAUAGGAGGUUAAGAGAGGUUGAGUCUGUGGAGUCGGUAAUCAUCUUGUAAUCUUUUCUCUUAGUGAAUUAUUUUUUCGCGUGUUGGUCCCGUGGAUUUUUCUCCAAGUUGGAGUUUUCCCACGUAAAUCUCGGUGUGAUUUUUAUUUUCCGUAUUUAUUUUUAUCGCAUUGAGAUUUGUGGUUUUUGGCUAUUACACCUAUUCACCCCCCUCUAGGUGUUAGAUAUAAUCUAGAUAGAUCCUUGGGCUCCUCAAAACUUUCAGAGACCUCUAAAAGAAAGAGUCAAGAGGAAGUUGUCGAAGCGGAACUCGACAUGAGGACUCGUGUAGCUUCGUAGAAGAGAAAAACAGGCUCGACAAGAAGCUUGAAAAUAGGUGGAAAAAAAGAGAAGAAAACUAAGAGAAAAAAGGGAAAAAGAAGAUAAAGAGGAAAUGAAAAUAAAAGGCGAAGAAAAAGAAGAAGGAAGAACAAGAGAAGAAAAAAAAUAGAAUAGAAAAGUGUAGAAGAAGAAAAGAAGAUAAGAGAAAAAUAAGAAUAAAGGAAGAGAAGAGAAAAAAACAAAAAAUAAGAAAGAGGAAGAAAGAAGGGACGAAAAGAAGAAGAAGAAAAAUAUAGGGAUUUCAGCUGGAAAUCCUCUUGAGCAAUCAAUCGAAACAGCAGAGACCGAUCCUACCACAAUUCUGCCCAAGUGGUCAUAGGUAGGGGUGUAAUGUGGGCAGUGUCGAGCCGACACAACCCACAUUAUCCGGGCCGAAACGGGCUAGGCAGGGCCAGCCCAACAUAAAAUUAAUCUGGGCCGGGCCGUGCUAGGCUCGAGCUCCCUAGCCUCCGGCCCAGCACGGCCCCUUGGCCCAGAAGUCACGGGGCGUGCUCUGAGCCGGCCCCUUGAAGUUUUUUUAAAUUAGUUUUUAAAAAUAUAUAUAUAAUCUAAAAGUAUAAACAAUAAAUUAUUUCUAUUUAUAUUGAUAUUUUGAUUAAAAAAUUUAAAAUUUAUAAAUAUAAUAAUAAUAAAAUCACAAAUAUAUAUAUAUAUAGGCUGGGGCUACUAUACUCAUAUAAGUAUAGAGCCCAUUGUACUCAUAUAUAAGUUUUCGGCCGUUCGGAUGAAGAAAUGUGCGGUUAAGAUGAGAGUGGUUACGGUUAGGUUGAUAGUGGGUCCCCUAGGGUUGAGUGAGUGGUUGGUUGAAUAGUAUAAUCUAACGGUUUAAAUGAUUAAAGAAUCGAUCUAACGGUCAAAAACUUAUGAGUACAAAAGGCUCUAUACUUAUAAGAGUAUAGUAGCCGGACUCUCUCUCUCUCUCUCUCUCUCUCUCUCUCUCUCUCUCUCUCUCUCUAUAUAUAUAUACAUAUUUGUGUUAUUUUUUUGAAAAAAAAAUUGAGAUAGGUUUUUGGGCAAAUGGACCAAAAUUGUUUUGGCCCAUUAGACCAAAACCACUCCUCCCAAGGUCGGAAGAUCUCCUAGGGAGGAGGGCUAAGCCCUUCUCGAUCCCCAGGAGCUCAGAUCCCAAGGCCAAAGGCAACUUGCCUUGGGCCUGGGUGUUUGGGCCGUGCUGGAUCGGUUGUCUCAGCCCAAGCGGGCCGUGCCGUGCCAAGCCACCGGUGUCUCCUUGGCCUGGCAGGGCCCAGGCCGGUUAACGGUCAUGCCGUCUGAAAGGAUAUAUGCAAUCGAAAAAAUCGCAACGGAAGAGAAAUUGAUUUUCAAAAUUUUAAAAACUUUCAAAAAACAGAUUAAACUAUUUAAUCUACAUGCAAUGGCCUAGGAUCCCUCGAGUUGUGAUUUAAAACCAUUGAACAAUUAAACAUAAUUUAAUUGUACCUUUGUGUAGGUAGAUCUACACCACUAUUUGCGAUCGAAUUGAUAACGGUCCUGCGAUGGUAGCCGCGCAUGUGCCCAUCCUCUAUCGGUAUCCACGUGAAGUCGGCGAAACCUUUCAAGCAUCGUUCGAAUCUCCAAAAUUGAACAUAGUGGAUUAUCUUUUGCUCCAAGGUCGUGCUAGCGCCUUCUAGAAUGAAUCGAGAAAAAUAACCAAGAAAACGGGAUCCACGCCGGAGAUCAAUUGGAAGAGAAUAUGUUGACUACUCGGCACGGCACACCACCCGAGGAGAUCACCACUGUAUGGACAAGAGAGAAAGAGAGAAAAUUGGCAAUAAUUAAUUAAUGCUUCUUGUCACACCCUGCGACCGCCUAUUUGGUCGGUUCGGGCGCGUCGACAGAUGCCGAACGAACCCCUGUCCGCCCAAGGCUCAACAAACACAAUCAUGUACAUCUAGUUGCCCAGGUAAGCAUAAAAAACAUACAUGAACAUGCGAGUAUAAUACAAGCGAGAGACAAGAGAGAAACUAGCUAUUACAUGAACAUUCAACCAUUUUUACGUGUUUCCACCAACAUGCAUACAUUGGUUUACAAUUCUUCUCAUAAUGCAUAUACAUCCAUAACAAUCUCACCCAAAAGUACAUCAAGUCUCUCAAAAAGAGGCACAUAACUCUAAUGCAUAGGAGGCCGCUACCUAGGGCGCUAUGCCCUUACCGCGGUCCUCAACCGGUCCACUUGUGCUCGGCCCUGCUACAAAGUGGGAUGAGAACUAAUAAUAGUUUCCAGUGGGUUCGGCUACCGACGCCACCGAUUUUCCUACUAGGUCUAAGCAGGCAUAAGUAGAAAAGGGUUAGCAAUAUAAUAAACAUCUAGCAUGCUACUAUGCCUUACAAUAUGAAACAAUAAACAGGUAUAGUAAACAGAUAAUAGCAACUACUAUGCUCAUGAUGCAUGCCAUUUUCCUUUCAUAACCCAAUCAUUCCGGCUAACCCGAAGAUUAAGCCCCGACUCACAGCCGAAUCGCGCAACGUGAGGAGACGUCCGCUACACUCACCCGGGACCAUCUGCGGUGUAGCUACGUUAACCCCUACCGUGAAGUACUCCAGAGACCACUGCUUUGAUAGAGCGACCACCGCCAAGCGAAACAACGUAUGUGAGCAUGAUCCAAUCCUCUAACCCGAGGAUAACCUGCCAACUAGUGGUAAUCAAGCCAAGGAAAAUACCGAUCCCAAUCCUCAUAACCUUAGUAACCACACUUUUCUAUCCAAGUGCCACAAUGUCACAAUGUCUCUAGAUAAUACCACAAUGUCAUAAUGUUCUCUAGCUAAUGCCAUAAUGUCACAAUGUCUUUAGCUAAUGCCACAAUGUGACAAUAUUCUCUUUGUCAUGUCAAAUGCCACUUUCGACGCCACAAUGUUACAAUUCUCAUUAUCAUGCCACUAUAGAGUUCUUUGUUCACCAAACAAUCCUCAUGCACAUAACACUAUGCUCCAUCUCAUAUUUCUACAAAUACUAUGAGAACAUACAAGGAAUGGAAUAUCCAACAAGCUACUCUACAAUGCAUAAAUGCUAUAUAUAACAUAUAUGGCCAAUGAAGUAACAUAGACAUAAAAGAAAAUCCGGAUGUUCCGAAUAGCACCCCCCAUGUAACACACUGAACUUUAGCAAAUUGCGAGGUUCGAGUGUUUGAUCUGUGUUUCGAGUUUUUCUAGAUAUUCUGGAGGGUCGUUGACAGUGUUCCGACCUAUGGCUUGCAUCCCGAGAAUCAAGGUUUAUAGCGUGGCGCCAAAGUCUCUAAAGUGGAAACUGUUGGCUACUCUCGGGUUGGACUCUGCAGGGCAGUGUACCGGUAAAGCAUUGAGUCUGUACCGGUACAACAUCGGGUUUGUACCGGUAUAACCAGCCGCUUUCUGUCAACCCGAGGCUCGGGUUGCUGUCUGGCUGAUUUUGUACCGGUACACUUUUUCGUGUACCGGUACACAAUGCAGUGCAGACUGCACGUAGUUGGGGGGUGCUUUUGCUAAUGUUGCAUUUCUAUUUAACACCACCACAGCCCUUUGAGGACUCUUUUGAGCCCUAGAACGUGGAGAACCAGGUAGAACUUCUCUCCCUUGAUUUUUCUCCCAUUUUGAUUGGUUUUAACUAGUUUUGGUCUCUCUUUUCUCCUUCUCCAUGCUUCAUGUUUGGUUUCCACCAUUGGAGAAGCUUUAAGGUUUUUGUUGGAGCUUGUUCGAAGGGAGAACUUCAGCCCUAGCACCUUCCUAGCUAGGUUUGGGACUUCAAGAUAGGUGAGUAAGCUUGAUUACUCAUUUGGAUCAUGUUUUGGUGGAAUUUUGGGGUUGAAACCCUAAAAUGUGAAAAUUAGGGUUUAAAAUGGAGAUUUUUUAUUUGAGGCUUUUGUAGCCCAAUUCAUCUUAUUAGAACCUUUGUUUAUGUUGGAUUUAAAGGGAUUUUACUCUUCUUUGGAGAUUGAGAGAAGUGUUCACCCUACAAGGUGAGUUUUUGCUCUUUUCUUGGGUUGGUUAAUAUUUGAGCUUAUUAAUGUUCGUUCGUUGCGUUUAACUCUCCUAGUUUAACCUUUAGAGAGCUAGGAGGCUAGUGGACACCUUCGUCGGUGCAAACGAAGGGCUACGAGGAGUUAGGGUGGGUUUGACCUCAUCAAAAAUAGAAAAACUCCACCUAUGUCGAUUUUUAAUUGCCGUAAAAUAGAAAUGCAUGCAUAUUCAUGCUAGAUAGAGCAUACGAGUUGUUUAGAAUGCUUAAAUUAUAUGUGUUAUGUAUGAUAAAAAAUUACCUCUAUAUAGUAGAGAGAGAUAAAUGCAUUGUUAGCAUGCAUGAUAAUAGCAUUCUAUUUAUGGUUGGAAUUAUGUUUCUUGCAAAGAAAAUGACUUAUAUAAUAUACUCUUGGACUUAAAACUCAUGUUUGUUAGAGUGGACAAAAGUGCCACAAAGGGGCACUCUACCUAGUAAAUGGUUAAACGCGGACAUUUACGCUUGCUUGCCAUUGUGCUCAUUCACACAUGCUUGUGAGGGUCGCUCCCCAUAAGCCGGCACUCCGGAGAUAGCCAUCACGACAUAAGCUCGCCCGUGCGGGAUUGGGCGCCGAAAUGGGAUGCUGUGGGGAAGGCUCAUUCCUAGAGUGGGGAUGUUGACUACCACAGGGCCAUUAGGCACGGCGCAAGCCGGACUAUCCACAGGUAGGUCCUACAUGAUUGGAACAUCAUUGAACUAAAGUGCAAAGUGGACAUUAGACAAAUUAGUAAACAAUGAAAUUUUACUAGUUGUACUUGCGGAUAUCAUGUUGAUUAUAUUAUGUAUAUUCAUAUUAGAAUAGCAUUUAUAUUUGUGGAAAUUCAUGCUAAAGUAGAGGCAUAGUAGUUAGUAAACUACUUCAUGAUUUGCAUACAUGUUGUUCUUUCUUUUUUUUAAGUUGAGCAUACUACUUUUGCCUAUUUUAGCCUAGUGGUGCAUUUCACUGAGGUCAGUAAUUGCCCAUUGGGAACUAUUGUUUAAUUGUUCUCACGCCCUGUUUAUUGAUGUUUUACAGAGCCUUCCACGCCGGGAGAGUCUAGGGAUCGAGGCAAGGAUAUUGCCUCUAGCUAGUUGCGAGGAGCUUUAUAUUUAGGUAGUUCACCUCUCUUUUUGUUCUUUUGGAGAGGUUGAGAGUUUUGUACCUGAUAGAGACCACCACUUUUGUACAUUUAGCUCUUAUGUUUGGAACUCGUUGUAUUUACCCUUCGAGUUAUAUUAGUUGAUUAGCUCUUUUACUAUUCUCUUUGUUAUUAGUAUUUAGAUGUAAUCAUGCUCUGAUAUCUCUAGAUACUGGUUUAUUAUUGUUUUUAUUUAUCGCUUUGUUGUAUACGCCUUAUAUGUUGUAGGCAUAUAGCGGGUCUGGACACGCGCCGGGCGGGCUUCUGCUGGGUCCCGGGGCAUGAUAGAUUAUUUUGGUAUCAGAGUCUAGGAUUAAGUCUUAAUGGAUCUAGCAAACCUUAAGCCGGUUGGACUAUAGGAAAUAGGCUCGUGAGAGACGAUGUCUAUUUGACUUGUAAGCGAAAGUAUUAUGAUUGGGUUUAUGAUAACUCUAAAAAUAUUAGAGUUGAAUCGGAGUGUAUAGCUUCUAACUUCGCAGAGGGUUACGUUGGCGGCCAACAACGUAACAUCGGGAGUUAGUACUAAAGGACACUUCAUAACUUUCGCAUGAUUUUGGUAUUAUUUACUUCAGUAGGGUUGCGAUAGCGUGGGUUUUAUGAUGUUGUAGUGAUUAUGCCGUGUAAGGAAGUGAAUUCUCGAAAUCCGAGAGUUAGACUUCGUUCAGAAUCGACUAAUUGUCGAGUGCAUGUGCUUCAGAAAAGCCGAAGAAGUUAAAAAAUGUGAAAAGUGCAUUGCAACGGACCUCGGAGAGCAAGAUUGUGAAAAUCUGCUAAAUUGCAGGUUUCGCUCUCGGGGACCGGUCCCUGGUGUGAGGGAUCGGUUCCUGUAAGCUUGGUAUGCGGCAGAAAAUCUUUGCACGCGAUAUUUUCUCUCGUGGACCGGUCUCUGGUGGACAGACCGGUCUCUCGGGGAUCGGUCCCUCUAGGGACAAACCGGUCCCCAUGUGCGUAAAAAUUGGCAGACAGCUUCUGCCCGCGAGAGGUGCUCUCGGUGACCGGUCCCUCUAGGGACAGACCGAUCCCCGAGCACGAAAAUUGCCCAGUCUAGGCAGGGCUUGAGAAGCAAAGUGGAGGGGCUAAACUACAAUUGUGACUUGAGUUGGGGGUAUAGAAGAGAAAACACUCUCUCUUUCUAUCAUUUCACAUCCAACCCAAGCCCUAGCUCCCUCUCUCUCUCUAAACUCUCUUUCUCUCUCUCUAGAAGGUGAAGAAGGAGGAGAUUUUGGUGGAGAUCAAGACCAAGGGAAGGAUUAGUAGCAUCUUCUUCUUCCUCUCCACCAUUGGAGCUUGUUAUAGAGAUAAGCUCAUGAGAGCUUUCGUGGUAGAACCAUUUUGAUGGGUUUUUAUCUUCUAGAAUUGGUUCCAUUGGAUCUUUUUGAUGCCAAAUAGAAGCUUUAUGCUUGAAUCUUGAAGCUAGAAGGGGAUUCUUGCUUUGGUUGGAACCUAGGGCUCCAAAUUGGGGUUUUUGAAAGUAAAGGGUUUUGAUCUAAAUUGAUCAUGUGUUAACCUAAUUACUAGGUAUCUAAACGCGUUGGGAAGGUCGGUUCGUUGAUUCGUCGAGCCGGUGCGAAGAUAUCGCCGAAGCAAGUGUUCGUGGCUUCGUGUUGACCCGAAGAGUCGAAGCGACGACUAAGGAUCACGAAAUCAAGUUCCUAAUCUUGCUAUAUCGCACGAAGGUGGGGGGUGUCAUCCCGAAGCAACUGGGCUCCUCCCUAUGUCUAAGUAUUUUUGUAUUGAUCAUAUUCCAUAUGUGGCAUCAUGCAUGUUAGGGUGUUUAGAUGUUACUUUUACUAUUCUUGCAUGCUCCCUUAUAUUGCGGCAUUGUAGGCUUGGCAUGUGGACUUAGGGUCCAUGAGAAUGAGCUCUGUGACAUAGAACCCUAUAGAGAUAAGUUAAACAAUAACUUGAUCUUGCAUGGUUGAAUAUGAUGAUAUAUAUGAUUAGUAUAGUCGGGACGAUGGCAUUAUGGCAAGUGACAUGUGAACUAAGUACAGAUUUGACGAGUGGCAUAUGUAAACCAAGUAAACAACUUGACGAGUGACAUUCGAAUGUAGUGUUAAAAGAACACUCGUAUAUGUUGGUCCUAGUGACCGAGUAUCCUCAAUGGACGAGGAUUGGAUCAUACUCACACAGUCUGUUCAGCGCUUGUGGCGGUCGCUCCGCACAAGUAGUGCGAGCUCCGGAGUCUUGGCACAUGAAAAGAUUGGGAUAGCCUAUGUGGGGUCCCAAGGGAUAGCCUAUGUGGGGUCCUGCAGACGAUCUCUCGGGUGGUUCGAGUCUCCUUUCAUAGACGGAUUUGAGAUGUGAGUUGAGGGCGCGCCUACGGGCCAGCCAGAUGAUUGGGUAAUAAACUCAAGAGAGUUAUGCAAAUUUGGCAUAUUGUGCAUAUUGAACAUAGUAGAGUUGUAUCCAUACACAAUGUUGGUAUUAUAGCAUGUUAGCGAAUGCAUGGCUGUCUUGUUCAUUCUUGAAUUCCAAGGCAUAGUAGAGUAUUGCAAUCCUUUUAAUAUGCAUCAUUUACAAUUUCGGAUAUCUAUCUAUCUAUCUAUCUACUUAUGCCUGCUUAGACCUAGUGAGGAGAUCAGCGGAGUCGGCGGCCAAACCCACUGGGAACUAUAUUUAUAUAGUUCUCACCCCACUUUGUUGCAGGGCCUAGCGAGAGAGCACUGGCAGAGGACCGUGGUAAGGGCAUAGUGCCCUAGUCAGAUAGCAGCUCCCUACGCAUUGGAGUACCGACGUACCUGCGACACGUGGAUGUAUUUUGAGAGAGUUGUUUAUGUACUUUGGAUACACAUGUAUAUGUCCAUUUUGAAGUUACAAAAUAUAAACUUGAUGUAAAAGAAUGGUUGAAUGAAUGUAAUAGAUAGACAUAUCUCUCCUUAUUUACUUGUAUGACAUACAAGUAAAGAGAGAGCACUGGCAGAGGACCGUGGUAAGGGCAUAGCGCCCUAGUCAGAUAGCAGCUCCCUACGCAUUGGAGUACCAACGUACCUACGACACGUGGAUGUAUUUUGAGAGAGUUGUUUAUGUAUUUUGGAUACACAUGUAUAUGUCCAUUUUGAAGUUACAAAAUGUAAACUUGAUGUAAAAGAAUGGUUGAAUGAAUGUAAUAGAUAGACAUAUCUCUCCUUAUUUACUUGUAUGACAUACUUGUAUCUUGCUCUUACUUGUUGGCACUAAGUGCUCCGCGCUUGUCAUGUAUGUAAUUGAAUCAUUCCUGGGCAAUUCUAUGUACAUGAUUCUGUUGUCGAGCCUUGGGCGGGCACGGGAGGUCUGUCCGUCCGGCGUCUGUUCGACGUGCUCGAACCGGACCAAAUUGGUAGCGGGCUCAGGGCGUGACAUGCCGACUACCCACUCUAAAUCGGUUGGAGCAGAUAAUGCAGCGAACCUUGAGGAGGUGGAGACCUUCUGUCACGCCCGGGAUAUCAGCAAAAGCAUAUCCGGUACGUGCACAGACCCGCCAUACACCUGCAGUAUAUAAGGCGUCUACAAGAAACCAGUCGAUAGGAGUAAAAAGACAUAAAAUAACCCUAUCCAGAUAUCAGAGCAUAGUAAAAGUCACCAGACUAUCAACAAAAGAACGAGAGUGUCCAACUCAAAAUAUAGGUGCAAACGAAAGUAUUAAAACUGCCACAUCUGGAUCCAAAACAUAUAUACAACACAGGGUAUACAAAAUAUCUGUACAAUGGUAGUCACUCUAUAAACUGGACAUCACCCUCGGCCGUAGCCCGAGUAGCAAGGUGAUCGACUAGCACGCUCCUAGCAAUGUCUAGCUAGACGCGACUCCCUUGCCACGGUCCCUAGCCUCUCCUGUAGAUGGCUCUGUAAAAACAACCAUAAAAAGGGCGUGAGAACUAUUAACAAUAGUUCCCAGUGGGUAAGCCGCCAGCCUCGGCGAAUUACACCACUAGGCUCAUGAUGUACUGAAUGAAAGCGAAAGCAGUAAUUGCAUGGUAAAUAAUUAUGCAAUGCUAACCGGUAAUGAGCAUGUAAGCAACAUGUAAUCACAGUCUCAACAGUAAUGAGUCAACUAAAUAAUAGAAGCAUAGCAACUAUGAUAAGCAUGAAUAUAAGCAUAAAUGUGUAAGUAACUAUUGUACACUGUAACUGGUAAUCAUUCAUUACUGUUCAGUUUCCUUUAGCACUUUCCUUUCAUUCACAGGGAUCUACUCAAGGUAGUCCAGCUUGCGCCGCGCCUAAUGGCCCCGUGGUAGUAUACACUCCCCACGGCAAUCCAUUUCGGCACCCAAUCCCGCACGGGCGAGCAACUGUCGCGUAGGCCAACUCCGGAGUGCCGGCUUGUAGGGAGCGACCCUUACAAGCGUGUGCGAAUGAGCACGAUGGCUAGCAAGCAAGUCCACAGUCCAACAUUUCUCAAUCAUCACUUUCCAAUUUGCAAAGUUCUCGCUCUCGAUCCUUGGAUCGAAAUUCUCAAUAUCAUAAAUAUUGGCAAUAACUAGUAUCCACUAGAUUAAUAAGUAUGUAAGAGUAAUGCUAAUUUACAUAUAGCAUUAGAAUCUUUUACUAUCAUGGCACUAUCAACAUAGGCAUAAGCAUGUCAUUGUUGUCUACUUUACAAUCAAUAAAGUCAACAAAUGUCAUUGUUCUCUACUUUAUAGGAACAUAAUAAACUUAUCUCUUGGUUGUUCUACUGAACUAAACAAGAAUACCUCUAUGCAUGAAUAAUUCUAUUUCACUCAUAUAGCAAACAUUAUAGUGUCGUGUUCAAGUCCUAUAUUAAUCACAAUUGCACACAAUUGUGUUGAUUCUAUAAUACAUAUAGAACAUAGAGGAGCUUCACUUGCUCUGGUUAGGUCAAACCCACCGAGUACUAUGUUCAAAUCAGUCCAAAGGAGUCCCAAGGAUCAGCUUCACUAGGUCGAAAUCCUGCUGAACACGAAGCAUAAAUAUCGUAUCAAAAUUACGAUCGAAAAGUCCAAUUUCGGCGCAAUUGCACUUAGUACAUCGUAAUAGCUGAAAUCCCUGUUUUGGCUCAAUAAAUAACUCAAGUUAAGUUUCCAAAAUCCCUCACGUAUCAGCCGGAGGUAAUCCGAAGGUCCGUUGCAAGCCCACUGCGAACUAUUUCCAAAACGGCAACAAAGUCGUCAAUUACUAACAAUAUAGUCGGAAUCAUGCGAAUUCAGUUUUCUAACUGAAAUUCCUACUUACCUCAGGUUAGAACACUUGUAGAACACUACGAGACAGUCCCCAAGGUCAUCCAAUUAGCUCCAAAUGGUUCGAGAACCUGCUACGAAGGAAUCAUACAAAACUGCGUCAAUAAACCGCGCAUAGUUCCGAAAUUGAGUUAUAACUCACUACUUAUCCUUCAUAAGCUUUAAAGCAACAUAUCUCUGAGUUUAGAUGGAUAAUUAGCAGCCAAAAGAACCCUUCUUUACUGCUGAAAACAAUUUCUAGCUCAGUUGGAAGCAACGAGACUAAACGGCGUCCAAAUUCAAUGCUAAAUCGGAAACUAGAGAGGAAUUGAGUUGAAUACAUCUCUAAAGCUGUGAUUCAGCUUUUCCUGGUGAUAACCUCACAAGAAACACAGCAAAAUUCCUUCUCCCCACGUGCCAAAGACUUCCCUUGAGUCCUCCUAUCAGCGAGCAACGAGCGCGGCGCGAAAACGGUGCGAAUCGGCGGCUUUUCUCUAGAGAGAGAAAAACCCUAGAGAAAGAGAAAGAGAGAAGAUGGAAGACUCUCUCCUGAGCUCCAGCAACUUCUGAAGAGGUCCAGGGGUCGAGCUGGGAGGAUAGGAAUGAGUAAAGAAUGUGAAAAGACCAAAACAACCCUGCUGCCACGCAGCUGCAGCUGCUGUUCCUUGCUGUACCGGUACAGCAUUAUGCUUGUACCGGUACACCAAUGCAGAAAAUGCCAAUUUCGCGAUUUCAAUGCACUUUCUCACUUCUAGCUUUCCAAUCAUCCUCUAACUCGACCAAAAACUUGUCCAAGCCUUUUAGAAUAUGUAGGAUAGAUCCACAUAUCAAUUCUCACACUCGAAUUUCGCAACUUGCAAAAAUUCAGUGUAUUACACCUUCGCUACCUUCGGAUCGAGCGAGGUCCGUGAGUUGAGGAGCCAGCUUGCAGACCUCACCGACUUGGUGACGCUGCAGACGGCGGUGACACAGCAGCAGGCUGAUGCGGCGCAUCGACAGGAGGCGCGGAUGAAGCGCCUUGAGGAUUUUCUUCUGCAGUAGGCAGCUUCCAGAGAGGCUCAGAUUCCUACACCAUCUGUGCCAGUUGAUAAUGUUGCAUCGAGGGCGCCAGCUCCCGUGCCCGGUUCUUCGCGUGCGGCACCCGCAGUCGCGCCUCGGGAGGAAGACUUGGUGGCACAAACGGCUCAAGUGCCUCCGGCGAGGGUAGUUUUUUUCGUGAUGGUUGAGGGAGCAGAGCGGGAUCGACUCAUGGAUCGCCUCAACGAGUUGAAGAGGUGCAAUCCCACGAUUUUUGAUAGAGAGAAAGUCGAUCACUAGAUUAUAGAGAAGUGGUUGAUGCAUAUGGAGAAGCUUUUCCGCGACACCUUCGUAGAGGAGAGAGACCGAGUUUGGCUCGCCUGUAAUAUACCGAAAAUUCAGAAAAUAAAUAUCGAACUUUAGUCAAAUUGACCAAAGUGCGAGGUUGGAACACUUCGGAGAGUACGAAGGUGUUAAAAUGAUCAAAAGUGAGUUACGGAAGGUUUUCGAGAGCUAAAGAAUCAAAUUAUGCAACUGCAGAAUUGGAGCUCUCGGGGACCGGUCCCUGGUGGGAGAGACCGGUCCCGGAACGCGUAUGAAAUGAGACAACCGAAAAAUCGGCUAAGUCCCUGAGACCAGCUCUCGGGAAUCGGUCCCUCCCCGAGAGACCGGUCCCCCAGAGACCGGUCCCCUCAAAGAGAGACCGGUCGCAUUGUGCGCAGCAGCUCUGGCUGCGCUGGGAGAGCUCUCGGAGACCGGUCCCUAGUCGGGGAGACCGGUCCCCGAGCCCGAAAUCUGCCCAGUCCAGGCAGUUGAAUAAGGCGAAAGUUGANAUCCUCGUGUAAGCCGUCUGUGUAUAUUCCGCUAGUGCUUUUCUCUAUUGAUGAAAAUGUACAUGUGAUGAGCCUUGGGCGGAUAGGGGAAACUCUGUCCGUUCGGCGUCUGUUUGACGUGCUCGGGCCGGCCCAAAUUGGUAUCGGUCCCGGGGAGUGACAUCGCCACUCAUCACCUGGACGGCGAGGCCUAUUGUUGGUAGUUGGAUCUUCAGGAUAACCCCAGCAUGGAUUUGGCGGCUAUUACUUGGACGAGAUUCAAGGAGCUUCUUUUGGCGCAUUAUUUCCCCGACAGCAUCAAGAGAAAGAUGGAGCAGGACUUGCGCGGCUUGCGCCAGGGUGACAGGACAGUAGCCGAGUUCGAGAGGGAGUUCUCUCGGCUUCUUCACUGCGUGCCUUUCGUCGUACGGGACGACGAGGACAAGACCUGCAUUUUUGAGCAUGGAUUGCGACCGUCGAUCUUCCGAUUUUUGCAAUCCUUCAACCUCCAAACCUACCGGGAGGUGGUGAGCCGCGCACUUAUUGUGGAGAGCGGCGCGACGGAUAUUCAGGAGCGGAGAGAGGGCUUGGAAAAGGAUAAGGGCAAAAGGCCCGUGGCGGAAAGUAUGAGUCAGACGCACUUUAGGAGAUCGCCAAAGCACCCUAGGAGCCAGCAGCGUGGGCGCGGCUCGUCGGCCCAGCGAGGAGGUUCUGAUCAUCGCCGACCUCCCCAGUGUGUGAUCUGCGGUGGUCGUCACUUUCUACCGCAGUGUCCGCAGCGGGGAGGCAGGUGUUUCCUGUGUGGCCAGGACGGCCACUUCCGGAUCGAGUGUCCGAGAGGUUCUUCACCGGCACCGUCAUCUGUAUCGACACCGGCUCUACUAGAUGCCAGUCAGGGGACUACAGCGGCACAUUACUAGCCUGGGCGGCCACCCGUCCAGCAUCAGACUCAGGGGUCACAACAGGCCCCGAGCGGGCGUAUGUAUGCUGCUCAGACCGAGGAGACGGCAGCAGCCGAGGAUGUGGUGGCAGGUAUCAUUUUAUUAAAUGGCAUUCGAGUUCGUGCAUUAUUUGUUACCGGUGCAUCACAUUCAUUCAUAGAUUGGCUGUUUGCCGAGUUACAUGGCAUCCCGUUAGUUUCUUUGUCGCAUCCGGGACAUAUUAUUGUACUCGACCACAUCUUGGACGUUAGGGAGUUUUGCCCCGGUUGCCCUGUUCGGGUAGGGAAUUGGAUUAUGCCCGUGGAUCUGCUAGCUUUGCGCAAGCUGGGGGAGUUUGAUGUGAUUCUGGGUAUGGACAGGUUGACGAGGUACUUCGCCACGAUUGAUUGCAAGAAUCGGACUAUCACUUUUAGAGAGCUGGGGCAGGAGGAUGUUUAUUUAGAGGAUGUCAGAGUUCGCUGUUUGAAAUGACGAUCAGCUCGUCUCGAGCUAGACAUUGAUCAGCAGGGGUUGCAUAGCCUAUUUGGAUAGUGUUGUGCUGAGGGAUGAGAUGACACCCCUAGGAUUAAGGACAUCCUAGUAGUGCGGGAGUUUUAUGAUGUGUUUCUAGCGGAGCUUCCAGGUAUGCCACCUGAUAGGGAGAUUGAGUUUGUGGUAGAUCUCAUCCCUGGGACUACCCCAAUCUCAAAGGCGCCCUAUAGGAUGGCACCGGCUGAAUUGAAAUAGCUGAGGGCACAGCUACAGGAUCUUUUGGAUAAAGGGUUCAUCCGACCGAGCGUCUCGCCUUGGGGAGCGCCAGUUUUGUUUGUCAAGAAGAAGGACGGAUCGCUUCGCUUGUGCGUGGAUUAUCGUGAAAUUAAUAAGGUCACGAUCAAGAAUAAAUAUCCGUUCCCAAGGAUUGAUGACUUAUUCGAUCGGCUUCAAGGGUCGAAUGUGUAUUCUAAGAUCGACUUACAGUCAGGAUACCACCAAUUGAAGAUCAAGUCGGAAGAUGUAUCGAAGACGGCUUUUAGAACACGGUAUGGACAUUAUGAGUUUACUGUGAUGCCGUUUGGGCUUACUAAUGCCCCAGCAGCUUUUAUGGAUCUAAUGAACCGUGUUUUUAAGCCUUAUCUAGACAGGUUCGUCGUGGUGUUCAUCGACGACAUCUUGGUUUAUUCCCAAAGUGAUGCGGAUCAUGAGAAACAUUUAAGACUUGUACUUCAAGUGCUUCGGGAAAGGAAGCUUUAUACCAAGUUGAAAAAGUGUGAAUUUUAGCUUCAAGAGGUGGCUUUCCUUGGACAUUUGAUUUCGGGAUUCCUAGGAAGAUUGAAGCUAUCAAGAUUGACCUAGACCGACGAGUGUCACGGAAAUCCGGAGUUUCCUUGAUUUGUCCGGCUACUACCGGAGAUUUGCUGAGGGAUUUGCAAAGUUAUCUACUCCCCUUACAUGACUCAGGCAUAAAGGCACUAAGUUCAUUUGGAAUGAUGCGUGCGAAAGAAACUUCCAAGAGUUGAAGGCUCGAUUGACGACUGCCCCGAUCCUGACCUUGCCAAUUGCUGGAGCAGGGUAUGUGAUUUAUAGUGAUGCUUCCUUUAAUGUAUUGGGCUGUGUUUUGAUGCAGGACGGGAAGGUGAUCGCGUAUGCUUCUCGCCAAUUGAAGGAUUAUGAAAGGAACUAUCCUACACAUGAUUUGGAGUUGGCGGCCGUAGUCUUUGCACUAAAGGUAUGGCGUCACUAUCUUAAUGGCGAGCAGUGUGAAGUUUAUACGGAUCACAAGAGCUUAAAGUAUUUAUUCACUCAGAAGGAGUUGAACUUGAGGCAGCGCAGAUGGUUGGAGCUACUCAAGGAUUAUGAUCUGACGAUUCUUUACCACCCGGGCAAGACUAACGUGGUGGCAGACGCGCUAAGUCAGAAAUCGAUGGAAAACUUAGCGAUGCUUGUAGUCACUCAACCGCCGUUGUUUGAGCAGAUGAAGCGGUUGGAGUUGGAGGUGGUGGCUCCUGAUACACCCUUGAGAUUGAUGACAUUAGUAGUACAACCUACACUUCUGGAAAAGAUUAAAGAAAAGCAAAUUCACGACGUGGAGUUGCAAAAGAUUAGAGCUAAAAUGGUUGAUGGUUGCACCGGUGAUUUCACUGUGAAUGAUCAAGGAAUAAUGCGUUUUCGCGGGUGGAUUUGUGUACCGGCAGAAUCGGCACUUAAAGAGGAUAUUCUUCAAGAAGCACACCGUGCGCCUUAUGCUAUACAUCCGGGAGGCACCAAGAUGUACAAGGAUCUGAAACUACUUUAUUAGUGGCCCGGGAUGAAAACGGAUGUUGGCGAGUUUGUAGCUCGAUGUCUAACUUGCCAACAGGUGAAAGCCGAGCACCGAGUUCCUGCGGGAAAACUUCAAUGUUUGCCUAUCUUCGUGUGAAAAUGGGAAAAGAUCACCAUGGAUUUUGUUAUGAAAUUGCCCCGCUCAUAGGCUGGGUAUGAUGGUAUUUGGGUGAUCGUGGAUAGGUUGACGAAAUCGGCACAUUUCGUACCUAUUCACACGACUUGGACAGGGGAGAGACUCGCACAAGUAUUCUUUGAUGAGAUUGUGCGACUUCAUGGAGUGCCUACUUCCAUUGUAUCUGAUCGAGACCCCCGAUUUGUGUCUCACUUUUGGAGGAGUCUGCAAGACGCCUUAGGCACCCGAUUGAAUUUCAGCACCGCAUUCCACCCUCUGAAUGAUGGACAGUCUGAGCGUACUAUAUAGGCUUUAGAGGAUAUGCUUCGAACAUGUGUCAUAGACUUUCAGGGAGGAUGGUCGCAGCAUCUACCGAUGGCGGAGUUUGCUUAUAACAAUAGUUAUCAAGCAAGUAUCAAGAUGACACCCUUCGAAGCACUUUAUGGACGAAAGUGUACAUCGCCACUUCAUUGGAGUGAAGUUGAUGAGAGAUUGGCUUUAGGCCCAGAUGUGCUCCAAGAAGCUGAGGAUAAAGUUCGCAUUGCUUGAGAGCGAUUGUUGACGGCUCAGAAUAGACAGAGGAGCUAUGCCGACAGGCGUCGACGAGACUUGGAGUUCCAGGUUGGAGAUCAUGUUUUCUUGAAGGUCCCGCCGACUAAAGGGAUUAGAAGAUUUGGAAUUCGGGAUAAGUUGAGCCCCCGUUUUAUUGGACCGUAUAAGAUUUUGGAGCGUGUAGGUCCAGUAGUGUAUAAACUUGCCCUAUCACCAUACCUAUCGGGUGUACAUAAUAUUUUUCAUGUAUCGGUCCUUCGGAAGUACAUGUUCGAUCUGGCUCAUGUUUUGGAUGUUAUACCAGUAGAGCUGAGAGAGGACUUGAGCUUUGAAGAACAACCAUUGAGGAUUUUGGCUCGCGAGGUUAAAAAGCAGCGAAAUCGUGAUAUUUCUUAUGUGAAAGUGCUUUGGAGCAACCACGAUGAACGCGAGGCCACGUGGGAGCUGGAAAGCGCACUGCAGGAGUGCUAUCCCCAUUUUUUUCAGAUAGAGUCUCGAGGUAAACUGCUUUUUAGUUUCGCGGACGAAACUCCUUUUUAGGAGGGGAGAAUGUAACACAUUGAACUUUAACAAAUUGUGAGGUUCGAGUGUUUGAUCUGUGUUCCGAGUUUUUCUAGAUAUUCUGGAGGAUCGUUGACAGUGUUCUGACCUAUGGCUCGCAUCUCGAGAAUCGAGAUUUAUAGCGUAGCGCCAAAGUCUCUAAAGUGAAAACUGUUGGCUACUCUCGGGUUGGACUCUGCAGGGCAGUGUACCGGUACAGCAUUGAGUCCUUACCAAAACAGGGGGUUGUACCGGUACAACAUCGGGUUUGUACCGGUAUAACCAGCCGUUUUCUGUCAACCCGAGGCUCGGGUUGCUAUCUGGCUGAUUUUGUAUCGGUACACUUUCCCGUGUACCGGUACACAAUGCAGUGCAGACUGCAUGUAGUUGGGGGGUGUUUUUGCUAAUGUUACAUUUCUAUUUAACACCACCACAGCCCCUUGAGGACUCUUUUGAGCCCUAGAACGUGGAGAACUAAGUAGAACUCCUCUCCCUUGAUUUUUCUCUCAUUUUGCUUGGUUUUAGCUAGUUUUGAUCUCUCUUUUCUCUUUCUCUAUGCUUCAUGUUGGGUUUCCACCAUUGGAGAAGCUUUGAGGUUUUUGUUGGAGCUUGUUUGGAGGGAGAACUUCAGCCUUAGCACCUUCCUAGCUAGGUUUGGGACUUCAAGAGAGGUGAGUAAGCGUGAUUACUCAUUUGGAUCAUGUUUUGGUGGAAUUUUGGGGUUGAAACCCUAGAAUGUGAAAUUUAGGGUUUAAAAUGGAGAUUUUUUAUUUGAGUCUUUUGUAGUCCAAUUGAUCUUAUUAGAACCUUUGUUUAGGUUGGAUUUAAAGGGAUUUUACUCUCUUUUGGAGAUUGAGAGAAGUGUUCAUCCUACAAGGUGAGUUUUUGCCCUUUUCUUAAGUUAGCUAAUGUUUGAGUUUAUUAAUGUUCGUUUGUUGCGUUUAACUCUCCUAGUUUAACUUUUGGGGAGCUAGGAGGCUAGUGGACACCUUCGUCGGCGGAAAUGAAGGGCUACGAGGAGUUAGGGUGGGUUUGACCUCAUCGAAAAUAGAAAAACUCCACCUAUGUCGAUUUUUAAUUGCCGUAAAAUAGAAAUGCAUGUAUAUUCAUGCUAGAUAGAGCAUACGAGUUGUUUAGAAUGCUUAAAUUACAUGUGUUAUGUAUGAUGAAAAAUUACCUCUAUAUAGUAGAGAGAGAUAAAUGCAUUGUUAGCAUGCAUGAGAAUAGCAUUCUAUUUAUGGUUGGAAUCAUGUUUUUUGCAAAGAAAAUGACUUAUAUAAUAUGCUCUUGGACUUAGAACUCAUGUUUGUUAGAGUGGACAAAAGUGCCAUAAAGGGACACUCAACCUAGUAAAUGGUUAAACUGCAACAUGAUGACAUAGAAAUGGACUAUAGGAUCACUAGCUUUUAUACCAUGUUUUAGACAUGAUGACUUAGUGAUAGUCCAUUGAGACACCGACUUUAUACCAUGUUUUAGACAUGAUGAUACUAGACUUAAGACGGACAUUUACGCUUGCUUGCCAUUGUGCUCAUUCGCACAUGCUUGUGAGGGUCGCUUCCCACAAGCCAGCACUCCGGAGAUAGCCAUUGCGACAUAAGCUCACCCGUGCGGGGUUGGGAACCGAAAUGGGAUGCUUAUACAAAAAGUAACCUUGCAUGAACAAAAUCUUGAAAAAAUCUGUAAAAAUAGCGAAAAACUUUCUAAUAAUAAUAGAAUGCAUACUAACGCUAUUUCUAACUAAAUCAUGCAAAAAUUUUCAGCAAAAAUGACAUUUGAACAGAAAUCUCGAAAUUUCAUGUAUAUAGAGGUACAGAACAAAGAUCAGCAAAAAAUACUGUUAUAACCUGAUCUAAGUGUUCUAGAAGCAAGAUUAUAUGUCUAAAUACUGAUUCACAGCAAAAAAAUUGCAUAAAAAACGAAUAAGAAUAGAGAUCAUGCUUCAACUCGAAAUUUUUCGAAAAAAUAGCAAAAACGCGAGCAAAUGAUUAAAUCCGAGCUAUAAACUUACAAAUCUUGAGGGGAAAACACGUGGAUCUGAAGGAGAAGACCACCUAGGAUUUUUAGAGAGAGAAAGGAGGAAAUUUUGUUUUGAUUUAGGUGAGAAAUGAGAUCCUGUAACCGGUUAUAAAACGCGGUAUACAGUGUUUUGUACCGGUACACGGUAUUUUGUACCGGUACACUUUCACAGAUUUCAAAAAUUUUAAAAUUUUUUCAUCAAAAAUCCUUCAAAAUCAAAUUAAUUUCAUAAAAAUUAAAGAUUAUACUCCAAAAAUUAUUAUAAUGAAGAUAAAAGAUUAUAGGAUUUCAAAAUACAUCGAAACAUCAAAAUUUGGAAAUAAAAAAUAAUCUAAAGUUUCAAAACCAUCAAGAUGUAAGUUGAUGAAAAAUGAUUUUUAUAAAUUCAACAAAAUUGACACCUAAAUUGUCGCAACUCGUUCAAAAUAGAGAUUUAACUAAUAUGGCACCGGGGGUGGCUCUUUGAGCAUCUUUUCAUCCUAUCACCUUAUAACUCCGAAAAUUCUAAGAUAUUCAUUUUUUUCAACCUUUUCGGCUUUUCAAUUAAAUUUCAUGUGGUAGCUCCACACACUUACCGGACGACCGGGGUGGUAGCUCUUUCCUACAUGUGGUGGUAGUUUUCACACUCCUUUUAGGAUGUAACUCUUUCCACAUCUUUUAAACAUUGGAGUAUAUAUUUUUUUAAAAAAAUUCAAACUCCCCCUAAAUUAGACAAUCUCACAAUUGAAAAUAAUUUUGACAAAUUUUGGUCUAUUAGCGAAUGUCCAUUCAUCAUAACCAACACUCACAACCAAGAUGAAUUAAUGACCAAGAGAUCAAAAUUGAUUUCAAAAUUUUGAUGAAUAUAUGUGUUAAAAAUUCGUAUAAUCAAUUAUCGUCAAAAUCAUAAACAGUGGAGUAAAACCGAUAAUUAAUAUGAAUUUAAUUCAAGAUGAAUUCCGGUUAAAACACUUUGAAAAAUUAUAAUCUCCCCAAAAUAAAGAUUUUCAAUUGCCUCCUUUCUCAAAGAAAUAAAGAUUUCAAUCAUCUCCUUUCUCAAAGAAAAAUUUUUAAAUUCCCAAACACCUUUCCUCAAAUCAAUUUUAAGAACAAAUUUCACACACGAAAAUCAUCAUGUAAUUUAAUGAAUAAAAAGUAUGCAACAAGCACCAAACAAAGCAUUACAUAAUCAAUCAAAACAAACUAAAAUAAAGAACAAGGAAAGAUAUCACCUUUCCGGAUCCACACUUGUUGGAUCAUUGGUUGUCUCGGCUUGUCGACGUUAGGUGCCGUUUGCUUUGAUUAAGCGAUCAACUGUUGAUCGCUUCGUUGAUAGUGGCUUCGGUCGGGCUUGACGUUGUACGUUUGAACUCCGAUUCCCUCGAGGUACUCGACUUAAUUGUUUUUCCUUUGAAUUUCGUGGGGGAAGUUGAGUAGAAGAGGGUGUUGCUUGAUUUUUCGAAGUUGCCAAUUGGUUCUUCUUUGUCUUGUUCGAGCAACCCUUUUUGAUGUGUCCUUUGAUGCCACAUCGAUGACACACCUUUUCGUUUGAAUUUGUUGAGACUUUAAAAGUUGAUUUUGAAACCUUCUCAACACAUGUUCUUUCAUAUCCGAGGUCCAACUUGUUCGUUUGACCCAACCCAAGCAUAUGGUCCAAUUUCUUCGAUCCCGAAGAAAAUUUUUGAAUAUCGGAUUGGAGUUGACGAACUUGAUCGGUCAAGGAUUUAUUGGAUUUGUACGAUUCUUCAAAUUGAUGCUCCAAAAAUCCAACUUUAUCUUUAUAGGAUUUGAUCGUUGAUUCCGUAGCAUCAAGCUUCUCUUAGAGGACCGAAUUAUUCUUCAAAAUUGAUUCCCUUUCUUCCUCAAGAGCUUUAUUCAUUGUUUUCAACUUGUUGUUUUCCUCUUCAAGUUCAAGUAGACACUUCCUCAAUUUCUUAUUGUGCUUCGCUAUCUUUUUGGAUUCGAUAAGGAGUUGAUGAUACGCUUCCGCUAUAUCCUUGUCGUUUGAUUCCUCCUCGCUUUCGCCGUUGUCGCUCGAUGAUCCAUGCAAAGAAGGCGAAAUACUUGAAUUAGAAACAAUAGAGGAUAAACAAACAACGUUAGACGAAGACAAAGAAGUGUUAGUAAACAAAGCACGUUCAUUCUUUCCUUCGUCACUUGAACUUGAUUCACUAGAAGUUGAAUCAUCCCAAGUCUUUGCUUGCAAAGCCUUUUGUCUAUAUGUUUUUUUUGAAGGACAAUCCGUUGCAAUAUGGCCGUAGCCUUUACAUUUGUAGCAUUGGAUUUCCCCUUCAAAUUCAUCUUUUUCUUUUGAAGACUUUGCAAGUUUCUUAUCUUUAGAUUUCGAAGAUGAAGAAGAUUUAGAAAAAGAUUGUUUCUUAGACAAUGAAGCCUUUUCCGAUUUGUUCUUGUUUCAAAAAUUCCAACGAAACUUCUUUAUUAAGAGUGCGAGUUGAUGUUCGAAAUUUGCAAGCGAAACAUCUCCGUCGAAAUCCGAGUCGUCGUCUUCUUCCUUUGUAGAUUUGAGUGGAACUCCUAUACUUUUAGAAGAAGACUUGGAAGAAGAUUGGUUAGUAGAAAAAGUCAUCUCAUAAGUUUGCAACGCACCUACUAACUCUUCAACUCUCAUCUCGUCCGAAUGCUUUACGGUUUCGAUCGCGGCAACUUUUGCCCGAAAGCGUUCCGGAAGAGUACGAAGAAUUUUUCUAACAACUUUAGCAUCCGGGAUUUUCUCUCCCAAGUUCGCGCAUGUAUUAACAAUGUCUUGUAGACGCGUAUAGUACUCGGUAAAAGUCUCGUUUUCUUCCAUAAAAAUCGAGUCAAAUUUACUCAUUAACAUUUGCAAUAUUUGAAUCUUUACCAAGCUAGUUUCUUUAUGCGUAACUUGUAGAGUAUCCCAAAUCUCUUUGGCGGCAUUACAUGUCGAAACGUGAGUGAACUCCGUUUGUGACAAUGCAUUAAAUAAAGCGUUUAUGCCCUUGCCAUUAAACGAAGAUGACUCAUUUUCAUCUUUCGUCCACUUGUUCCGCGGUUUAGGAACGGUAGCAUUAUCGACGACUUCGAUAGGAUGCUUCCAACCGAAUUCGAUUGCUUGCCAUACCCGCUCAUCGAUUGCGAUUAGAAAAGCUCUUAUGCGAACUUUCCAAUAGGCAUAAUUCGUGCCAUCGAAGAGUGGUGGUCGAUUAAUGUUACCGUCUUCGGCCAUUUAGAUAACAAUUUAUCUAGAUCCCGCUCUGAUACCAAUUGAAAGUUUUGGGUGCCCAAGGAUCUAUCUAGAUUGUAUCUAACACCUAGAGGGGAGUGAAUAGGUGUAAUAGCCAAAAACCACAAAUUUUAAUGCGAUAAAAAUAAAUGCGAAAAAUAAAAAUCAUACCGAGAUUUACGUGGAAAAACUCCAACUUGGAGAAAAACCCACGGGACCAACACGCGAAAAAAUAAUUCACUAAGAGAAAAGAUUACAAGGUGAUUACCGACUCCACGGACUCGACCUCUUAACCUCUUACGAAUCUCGCGCAAUCCUCCGGGUUGUCCACGCUCUCACGUUCGAAUCCACGAACGCCUCGCAUACGUCCGAAUCCACGAACGUCACUCGAAUCCACGAGCCCACGAUCCGAAUGCACGAACCGCCUUCAAUCACGCCGAAUCCACGACGCCAUCCAUGAAAACAUCAUGCUAUGGUGAUCCUUCGCUUAGAGUGUUGUAGAAAACUAGAGAAGAAAACUCCAAGCAAAGACAUAUUGAUAUCAAAUUACAAUCUCUCGAUUUGACCUAAAAGAGGCUAUUUUGUAGAAAAUAGGUUUUGGACGAAAUCCUAGCCUCUAGGGUUUCUUAAAUAUGUAUUCUCAUGAUGCUUGAUGUGUUAGAGAACCCCAAUAGCUUAUUUAUAGACUUUAGAAUCAAUUGGAGUCGGAUUAGAAAGUUUUUAGAUUUUUACAUUGUGUACCGGUACACUUUUAAGCUGUUACCGGUUAUACAAUGACGGAACAGAAAAACCUGCGAAACAGUGUAACCGGUGACAAGUCGCUGGUUGUACCGGAACACAAUCUGUACCGGUACACUUUUAAUGUUGUACCGGUACACUUUGCAAUUUUCAGUUUUUUUGCAAAGUUUCGGGUUUCGCAAAGUUCCAAUGCAUUUUCUAAUCCAGUAAACAUUGAUUUCAUGAUUCUAAUGCCUACAACUAAGUAUGAAUCACCCUAACAUGAAUUACAAACUUUACCUGAGCAUCGUGAUUCACGUCGUGAGUUAUUUUUCGAUUUCUUCGAAAUCUUAGAUUCUUCGAUCUUCGACAUUACGCACUGAUCCUUCAAGACUCCAAGUCAAUCCACGAAACUUGCCAACACACAAGACUUAACAGCUUUUUCAUCGCCUCCUCGAGUUCCCAAGUGGCUUCCCGAUCGUCAUGAUUGCUCCAUUGGACUUUAACAUACGGAAUCUCACGGUUCCGUAGCUUUCUCACCUCUCGAGCAAUGAUAGACACCGGGAACUCCUUAUAAGUCAUAUCCUCUUAAAGCUCGGGCGGUUCGAACAACAGAACAUGCUCAGAGUCAUGAACGUACUUGCGUAGAUUAGACACGUGGAAUACAUUGUGAACUCCUGCAAGCUUGGGCGGCAAUGAAAGUCGAUAAGCCACCGCACCAAUCCGUUCCAAUAUUUCAUACGGUCCGAUAUAUCGGGGACUAAGCUUUCCCCAGACUCCAAACCGCUUCACACCCCUCAUGGGCGAAACCUUCAAAAAGACGCGAUCUCCUACCACGAACUCAAGAUCCCGGCGGUGCCUAUUCGUAUAACUCUUUUGCCUAGUCUGCACCGUCAACAAUCUUUGGCGAGCAAGGCAGACUUUCUUCUCCGCCUCUCGCAACACAUCGGGGCCCAAAACCACCCAUUCGCCAACCUCACUCCAAUGUAUAGGAGAUCAGCACCUCCUCCCGUAGAGAGCUUCAAAUGGUGCCUUCUCUAUACUCGCUUGAUAGCUAUUGUUGUAGGCGAACUCGGCCAUAGGCAAGUGCUCAUGCUACCUGCCCCAAUAAUCAAUUACACACGCUCGAAGCAUAUCCUCCAAAACUUGGAUCGUUCUCUCUAACUGUCCAUCGCUUUGAGGAUGAAACGCCAUGCUAAAGUCGAGCCGUGUGCCAAGCGCUUCUUGCAAGCUUUUCCAAAAAUGAGCCGCAAACCGGGGAUCUCGAUUUGACACGAUCGACUUCGGAACCCCAUUCUGUCACGCCCCGGGGUCCCUUUGUAGGUGAAAACACAGCGGAAUUUUUUUUUUUUUAAAACCUGACCCCUACGGUAUGCCAGAUCCGCCACAAAUACAGGGAGUCCNCUACUGUUCACACGGACAGAGUCUCCCCUGUAUUUGCACGGUGUCGACAAGUACAAGUACAUAUCCAGGAUACAACCACUACCACUGAACAUACAAACAUCCAUAUUUAUAUAUCCAUACUCCAUUCACCACAAAUUCACAUUUAAGAUUUAACAUAAAACCACAACUACCAGUUAAAAUGUUUCCUACCCGAAAACUAGUUUUGAAAUACUAAGUUACAAAAACCACAAAAAAUCUUUUGAAAGCUGUUUCCCACAAGGAAACUCUUUUCUUUUAAAACACUCUACCACGAGGGAUAGAAAACCAUUUUUCAUUUCACAAAAUCCACAAAUCCUUUUAUUCAUUUACCGAAAUCACAUUUAUCCGAGUAAAUAAAACCAACUGAACUAUAUGUAUAUGAACAGAAGUAAAGAGGGUAGAAAUUAAACCGGAUAAACUGGGUCGGAAGCUCUAUCGACCACUACGAACAUAUCUCACGUCUCGUCUCAACCCUCACCGCCCGCAAUACCUGAAAACUGGUGGGAGAGGUGAGAACAUGUAAACAUGUCUCCCCUCCCAGUGGGUACCGCAAGCCGACGAAGACAAGGAGCACUCACCGGAUCAGGAAGAGAUAAAUAGCAGUAUGGGUAAGUGAAAUACAGUAGCAACCAUAAUGAACAACUGAGAUAUAUAUAUAAAAGAACAACUACCGCUAUUGUAAUGAAGAACUGAAAGCAUACAAGAAUAUCAAAACUAUAGUAGCAAGACAACUAUAAAGAAAGAACUGUAAGUAUACAUGCAACAACUGCUACUAUAGCUAUAUGCGUCAACGAGACGAGAAGUCCAAAUAUACCCAAUCUGAAACCAAUGCUCUGUUGGUCCGUACCGCAAACCUCAAGCCUGUGCCCUGGAGGUCCGCACCGCAAACCUCUUGACAGUACCACUGCUACUCUACCAUGCAUAUAACCCCUCUUGGGCUCACGAGUUGACACCUGCAACAACUUUUCCGGAAAAGAACACCCUCUUGCGGUGGAUCAGACCGCUGGUGUUCAUGAAAUGCGAACGAGUCUCGAGCGAUCAAUGCUGAUAUGCUCAAAGGCCAACCGUCGGCAACCAACCAACAAUCACUGCCCCUCGGGGCACAUCGACCGUAUAGGUCAUCAAGUAAUCUAAUCGACCAAUCAGGUCACUGGUAUAAGAUAUGAACAUCGACCAACCAGGUCAUAGAUACCACAUAGGAGAGAACCGACCAACCAGGUCAAUUAGGAUGGAACAACUCAACAUCCUACCGAAGGUAUACAAGUACUGACUACUCAAGUCAACUAACAUAUAUGCAUGACGAACCGAUGAAUAGGUCACCAGAGUGUAUCAAUAGAAUCCAGAACUACCGUCAACCACUAGCCGACAAUCCAACCCCUCAGGGUACACAAACCUCAACGGUCAUCGAACGACAGAAGUCAAGGAAACGACCGAAUAGGUCACAGAAACGAGAAAUAAGAACUGACCAACCAGGUCAUAGAUACGAAGUACGAGAACCGACAAACUAGGUCAUAGGUAUCACAUAUAGUUGAACUACUCUACUCCUACACAUGAUACUAAGCAUGGAAACAACUGAGUGGAGUAUAAUGAAACAAUAUCGGUGCAAGGCUCAAUAUAUACAAGUGAAAAACUAGGUUAAAACUGGGUAAAUAUAGUUUAAAAGCCAGUUAUUUCAUUGGAAAUAAAAAAUUAGAAUGAUUAAAAAAAUAGUGGGUUCCAUCGUUUCUAUGGUUACCUCUUAAACAGUGAGGUCCUCUCUAUACACCGGAGCCUCUUCUUUCAUUUAAUCAAAUGUUAUUGUUAACUUAUAUAGUUCACACUCUUUGGCUCUACCUAUCUACAGUAAUAGCUCUUUUCACAAAAAGAGUUAUCCAUACAGUGACGGCAUUUAAUUAUGAAAGUUGGCUAGGUAGCUGACCCUGUUAGUCUGUUCUUUUAAGAAGUGGAACAUAACCUUUUUGCUUCUUAUGAUACUGUUUCCUCCGCUUAAUGGAUAACCAUUUGCUACCAAUGGGGAAUUGCUUCUUAUUACAAAUCUAGAUUAUUGGAUUUGUACCAAUGGAAACCAUAAAUUCCAUAUACAAUAUGGGUAUAUGUCACGCCCGGGUACCAGCGGAAGCAUAUCCGGUACGUGCACAGACCCGCCAUACACCUGCAGUAUAUAAGGCGUCUAUGAAGAAAGCAAGUCGAUAGAAGGAAAGUAUAGUAAGAUCCUAUCCUGAUAUCAGAGCAAAAUACAAGUCGAUAUACUAUCAGUAAAGGAACAAAGAGUAUACAAUCCAAAAUCUCAGCAAAAAGGAAAAAGUAUCACAACUAUAGAGUCUGAUCUCAACAAUACAUAUACAUCGCAGGGUGUACAAAAGGAAUAAGUACAACGGUGGUCUCUCUAUACAUAGGGACAUCACCCUCGGCCGUAGCCCGAGUAGCAAGGUGAUCGACUAGCACGCUCCUAGUAGUCCCUAGCUAGGCGCGACUCCCUUGCCACGAUCCCUAGCCUCUCCUGUAACAGGCUCUGUAAAAACAACCACCAAAAGGGCGUGAGAACUAUUAACAAUAGUUCCCAGUGGGUAAGCCGCCAGCCUCGGCGAAUUACACCACUAGGCUCAAGAUGUACAGAAUGGAAAUAAAAGCAGUAAUUUGCAUGAUAUAUUUUCAAUGCUAACAAUUCAUAAGCCAAUGUUAACAAAUAAUGAACAUGUAAACAACAUGUGAUCAUAGCAUCAACAGUAAUGAAUUAACUGAAUGAUAGAAGCAUGGCUACUACUAUAAGCAUAAACGUAGCAUAAGUGUGUAAGUAACUACUGUACACUGUAACUGGUAAUUAUUCGUUACUGUCCAAUUUUCCUUUAGCACUUUCCUUUCAUUCACAGGGAUCUACUCAAGGUAGUCCAGCUUGCGCCGCGCCUAAUGGCCCCGUGGUAGUAUACACUCCCCACGGCAAUCCACUUCGGCACCCAAUCCCGCACGGGCGAGCAACUGUCGCGUAGGCCAACUCCGGAGUGCCGGCUUGUAGGGAGCUACCCUCACAAGCGUGUGCGAAUGAGCACGAUGGCAAGCAAGCAAAGUCCAUUGUCCACAUGUCACAAUUUUCAUAUUAUCAAUACAAAGUUCAUAACCCUCGAUCCUCUGAUCGGAAUAUCAAUACACAAAUAGUAACAAAAGCUAGUAUCCACUAGAUUGUAAACAUGUAAGGGUAAAGCUAAAUCACAUAGCAUUAUAAUCUUUCCACUAGUAUGGCACUAUCAACAUAGUCAUGAGCAUGUCAUAGUUCUCUAUAUGAGAGUCAGGAGAAUAUCAUUGUUCUCUACUUUAAAGUGCAUCCUACACUUGUUCAUAAGUCAUUCAACUGAAUUGACUAUAAAUGUAAAUACUUAUAGAUAUUUCAUUUCGAAUAUGUUCAACAUUAUAAUGACGAAAGUCAAGCUCUUUAUCAAUCACAUAAGCACAAUAAGAUCAUUUCUAUAUUACAUAUAGAACAUAGGGGAGUUUCACUUGCUCUGGUUAGGUCCGACCCACCUAGUACUAGGCUCCAACUAUCCACAAGAAGUCCCACAAACGGCUCAACGAAGCCCCAAUGCUGCUGAAAAACAAACGUCAAGAUCGGAUUAGAUUUACGGCCGAAAUGUCCGAUUUCGGCUCAAAUCACAUCUCGUAUCAAAUAGCAACAUAAAUCGCUGUUUUGGUUCACUUUAGUACCUCCAAAUAGGUCUCUAAAGGCUUCCCAAAGCCAAUCAAGGAUGAUGCAAAGGUCGGUCGAACUCCCGCUGCGAUCAACACCAACACGACAUCGAAAUCAUCAUAUAUUAGCAAAUAUAGUCGGAAUCUUGCGAAUUCAGUUUUCUAACUGAAAUCUCUGCUUACCUCAGGUUAGAACACCUUCCAAACCAGCUUCAAAGAGUACAAGUUUAGCUCAACGAGGCUCGAAGACCUGCUGCGAAGAAAUAAUACCGAAAUUGCACAAAUUCGCGCAAAUAAGUGCAAUUAGUUCCAAUUUAGCUUCAUUAACGGCUAAAUAUUCCAAUUAAGCUUCAAAGUAGCUUAUCCCUGGUCUACGAAGGUUAAUUCACAGCUAAUUAUCUCAUUCCUACAUGCUGAAAACUCAGGUUAAAACAGUUGGAAGCAAAAUCCUGAAAUCGAUACUCAAAUCGACUAAUAAAGCGUCGAUAACGGAAAAAUCAAGUCGUAUACCUUCUCAAGCUUGCAACCAGCUCCUUACUGGUCCAGGGCUGCAAAAAUCCCUCCAAAACGCUCUCUUGCACGUGCACAAAGGUGCUGCGACGCUCGCAACCAGCGAAGAACGCGCGCGGCGACGAAAACGAGCGAAAUCGGCGAAUUCGAUGUAGAGAGAGAAAAACCCUAGAGAGAGAAAGAGAGAGAGAUGGUAGAACACUCCUCUGCACUCCAGCAACAUCCACAGAGCUCCUGGGGUCGAGCUGGGUCCAUAAGAUAGGGAUAAGCAUGUGAAAUUACCAAAAUAGCCUUACUGCCACGAAUUGCCACUGUGUACCGGUACACCAUAGCGGCUGUACCGGUACAGCAAGCAGAAAAGACUGAUUUCGCCAGUUCAAUGCGUUUUCUCACUUUUAGCAUUCCAAUCAUUCUCUAACUUAUCCAAAAACUUGUUCUAACCUUUUAAAACAUGUAGGUUAGUGUCACAUCACAUUCCACACACUCGAACUUCGCAAUUUGCAAAAGUUCUGUAUAUUACAGUAUACCUUUAACUAGGUCUAAACCCUAAACACUAAACCUAACUAGGUUUAGGGGUUUAGGGUUUAGACUAGGUUUAGUGUUUAGGGUUUAGUUUAAACUAGUAUAAACUAGGUUUAAGGGUUUAGGGACUAGGGUUUAGGGGUCAGUUUCAAAAAAAAGUCCACGUUGGAAACCCCUUUUGUAUUCUUUUUACCUUGUUAUUAGCGAGUAAAAAUUUGCAGGGACUAGGGUUUUGCCCACUCUCCUUCGGGCCACCUCCUUCUCCCCUCUCCGUUAUGCGAUUCUACGGGGCCGGGCGGGGCGGGGGACGGAGCUGGAAGAUGGGGCUCCGGCGGCUUUCCUCCGCCGUGCGCCGCCACCUGGAGGACGAGGGCGACUGGGCCUUCUCCUCUGAGUGGUGGGGCUCCGCCUCCGACGACGGCCACACCGUCUUCCGCUCCUUCUCCGCACACGGCAACGGCGUCGUCUCCGUUGUCGCCUACCCCGCUUCCACGCCGGUCNCUCUCUCUCUCUCUCUCUCUCUCUCUCUCUUUGUCGCACGCACGCACACACGAUCAUGCGGCUCUGGUAAUUGCAAGGUUAAAUCGCACAGAUCUUACCUGAGAUCUAGUCUAUCUUGAAAUAGACAAUCGAGCUUUCAAAUUCGGAUUUUAUACAGAGUCUUUUUGAUAUAGGUGCGUCGAUUCUACUACCUGAGGUUAGUGGCGUUUGUAACAUAUUGAUGAAAUAUUCGGUAAUCUGAUAGAAUAUUUGGUGCUUACAAUAUAUUCUUACAAAAAUCUUGUAGAUAUAUGAAGUUUAGGUCGUAAAACUUAAAUUUUCGAACUUAUGACUUAAUUACAAAAGUCCUCUUUGCACUUUAGACCAUGUCUCAUUUACGCUCUUGCACUAAAAAUCCUGUCAAUUAUCAUCCUGCACUCUGCCAUUGUUUCAAAUUGGCCCAAAAAAUUAGGAUAAUUAGCGAAUCAAGUUAUAGAACUUCACUAAAAUGAAUUGGUAUAUCAUAUUUUUCUACAUCUCAACAUCUAUCUAAUUUGCUCUCAAGAAACGGAUAAAAACAAAAGAAAAAUCAUGAAUGAGAUCUCCUAUGGAAAGUGGUAGUUAAUUGAACAAUUUUAUUCAAUUUAUAUGAUUUUGCUGCAUUAAUUAUAAUUAACUUCCUUUACCAAUUUGUUUCUAUAAAAUUUUACACCUAAAGUCAACAAUUAUUCCAAAAAUUUGGAUCUAUUUGAAACAAUGUCAGGGCGCAGGAGGGUAAUUGAUGUAAUUUUUAAUGGAGGGGGGAAAUUGAGAUAGGUGCUAAAGUGAAAGGGGUUUUCUUUUGUAAUUUAGUCUUAAAGUUAAGGUGUUUUUUUAAAAAGAAUUGUAAGAUUAGGUAGUAAAAUUAACACUUCAAAAAUGCGCUAUAGUUCGGAUAAGGUUUAUACAUUUUUGCGAACCAUUAGUAGCUGUUGUAACUGAAAGUCACUUUUGGUAGGAACAUAACAGCUAUUGACAGUUCCCUUUUAUUGUCUCUUAUUGUUAUAGAGAUUUUGAGGUCAAAUGAAAUGAGGAACUUUAAGGGAAAAAAGGAAGGAAAAGAGAAACUAUUAAAGUGAAUUUGCUGCAUCGUUAGAAAAAAAUGCUCUCUUUUAAGGGCAACUUCCAAUCAUGGCUCUGUUACCUGAUCCUUGUUUUUCUGUUAGCAUGUAACUGGUUGGCUGAAAAUUUCUCAAGUUAGGGGACUGAUAUGGUUAAUACUGGAUACUUAUACAAUCAAUUCAGCAAUUUUGAACUGCAAUAAGUUAAAUGUCUUUGUUAUUUGAUGUUCUCUUUUCAAACUAAAGUAAGUAACCCUUUGAAUGUAAAUAUUUGGUUGUUAUAGAGAUAUAGUUGACCAUACUGUAUACGAAAUAUUAGCCGUUUGUCCAAAUAUUCAAAGCUUCAGUUUUUUAUUGUCAACGUAAGAAAUUCAUGUGCAGUUGUUAUUAAAUCAGUGAUUUUUGGAGAGAUCUUACCUUUCGGUAAGCUGCAUGUCCAACUAUUAAGCAAGUUCAACUGCAUGAAAGUGAAAAAAUAUUUAUUUGGCGUUGCACUCAAGAAUAACAAUUGAGCAGGUAGUUGAAGGCUCAAUUGUUGCAUUUUGAUGCACGCCAGAAUUGAACGCAAGUGGAAAUGCAACCGUUGGGGAGCGUAAUCCUUCUUUGUUGGCAAUUAUAACCAACAUACUGAUUUCUCACCACUACUGAAGCUACAAUAUCUGCAAAUGCAAAACUACUAGGUCCAUUCACCCAAACCAAAAUGCUAUAGUUUUAGUGCGUUGGUUUGAUACACCCAAACUAGGUCCAUACAGUCAAUUUGGGGGUGUACUUUGUUCGUUGGUUUGAUCACUAGGAAAUUUUCAAAUCAAACCAAAAAAAUUGUUUAGGAUUUUCUAGAACGAUACUAAAUUAACCUCUACUUAGAAUUGAACCAAACCUAAUCGAAUUAAUUCAAUUUAGUUUGGUUCUGAACUUCGGUUUCAAUUGUCGCAUUUUUCUUAUGAAUUAAAUCCAUGAUUUUGAAAUCAGAAUGCAAUUAUGAUAGGUAUUUCAUAGAGGAUGAAUUAUGACCACAGUUUUGGAAAGCAGUAGAGAUAAUUAGCACGUAUAUGUGUACAAGAUGUAAGAUAUGACGACCCAAAGAUUUAAAAAGUAUAAGUACACCUAGAGGGUGUGAAUAGGUGUAAACAAUAAAACAACCAACUCGAUGCAAUAAAAAUUAAAUGUGGAAAAAGUAAAGCCAACACAUUGAGAUUUUUACGUGAAAAGACUCCAAAAGGAGUAAAAAAAACCACAGGACCGGUCACACGAAAAAUCCACAAAGAAAAAAUAGAGUACAAGGUGAUUUACCGAAUCCUCAACUCAACCUUUACCUAGAUUUGAAGUUGAUCUUCUUCGUUGGUCCCCAAUCGAUUGAACUCCUUCAAUCGAUCACACUACGACUCCUCACAGCAUCAACGCCUCGAAUCCACGAGCGUCCACUGAAUCUCGGCCCUCACGCGAAGUCCACGCGCAAUCGCUUCGUCCGGAGCGCGUAGAACAAUAGUUGGUGGUGAUUUCGAUGCUUAGAAAUUCAUAAGAUAUGAGGGAAAACCUUCUAAGUAAUCAUUAAUUUGAUUCUUAUGAGAAUAUCUGGAUUAAAGCUCUAAGAAUCAAAUUGAUGAGAGAAAGAAAGAAACUUGUUCUCAAAGGAUGAAAGAAAAACUCCAGAAAACAAGUUUCUAGGGUUUUCGAGAGGUAUCAUCUUAGCCACAUUUUAGAGAGACCCCCGUAUCUUAUUUAUAGGUUUAUAAGACAUUAGAAUUAGAUUAGAAUUGAAAAACACGAUUUCGAAAAACUCUCGAUGGGUUCAGGGUCAGGACCUUUCAUUAGGGUCCGGACUUUGAUACUCUUAGAGUAUCAAAGUUCGAAUCUUCUCCUCAAGGUUCGGACCCUCCCCGCGUAACUGCCAAGAAGGCUUAUGGUGUUCGGACCUUCCAUCAGGGUACGGACGCUGAAACUUGGUAAACUUCAGUGCUCUAUAAAUUCAAGGUUCAUACGUAUUCUAAUGUCUUCCAAACACUUAAAAAUUAUGCAUAAAUCAGUUAAUCCAAGGAUUUAAAUGCCGUGGCAUGGGGUCAUGCCGGAAACUUGCCGGCACGGUACGGCACGGUGCGUGCCGAGCCGUGCCGAUGCGUGCCGGUCAAAAAAAUUCUUGUGUGCCGACACAUAAUAGCAUGCAAUAUUUAUUUUCUUUAGCAACAAAAUGUUCUAACUAUUUAUUAUGUCUUUUUAUCACAUCUUUUGAACUUUAUUGAGAAAAUUACUUACUAAUUUAAAGAAUAGAGGGUUUUGAGCUGUGCCAUCGGCACGGGGUCUAUAUCGUGCCAGUAUCUUGUUGGCACGGUAUGGCACGGUGGAUAUGGUCCGUGCCUAUAGGCACUUAAAACCUUGCCAUUAACUAUAUGUAAUCAUACCUGGGGGUCGUGAGUUCCAUAAGCGAGUCUUUGAUCUUGAUGUCUUCUUCUUCAACCCUUCAAAACUCUAUACGACUCCACGAAAUCUGCCAAUAUAAGAUCCAUAACACAAGAUUGAUCAUAGUCAUAGAAUUUUGAGUAUGUAGUGAUGGUAGGAAAUGGUGUUAUAUUAUAUAAAACAACCAUUUUUCUCCAAAAGCUUUAGCUGCUAGUGAACAAUAUUUUAAUAUUUUUAUAUUUAACACUAUCCCUUACGCCCGGGCUCGAGACUUUUUGAUAGGCCAAUAGUGUGGACUUAAAUUAAAUGGGAGGAAAUUGAUUAUGCUUGGAGCCUGGCGUAACUUGAACUUAGGACCUCUUGCUAUGAUACCAUGUUAAAUUAUACGAAACUUCUAUUUUUUGCCAAGAGCUUAAGCUAGUAGAAAAUGAUGUUCUUAUAUUUUUUAUAUUAAACAAGCAGGUGUAUAAAAUACUGUUAUUCAGUUUUUUAUGCGGUUUGGUUAUGAGAAGUGUCUAAACCGAAUCCAAACCAAAAAGGUGAAUUUUAGCUAUUUUGACAAUCGAACUAGACUGAAAAUUAGAUACUGCAAACCGAUGUACUUUAUUUGGUUUGGUUUGGUUUUGUUUCAGUUUGGAGUUAACUAUGAAGGCACCCAAGUCUCAAAAACAUAUCGCCAAAUAGGAUAGUUGUAAAUUUUAUCACUGAAUUUUGAAUACAUGUGUCUACAUUUACACAUCAUUUAGAUUUACUUACAGCCGAAUAUCUCCUCAUAGUGUUUCUUUUGUUCUUAUGUUUGCAUCAUAGUAGGCACCAGAGCAAUGGCUAGCUGUGGAGAAAUGGCUUCAAGAGAGGUAUGCAAAGAUUCACCCAGAAUUCGAUCAUCAUGGAGAGUUUAAGAUACUUGGUUAUCAAUGGCGUGUGCUACGGUUUAAUGACAAUACUCGUCAAAGCACAGCUAAAGUAAUGGCCUCUUACAGAAAAUCAGAUCCCACAUCUUUAUACUUGAUGCAGCAGCCGCAUUGUUUGGCUGUUCCAUGUAAAUUCUUUGCUUGAUGUCUACCUAUCUUUUCAAUCUUCACAUAAAAUAUGUUCUUGUUGCUUUUUUUUAAUUAAGGUUUUUGUCAUAUUGAAAAUGCUUGCAAAUUUAGGCCUCUUUCGGUAUUGUUGUCAUUUUUUUUUAAAUACUAGCGAUUUCAAUGAAAGGUUUUUCCUCUUGUUGUCAUGGUUGGUUAGCUUGCAGUGCACCCCGGCUAAGUGAUGUAUGACAGCUUCUUUAAAAACCAAAAAAAAGGAAGCAAAAAAAGGUUGCUUCCAAGUUUUUGUUUUCGUUGCCAAACAAACAGCUCGAAUGUUUAAGGGUUGCAAGCAAUUCACCAUUCCCUCCUACACUAUUUCAUGUAGAUAUUCUAUUAAGUUAAAAAAAAAACAGCAACAAUGCCAAACUAGGCCGUAGUUUUAAAAUUUUGUGACAACAUGCUAAAGUCGUAAUUUGUCAGUAUUCACAAACAAUAUUGAGAAUUUUUGCAUUGUUGGUCACUGGUCAUUCGUUACCUCAUGGCUCAAUGUAGUCACCAUCCUUGUCUUCGCUCUUUGGUGCAGAUAUCAGUAUCAGUAUGACAUUGUGAUGUUAUUGAAAGUUUUCUGUGUAUUCAACCUCUGUAGUUUACUCUGUUGCUUCCCUAUUGCUUUAAAUAGUAAAAGUCAUUUGUCUAACUCUGUUUCUUGUCCUUUUCAACGUUUUAUGUUCAUAUUGGACCUAGAAGACCUAAUUUCUUGUGUCAAAGCUAGUGUAGGGAAUUGCUAAAAUAAUGUUUCAUCCUGAAGGGCUCAAAUUCGUAUGAGGGUGACCUAUAUUAAAUACAAUUGUUGAUUCUUGUUUAAAUUUUAUGGUAACGACAGUUUUCUUAUGGUUAUUUUACUACCAUAGUCUUCUGCAUGUAAAUAUUUAGUUGCUGUUCCGCAUACUACAUUUAAGUAUUUCAAUUACGACUGUUGUUCCACAUACUGCAUUAAGUAAUUCAAACUUGCUUAAAGAUUACUAUAACCAUGCCUAGCAAGUUGUACCACUUAAUCUCUACAUCUGUGUUAUUUUUUUGUUUCGCAUUUUAUUUACUGUUUCUAUUUGUCAAAUUACCAUCAAUUAAUUAUCCUUUACCAAGAAAUUGUAGAAAUUCUAAUUUGGGAGUGGCCUCCAUCAGUUAGAAAUCUCUCUUUGCUGCAUUUAAGUAGCUAUUUGACUCUAGCCUUUACACACAGCUGAAUGAUAUCUGAGUAAUAUAUUCUUUUUCUCUCUACCUAAUAUUCAACCAUUUUCAACAUUUUCACCCCCUAUCUAUUUGGAGUUUUGGUGGGGGAGGGGGUCGCAUCAGAACUUGUGAACUUACACCUUGAUUGUGUAUUCCCUUGCAUAUAUUGCUGGAUGUUUUCCUUCAUCUAUGUUGUUAUUUGAUAUCUUCAAGCAUUUUUUUAAAAGAUUUUUUUUUUUUAAUGUGAAUUACCUUUGUAAGUUAUAGGGAACCUAGGAUCUAUAUACUAUCAAUUAACUAGAAGGGGGUGGAUAGGUGUAUCGGCCAAAAAUACAAUAUCAAUGCAACAAAAAUAAAUGCGGAAAUUAAAACUAGCACACCGGGAUUUACGUGGGAAAACCCCAACUAGGAUUAAAAAAUUCACGGGACCAACACGCGAUGACAAUCCAUUAUGAAAUAAAAGAUUACAAGGUGAUUACUGACUUCACGGACGAGUACCUCACUUUUAUCUUCUAUGGAUCUUGCGCACACCACGGGUUGUCCACGCCCCAUGUCUGAAUCCGUGAACGCAAUGUCCGGAUUCCACGAAACGUCCACACUUCGAAUCCACGAAGCCUUCAACACGUUGAAUCUACGACGCCUACUCGAAUCCAUGAGUGCACUCCGUCGGGAGUAAGAUGAACAAAGUUGAUGAUUUAUUGCUUAGAUGAUCAUGAAAGAACCGUAGAAGAUGUUUCUAAGCAAAUCUCAAAUUUAUUCUAGAAGAACAUUAAAGAUCUGGGGCACCAAUAAUCAAUUUGAGAGAAGCUUGUUGUAGAAGAUGAGAAGGAUGGUUACCUACAAGCUUCUAGGGUUUCUAAAAGAUAAUCUAUGCUUACCACGUUUGAGAGACACCCCGACAUCUUAUUUAUAGGUUUGGAAGCAAUUAGAAUUAGACUAGGAUUGAAAAACUGAUUUUAAAUCAGAUUACGAUUGAAAAACUGAUUUAAAAAAAAAUCUGCCUUUUUAUUUGUAGGUUUGGAAGCAAUUAGAAUCAUAUUAGGAUUGAAAAACUGAUUUUAAAAAAUCUGCAUCAGGAUUUUAAACAAUCUGCAUCGGGUUCAGGGUCCGGACUCUGCAUUAGGUUCGGAUCCUCCCUGCGUACUAGCCAGGAAGGCUUACGGGGUUCAGACCUUGCAACCAGGAUCCAGAUCUUGAAACUUGAAAAACUUUAGUUUUGAAUGUUUAUCAAUUUAUACCUAUUUCUUCCAAACAUAUGUAAAUGAUCAUAAAUUAUCAUCAACAAUAUUUAAACAUACCAAGCAUUGUGGAUAUAUGUUCGGAGUCUUCGAGUCUUUUAACUUUAUCUUUUCUUUCUCGAUCUUUCAAGACUCCGACUCACUUCACGAAAUAUGCCAAUAUAAAAUCCGUAACAACCUUCAGUAACAAGUUAAACUUUCUAGCAACAUAAAUCAUAAAACUAGUUUUGCUGCAUCAAUUAUAGUAUGAUGCAAACCGAGAGGUUGCCAAAAUUGAAUUUUCAAGUUUACUUUUGUUUAAAGGUAAAACUAGGUUUAAUUUAUCAAUUCCAAUGAACUUUAAGUAAGGAAGCAAAAAUUUCAGCAAGACAAAAAUUAAAAUCGAAUUGAAGUAAUACUAAGAUGACGAUAAACCUUCAAUAUAUGAGAUAAUAACAACCAACUGAAAAUACAUAUAAUAGUUCCAAAAGGUAAAUUCGGCUUUAUCAGACUUAAAGCUUUAGGUUUGGUUGUUUGGCAAAUAUGGUUGGUAAUGGUGGAAGACUAGAUUAAAAGGGGAUAAUAGGAUGUCAGGAGAUGAGAGAUACAAAAAGUGCACCGUUCACACGAUUGCGGGGGAUCCACGAUUGACGAGGAGGGGGGUACACCACGGGUAGAACUUCGGCAACGGGGAAGAAGAAGAUGAGGUAGUGACUCGGAAGAAGAGGAGAGGUAGGAGUAGAAGCCGAUCUUGUCACGAGGAAGAAGCGACAACAAUCAAGUUGAGGAAGAAGACGAUCUCGGCGCGAGGAAGAAGCGUCGAUGAUCUCACCGGGAAGUAGAAUACUAAGGAUAAAGAGUGAGAGUAGAAUUUUCUAUUCAUCCAAAUAUAUCUCCCUUAAGGCUUUAAGAACCAUGUAUUUAUUAUAGUGUUGAGAGCCCUCCUAUAAUAAAUUAUUGUAUUUUCGUUUUCAACAUAAUACGGUCACCCAAGAGUCAUGCAUAGAAAACGAAGCAAUUUUGAAAAUUUCAAAGGUUUUUUUUUAGGAAAUUCCAAAGGUCUUUUUGGGAUUGUUUCUUUGUUUAUUGGAGAAAAGGGUUUGAGUUAGCCAAAUCAACUAAAAUUAAAUGAUUUAAGUCCGAAUCAAACACGAACCUACAAAAUAAAAGAAAAUUGCAUUCAAAAAUAAAAUGAGGUUUAUUUGCUGCAUCAGUUCCCCUUAAGUUGGGAAAAUCUCGACUCCGUCGAGAUGGCAUCCUGAUAGCUUUUGGAUAAGUCCUCUCGAAGUUGGCGCAACUCUGCCUCAAAAAUCCAACUGCUAUUGGACAAUGGUUGUUCACGCCAACGCACCAAGUAUCAACGAUGAGUACGACGUCGCGUCGUUGACUCGCGCACACCCAGAAUAUCCUCCACACCAUCUAAUGGAGUUUCAAUGUCGGAGUGAGAUGUCAAGCCAUCAAUAUCGACAGUAGAGGGAGCCUCUCCAUGAAUCUCAUACAGCUCGCUAACAUUGAAGAUCGGGGACGUCGGUACUUCUGGGGGUAGAUCAAUUAGAUAAGCAUUUUUCCCUAACUUCUUCAGAAUUUUGAAUGGUCCGUACUUUUUCCUGUUCAGCUUGCUAUAGCCUCCAGCUAGGAACCUUUCUUUCCUAAAAUAGAUUAAGACAUUAUCUCUUUCAUUAAGGUCAUACCUCGGCGAUGUCUAUCUGCUGACUCCUUGUACUUGACAGUGGAAUCCUUCAACCUCUGAAGAACUUGUUGUUGCACCUCUUGAAUCUGUUUUAGGUAAUAGUCGGCAUCUGCACUAACUCUACCAGGGUAAGGUAUUGGUGCUCGGUCAAGAAAGUGGGCUAUAGGACGGCCAUAUAAAGCUUCAAAAGGAGAUUUUCCAAUGGUUCGGUUUAUGGAACUAUUAUAAGCAAAUUCAGCUUGAGGUAAAAUUAAAUCCCAUUGUGUUGGUUUUUCUCCAGCUAAACAUCUUAAGAGAUUGCCCAAAGAUCGAUUUACUAUUUCCGUCUGCCCGUCAGUUUGUGGAUGGUAUGGGCUGCUGAAAUUCAGUUUGCUUCCUGCCUUUGACAUUAAAGUUCUCCAAAAAUGACUAACAAAUUUUGUAUCUCGGUCAGAGGUAAUUGAUUUAGGAAUGCCAUGUAAACGUACAAUUUCGUUGAAAAAUAAUUUUGCAAUAUGUGAUGCAUCAGAAGUUUUCUUGCAAGGAAUAAAAUGAGCCAUUUUCGUAAAACGAUCAACAACCACAAAAACUGAAUCAACUUGGCGUGCAGUCUUGGAUAGGCCUAGGACAAUUUUUCAAUGACUAGUCGUAAGACUUGUGCUAUAAAUUAGAAUGUCGUCGAAGUAAACUACGACAAAUUUUUCAAUGAAUGGUCGCAAGACUUGGUUCAUAGAGUGCAUAAAAGUACUAGGGGCUUGGAUAGCCCAAACGGCAUAACCAGCCACUCGUAUAAUCCUUCUUUGGUUUUAAAUGCUGUUUUUCAUUCAUCACCAAGUCGAAUACGGAUUUGAUGAUAUCCGCUCUUAAGGUCAAUCUUAGAGAAUAUCUUCGCACCUCCUAACAUGUCAAGCAUAUCAUCAAUCCUAGGAAUGGGAAACCUAUACUUGAUGGUAAUUUUGUUAACUGUUCGACUGUCAACACAAAUGUGUUCUGUCAAUUUUAGUGUAAGGAGGCCAGGCACCGUGAUAGGGCUCGUACAUUCUCUAAUGUAACAUUUUUGCAGAAGUUCAGAGACCUGUCUAUGUAACUCUUCAUGUUCAAUAGGACUCAUCCUGUAAUGGGCUAGGUGUGGAAGACUAGCAUCGGGUACAAAAUCAAUGCAGUGUUGGAUGUCUCUCAUAAGUAGAAGGCCAUCGGGGAGUUCCUCAGGCAUGAUAUCAGAAAAUUCAUUCAGCAAUGGUUGAACAACUUGAGGAACUUCAGUGUUCUUCGAUAUUUCUUUUGCCAAAAGAAUAUAUACCACUGGAGACUUUGCUAGAUCUUUAGAGAAUUGGCUUUUGUUCAAAACCAUCAUUUUCUGUUCAUUAUUGGAGGGUUGCUUUUGGGACUCAAUUGGUUUAGAUUUUGGUUUGGGUAAGUAAUUUAGGGGAACCAAUCUAACUUUCUUGUUGUCCUUUGUGACAAUGUAAGUGUUCUCCCUACCAUCAUGUAUAGUGCUACGAUCAAAUUGCCAAGGUCUACCUAACAAUAGGUGACUCACAUCUAUGGUAACAACAUCACACCAAACUUUAUCAGCAUAAGUUUUCCCAAUAGAAAAUUCAACAAGACAUCUUUCAAUUACAGGAAACUCAUCCCCAUCCUUAAACCAAGCUAUUUUGUAAGGUUGAGCAAGUUUUUCAGUUUUCAGUUUAAGUUUUAUCAACCAUUUCUCUAGAGACAAAGUUUUCAGUACUUCCACUAUCAAUGACGAGAGAGCAAAACUUGCCUCCCGCGCUACAGAUGGUUCUGAAAAGGCUACGACGCUUCCAAUCAUCUUGGGUGGACUUAGAGGCUAAUAGGACUCGAUGGAUCAUGAGAUUUGUUUCAAUAGCAUCAGGAGAUUCUUCGGAAAUCUCAUCUUCAUCUUCUUGUUCUAAAGUUUCUUCCCCUUUUUCAUUUUCUUCAUGACUUUCUAUUAGAUUGGCUCUAGAAUCAAAUUUUCUCAGAGGGCAAUCAGAGGAUUUAUGUCUUACAUUUAUAACAAAUGAUGCCAGAUUCAACGGGUUUUGCACCUAAAAUUCCUUUGCCCUUAAGGUCUUGAACAGGUCUUGAAGAGGUUUGAUUAUCGUUCUUUGGGAUAGGCUUAGUUCCUAUGGUGUUCUUUACGCUCGCACUUCCCUAGCGAAAGGUUUGUUUUUUAAGUUUAUUCUCAGCCUUAAGUGCAUGACUAUAAGCCAUGUCGACCCUGUAGAAAGUUAAAAGGGCUAACUCAUCUUGGAUUUGAGCUCGAAGACCGGCUAGAUAGCGAGCUAUUAACUGUUCUUCGUCCUCUUUAAGUUCAUUACGAGCUUGAAGGGUGUAAAAUUCUUCAGUAUAUUCUUGUACUGAUUUAGACCCUUAUUUAAGAUUGUGUAAUUUUUGAAAAAUAGUUUGACGAUAAUCAAUCGGUAAGAAUUUUCCUUUUAAGUUUUUUUUUCAUUCUUUCCCACGAGGUAAUCUUUUCUUUACCCUUUCCCUAUCGUUUUGAACUUGUUUCCACCACACUAAGGCAUAUCCUUUCAAUUUAAGGGAGACAAGUUUAACUUUUUUGUCAUCAGGUAAUUCUUUCCAUUCAAAAAAUUGUUCUAUUUUGUCUAUCCAAUCCACAAAAUCUUCAGGUUGUAAUUUACCCUCGAACUCACUCACGUCCACUUUAAUGCCCUGAUCCCAUCGAUGUAUAUUUUCUUGAGUUUGAAAAAGAGGAUUUCUUCUAGCAGGUAAAGUACGAUUGUCAAAAUCAGGAUCACUUUCCGAAUCUUCUUUAACUGCAUUUUGUUGUUGCAUAGUUAAUCUUUCCAAUAGUUGUUGAAUGUUAUUCAUUUGAUUUUGCAUGCUUUUCAUGGAAUCUGGUUGUUUCUCAUAUGCUUCUCUCCAAUCACGAGAAUUUUCACGAUUGUCUGCCAUUACCAAAUGCUUGCAAGUUGAUCAAAAAGUGAUGCUCUCUUUUUUUUUUUUUUCUUUUUUUUUUUUGAAAUAUUUUGGCCCAAAGUUGAAUACCAGGAAAAAGUUGUUUAGAUCAAAACAAACGCUUCCACGAAAAGAACUUGCUCUGAUACCAAUUGAUGCAAACCAAGAGGUUGCCAAAAUUGAAUUUUUAAGUUUGCUUUUGUUUAAAAGUAAAACUAGGUUCAAUUUAUUAAUUCCGAUGAACUUUAAGCAAGGAAGCAAAUAUUUCAGCAAGACAAGUUAAAAUCGAAUUGAAGUAAUACUAAGAUGAUGAUAAACCUUCAAUAUAUGAGAUAAUAACAACCAACUGAAAAUACAUAUAAUAGUUUCAAAAGAUAAAUUUGGCUUUAUCGGACUUAAAGCUUUAGGUUUGAUUGUUUAGCAAAUAUGAUUGGUAAUGGUGGAAGGCUAGAUUAAAAGGGGAUAAUAGGAUGUUAGGAGAUGAGAGAUACAAAAAGUGCAUCGUUCACAUGAUUGCGGGGAAUCCACGAUCGACGAGGAGGGCGGUACACCACGGGUAGAACUUCGGCAACGGGGAAGAAGAAGAUGAGAUAGUGACUUGGAAGAAGAGGAGGGGUAGGAGUAGAAGCCGAUCUUGUCACGAGGAAGAAGCGACAACGAUCAAGUUGAGGAAGAAGACGAUCUCGGCGCGAGGAAGAAGCGUCGAUGAUCUCACCGGGAAGUAGAACACCAAGGAUAAAGAGUGAGAGUAAAAUUUUCUAUUCAUCCAAAUAUAUCUCCCUUAAGGCUUUAAGAACCAUGUAUUUAUAGUGUUGAGAGCCCUCCUAUAAUAAAUUAUUGUAUUUUUGUUUUCAACAUAACACGGUCACCCAAGAGUCAUGCAUAGAAAACGAAGUAAUUCUGAGAAUUUUAAAGGUCUUUUUUCAGGGAAUUCCAAAGGUCCUUUUGGGAUUGUUUCUUUGUUUAUUGGAGAAAAGGGUUUAGGUUAGCCAAAUCAACUAAAACUAAAUGAUUUAAGUCUGAAUCAAACACGAACCUACAAAAUAAAAGAAAAUUACAUUAAAAAAUAAAAUCAAACACGAACCUACAAAAUAAAAGAAAAUUACAUUCAAAAAUAAAAUGGGGUUUAUUUGCUGCAUCAUAGUAGUUUAAUAAACCACGAGGAGUGGUGAUUGCUUCCCUAUCGUAUGUUGUCCCUCUUUUUAUUGUAGUUAGCUGAUUAUUUGAUAAACAUGUGUGUUAGAGGUAUUGGCAAGUAUUUGGAGUUACUGUUCUACAGUGUUGAAUAAGACAAGUUUUCUGCUCUAAACCAAGGUCCACACACACAAAAAACAACAGCCCAUAGGCAGCAGUAUUGAUUAUUGAAUGUCUGUAACGAACUUUGUUCCGUGUAAACAGCUUCUUCCAACACCCUUUGGAUCAUGUUUUCAUGCUGAACUCUUGGCAAGCAGCUAACAGUAGUUGCAGUCGAUAGUACUUCAGUUAAAUAUCAUGAUAGAUGAUUUUAACUAACAUAAAAUCUUCUCAUAGAAUCAUUUGAUCUUGUGUCAAAUCUGAUAUAUGGUCAUUGGCAGAUCUGAAAAGCAUGGUUUCGGUGGGAUUGACGACAUUGGCUUCCUCCUCUUAUGAUCUUUCCGAAGCAGUUCUAGGAAAAAGGAGUCUGAAAGUGCUAUGUAUCGGUCAUGGUGGUGGCAGCCUACCAUUAUUUUUGGCCAGUAAAAUAAGCGGUGAGUACUCAUCCUUUCCAUUAAGUUUUAUUAGGAUUCAAUUUAAAUUGUGUGAUGACCUUUAUAUUUCCUUCUUGCUCCCACAUUGUGCAUAACUAAAGAUUCCUGAGUCGACUGAGAUUUAUUUGCUGCGUUAUUCUGGUGCAUCUCAUUACUUUCAAGUACACAGAAGAAAGUUACUGAGGUUAUUUCACUACAUACUGCAAACAUCAUGGGUUCAUCUUAUUGCAGAGUGGAAAAGUAAAAAGGAAUUCUCAAAGUAAUAUGCUUAUGCCACUCAUUUUGAUGUGUUGGAUGUUGUUUAUCCAAACAAACAGAAAUUUAGAAAUACCUCUUUUUUUUUUCUCUCUCUUUCUCUCUCUUAACAUCACUACUCGACCUUUCUGUUUAAAAAGCAAAAGGCCAAUUACAAAUUUCUUCUAUCAUUCACUCAAAUUUUAACAUUUUUUACUCAGAUUUCAAUUUCAUCCUUGAAGUUUAAAUUGUAACAAUUAUUAAAUUUGAAUGCCAUUCUUAGUGUUUCAGUUUGCUUGAUGAAGUAUGAUCUCUGUUUUAAUUUUGUCCCUAAGUUUUGACCUUAAUCUCAAUUUCGUGCCCCAAGUCUUGAUUUUAAAAAAGGAAUGUCUGACGAUACUGAUGUGCUACUUCUUCAGAUGGACUGCCGGAAGGACUUAUCUAAUGCAGAACAAACUAGAUUUUCACAAUUGUCACAAUUGAAAUGACAAGGUUAAAAUUGAAAUCAAGGUCAAACUUUGGGGGCAAAAUUUGUAAUCAGCCCUUUAAAUAUCAAUACCUGACACGUCUUGAUGUCUUUACAGGAGCCACCGUCCAUGUUGUGGAUAUCGAUCCUGUCGUCAUCUCAGCCUCUAUCCAAGCGAUGGGCUUUCCUUCCUCUACAGUAAAAGGGAAAUCUGGUUGCUCUUUCACACGACCUCCUGAUAUUGACAAACUUUUAUGGGAAGGCAUCCAUGACCGUCUCUUCCUCUAUAGAUGUGAUGCUGAAGAUUUCAUAAUUGAAAACCGUAAUGUUUACGACCUGGUCUUCAUCGACGCAUAUGAUGGGGACGACAUUUUUCCUUACAAGCUUUGGGAUUCUGAUAGUCUUUUCCUCAAACACUUAAAACAUAGAAUUCAUCCAUUGCAUGGUACAGUUGUGGUAAAUCUCCACUCUGACUCGGACUUGUUAACCAUCGAUACAAGAAAUAAUUCUCCUUUCGAAAGCAUUUUACCUAUGGGGAAGUAUGUAUCAAGAAUCUGCAGGGCUUAUAAGCAUCAAUUUGGGUUGGCAUUCGCUGUUUCGGUUCCUUGGCUUUGCAAUGUAACUCUAGUUGCAUGCCGUAGUGAACUGUUUGGUAGUGGAUUACAAGGGCCUCUUGCUAAUAGAAAUUUGGUUUUGAGUACAUUGAUAUCAAAAUCAUAUUUGGUUGAAUCUGCGAUCUGUUUGCCAUUUCCUUGUUUGGAGUACAUUAAGAGAGGCUUUUUAUUGAUUGAGUGAACAGUUGAGAUGUAUGUAACUCUAUAGGGUUCUAGUUUUAUAGAGAUCCUUUUCAAGACAGUUUCUUUUCUCAAAUUUUGAUUAAUAUUUUCUUGGCAGAUUUUGACUUUUCAAUGCCUAAUGUUGUAGGCUAUUCAUGUGGAAUCUGUAUGCAUUUUGGUGGAAUUCUUCUUGUCAGAAUCUGCACCUGUUAUUCAGCAUGGCAGAUGGUUUGAACUUGAUCUAUACUUUCUUUUCUCCAAAAUUUAGACCCUGGAGAUGAUUCUUUGUAUGUGAGAUGAUUAGCUUUUAAGUGGAACAAUAGGUCAACUAUCAGACGAGAAAUUGCAUCCAGUUCAUUCAUGUAUAUCGUGCAUACUUCAGCCUGUCAUCCGUCUGUUUAAUAUCAUACUCAAAUCUCCAUCGGCUAUUGAUCGGCAGUUUUAUCUGUAGAAUACAUUUCUAAAAGCACUAGCAUUGCGCAUUCACACAUCAGCACUCUGUAAUUUUGUUUGUAAUUUUAUUUCUAUUAGGUCACACAUCACACUUCAGCCUGUCACUAGCAUUGCGCAUUCACACAUCAGCACUCUGUACUUUACUCUUUACAAUGGAAAUGACCUAAUCACUUCGGUGAAGCACAAUCCACUUCACACGCUUCUGAUUGCUUGUAGACACUUGCAAUCGGACUCCCGCGGCCAACGUCGCCCUGUUCGGCUCGUUACUCGAAAUUGAUCACCGAAUGCUCGUCGAUUUUCAAAUUAAAGUUGUCUGGGGCUCUCCUCUAACCUGGAGUCGAAAGCGCUCCGAGCCACCAAGCGCCCGAGAGCUUGAUUCUCCACUCCUCCGAGCUUUCCGAACUCGAUCUCCUCCAAAAAUACCACCUUGGAGAUGGAUCUAGAGAGAGAGAAAGAGGAGAGAAAGGGGAGGGUUUUCCCCUUCUUCUUUCCCUGUGCGUGAGGGAGGAACGAGAGAGAGAGAGAGAGAGAGAGAGAGAGAGAGAGAGAGUUGGGUGGUCACCCUUAUAAAGGGGAGCCACAACAAUUGCACAAAAACCCCUGUACUAGACAAUUUUCGGGCGUAGGGUCCGGACAUUGACUCUGGGGUCCGGAACCCAUAGCCUGUUUUUCGCGCAGUGCAGUCAACGUCUAGACCUUGGGUUUAGGGUCUGGAACCCGAAAGUCCAAAGCUUAAAAAUGCAAUUUUCAAAAAUUCUCUUUUUUGCUCCUUGAGCUUCUAAUCCACUUCUAAUCAAUCGAAAACCCUCAAAUCUCAUUUUUGAGCAUGUUUAAUUUACUUAUCAAUUGUAUCUUGUCCAAUUGGCCCAAGUUUAGUAUAGUGCUUCAAAACUCGACCUGACACGGCCUCGGGCCAGGCUACAGCACGACACAGGUGUUGAAGCAUCCGUGCAGGCUCGACCGGGCCCGGCCCGAGCUUUCGGGUCAUGUUAGGCCUCUUCCCAAGGGCCCGAUGGCUCGGACGGUGUUAGUAGUAUGCCCUAAUAGCUAAUCGACUGAUACACAUUAUACUAGUGGUUGUAUGAUUGUACUGGACAUUUAUUUAAUAUAUAUAGAUAUAUUGAGUUGUUUUUAUUCCAUUCAUGUUAUUGUGUGUUCGUGAAUUGUCCAAGAAUUAACAAGAUAAUGGCAUGUAUUCUCAAAAGUUGAGAAUACAUGCCAUAUGUCAUUGAUGGUUAAUUCCUAAAGGCUCCCAAUCGAUGGAUCACCACAGGGACGGUGGUACAUCCACUGAGAUUGGUGCACUAGAAGCGUCCUUCUGGCAGACGAGUCUCAAGUCUACAGUGCAGAGACACUAGAGCUAAAGUGCAGGUGAUUGUUAAGAACAAGGGUACCGAGCGUGACCAAUACGAGAAGUCACAUGGUAAUCUACUUACUCGUCAAUGACAUUCUUGAUGCUGCAGUGAUGUGUUUGAUCCUUUAACUUGCAACAUCUCAGCUACUCACUGAUAUGGUUGUCGUAGUUUGACUGCAUAAUAUCUUCGAGAUUAGUCAUCAUUUUCUAGUAGUGCAUGUUGGCUAUGACAGGUCUACAGUAGGAGUGGGAGAGUGUUCAAAAGAAUCUGUUGUCCUUAGUAGAAAGGUUAAUGUCCUAUAUAAUUUAUGAGACUUAGUUCAAGAGAUCUCUGGCUAGAGUAAAAAUGGUAUAUCGGAAAGGAGUUUUCGGGAAUACCAUAUGUAACAUAUCGAACUUCUAUAGUUAUGAAGUUUCGGUGUAUGUUAGUUUGGAAAGCCAUUGGAGUAGUUCCGGUGAAGUUCGGGAACGUUCGAGUGUUUUCAGUACGCGUUGGGUGCGAAAACGGAACUCGAAUAGAUAUGAUUGGACUUUGCCCGAAAUCCGGCAAAGCGUGGAUGAAAAGAUGGUCUAAAUGCGCUCGAAAACGUGUUUUGGGGGUCUCGGUACGAUUAGAGAUGGAUCGGAGACCCGAGAAGCGAAAACGAGCGAAAACGGACCAAAAUUGGCAAAAGGCUGAAAUGCUGAUUUUCUGGGCUGGGGGAACCUACGGGGUCCGGACCCUCUAGCCAAGGUCUGGACCCCGAGAGCGCGGGUUGCCUAGGUAGAGUGGCAUUUUGGUAAAUAUUGAGGUGGGGCUUUAUAUGAAAGGGGACCUCUUCCCUUUCUUCUUCUUCCUCAGCCAAAAAGCCCCCCCACACACAUAGAGGUAGAGAGAGAAGCUCCUCUCUCUCUCUCUCUAGAUUGCUCCUUUCCCUCUCUAGAUUUCUCUCCCAAACUUUGGAUUUUGGUGGAGAAAGAGCUUGGGAACGCGUUGGGAGCGAUGGAUCGAGUCCUCGUGCGCCCAGUGGAGCGGCGUGCUUUCGACUCCGCGUUCGCAUUUUGGUAAGAGUUACCGGUAUGCGGGCUCGCGUCACCCGUACGUCGCUCUGCAGAGGCCAAACCCGUGAGUUGCUGUUCUCGGGUUGCUGCGGGGUACCAGUACUAAUCAGGGCCGUCAUCGGUAUGCAGACCCUAGUGACCAAACCCGAGAGCAAGCUUCUCGGUUUGCCUGCCUGGUGCUAGUACCUCUUUCUCAGUACUGGUACAUAGUGCCCAGACUGCAGUUUUGGCAGUGCUUACGCCGAGCAAUGCUAAAACCUAUUAAUCGCAUUCGGAACUCAAUUUUAACCCCUCCAACACUGUUGGAGUGUCGCAUGGACUUUGUCCAACCAUCUCUCUCGCCACACUUUGGUCAAUUUGACUAAAGUUCGAUAUAACCUACCGAGAUUUCGGUAUAUUACAACUACGUUGGAGUUUCCCCAGAGGACGGUCCCGUCGGGUUGUAGGAGUUUCUCCCCGAUAGUAGGGAUUUGAGUUGGUGAGUUUUGAGGCGAAACCUACGAGUUAGCUGAGAGGAUUGGGUACUGAUAGUGGCAAUUGCCAUGCACCAUGAGCAAUAUCUAUGUUGGUUUUACUCGCCCGGUGUGCGACUUAUAGUCGAGUAGGACCUAUAGUCGAGUGGAUAUGUGCGACUUGCGGUCCGAGUGUGCAGGUAUUUUCCUCGCCCGACGGUAGACCUAUAGUCGAGAGGAUUUAAGGCUGAGGUGCAUGUGAGACGUCCCUCACCUCGAGCCUGACAGAGCACGGAUUAUCCGCGGUUGAUUGACUCAAGACCGAGUCGAGUGGCAUAGUUAACUAAGGUAAAAGUAACCUUAGAAAAGAAUAAAGAACGGCUAAGAAUAUAGAAUAGCAAAUAGUAAAGAAUGGCAAGGAGUAAAGAACGGCUAAGAAUAAAGAAUAGCAAAUAGUAAAGAAUGGCAAGUGAUAGAGAAUAGAAUCAGUUAAUCUACUUACAUGAGUUGCAUGAUUUGCAUAGUUGCAUUUGUGAGGCAUACGCAUGUAUUUGAUACUUGCAUAAAUAUCUGUGGAUAUAUGUUGGACUAACAUGUUUGUAGUGCCUCCUUUGGACCUGGUGGGUCGAGCUUUUCCCUUGGGUGGCCGUACCCACUGGGAACUAUGAGUAUAGUUCUCAUCCCACGUUGUUUCGGGGCUUUCAGGUUCACACGCGAGUGGCGCGGCGGCGCGAGGAAAGGGCGUAGCUCCGUAGAUAGUGCCCUACCACUGAGACUAGAGAUAGCAGUACCCUGAGUCGGCUUAACUUAGGGACAAAAGAAAAGAAUGUAAUAAAGUGUAAAUGUGGAUUGUAUUUGGAAGUCAAAAGUAUAAAAUGGAUGUAAAUUGAGACGAACGCAUGUAAUAGCAUAGUUGUGCUUUAUGUUUUGAUAUCUUCCUUAUACAAUCAUGUAUGAAAUCUGUUCCUAGUUGGAACCUCAUGAUUUGUACUGUUGCGACCCUUGGACGUACAGGGAAAACUCUGUCCGCGGUACAAGGAAAACCCUGACCGUUCGGCGGUCUGUUGGCGUGCUCGAAUUCGACCAAAAAGGCGGGUCCUGGGGCGUGACACCAUAUGAACUAAGGUCAAAUGAAUUUUAUAUAUAACCGAUGAUGGGAUUUGAUGAGCUACCAUAAUCUCCACUGUGUUGGGACUUACAGCAGAAGAAUUGUAUCACAUGCUAACUGCACCUAGAGGUUCUGAUAUUUGGUUCUUUUGGAUUGCCACUAUAUGCUGCUAGGUGUCACUAGUGGAUUGUGAGAGUCUAUAGAAUAAGGAGCGAUUGGUUACUCUCAAGAGGUUUAGAGUCAGAAUGCUUCUGAUCCAUCGGAAGGAGUUUUGAUGAUGAUUAAUAGAGAUUAAAUCAUAAUCUUACUACCAGUCAGAAUUGAACCUAUGGGGUCACACGCAUUGGUGUCGUGUGCUAUUUAAGUGUGUGGAUAAGAUAGAAGUGUUCUAUUUAAUUACUGAGAAUAUUGUAUGGUUCAUAGUGUGACUAUAGAACUAUUUUAUAGUUAUGUAAAAUUACAAAGACUAAGAUGCAAAAGCUUCAUUAUGAGUUUAUGGAUUAUUGUAAACGUUAUAAUGAAUCUAACGGAUAAAUUCUUAUUCAAAUCAGAGAUCAUUGUAUUUGUAGCAGAUAUAUUAUGAUAUAUAUUAUGAUAUUUUUAUUAAUCCUAAUUGGAUUAGGAGAAUCUAAUUAAUAUAUCAUAAUUGGUCUAAAAUUGGAAAUCUUAAUCAAACUAGAUUUGAUUUAGAUAUUCUUAUAUCAUAAUAGGAUUAUGAUAAAGAGUUUAGAGUUAUAUAUCAUACUUGGUCUAAAAAUUAGAAAUCUUAAUCAAAUUAGAUUGGCCAAUUUGCAUAAAAAAUCCACUAGUUUUGGGCUUUUGCAAAACUGGGCCACCUUUUUCGUUUUUGCAGAUUCAGUCCGAUUUUUCAACCGCCUGACCAAAAUGCCCCUCGUAUACAAAAGCCUCCCGCGUAUUCCUUGACAUACUUAUACGCUGCCAUACGGUCCUGGCGGGCAUUAAAUGCGGCCCCAUGCGCUUUACGCAACCUCGCUCUUUUUCAGAACCCGGACCACAUCCGCCCUGCUAUUCGCCGGCCCCGUGUUUGGUGUUCGGCUUUAGGACUUUAAUAAAAUUUCAGAAGCUAAAUGACAAGGACUGCACGCCCCGCAAUAGGGAUAAUAGUGCAAUGCGAAGGAGCAACGCCUGGAGAAAUGGUGCAACAACCGUUCUAACAGUGCAUCCUAGGCUCGCUCCAGUGCAAUCUCCACCAAAGCAGAUCAGCGACGCUCGCCUUCAAUCUGCUUCCUCGCCAGGGCAACCUCCCACUUUCGAAACCGUAAAAAGCAUAGGGGAGUUAGUGGAAUAAGCUGUGAUACUCUAAACUUGGGCGAAUUAUGAAGUUCGAGGGUUGGAAUGGUAAUUGGAACUCUUCUACAACUUUUGAAGGGUUGUCGGGAGGUUACAGCAAAGGACUGGACUAAGCAAACAACUGGAAAUGGAAAAGUGCUUUGCAAAUGCACUAAUCGAAUGUAGUGCUUUGAAUUUGGCUAAUUAUGAAGUUUGAUGAGAGGGAAUGGUAAUGGGAACUAGCCUACAUCUUUUAAAGAGUAUUAAAAAGAUUUUUGACAAGUUAAAGGAGUGAUCGAACCGUUAAAAGAUCGAAAGUGCAUUGAAAAUUCGAAAUGGCAGAAAUUUGUAUAGUGUACCGGUACAGCCAUCAUUGUGUACUGGUACACAGCACCGCAGUAGCUGCGGGCUGAGGCUAUUUUGGUCUUUUCACUUUCUAAAUCCAUCCUUAUCAACUCUGGUCGACCCCUAGGCUUGUUCUUACCUUUCUGGAGCUGAGGAUAAGGUAAGGGAUACCUUCUCUCUUUCUCUCUCUAGGUCCUCAAUUUGGAGAGGAAAAACUAGUGGAUUUGAGUUGGUUUUUCUCCCUCUCUUGCUACAAGUUGGUUUGGAAACUUGGGGGAUGGCUUUUGAAGCUUGGAAAUUGAUGUUUGACUAUGUUCUUUCACCUUAACUCAGUAGGAACUGAGUUGAAAUUCUGUGAGGUAAGUAAGGCAACUUCUCUCUAGAUUGAAGCUUGAGUCAUGAAGUUUAAAGUUGUUUUACUUAUUUGCUGCCAACUGAUUUUGGACAGCUUGUGAAAGCGGAAGCAAAAGUAUUUUGGGCCAUGAUUCUUCGAUCUUUACUCAGUUAAAACUGAGUCGGAGCUGAACAAGGUAAAUUCACAACUAUACUUACUAGUUUCGAGAUAAUAGCAAUGGUAAUGAUGGAGUUAUGUGUAAUGAUUCCGAGCAGGUGGUAAAAGUACUUUGAAUGGAAUAUAGUGACCUUUAGAACUGGUUUUGCUGCGAGUUAUCAAUUCGAAACCAGGGGAAAAAGGCUCGAUUGAAGCUAUUGGGAGGUAUAUCACUUAUGAGCUUGUUAAUUAGAUAUAAUAGUUAUAGUUUUGAUGCAAUUCGGAUACAUGAUUUUAGCGGAUUUGUGGCAGGAAAUCAGAUUCAGUUGAGCUGAAUUGGUGACUAGUAUGAGCUAAUUUGGAAUACUUUAACUUGCUUGGAAGUGAAGAUUUAGUUUUGGUCUAAACCUAGGUGAGACUCUGGUUUAUAUUAUGUAAUUUGUAUGUAUAUUAGUGCUGUUUUGAUACUAAUUCGCAGUAGAUUUUCUGAUCUGGCUCAGCUGAGUUUGGAGAGCUUUCUAUCUAAGGUUGGAUUUGGAGUUCCAACCUGAGAUGAAGUCAGGAAUUAAGCCUUAACUCUAUAUUAGGUAAGAAUUUACCUAAAUGAGGUGACUAUACGAGUUUGAUGUAGAGUUAUGAGUUAUAUGCCUAGCUGACUUUAGAAUACUUGCUAGGGUACUUGGAGGCUUCGGAUACUUUCGCUCGCUAAAUCAACGAGAGUUGUCAACAUAUUGGUGGAUUGGACCUUCCCGAAAUAGGUGAAUUCCCUCUAUGUCUGCUUUGAUAUUAUGAGUUAAACUUAUUGCAUAGCCUCAUGGGUAAAAGAGAACUUCUAUAUAGUAGAGGUAAAGUACGAAUGUGCUUUGCAUCUAGAGAUUAUUUGCUAGUCGGGAAUGUAUUACAUGACAUUAAGAUAUUUGUGUAAACAAGCUUAAUAAGUCAUGAAAAUGGUACUUAGUUUAAUGUAUAACUAAAUGGAUAGUAUAUGAUAGGUUUUAACCUCCAAGUUAUAUUAUGCUAUUCCAUAUUGUCAACAUAAUAUCUGAACCCAGAGCAUAUCAGACAGAAUGAAAUGAAUUGAGUAUACUUUGGUAAUGUAAAAUAACUGGAAUACAUAUGUCAUACAGAUGCUUUCCACCUUUAAAGAAUAGAACUUGGUUAACUGCAUAUGUUAUGUUUGAUCUUGUUGGGUAACUAGAAUGUGGUAUUGUGAUAUAACCUGCAUGUUAUUCUACUGAAGGUAAUCUCGUAAAUAUCUAGAGUUGGACAUCAGACCAUCUCUGUACAAUGCAAUAGGGGAAUUACAUAUGACUUGGUUCCUCCAAGUAGGAGAGGAUUAUAUGGAACUAUGGGUGCGUUUGGUUCGCGCUAUCUUUUUAAGAUUCCUAGUAAUCCAAUAGGAAUAAAAAAAUAUGAUGGUGUUUGGCUAAACGCACUAAGUAAUCUAAUUGGUAAUAUUAGAUUUACUUGGGAAUGAGAUUCAUCCCAAAGUACUAAUCUCAUUUCCUUGAGGGAGGGUAGGUAUCCUCAUAUUAAUGGAUUGGAGUAAUUAUAAUAUGUCUAAUCUCUUUCUUUCUCUCUACCCGCCGCCUGCUAGUUGGUAUUAUUUUUCUUUACACUCUAACCUUAUAUCUCUCUCUAAACUUUUUUUUUGCUCUCUAAACUUCAACUAUUUUUCUCUCUCUAAACUAAGCUCUCUUUCCCCCUAUUUUUUUAAAAUCUCAACUUUCUCACUCCCUCUAAUCUCGACUCUAUUUCUCUUCCUAUUUCUUUAAUUAUGCUCCUCUCUCUCUAACCUAUGUUCUUUCUCUCCCUUUUUCUAAAAAGAUGUUGAAAUUUUUGGCGGCAUUAUCUAAAAUUAAUUAAAGAAAUAAAUAAAUUAAUUGUAUAUUUUUUUGUAAACUUAAAUAACAUGACUAAAUAAUAUAACCGUGUGAACCAAACACAGGAAUGGCACAUUCUUAGUAAUAGGAUGAAUAAGAAUAAGAUUCUCAGACAUCUUUUUAUUGCUAGUAAUCUUUCAUAGUGCAAACCAAACGCACCCUAUAGGAUAUGUGCUAUGAGUCAUUAGAGAUGACCUUAGAAAUCACUUUCCUUGUAUAUAGGGAAUAGUGUGAGGAUUUUAAAUGUGUAAUUGUGGGUAUAGCCCAUUAUGAUGUUAAAUUAUCAUUGUUCAAGUUAUACUAACUGUUGGUCAAAGUAUGUCAACAAGUAGUUGAUAGUGACUUAUGAUUUGGGUACUACAAUGUCGACGUUAUAUCGAAUUGAGAUUCCAUGUCAGAGACAUGAUGAAGUGGUGAUACCUAUACUGUGGAUUAUAGCUUACAUGCCAUUGUGCUCUUUCGCACACGCUUAUGGGGGGUCGCGCUCCCAAGCCAGCGCUCCGGAGUGGCUUAGCAACAGAUUGCUCGCUUAUGUAUGAAGUGAGCGCCAAAAUGGAUUACCGUGGGUAGUGUUAACUUCCACGGGGCCAUUAGGCGCGGCACAUGCCAGACAGCUUUCGGGUGGGUCUUCAUACUAGACAACCUUCGGGUGGGUCUUCAUGCCAGACAGCCUUCGGAAAGAUUUAAACAUCGAGUAGGUAAAUUACAAGUGAACUUAUUGAUGAACAAGCUAGAAAGUUGACAUCUUGACGUUAGUGACAAUGUGUUACACUUUUACUGGUGUAGGAAGUAAUUCCAUGAUAUCAUCAGUUAUUUCAGCUUAAAUGAAUUAUCUUACAUACAUUGGGCAUAUGGCUAGUUAAAUUGUCACUAACAUGAAUGAUAGAACUUAUCAUGAUAAACGAGUACCUACAACCUGUGGAUUGGUGCAUUUAUAUAUUUACUUUGAGUAAAUAGCAUGAUUGAAUUGUUUCAAUACCUGUUGCAUUUACUUGCUUAUUUACUACUGUUUACUCUUGCCACAGUUGACCUAGUGGUGUACUUCGCCACUCCCGGCGGCUUACCCACUGGGAACUAUUGUUUAAUAGUUCUCACGCCCUCUUUGUUGUUGUUUUUACAGAGCCUUCCACAGCGGGAAAGGCUAGGGUUCCUGGCGAGGGGUCAGCGGCUAGCUAGAGCCUUCUGGACGAUUACUAAACAACCUUUAUUGGUUUAUGUAGUUUAGUUCAGUGAUGUAUAAUAUGAUCAUGUAAAUUGUACUUUGUUCUUAUCUGUUGUAAUAAGGUUUUGGGUUGUAUAAGUUAAACUUUUAGGCUUUGCUCUGAUUACCUGGUUAGAAUCGAAUGCUUUUACUAUGUUGAUUGUAGACGCCUGGUGUAUACUUGAGUUGUGGUGUACAUGGCGGGUCUGUGCACGCGACUGGUGAGCUUCCGCUGAAAUCCAGGGCAUGACAUAAGCUCCGCAGAGGGACAUAGCUUAAGGGUCUGUGUAGCAUACUGGACCUUUGCAAAUUGCGAGGUUCGAGUGUUUGAUAUGGAUUCCGAACUUUUCCAUACUUGGUGGAAGGUCGUAGAUGGUAUUCCGACCUAAAAGUUCGAUUCCUGAAGUUUUGGCUUUGUCCUGAGAGUUUUCACUCUCGGGGACCGGUCCGUGAUAGGAGAGAGCGGUCCCCUCAGAACAAUGUUGCGGCAGCCUGCGAGGCAACCGGUCCCUGGCGGGUGAGACCGGUCCCCGAGCGCGACUACGCAGGGAGAGACCGGUCCCAUGCGGGGAGAGACCAGUUCCCGAACGUUUGAUUUUCGGGGCAGGCUAAGAGACCGGUCCCAGGUCGGGGAGACCGGUCCCUCAGUUCGAAAAUUGCCCAGACCCGGGCAGUGCACAGGUUGGAUAUUUGAGGGACUUAAGUGGAUUUUGUUUCUUCAAAGGGCCUUAGGGCCAUUUCCUCUCCCUCUCACCCUCAUUUCUCUCCCUCACAUUCUCUCUACACUCUCUAGAAAGAGAAGAAGAAGGAGAAGAAGAAGAAGGAGUUGAAGGAGAGCAAGCUUGGAAGCCUUGGAGCAUCUUCCUCUCCCCCAUUUCUCACCUUUGGAGGCUUAGAGCUUGUAGUUGGAGCUUUGAGGAGGAUCAAACUUCAACCCUACUUAGUUUUGAGCUUGGUUUGGAGCAUCCUAGAGGUAAGUGGCUAGUUUUCUUCCUCUAGAUCCUAGUUUUGAAGCUUUAAACUAGAUGGAACCCUAGUUUUGAGAUUUAGGGUUUAAUUUGGGGGUUUUGGAUUUGAGGGCUUUGAAACCUAAUUGAUGGGUUUAGAACCUUUAUUUAGGUUAGAUUUGAAGAACUCUAACUCCCAUUUGGAGCUUGAAAGAGGAUUUCUUCGCCUAGGUGAGUUUUUCUCCACCUUAGCCUAUGUUGCUUAUUGAUCGAUCACUUGGGUGUUCGUAAGGUUCGUUUAACUCUUUUUUCUAUACCUUUAGGGUACUAGGAGAGUGGUGGACACCUUCGUCGGAGCUUACGAAGGGUCUCGGUAACUUCGGUGGGUUUGACUUCAUGUAAACGAGGCAAAAUGGCCCCUAUGCUUUCUAUACUUGUCGUAAUGUCCUUUUGAAUGCAAAUCCAUGCUAGAUAGGAUUUAUGUGAAUUUUAGAACACUUAAAAUGCAUGCCUCAUGUAUCAUGAAAAUUUCACUCUAUAUAAUAGGGCCUUCUGGGCAUUUUGCAUAUAUAUGAGAAGUGUUCGUAUUAGCGACUUGGAAACAUGUCUCUUAUGUUAGAAUUUGCUCAAAUUAUGCAUUUGUAAACAAUAAACUCAUGUUUGGACUUAGUGGACAAAAAUGCCAUAAAGAGGCACUUGACAUAGUAAACUGUGAAACUGCAACAUAGAGACAUAGUGAUAGGCCAUUGAACAUCUGCUAUAUUCCAUGUUAGAGACAUGAUGACAUAGAGAUAGGCCUUUGAGACAUUCGACGUAUAUUCCAUAUUUUUAGACAUGAGGACUUGGUACUUGAGACAGAUCUUUCGCUUGCUUGCCAUUGUGCUCAUUCGCACAUGCUUGUAAGGGUCGCUCCUACAAGCAGGCACUCCGAAGAUAGCCAUCGUGACAUAUGCUCGCUCGUGUGGGAUUGGGCGCCGAAAUGGGAUGCCGUGGGGGAGGCUCAUUCCUAGAGUGGGGAUGUUGACUACCACGGGGCCAUUAGGCACGGCGCAGGCCGGACUACCCACGGGUAGGUCCUACAGGAUUGGAUCAUUGAUGACUUAGCAUACCGACUGGACAUUGACUAGAAUAGUAAACAAGACAUUUUACUAUUUAGCUUGUGGACAUCAUGCUAGUGAUAUCUUGGUACAUUCAUGUUAAGAAUAGUCUUUUAUUACUUAUGCAACUUCAUGCUAAAUAGAGAUAUCAUGUUGUAGUAAGUUUACACGUUUACUUACAUAUCGAUUCUGUUCCUUUUAUUGUUACUUACCUGUUUAGCUCUUUUGGGCCUAGUGGUGCUUUCACUGAAGUCAAUAAUUGCCCACUGGGAACUAUUAUUUAAUAGUUUUCACGCCCAUGUUUCUAUGUUUCCUUUUCAGAGCCCUCUGUACCGGCGGAGGCACGGGAUCGCGGCAAGGGGAUCGCUAGCUAGAUAGCGAGGAUUUAUUGUUGCUUAGGUGGUUUUCUCUCUUUUUGUUGUUGUUGAGAGAGAGUGAGGUUUUGUAUCCAUGUAUAGAGACCACCUAUGUAUUUACUUAUAGCACUUGUUUCGGGAUUCUUCUUGUACUACUUUAUGUUUUCAUCUAGUUGAUUUUAGUUUUAUGGUUCUUUUUCUCUACUGUAGCAUCUAGAUAUAUUUGCUCUGAUACUCUUAGAUGUUCUCUUUUUACUGCUUCAUUUAUCGUUUUGUUUUAGACACCUUAUAUGUUUUAGACAUAUGGCGGGUCUGAACACGCGCCGGGCGGGCUUCCGCUUGGUCCCGGGGCAUGACAGUCUGGAACUGGAGGAGGGAGGAAGUGGUUCCACGGCGGCGGGGCAUGACGGCUGGUGGCGGGUGCGGCUUUCAAGUGGUGCGACAUAACUGCUAAACGAUUGAAGAAGAUAAUAGUGUAAAGUUUCUCAUAAAAGCUCACGUCCUUCUUUCAACUGUAUAAUAAGUGUAACACAUUGAGCUUUAGCAACUUGUAAGGUUUGAGUGUUUGAUCUGUGUUCUGAGUUUUUCCAGGUAUUCUGGAGGGUCGUUGACAGUUUUUCGACCUAUGACUCACAUCCCGAGGAGCGAGGGUGAAAACUUAGCGCCAAAAUCUCCAAAAUGAGAAAUUUGGGCUGCUCUCGGGUUGACUUUGCAGGGCAGAGUAACGGUACCGCAUCGGCUUGGUACCGGUACUGGACCUGGUACCGGUACUGCAUCGCGAUGGUACCGGUAUGCAGUGCGAUGUCUCGCCAACCCGAGGCUCAGGUUGCGCAUGCUGCUGCCUGGUACCGGUACCAAAUCUCGUGUCAUCGGUACGUAGUGCAGUAUGCAGACUGCUUGUUCCUGAAGGGUAUUUUUGCAAUUGUAGCUACUCUACAAAUACCUUACGGCCCCUCUUGUGUUCCCUGAGCUUGGAGAAAGAGGAGAACUAGGUAGGGAAGCCCUCCUCACCUUCUCUUUGAUUUUCUUUCCAUUUUGUUGGGAUUUUUGAGGAUUAAUCACCUUUUUUUGCUUCUCUUUGUUUGUUGGUGGCAUUUCCACCAUGGGAGAAGCUUUGGAGCUUGGAUUGGAGCUUGUUGAAGGAGAGGUCUUCAGUCCUAACUCAUUUCAAGUUUAGUUUGGAGCUUCUAAAGAGGUUAGUAAUAUGUUUCUCUCAUUUGGAUCAUGUUUUUGGAGGAUUUUGUGUAGAAACCCUAGAAAUGAGAAAUCUAGGAUUUAUUUGGAAAUUUUUGAUUUGUAGCUUUUGGAGCUCAAUUGAUUGGUUUAGAACCUUCCUUUAGGUUGGUUUUGGAGUGCUCUAACUUCCAUUUAGGAUUUGAGAAGGUUUUUUUCACCAUUCUAGGUUAGUUUUGCCAUUUUCUUAGGUUGGUUAAAGAUGAACGCGUGGGUGGGGUGUUCGUUCAUUUCGUUUAACCUUCUUAGAAUUUUUUCUAGAGAGCUAGGAGACUUGGGGACAUCUUCGUUGGCGCGAACGAAGGGGAUCCGAGGAGUUCUUGGUGGGUUUGACCUCACCGAAAUGGGUGAACUCUCCCUAUGUUAUACUCUAUAUUGUAAAAUAAAAACUUAUGCAUAUUCGUGUUAGAUAGAGCAUAAAUGAAUUUUAGAAGGCUUUAAAUGCAUAUGUUAUGUAUCAUGUUCUUUCAUCCCUAUGUAGUAGUGAGAUAUGUUUAUAGUACUCAUGCUAGUGUGUGGCAUUUUCAUGAUAUGUUAGAAAUUAUGUUAUAUGUAGUGAAAUGACAAGCUUUUACUUGUUUGAGAACAACGAACAUGUGCUAAACAUAGAGAUUAUAUAAUGUAAUAAAGUGGCAUUGAACUUGGAAUAGAUGUUGACAUAAUAAACCAUAAUAUCAUAAAGUGGCAUUAGACUUAGUAAACAGUGGAACCUUUACAUUUGGACAAGAACUAGACCUUUGGGUUGCUAGUGUGUAUACUAUGCUUGAGAUGAUGACUAUACAUGCUUGCCAUUUGUGCUCAUUCGCACAUGCUUGUGAGGAUCGCUCCUUACAAGCCGGCACUCCGGAGUUGGCUUACGCGACAUAUGCUUGCCCGUGCGGGAUUGCGGGCCUACUGGGUCACCGUGGGACAGUCACAUUCCUAUAGAAAUGCUGGACUAUCCAGGGCCAUUAGGCGGCACAAACCGGACUACACUUGUGUAGGACCUAAUUUGGAAAUGAAAAAUGACAUAUAAACAACUAAGUGAUAAUUACUACUUGAUAGUAGGUAUUGAUUGGGCAUAUUACUACACCUGUUGGACAUAGUGGUAUACUUGUAAACCCUGCUUUGUGCAUAUUUAUAUUUAUGAUGGUCAUGUUUAGAGCAUACUAGUAUACUUCUUGGAUAUACUUGAUUAUAAUAGAUUAGUAACUUUUCAUAUUUAAUAUCAUGCUAAACUUGAGGUAUAGUAGCUUAGCCAAGUUAAUUGUUGUAUUUCACAUACAUGUUGUUUAUUAUAGUUUAUUUGCUACCUUUGCCUCUUUAGCCUAGUGAUGUAUUUCGUUGAGGUCAGCGGCUUGCCCACUGGGAACUAUUGAUUAAUAGUUCUCAUACCCUCUGUUUUGUUAUUUUAUUUCAAAGCCUUCCACACCGGGUGAGGCUAGGGACCGCGGUAAGGGUAUGACCACUAGCUAGAUAGCGAGGGGUUUUGCUAUUAGGUGGUUCAUCUCUCUUUUUGUGUCAUUUGGAGAGGAUAAGAGUUUUGUACCUAUGUGUAGAGGCCACCAUUUUUGGAUAUUUAGCACUUAUUUUUGGAUCAUAUGUUGUACUACUUUAUGGUUUAUAUACUUGGAUUAGUUCUUCUUAUUCUACUUGCCAUUAGAAUUUAAUUGUGAUCUUGCUCUGAUAUCUCUAGAUGUUUAUUUAUUGUUGCUUUAAUUUUUGCUUUGUUGUAGACGCCUUAUAUGUUGUAGGCAUAUGGCGGGUCUGGACACGCACCGGGCAGGCUUCCGCUGGGUCCCGGGGCGUGACAGCCGCUGCGUUCUACAUUGGUAUCAGAGCCUUAUUAGGUUGAUUUCGUGCCCUAGAUUAACUCUUUAACGAGAUUGCAUGUGUAGAUUUAAAUCUAUUAUCGUUUAAUUUUUUUCUUGUAUGCUUGUGGGCGUUAAUGGCGGUUUUUUCUAGGAUAAAUAUUAUUGCAUGAUUUUUACACAUCUUGAAGCAUCUAUGUUGUAGAUUAAAUCUACAAAGUUUGAUUUAAUUUGGUUUUGUAUUUUAUGAGAAAAACUAAACCCUAAAUUGAAACUUUGCGGGUGGCUUGUUUGAUGCGUGAUGCAUAUCAUAUUGUGAAACUUGCAUGAUUUGGAAGAGCUCCGCAUAAAUUUUCUAUUGAUAUAUUUCUUGCAAAAUUUGGAGUUCUAAAUCUCAAGAUAUGAUUUUUGAAAUUUAUGAAUCUUUUUUUUAAAAAACUGUUGGGAGUUAUCUGGCUUGGAGCUGCGUGGGGGUGUGUGGCUAUGCGUGCAAGCGCGCCCGGACCGAUGCGUUGGCCCACGUUGGGCUGGCUCACGCAGUGUCCUACGCGUGAUGUGCGGUAAAGACGACUCCUGCAGGCCGCGUGCAGGCCGCGCGGUCCAACAGGUGCGGGCCUGCUUGGCCACGCGCGCCGCGCGGGCCGCGCGGUGGCCAUCUGUAGGCUGUGUGAGGCCGCAUGGGCCAGCGUGCGCAGGUUGCGUGCAAGCCGCGCAGGCCGGGCCACGAGCGGGCCCGCAGACCGCACAAGCCUGCAAAGGUUUUCUUUUUUUUUUUACUUUUGUUUUUUUAUUUUUGAACUUUUUUUAAUAAAUAUUUUUAUUUAAACAUAUUAGAUAGUUUAAUAUGUCUUUGUGACAUAUAAUGCAUGCAUUUAUUAUAAUGAAUUUAAUUAUGCCUUUUAUGAUGUAUAGAUGUAACUUUUGGCAUAAUAGAAAUUUUUUAUGCAUAUUAUGUCAAGUGAGAGUUUUUUUAUUUUGGUGGAGUAAAUUAUCUAUUUUUACUCUCAAAUAUUUUGUGCAUCUUAAUUAAAUAAUAAAAAAUUUUGAUAUACGGCGUGUGAUGUGAUUAUGAGUAUAGCGAAAUUUUCCUUCACGCGCCUAUGAUUUAAUUUUUAAUUUAUUUAAUUAAAGAUGCGGCAAAAUUGAAUACAUGUAUCGUGUGCCAAUUUUAAAAUAUCUUUUUCUGCACAUUGUGUGAACUUAGUGAGAUUAAAUGUGUCACGCCCCGCAACCGCCAAUUUGGUCGGUUCCGAACAAAAUCUCCUCUGUCCAUCCAAGGCUCCACAACAACAAAGCAUGUAUAAGGAAAUGCCCAGGAAAAAUUUUAAUAUACAUGGCUUGCACGAGGGCAAGCAACACAAGCAAGUGAGUGUAGUCCGGCAUGCACCGUGCCUAGUCGCCCCGUGGUAGUCAACAUUCCCCUCUAGAAAUGAGCCUCCCCGAUGGUAUCCCACUUUGGCGCCCAAUCCCGCAUGGGCGAGCAUAUGUCGCGUAGGCCAACUCCGGAGUGCCAACUUGUAGGAAGCGACCCUCACAAACUUGUGCGAAUGAGCAUAAUGGCAAGCAAGCAUGAUCAUCCAUAUCAAGUCCUCGGUCAUCAUGUCUAAAACAUGGUAUAAGCACUAGUGACCUGUCACGCCCCGAGGUCUCCUUUUGAUUUAAAAAGUGCCCAGAUUUUUUUUUUUUUAAAUCUUGACCCCCAGGGUAUGUCAGAUCCGCCACAAAUACAGAGAGUCCACUAUUCACACAGACAGAGUCUCCCCUGUAUUUGCACUGCGUCGCACAAGUACAAGAUAUACAAUUCAAGAUACAACCACCACGUAUGAACAUCUACAUAUCCAUACACCAUUCACAAUAACAUUUAAUUCAUCACAAUUAUCCGUAAAUUCACAUCUAUCAGUUUAAAAUAUUUUCUACUCGGAAACUCAUUUUGAAACACUAAGUCAUGAAAACCAAGAAAAACCUUUUGAAACUGUUUCCCACACGGAAACCUUUUUCUUUUAAAACUCGCUACCACAAGGGGUAGAAAACCACCUUCAUUUCGCAAGAAUCCAUAAAUCCCUUUUUACAUUCAUAAAAUCCCAAUUAUUCAAUUAACAUAAAAUACUGAACCAUAAAUGCUGUCUAAGUUAUUUAAUUUGAAUAAGUAAGGAUAGAAACUAAACCGAAUGUCACCGGGCCGACAACUCUAUCGAUCGCUACAUACCCGCCUCACGCACCGUCCCGACUCGGACCAGCAAUGUCACCUGAAAGGGGGGGGUGGGGGGUGGGGGGUGAGAACUUGUACACAUGUCUCCCCUCCCAGUGGGUACCGCACGCCGGCGAAGGCGAUGAGUACUCACUGGCAGAAAGAGAUCAUCAAAGUUAUAAAUAGAUAUCAUAAAUACAAUAGCUAUAAUGCUGGAAGGAAAGGGAACAGUAAUAGAACAUGUAACUACCGCUACUGUAAAAUAGAACAGAAUGGAUAUAUGGAUAUCAUAACUAUAGUAGCAAUGAUGCAUGGAUAAGCAACAGUACAUAGGAAUAUAACUAGCCGCUACUGUAAUACAGAACAAGUGUACGUAUGCAUCAGCCGGAUGAUCAGUCCCAAAGAAUACCCAAUCAGAAACCUGGCAUGACGGUCCGCAGACCUAAAGCCUGUGCCACUGCCACUCUACCUGUAUAUAUAACCCAGUACUGACCGCUGGGCUCACAGGCUGCAUAUAACCCAAUACUAGCCGCCGGGCUCAUGGGUUGGAUGUACAAUCGCUUUUCCGAAAAAGAACACCCUAUUGCGGUGGCCAAACUGCUGGUGCACGUGAAAUGCGAACGAGUCUCGGGCGAUCAAUGCUGAUAUGCUCAAUAGCCAACUGUCGGCAACUAGUCGACAAUCACCGCGCCUCAGGGCACAUUGACCAAUAGGUCACCGAACUGUAAUGAACACAAGUACCGACCACUCAGGUCAACUAGGAUAGAACAACUCAAUAUCCUUUCGAAGAUAUGCAAGUAUCGACCACUCAAUGUCAACAAACAUCUAUAUACACAAGAACCGACCAAUGGAUCACAAGGAUGUCACAUCAUACAUCGGUAUAAUCCAGAACUAACCGUCAGCCACUAGUCGACAAUCCUACCCUUCAGGGUAUACCGACCGUAUAGGUCAUCGAAUAGUCCACUCGACUAAGUAGGUCAUGAUAACAAUGCAGUAAGCCGAUCGAAUAGGUCACAGAUACGAGAUAAAAGCACCGACCAACUAGGUCAUCGAUCUUACAUGAAAUCAUACAACUGCUCUACUCCUACUCAUGAUGAUAGACAUGAAAACAAACAAGUAGAGCGAAACAGGAAUAACAGGGAUGCUAGGCUCAACACUAUAUAUGCAAGGUAAUAACAAGAGAACAGGGUAAGAAGAUGUCACUGAGCGUGCACCACUGUACCAAUUUCGGGUCAAAGUACCCACCUGUACGAAUGUAGUGCCUGUCUCUCGACUGUGGAAGAACGUCAACCGGACCUACGGAGGGUCCAACGGGUUAGAAUUCAACCCACACAAAUGAAACACUAACUCACAGUCUCACCUGUAAAUCCACGAGAAUCGGUUUUCCAAACCAAUUACCGUAACACGCCGUAAGUCUCGAUAAUCGCACCGGGACUCCGCUAGGACCCACGAACUGUCCCGGAACGCACCGACUCGUGCUACGAGUCACCCGCUGCCACUAAACAUAAAUAUUCGUGUGACAUGGCAUCAAACACACCGCCUCACAUCGAAACGAUUAUCGUCGAAUAAUCGUUCCGAUCCGGGUUCCCGGAAGUGUCCAAUUCGACACCGAAACCCACCGUCGCUUACCCGUCAUUUCCGAACACUCGAAACAAUGCGGGUUACCAGCCAACGAGGCUCAGCGAUAACAUGAUCUACCGUGAGGCACCGUCGGAAGAAUUCCGAAUCAAAAACGCGUUCCGUCGGCGGAUUUCGCCGAAAAACACAUUGGAAAUAAACAUUCGAUUUCCAGAAAAGCCUGGGGCCAUGGACAACUAGUCCAGAGGUCACCCGAUGUCCGCACAUGCUGUCAACAGCACCCACGCAGUGUAAAAUUGCAUAAAAGCCCCUGUGACUACAUAAAAUCACAUCAUUUUAUGUGAUUUUUGGGAUUUUAUGGCCCGACAGCGCAAACCGAAGACCUUCCAGUCUGGGCGAGACACCUGCUGAUAGGUCUCGAUGUGCUAGAGGCCGUGCUCACACUUCGGAGCACGGUCGGCCACUGUGGAGAGCGCGGGAGCGAUGUGAAAUUUAGCGAACCCUGAUCGCAGAACAUAAAACUCUUCUAAUUCACUUAUCCGGGGCUUGUUGACCUUAAAUGAGGUGAGCACUGUGAUCUGACCAACGAUCACCGUGCCACCUCUGAAGGCAUCGGAACAGCCCCAGGUUGUCGGAAUAGUGAUCCCAAUAGGAAACAGUGCGCAAACUGCGUAAUAAAGCUUACUGGGCCGAGGGAAGCUAGGGUACGGCUGGCGACGGCGGGCGCACCGGUGGCAGGAGGGUUCGGGCGAUGUAGGGAGGCCAGGGUGCGCAUCGGCUGGUGGCGGGGGGAGGUUGAGGCGGCGGGCAUUGAUGCCCUAGCCGCAGCCACGCAUGAAGGGCACGGCUCAUUUCCGGCCAGGAGGGGCUCUGACGGCGGGAGUGUUAGAAAAUUGCGUAUGGUAAAAACACAGCGGAAAGAAAUAAAACAAAUUUGAUUUUGAAAAACUCUCGAGAUCCAAUCUCAAAAACCACGCAAUUAGGAUCCCUCAUGUUCUCUAAAAUUAAAAGAGCAUAGCAAGAUUGAAUCUUUACCUUUUUCAUGGAUAGAUCUUCACCUCUACUUGAUGAUCGUGGAAUUGGGUUCUCUUAAAGCCGCACACGUGUCCGGCUUCUAUAGGUAUCCACACGAGGUCCUUGAUUUGAUCGAUGUCCUCACAGGGGUGCUAGCUCCCUUGCAAAAGGACGUUUUUCUUGCUAGAAUAUGGAAGAGAGAAGAGAGGAAAGAUGGUGGCUAGGGUUUUCUAAAAACUCCCAUAUAUUAUAUAGAGGAAUAUAAUCCUCUAUUUAAUAAUAUAAUAAUCAUUACGGAUAAGUACAAAUCUAGAUUUAAAUUUAUCCUUUCUUUAAUUGGUUAGAUCGAUCAAAUCCUAAUUUGAUUCGAUUUGAACUUUAUCUUAAUUUGAUCAUAUCAAAUUAAUAAUGCAACAUUUUUACAUAAGUCCUCUUAUAUUUUACUAACUAUUAGUAAGUCCUCUCUUGUAACAUUUACACUUUAAUACCACUAAUUUGUAAUAAUUACAAAUUAGUCCAAUUAUCAACAUAUUGACAAUUAGGUCCUCCAGCGAUUCAAUAAUCGUGAUCUAGCUAUCCGAUCAAUCACAACCUCUUAUGUGUGUGACCCCAUAGGUUCUAUUCUAUCUGGUAGUGAGAUAUAUUUUGAUCACUAUCAAUAAUAUCACUGAAACUCCUUUCAGUGGAUCGGAACAAUUCCAAUUUAUCCUAAUGAGAAUUAUCGAUCAUCUAGAUAAUUCUCAUGAGUCUCACAAUCCACCAGUGACGCUUAGCAGCAUGUAGUAGCAUUCCGGUAGAAUAGAAUACUGAACCUCUUGGUGAAGUUACCGUGUGACACAAUCCUUCUAUCAUGAGUCCUGACUAGACGGAGGUUAUAGAAUAACUUGUCAAACCCCAUCGUCUGUCAUAUGUUAAAUUUUUUCGACUCGAGUUUCUAAUAUCGGAAACUCUUUUCCGCUAUUAACUCUGCCCUGGCUAUGGUCUUCUAAACUCGGUGUAAGGACUGAGAUUUUAGCAGUGUAGCUAAACUCUCUGUUGAGGAUGUUUUUGUGUGUAAUUUAAUUAUAUAAUCACUCGUCAAGUUUCGGGAGAAAACGAGCUAGAACGGAGAAGUUACGCGAUAAAUAUUAAUCACUUAAGUGAAUAGUAACUUCGAUUUUUCGAAGAAGCUGCGGAGUAGAGUUGGCUUUCGGCGUGUAUCGAACUCCGUUCAUAGCGAUCCAAUAGCUCGUUUCGACCGGUUCAGCUAUUCUGGAACCAAUGACACCGUCAUAUUUUGGUUUUGAUGCACGAUUUUUGAGAAAAAGGAGUUUUAUUGAAAAGCGGGUUUUCACUCUUUCCUAUAAUUGCAUUAUGGAACCCCUCGUUAUCUGUGUAUGUGACCUAGAGUUGAGUGAAGGAUGUUUCGGGUACCUACUAGUGGUAGGGAAGUCUAAUUCGAAUUCAAAUUUAAGGUUUAUUGGGUUUACACAAUUGUGCUAGUGUGGUGUUUGGAUUUUUGGAGAAGAGGAUGGGUUUUGUAGCAAAUCGGCGACCAAACUUGAUGAGACGAAAUUGUAGUUUCGAUGCUCCCAUCGUGCUGAACACGAUGAUGCGGUUGAAUCGAAAAUCCGACGGACGGAUCAUCGGAUAAUGCUUGAUGAUCGGGAAGGGUUCGAUUGUGGCCAAUGGGAAACUUCGCAAAAGUCUUGAUAUUUUAUGUACCGAAUUGCGCGGGUUUGGACAUGGGGUACGUUCGCGCGUAAUACACGCACUGUGAAGGACUGGGCAGUAAAUUCUCAGCUUCGGAGGACUUUUUCGCAAAAAUACACUUAUAUAUAUAUGUUAGUGUUAGGUUUUCAAGAAUGAAACCCUAACCCUAGCCCAUGAGCCCCCUCAUCUGACCUCCAGCCGCAGCCAGCACACCCUUGUCCCAGCCGUGCGCGCGGCCCGGCCGCCGCCGCGCGCCGCCGGCCACCGGAAUUGGACCUUUUUGCUUUCCCUACCAUCAUCUCCACUAUUCUCCAUCUUCCCAUCCCGUGGACCACCCUGGUGAUCUUGCACCCUUGCGCUCUGUUCCGGUGACUCCCCGGACCACCGACGACCUUCCCCGGUUGGCCAUUGCCGUCGCCGCCUGGGCGACCCGCGCUAGCUGAGGCCUGCUCUGGCCGAGCCAAAGCUUGCUUGCAGGCCGAGUACGCCAGCCGCCUUUGGCCAGCCGCACCGCCACCCUAGGCCUCUGGCGACCCUCCGCCGCCGGCGCCGCCAUCCCUACGGGCCCCUGGCCGCUGCUCUUGCUCCCUGCAGCCUCCCAGCGCAAUCUAGGCCCGAGCCCGAGCUAGCUCGCCAUCUGCGCAUUGCCGCCACAUUGCGCUGGCCGAGGCGUCUCCCUCCGACCUCCAAUGAACCUUCGUAGCCGCCCCGAGGCUUCCCUAGCCGUCGCUGUGGCCACCAUCGCUCCCUGUGCCCGAGUCGAGCCCAUGCGGGCUCGGGAUACUCAAGCGCCGCCGCGGCUGCCUCCCGCCAUCGGCCGGUGUGAGCGCCGGCCUCCCAUGGCCGGCCGCACCCGUCGGCCGCCGGAGACCCCGCCGCCGGAGGUCCCUGUUGGCCGGAAUGGGCCCGUGCUCCCUACGGGUUUGGUGUCUAGGGCAUCAUUGCCCGUCGCCGCCGCCGCCUUCCAGCGCCGGCCAGCGUGCGCCCUGGCCUCCCCACACUGGCCGGACCCUCCCCCUACUGNACCCUAUGCCUCCGGCUACCCUCCGUCGCCGGCUCCGCCAUCCCUGCGGGCACCUGGCCGCCGAUCUUGCUCCCUGCAGCCUCCCAGCGCAAGCUGGGCCCGAGCCCGAGCUAGUUCGCCAUCCGCGCGUUGCCGCCGCAUUGCGCUCGCCGAGGCGUCUCCCUCCGGCCUCCAAUGAACCUUCGUAUCCGUCCCGAGGCUCCCUUAGCCGUCGCUGUGGCCACCGCCGCUCCCUGUGCCCGAGUCGAGCCCAUGCGGGCUAGGGAUACUCCAGCGCCGCCGCGGCUGCCUCCCGCCGUCGGACGGCGUGAGCGCCGGUCUCCCCUGGCCGGCCGCACCCAUCUGCCGCCGGAGACCCCGCUGCCGGAGGUCCCUGUUGGCCGGAAUGGGCCCGUGCUCCCCACGGGUUUGGUGGCUAGGGCACCAUUGCCCGUCACCGCCGCCGCCUUCUAGCGCCGGCUAGCGUGCGCCCUAGCCUCCCUACACUGGCACCACCCUCCCCCUGCCGGAGCGCCUGCCGUCCGGCAGCCGCCGGCCACCCCGUGCCUUACCUAGCUCCGGUAAGCUGGUAUUGCUUUCCUGCAUAUUAUUUUGGGGUUCCGGUCACUAUUCUGGUGACCCGAGGCCACUCUAAGUCGUCCGAAGGUGAGCACGGUGAUCCUUAUUCAGUGUCGAUCAUUGUGGCCACCUUCAUUGGGGUCAACGAGCCCCUAGUUUGCGAGAUAAGUAUGUUUUUCAUGCUGCACGCACAGUUUGCUGAAGUUCGCGUCGCUCGUGCGCUUCCCACAGUGGUCAGAACUGUUUCAAAAGAUGAGCACGGCCUCCGGCACGCUGAAACCUAUCAGCAGUUGUCUCGGCUUGGCUGAAUGGCCCCUGGGUUACACUGUCGGACCAUAAAAGCUUAGAAAUUACAUAAAAUAAUGAAAUUUCUUACAAUCGGGAGGGCUUUUAUACUUUUUGGUCUGUCGCGGCUGCUAUUGGCAGCAUGUGUGAGUUGUGGGUGACCUCUGGACUGAUCGUCCAAGGCCCCAAGCCUUUGCGGGAAUCGAAAAGUGAUUUUCGGCGCGUUUCUCGGUGAAAUUCGUCGACGAAACGCGGGUUCGAUUCUGAAUUAUUCCGACGGUGUCUCGAUCCGAUACAAUCGAGGUAGGCACUCCAUGAAGUCGCACAAUCUCAUCAAGGUACACUUGUGCGAGCUUCACUUCGGUCCAAGUAGUAUGAAUAGGUAUGAAUUGCGCCGACUUCGUCAACCUAUCCACGAUCACCCAUAUAGCAUCAUGCCCGGCCUGAGAGCGAGGCAAUCUUGUCACUGUAGAACGCAGCGGAAUUAUUCGUUCGUACCUUUUUGCGGAAGCGAUUCGCGCUAGAACGCGAUGAGCCCGGAUCGUUUAGAUUGAUUCACGUGUCCUCGGAUCGUCCUUGAAAAUCUUCUAACUCUUCGAACUCGCGGUGGAUCGAACUACAAACGAGCGCGAUCGCAAAUCCACCGUGCAAGUCCCUCUAGAAUAAUAGGUCAAUGGAGGAUGUGGUUUCUCGCAAUUAUUUUCUUAUUCUUUCUCUGUUUCCGUUCUUUUCGUGUAUUACGUUAUGUGGGAUCGCCCGCAUAUUUAUAAGGGAUUCCAAGAUCCUUAUGGCGUUAGAGAUAAGGCCAAAUCGGUUAUUAAUUGUUAUCCUAAUAUGACUAGGAUUUAUCUCUAACCAACUUUCCAAUUUGAAAGCGAGAUUAAUCCUAAUCCAAUUAGAUAACAUAAUAUCCGUCGGAUCGAACCCGCUUAUGGGCGUACCCGAUUCGAUUUAACCGAAUGCCAACAUCUCCCACUCGCACAUGACGGGAUCGAUGCCAUCACAACCACUUCCUCAACAUCACACCACUAUUAAUUCUAUUCAUACAGGAAAAUGAACAGUGCGACCGCCGAGUCAACCUGCAUUUUGGGAGCUCUAUACUAGAAACCACAUAUGGCCAGUAUAGAGACAUCAACCCUCAAAAAGAAAUAUUAGACUCGUGAUGCCCUAGACAAUUGAAUUACAUCAGGUUCAGCAUCUCUAAUCCCUCGAAGAGCCAUGCUAACCUCUGUUGCGCACAUUAUGACACUAUACUCAUAAUUGUUUCGCUAUGCUGAAGUGACACAACCUGUCGAUAAUGAGUCAAAGUGUCUAAAUGUAAUUCAACUAGUCUUCCUUGAGCCCUCAUGCCACUAAGUUGAGAACUGAUUGUUUUCCCAGCAAUGCUCCAUAAAGCCGCAUCACUCAUAGCCGUAGGUAACAUGCCAAAGUAGCAACAUCAAUUCUUUCACUCAAUGACAUAGUCAAAAGUCACUAAGGGCAUCUCACAUAUAUAGGACAUUGCCUAAAAAUAAUGUCCAUAAGAACUCACACAAGAGGAAGCAGGGAUCCAUUCACUCAUCCUCUUUAUUUGGUCGCGUAGCACAUGUAGUAUGAAAUACAAUUACAAAUUAUUUAUUUGGAAAAGAUAUUUGCAUAAAAAUUUAGUACAACGGCAUUUGUUAUUAAACCGGUAUUGAUAGUAUGUCACAUGGCUGAAUCUGGCCCUCUCCUACACGGGCAAUCAUUCUUUUCGGCGCUGCUAGAGAGAGCGAGCGAAAUUGACGGCUGAUAGAAGCCCCUUGUUGGCACCAGAUGAGGUUCAUUAAUGGGACCCGCAUUCACGAAGUAGUCCACGAUUCGUAUGGCGGUUAUAUUCAAGAGCCGAUGUAGAGUUCACCGUUUGGCCGUGAGAUAGCGAGGCAAUGGAGAGCACUCCAGUGUAGACACUCCGGGAGUGAUGAGCUUAAGAUCCGCACUACUGACAUGUGAGAAAGACGACAUACGCAUUAUUGGGAUUUCUCUGUCAUGAGCAGGUCUUUNNNNNNNNNNNNNNNNNNNNNNNNNNNNNNNNNNNNNNNNNNNNNNNNNNNNNNNNNNNNNNNNNNNNNNNNNNNNNNNNNNNNNNNNNNNNNNNNNNNNUCCUAAAAGCCCAUACCGAUACAUGAAAUCGCAUCAUUUCAUGUGAUUUCUAUGCUUUUCUGGACCGUGCACGCAAACCAGAGGUCGAUUAAUCCGACCGUCGCACUCGCUGACAGGUUUCAGCAUGUCGGAGGUCGUGCUCACCUUUCGGAGCACUGCCGGCCACUGCGGUGCGCGCACGAGCGACGCGAAGUUCUGUUAAACUGCGCGCACAGCGCGAAGAUCGCGACUAACUCACUAACCAGGGCAUCUUUGCCGCUGUCGGAGGUGAGCACGAUGUUCAGCACAAGUUGUAGAUCAUCGUGCUCACUUCCCGAAGCUUAGGAGGCUUAUCGGAUCACCGAAAAGGUGACCGGAGCCUCGAAAAAUAGUGCUGGAACAUAAAAUACCCUUACCAGACCCGAUGAGAGCUAGGGUUGGUCGCCGGCGGCCGGGAGGCGUGCGGUCCGGCCGGAGGAGGGAGCACUCGGUCCGAGAGGUCCGGGGAGGGUGCUAGCCGGCGGCGGGCGGCAACCGGUGGCGCGGCGGAGGAGAUCGAGUCCACCCACUCCCUCUCGGGUUCAAACUUCCCGGCGGCGUGGCGGCGGUCGGAGAAGUUUGGGGCGGCGACGAACCGGUGGCGGAGGCCGAGGGGAAGACGGCGCGCACGGCCUAGGGCGGCGGCGGCGGCGCACGGAGGCAGUGCGGGUCCAAGCUUGGCCCGCACGCACUCCAGAUGGCCGCAGAGAGAUCCGGCGGUGGCCGGCGGCGCGCGGGGAUGGCGGCGACGGCGGCGGAGGGUCGCCGGGGGUUGAGGGAAGGCGGCGCGGUCGAUCUAGGGCUGCUUUACCUAGAGGGACCUGAGCUCAAGUCCGCUCGGUCUGGGUUGACCCGAGUUGGCCGUGGCUUGCUCGGACGGCGCCGGCGGCAUGCGCAGGCGGCAGGGACGGCCGGUGACGGCGCCGGAGGGGAAGCCUCGGCCAGAUAAUAUAGGCUCAGCCCAUGGGGUGGCUUCCCGAAGUCAAGAGGCCGCGGAGGGUGNAUCAUACUUUCUUUAGAUGCAUUGUCGAAUGCAAAUUUGAGGAAUUGGUCCAAGCCUUGCUGGUAAUCAGCACUUGACCUAUCUAUACAUUAAUUGAAUAGUACAAAUCAAUAUUACAUAAUUAUAUAUAUUAACAUAACUCGAUAAUUAUAACUUUAGAAAUAUUAGUAAAAUUACCUUGGCUUAAGAAUCCAAGUCUUAUCCAUACUCUCAACAAGUACUUUAGGUAUUCGAUCUUGAUAAUAGAAUUACCUGUAUAGACCUAAAAAGGUAAUACUUUAUGUUCAGUUACAUUGACUUCAUUAUUAAGAGCUAUAAUACUUAAAGUUCACAUGAAACUUAUGAAUUCUAAUAAUGCACUAAGUUCUUUAAAGUUUUCAUACAAUAUGUAAAAACAAAAUAUACUUAAAUAUAUAAUUAGGAUAACUCCAUUAUGCAAUAAAUAAAUAAAUAAAUUUAAAAAAUAACUAAGAGGGCUAGUUUCAAAUGGACUAUAAUUGAGAAGGAUCUAUUAAACCUAUCCAUUAAAACAAACUAUCAACCGUUAGAAUCCACCAAACAAGACUCAAAGAGUUCACAAUUUUUCACCUCACAUAGAAAAAGACUAAACUACUAAAUAACUCCUUAUGAUUUAGGUUGUGUCUUAAUAACCCCUUGUAUAAAAAGUUUCAUUCAUUUAAAUCAUAUACUUUACUAAUAUUAAUAAUUAUAUUUAAAUAUUUUGGACCGGUCAUUUGGAUUCGCUAAGCUGUUAAUAUUAGAAAUUUAGGUAUGUAUUCAGUACACAUGUUUUUUUAACAAAAUUUGAGAAAGGUGCAUAUUUAAAACACAAAUAGUGGCCUCAGGGCAUCUAAGUGAUACAAAUGAUACCACAGGGCCUCAAUGACCAAGAGCCCACAAGGCCAAGCUUGUUUUGAGAGAUCUAUUACCAACGAGGCCUUUGAGUGCAACGGGUUCGGGCUGGACAGAACCAUGACUCCUAAUGCCAAAAUUCACCUAUGGGCCUAUUAUCAAAUGGUCUAAAGUUAUGGAGCUACUGAAGGGCAAAAGAGUUAUUUAGAUAAAACAAUCAUCAACUUCUUUUUUUAUGUGCAGCUUGCUGAUGGCAGUCAAAUCACAAAUGGGAGGGAUAAACUAUCACAAUAUAGGAGGAUAUAUAUGAUCAAUAAACAAGUAUGCAAAAUUACUAUUUUGUAGGUACACAUGUGGCUGGCACGUGCGUGAGCGCGCGUGCACAAACACACGCACAGAUACAGAUAAUGGUGCAAAUUAUGAAACUAACCAGUUUAGAUAUGAAGUCCUUUUGAAACUGGGCUUCUGUUUCUAUCUCUUGAGCUACCUGCAAAUGUGAUUCUUGUCAAAAAUGUGCAUAAAAAAUUCUAACUUGACAAGAAUUCUUAACAACUGAAAGUAGACAAUUUAGAUAGUGCAUCAAAUAAACAUCGUAGAUUUAGAAACUAAUAAAAAAACAUACAAACAUACUACAAAGUGACAAAAAAAAAAAGUUAAGAUUAACUUUUCUGUAUAGCACAUAUCAUGUAGCAUUAAGACAACAUUUUCCUCACACUUGCAUGAUUGAUGAGAAGUUAGGUCCAUAGCGCUAUCUUAAGACAAUUGCCUACAGUUAAAUAAACAUUUUGACUAUAAUAUAGAUGAAGCAAUGUUAAAAUGAAGAAUAUAAGGAAAGAAGCUGUGCCGAAUUACUCUUUCUCAUUCCUUCCAUUAAUCUAUACACUGAAAAAUAAUUAAAACCAGGCUAUUCACAUAAAAAUAAUUUCACCCCUGCUGAGUACUGAUGCAUGCAGAAAGGGGUUAGUUGAUCGCUUGAAAGUUGGUACCGAGCCAGUAUAAAUGGAAAUUCCCAUGAACAACUAUUGAACUUAAUUAAGAUGUUCCUUUUUUGUGAAUUUUCAGGUAGAUUUGAACAAUUUAUUUCGCAUGAUAAUUUAUGUCCUUGAACAGCUACAAAAUCUCAAGGAAAAUAUAAUAAGUGAAAAAGGAUACACACACACACACACACACACACAAAGUUAAUUACAGCUGAAAACGCAUUAUGCCAUAUAUAAUUAAUAAGCUGUUCAAAGAGAUAAAUGCGUGCUUUAACUUCUAAUUAUUUGUAGAAGAAAUUAAUGUUGUGAAAGAAUGUUUAGUUAAUUUGUUAAAACUUAAAAAAUUCUGAAAUAAUUGAUUGAGUUGUUUUGAAAUGCUUUCUAUAUAUUCCUAGUUUAUUACUCUCGCUAGAUAUAUAACUUAUCAAACUUUUCAAGUUUCUGCCAGCAGAGGAAAUUAAAAUUGAGAUGAUACUCUCUAACUAAUGUUAUGGUUGUUCACACGCCGGAUGCAUGAUCGAUCUCUAGGUGUCUGGUUAGGUCGUGAAAUAUAUAUACAUAUAUCAGUAGUACUUUCUGUUCUAGCAAAGGCGCAAAGCUUAUCAAAUAUUGUAAAGCAAGAUGAUCAUGCAUGUAUGUAUGCAUUAAAAGAAGAGGAAAAAAAAACAAACCAGAAAAGGGAUAGAUUCUUCUCGAUGCGUCGGCGUCGAAAUGCUUCUCUCCCGCUCGCCUUCCUCCUCCUCCGCCGCCGGCGAUCGGCGAGUUCUUGCCUUCAAAAUAGAGGGGGGAAGCAGUAGGACCAGAGGGCGGCGCGGCCUCGACUUCUUGGAAGGAGGCGGUGGCGACGACGAGGCGAGAAAGGCACGGAUUUGGGAGAGGCGACGAGGCGAGGAAGGCACAGAUUUGUGCGGCGAAGGGUUUUGCGAGCUAGGGCGAAAAAGGUUUUGGAGGCGUCGAGGGAAAAAAAAGGGGGUAGGGCUUUUGUGCGAGCGCGCGAAGGGAAAAAGGGCCGCGCAGUGGGAAAAAAUCCCCGCUUAAUUCUUUUGCUGGCAUUUCUUUUGGUGGGAUUUUUGAGAGGACCUUAAUUAUAAUGAGAAAAAAUAAAGUAGAUCUGGUAUAUAUCUUAAUAAGGGCAAUUAGGUAAAAGUGCCCUUAAAGAAUAGCUUUUGCUGGCUAUUUUUGUAAAAGCCACUAAUAAAGUGCCAGCAAAGAUCAUAUAUGGUGUAGUGUACCGUCAGAUAUAUGGGUGUUCCAAUCAAGGUUUAAAGUGUACUGAAUAGCCGUAUAAGUGUUCCAUAUUUUGUUAUAAUGUGAAAAAUCGGGUCUCCUCUAUAAAAGUGCAUAUAUCACUACUAGAUAUAUGGGUGUGCCCAUUAGCACUAUAGAUGCACCUCGGUAAAGCCAUAGCUAGAGCCUUUAUUUAUAAGACUUGAUUAGCACUGUCAAUUAUAUUGGUAUUCCAACCAAGGCUUAAAGUGUACCGAAUAGCCAUAUUAGUAUUCCCUUUCUGGCUAUGAUGUGAAAAAUCAUGUCUUCACUAUAAAAGUGGUCAUAUCACUUUUCCCUAUAUAUAUGGGUGUGCUCUACACCACUAUAGAUACACCUCAGUAAAGCAAUAGCUAGAGCUUCUUUUAUAAGAUCUACUUAGCACCGUCAGAUAUAUGGAUGUUCCAAUCAAGGUUUAAAGUGUACUGAAUAGCCGUAUAAGUAUUCCAUUUUUGCUAUAAUGUGAAAAAUCGGGUCUCCCCUAUAAAAGUGCAUAUAUCACUACUAGAUAUAUGGGUGUGCCCAUUAGCACUAAAGAUGCACCUCGGUAAAGUCAUAGCUAAAGCCUUUAUUUAUAGGACUUGAUUAGCACUGUCAAAUAUAUCGGUGUUCCAACCAAGGCUUAAAGUGUACCGAAUAGCCAUAUUAGUGUUCCGUUUCUAGCUAUGAUGUGAAAAAUUAUGUCUUCACUAUAAAAGUGGUCAUAUCAUUUUUUCCUAGAUAUAUGGGUGUGCUCUACACUACUACAGAUGCACCUCAGUAAAGCAAUAGCUAGAGCUUUUUUCAUAAGACUUACUUAGCGCCAUCAGAUAUAUGGGUGUUCCAAUCAAGAUUUAAAGUGUACUGAAUAGCCGUAUAAGUGUUCCAUUUAUGACUAUAAUGUGAAAAAUCGGAUCUCCCCUAUAAAAGUGCAUAUAUCACUACUAGAUAUAUAGGUGUGCCCAUUAGCACUAUAGAUGCACCUCCGUAAAGUCAUAGCUAGAGAAUUUUUUUAUAAGACUUGAUUAGCACUGUCAAAUAUAUCGGUGUUCCAAUCAAGACUUAAAGUGUACCGAAUAGCCAUAUUAGUGUUCUGUUUCAGACUAUGAUGUGAAAAAUCAUGUCUUCACUAUAAAAGUGGUCAUAUUACUACUAGAUAUAUGGGUGUGCUCUACACCACUAUAGAUGCACCUCGGUAAAGCAAUAGCUAGAGAUUUUUUUUAUAAGACUUACUUAGCACCGUCAGAUAUAUGGGUGUUUCAACCAAUGCUUAAAGUGUACCGAAUAGCCGUAUUAGUGUUUCGUUUCUGGAUAUAAUGUGAAAAAUCAGGUCUUCACUAUAAAAGUGCACAUAUCACUACUAGAUAUAUGGGUGUGCCCUACAGCACUAUAGAUGUACCUCAGUUAAGCUAUAGCUGGAGCAUCUUUUUUAUAAGAUGGACUUAUCGGCGUCUGGUAUAUGGGUGUGCCCUUCAACACGAAAGAUGUACCGGGUCGUUAUAAAGCUGUCCUAUUCUAAACUAUAAUUGUAAAAGCAAAACCUAUCCUAUAAAAGUGGGCAUUUAGAGGAGGGAGAUAUAUGGGUGUGCUCUUCAACAUGACAGUUGUACCGGACCCCUCUAAAACUGUCCCGUUCUAAGCCAUAAUUGCAAAAGUAAAGGCCACCCUAUAGAAGUGGAAAUUUAGAGAAGGGAGGUGUAUGGGUAUGCACUUCAACAAGACAGAUGUACUGGGCUCCUCUACAACUGUCCCAUUCUUAGCCAUAAUUGAAAAAGUAAGUCAUAGUUGCAUAAGUGUACCGAAGUGCCGUAUAAGUGUUCUAUUGCUGGCUAUAAAGCUUCACAUGUACCGAACCGCCCUUUAACUAUUCCGUUGUUGGCUAUCACUAGUAGGUACAUAGAUUUGCCCUUUCACCACUGUAUAUGUAUUUUGGCAUACCUAUAUCUGUCAUUCAUUUUUAUAACGUAGAAGUAGGUUUUGAGUAAUGUAGAUAUUUCAACAAGACGUACAAUGGCAAAUCAUUUUCUAAUAUUCAAAUAGAAUACUUAUACUUAAUUAUAAUUAACUUUUCUUUUGUUUGGCAGGCGGCCUUAACGUUGGACUAGGGAAUCUUGCCCCUUUGUCAACGCUUGCGCAUUACAUCAAGUUGAAGAAGGUACAAAUUUGCAAGAGAAAAUAUGUCACCAAUUCAUUUAGAUAGUCGCAAUAAAUUGAAAGGUAUUUGGCAGCGAAAUAAAUAACUGCUAUGUAUACUAAAGGAAUACAUAUAUAUGGUUUCUUGCACAGGUAUACAGUUAGAUAGAACAAUCAAAUUUCAUUAAAACAGAGUCACUCAUAUUGGUAUAAGCUACUAGAACGUCUGAUCAUGGAGGUUAACACUUACUAUACUUCGACACCUCAAGAAUUGAGAGCAACACCUUUACAUCACAAGACGAAAUAUGUACAAGCAGUAUAUAAUGCAUAGCAUUUUAAAUAUAUAUAAAUAUACAUUGAGUAUAAUAAUAGAACACAAAUUCACCAAUAUAUACACACAUUACUCAUAUACUAAACAGAAAGCAAGAACAUUCAAUAUUGCUAGAUAUGAGGAAUAUAAACACGUCAUUACAUUAUUGUCAAUUUACAUGCAGUGCUACAAUAGCAACAAGAAAAAUACGAAAGAUUGUUAAAUCACUGUUUAUAAUUCGACACUCCCGAACAAGCAGGUACAACACAUAUCAAUUCUAAAUCUGUAAUAGUACAAUGAAUACAAUGGAUGCUGAUUUCAUGUGGGCGGUGCUCUUCCACCGUGCUGAAAUUGAUGUUCCUGCGAGAUUUCCUUUUCCUGCAACUGUUUAAAAGGUUAAUAGGAUCAAUUUAAAGCCAAGAAUACAAUACGCGUAUAUAGAUUGUAUCAAGACUUUGUCAAUACCUGUUGUAAAUGAGUCGAGUGUGGCAUGUGCGUCCAAGCGGCCGGAUUCUGAUUUGAAGAUUGAGGACUAAUAUCCACUCUAUGAGGAUACAUGAUAGGAUCUGAUGAUACAGAUAUAUUUUUGGGGCCCCACGUUGUCUGAUAUUAAAAGAAAGAAAAUUUAAACCAUAUUAUUUGUAUAUAGAUAAAAUUGUAUUAAAGAACCGUCCAUAAGAAAUGUAAUUUCUAUUACUGUUACGAUAAUGGCUGGGCCGGUGUGUACACCGAUCCCAUAAGGUAAGUCACUUGACGACAAAUUGUUAAUCUUAGGACUUUGUAGAUAAACCUGUUUUAAUAAACCAAUUGGUUUUGUAGAAUAAGAGAUCCAGAAUUUUAAAAACAAAUAGUCAAAUCAAACUAUAUCGAAUAUUAGAAAAAAAAUCUAGAUAUAGUAAUGCAUAAAAUAUUUACACUCUACUGGGAGGAGAUCGAGUGAGAUGAUGAGAGACAAUUAUAGAUGGAACAUUCACCAUUAUAUAUCAUGUCCCCACAAUGUUGUCCAACAUGUUAAAAUAUAUCAUGAAUAAUUAUCAAUGAUUGUCGUCUAUUGUAUAUUAGAAUCCAACAAAAAAAUUGAUUGAGGUAGAUCAAGAUAUACCUGUUGCUUAUUGCCUUUCAUCUUCAACCGUCGUACAACUUUAUCGGUCAUUGACUCUUUUCUUUUGCUUGGCGGGCGGCCUUUACUGCGAACUGGUAGUAGGCUUAGAACUCUCCGGUCAUUACUUCUAUCAUCUGACGCACCAUUCGAAGGUGUUGCCGUAAUCGGCGAACAUUCAAUAUCAUUGCUCCCCUUGGAUAAUGAAGUGUAUUCCAAUUUAGUCUUCAAAUUUCCCAACGUACGUAAUGCAACUUCACAUUUCUCAUCGGACUCAGCAGCUAUGUCUGCAAUGUCAUACAUAUUACUACAUACUACUUCGUAUCGAUAAAUUUCAGCGGUGCUCCCUAAGUUCUUAUGCCAUGUCUUCACGCGGGUAUACCUCCGUCUGACGUCCUUCCUCCAUCGUGUUAAUAUGUAAGAAUUUGGGACAAUCAUCAACUUCCUAUAAACUAGGACGGCAAUUGAAUGUCGACAUAAAGUACCUUUAUACUCAAAUAGACGGCAAAUACAACUUACUAGAGAGCCACCUUCAUCAAAAUAUACUGUGAAAGCUGUAUCUUUACCUCCGACGCCAUACUCAUUAACUUGAUAAGAAUACGCACUGCCCUUCAAAGACAGUAAGGAUGUCUCGCAAUACAUUAAUUCCUUAAGCUCUGCCUGAAAUUCUCUAAAUUUCGCAAUCGUGUACACAUCUUGAAAUUGCUUCUCAAAUGCAUAACGGCUAAUACACGGUAUGACUGACCUGAAUGAUUUGUAGUCUAAUUCUGCUUCUUUUUCAGCUUUAUUCUUUAUAGCGCUUUCAUACUGCUGAACAAAUUAUUUUAAUGAAGUUUUCGAGUUCACAUACCAUCAAAAAAUGCAUUCAUACUUUCGCUUCGCUGUGUUGUGGACAUUCCAGCCCAAAAUGUAUCCUUCAUAUAAACUGGUAUCUACUUACAUCUUUCCUCGUACAAGCCUGACAACCAUUCAUUAUUUUGAUGUCCGUAACAAACUAUCAUUCUCUUCCAUUUUUUCUCAAAUUCAAUUUAUGUCAGUGAUUCAUAAAUAGCAUCCAUCAUAAUGCUCUUAAUCGAAUGAUAUUCGCCAUAGCUUCUUAGCUUCUCUGGUAUCUUCUUUGUACUGUGCCAUAAGCACCAUCGAUGCCGAGUAUCAGGAAAGACACGUGCGAUAGCAUUUUGCAUUGCUUUAUCUUGAUCUGUGAUUAUUGCUUUGGGGGCACGCUCGGACAUGCAUGACAACCAAUCCCGAAAGAGCCAUACAAACGAUUCUGUAUCUCAACAAGAUCGACUGUCCAUGAUGGUUAACACUAACGAAAGGGGCAAAUGGCAUAUCGUACUUAUUUGUUAGAUAUGUUGAGUUGAAAGUAAUUACAUCUCCGAAACAUUCAUACGCCGCUCUACUCCGAGCAUCUGCCCAAAAGACAUUGCGAAGCCAAGAAUCAUCGUCUAGAUCUAUGGCAUAAAAAAAGUUUUCAUUUCUCUCUUACAUUUCUCUAAAAUAAUUAUAAACUACCUCGCCGUCACCUUCACCAAGUCGUAGCCGACGGACUUUUUCAAUAUAAUUACGAGCAUCAUUCUCUUCAAAUGUUAAGUUUUCAUACCCACCAGCUUCAACAGUAAUAGAAUUAAAAUUUUUGUUCAAUCUGAUUCCAGCACGAUCAUUAAGAUCAAGUUGCCUCUUGAUGCUCGGAUCUAUAACUCGAUUGCAGGGAAAAAAUCGAGACUUAUAAGGACUUAGGAUGUGAUUAUGCUCAAGUACAAUUUUACUUAUUACACAAGAUGAAUCCGCAUUUAUUACCAUAUUUAUCCUCGCAAGACAGCUCGUCUUCACCACUGAUGGACAAGGACGAAGAUUCGUUACGGUCCGAUGCAUUUUUCCAUGAUGAGAGCAUGCGAUUAUUACAUAUGUAGACUUGCCAUCAGUCAUUUUAGUUGUCCUCUUUACAACUCCAAAUCUUAAUUCUUGUGCGUAAUGUUUAUAGAAAUUAAAAACGGCUUCAAAAUUGAUAAAAGACAUUUCAAUUUCUGGUGCCGAAUAUUUACGUCUCUGACCUCACUGUUUCUUUCUUCAUCCAUCUAAAAAAUGUUCAAUUCAAAUAAUCAGUCAACCCAGAAAUUUAACAAAAUUGCUCACCUGUAAGACAUCACAUGCAGUCAAAAUACACAAUUGGAAUAGUGGUGACCGGGCAAACUAUUUAUCAAAAUCAAUACAUCUAAAUUAAUAAUGUAUACACCACAUUCUACUAUGCCCUAAAAAUGAAUCAUUAUGGCAUAACAAAAUAAUACAAGUAUUUUAUUAUAAGCACAUCCUAAACGUUUUAGUUAGUGCAUGACAAAUGUGAAGACAAAGAACUCCAAUGAGAUAGUCGCAACUUAUCAGUCUUAUUCUUAAGACUGAUAAGAUAAAGCUCACUUGAAUUACAAGCCAUUCACACAUCAUAUAAAAGAGACAUAAGUUUUUGCAGCUCAAGGACAAGCAUCAUAUACUGGAAGUAAUUGGACAGUGUGGACCAGAAGUAAGGAAUCACAGCUAGUAAAUUGAGCACACUUGGACAGCAAUUAUGCGUAAGAGACGAAUAGUUGGACUUUCAUGUUAUAUAGAAUAUUACUGAUCAACCUAUCUGAACUGGCUAGUGAAUUGGCCUCGCUAGUUCCAAGAUAAUAAUAUUUCAGCAUUAAUACAGGAAGGGCAAUAAAUUUGCAAAAUCAACUUUGAGAAAUCACUUAUAUACUUUAUUUACGAUGCAUCUAAACAAAUGUAAGUAAAACAAUGGUGACAAAGGCCAAGUUCAUUAAAUGUACUUCAGUAAUAAACUAGUUAGUUGUCAUUGUCAUUAGGACUGAAACUCUUAAAUUAAAAACUUUUUUCAACCUAUGAGUAAACUGCACCACGGGAUCUGGACCUUUUAGCAUAGUUUUACUUUGGUCACGAACCUUUCAAUUGUUAAAUUGGAACUCUAGCAUUUGUGUUGUGUCCCAAUUUUACCUUUUUCACUUAAAUUCCUCCAUCUUCUCACGUUCAUCAUUACUUAUACACUCAACGGUAUAACAAUAUAAAAAAAGAAACCAGUUUCAUUAAACAUUAAAGAUCACUAAUUCUCUUCGAUCAAAUGCUUACAACAUCACAAUCAACUAAUCCGUAAUAAUUACAACACGAACCCAAGUCACACACAUCCACUGAGAAAUAGAGAGGGGAGAUUUACCAAAUGCAAGAUGCUAAUCAAGGCGCCAUCCGCAUCCGGCCACUUGGACACCAAAUCAAACAUGAAGUUUCCCUCGCCAACGACAACUCUGCAAGAAGCAUCGCUCUGAAGCCCACCCAAUCUCAAACCAGCACUUCCCCUCUCAGAAACUACGAAUCAAAGACGAAGUUCCCCUUACUCUCGCUCUCACUUUCUCUCGCGGAGGUCGCCUCUGUCUCGCUCAAGCUCUACUCUCUCUCGCUCUAUCGCUCGCAGGCCUCUCUCUCUCUCUAGCUCGCAGGCGCCAGAAAAUAGGAGUAAGGCGCCCCUCUCUCGCUCGAGAUCUUCUCUCUCUCGCUAUAUCGCUCAACCUUCUCUCCCUCUAACCCGCAGGCACUGGAAAAGAUGAAAGAGAUCAAAAAAGGGGGGAGGGGAAGGGUGAGGAGGAAGAAAAUGGGAGUGAGAAUAACACAUUUCUUUUUUUUCAAAAGCUAACUAAUAUCAGCCAUCGGAUAGGAUAGUUGUAGGAUGUACAACCCAAGAUGGGUUGUACCAGUAGCACUACUCUUUGCACUUAUGCAGAUAUCAAGGCCAAACGGGCCCGAUAACCCGAUCACGAGCGAGGAAAACCCCCCCACGCGCGCUCUCUCUCUCUCUCUCUCUCUCUCUCUCGCACGAACACCUAUCCUCUUUUAUUGCUUCAUCCUCCCAGGUAAUCUUCUCGAUCUCCUUCCCUCCAUUCGCCAUUUUUGCAUACAUAUUUACUCACUUCUUCUCUCCCGGUAAAACCUAUUAUUUUCGAACUGAAGUUAGAUCCGAUUUGGAGGUUUUUUUUUUCCUGUUUUCGUCAAUUUAAGGAGUGUUUAUGCAAACUUCGUCAGAUCUGAAGCCAUGUCUUGUUUUGUUUAAUUGCAAUCUGUCACGCCCCGGGGUCCCUUUUAGUUUAAAACAUAGCGGAAAAGCGUCUGAAUUUUUUUUUUUUUUUGAAAACCUGACCCCAGAGUAUGUCAGAUCCGCCACAAAUACAGGGAAUCCACUGUGCACACGGACAGAGUCUCCCCUGUAUUUGCACGGCGUCGCACAAGUACAAGAAGCAAUCCAGGUACAACCACAACCAAAUGAACAUACAAGUAACCAACAAUUAUAUANCUCCGAAUAAGGGAAGAAUAGGACUACGGUUCCACUCGGACAACAAUGAGGGAAAAACGUACCAACCCAAAAUCUAUGGACCAAAACUCACCGGGAUUGACUAUUCCUAUAACCGCGAACAAAAACAGUCCUGCUGUAAGGAUUAUCUGAUCCCAAAUAUUACCAAAUCUGAGGUAAUACUUCAUCACUCAAAAACUCUAGGUACUCUCAACCUUGGUCCGCGUAACAGUAAUCGACUUGACUACGUCGCAGGUUCAUGUAGAAAGCCACGAGACAACCACUUUAAUCUGGAGUCUAUUUACGUAGACUGAAACGAAAAACUCCGACUAUCCAACAACGUCAACCUGCUCACCAUGAGCGAAUACGUAACGUUGUUCUAAAAUCCGAGUCGAGAUCACUUACAUCGGAGACCACAGUUUCCACCAGUAACUACACAAACUGCCAAAACUUCCAAUAACGGAAGGUCACCUGCGACAAUCUAUAGCCCUAGGUUCAAGACCUCACUUUACAUCCGACCAAACGAUCCAACUGACAAUACCAAAUAAGCUAGACAAUUUUGUCUCCUCAAACUUAAUCCGGUACCAACAGACCACCAAAUGCUCUUGCAAGUCCAUCACUUGAUGCACAGGUCGCCAAUCGCACCAUACGAUACCAACCGUCGGUGAUACCCAACACCUGUCUCCACAAGACCCUGUCGCUGUCGUCCUACUAUGGACCCUAGCGAUCGAUGUUCCGAGCAACACCAAAUGCCUGUCUCAUUGAGACCUAGGCAUACCUGUCAUCAAAUAACCGGACAAGCAUGCUAACCCAAGGUUUGCACGAUAAACCAAGACUACUAACCAAACAAACCUUUUAGUUGUGGAAGGCAUAACUAAAGAGCUACGAACACCCAAACUCAAACUAGAGUCAAAACCCCUUUUUCAGUGAUGAUAAGUCAACUGUGCAAAACCGACCAAGGAGUAACCCAAGGCUCGCUACGUGGUCAGAAAAGAUCGACACUCAAGCUUUCCCACAAGACACUCUAGAGAACACAUCGACCCAAUCCAUAAGUCCAAACAGGAAGAUAGUAUUUCGUCCCUCUUUCGACAGUAUAUUGUCUGCAGCCAAUAUACUUAUCAAAAGAAAAGCGAAAUAUCCGAAGAUCCACUACCAACAACAAGUUGGAAGUGUGACACGUCGAAGUAUCAAGCCACCUGAUACCUCUUCACAGAACCACGAUUUCACAACCCUUACUAUCGAAACAUCAACUUUACAAGUCGACAUUCAAAAUCAGAACGACCCUGAACCGACUCACAGGGAGUCCUAUAAUUUUCAACAUCCGAAAGAUGUUUGCGACACUAAGCCGCGAACUGUACCAACUGAAGCUUAAGGAAACGGUUUCUCUAACUGGUUUUCGCACCACAACCGAGCUAUAAUCAAAGCUCCGAGAAUUCCGACAAUACCUUGGAGUAACUCGAGUCAAGACGGAUCCUACCAAACCAUCCACUAUCCCCUGACACCAAUUUAGGUGUUUGAACAAUCGCAUGCAAUGUAUGCAUCACAGAGACUAAAAUCGUGUCAAUCCGACUCUGGUACAUGUCAAUUUGACGAAUGAACGAGGCAAAGGUCAAUAGAUCAAAACCGCUUAUUUCAAUCAGCAAUCAAGGAGGAGAGGUAGGCAUCACAACCUUACCCAAAGAUCUGCGGAAGCAACACUAACAAUGCAGUCGUCUAAAUGACCGCUAACCAAACCCUGGGCUACGCAACUGAUCACAGUGCCGUCUCCGUAGAGACACUCGCAACAGCUCUCGUGUCCUAAGUAGAGAGAGUGGCCUGGGCGUCGGCAGUUAUGACACUCGCCUAGGCCCGAAAAUCUCACUUGGCCCUUCAAGGCCUCACCUGACAGGAGUGGCAACACCUGGGGAAUGUCGCCCCACCACUCGAUGUCCGAAUAAGUAGCACCGCUACUACCCCCGACUUAGACACCAGCUUAUGCGAACCUUAACACAUAUAGAAACACCAUGCACUUCGAGUUUACCAAACUCGAAUGCACACCGGGACACAAGCCCAAACCCCGCACUCACGUGCCUAUACACCGUAGUCUUCCUAUUGGUCAACCUAACCAAUGGUCUCUCGACUGUGAAGACGGUGCAACCGAACCUACGAAAGGUCCAACGGGUCAAGAUCUAACCCACUGACAUGUAACGCUAACUCACAAUCCCUACUCACCAAAACCACGAGAACCGGUUUCCCAAAACCGAUUACCGAACAAACUGGAUGUCCCGAAAACCGCACCGUAACUGCCCCGUCGCUCACCCGUCGUUUCCAAACCCUCGAAACGACACGGGUGACCAGCCAACAAGGCUCAGCGAUGCUACAAUCAACCACAAGGUACCGUCGGAUGAAAUCCGAAUCGAAAAUGCGUUCUAUCGGCGGAUUUCGCCGAAAAACGCUUCGAAAACCACUUUUCGAUUUCCGCAAGAGCUUGGGGCCUUGGACGAUCAGUCCAGAGGUUAUCCUCAGCCCAAACGUGCUGCCAACAGCAUCUAUAUCGAAGCAAAAGUCCUAAAAGCCCAUACCGAUACAUGAAAUCGCAUCAUUUCAUGUGAUUUCUAGGCUUUUCUGGACUGUGCACGCAAACCAGAGGUCGAUUAAUCCGACCGUCGCACUCGCUGACAGGUUUCAGCAUGUCGGAGGCCGUGCUCACCUUUCGGAGCAUUGCCGGCCACUGCGGUGCGCGCACGAGUGACGCGAAGUUCUGUUAAACUGCGCGCACAACGCGAAGAUCGCGACUAACUCACUAACCAGAGCAUCUUUGCUGCUGUCGGAGGUGAGCACGAUGUUCAGCACGAGUUGUAGAUCAUCGUGCUCACUUCCCGAAGCUUAGGAGGCUUAUCGGAUCACCGGAAAGGUGACCGGAACCUCGAAAAAUAGUGCUGGAACAUAAAAUACCCUUACCAGACCCGAGUAGAGCUAGGGUUGGUCGCCGGCGGCCGGGAGGCGGGCGGUCCGGCCGGAGGAGGGAGCACUCGGUCCGAGAGGUCCGGGGAGGGUGCUGGCCGGCGGCGGGCGGCAACCGGUGGCGCGGCGGCGGAGAUCGAGUCCACCCACUCCCUCUCGGGUUCAAACUUCCCGGCGGUGUGGCGGCGGCCGGAGAAGGUUGGGGCGGCGACGAACCGGUGGCGGAGGCCGAGGGGAAGACGGCGCGCACGGCCUAGGGUGGCGGCGGCGCACGGAGGCAGUGCGGGUCCAAGCUUGGCCCGCACGCGCUCCAGAUGGCCGCANNNNNNNNNNNNNNNNNNNNNNNNNAAGAGAUCGGCGUGGCCGGCGCGCGUGGCGGAUAGCUGUCUCGCGCGGAGGGUUGCCCGGGGGAUUGAGGGAAGGCGCGCGGCGAUCUAGGCUGGAUGCUUUACCUAGCGCGCUUGAGCUCAGUCGUCGGUUGCGGUUGAAACCCGGGGGAAGUAUGCCGUGGCUUCAUCGGACGUCACCGGCGGCGUGCGCGCGGCCGGGGCACGGCGAGAUGACGGGCGCCGGAGGGGAAGCCUCGGCCAGAUAUAUAGGCUCAGCCAUGGGAUUAGGCUCCCGAAGUCGCAAGACGGCGCGGAGGGCUUGGAGAAGGUCGGAUGGAAUGAAUGAUGGAGAGGAGUGGAGCUUUUCGGCGGGCCGGGGUGCUCGCUGCGGCAGGGUACCGCCGGCAUGCCAGGGCAUAGAGGUUGCUGCAUGACGGUUAGGGUUAACUAGGGAGUCGGUUGCAAGUCGGCUAGAUCUGGUUUAAUACGCUAAGAAAUCUAGUGCCAACAUUAUAUACAACCUGCAACUUUGCAGAGAAGUCCCAAAGAUAAUGUUUAUUAUCUGAGUCUCGACAGUGCAAUGUGUUUUGCAUGGUUUAACGCAUCUCUAUGCCUCGAUCUGCGCGUGCUUCGGUAAUAUAAUAUCGCAAAUUUUCGGGAAUUUACGAAUUAGCACCUAUCGACCUCUUAACAAAACUUCGCAAUUACCAGAGAUCCGUCGCGUCGGAUUUCGAUCGAACUGAGUCAUCACGUUCGAGUACAACCCGGGGGGCAUGAGACUUACAAUUUGAUUGUGCCAUCGAAUUUGGCUCACGGCAUUCGCGACGGAACCCAUUCCGCUUCUAAUUAAUCUAUAAUAUCGCAGUUUAUACAUGUGUAAACCCAUUUAACAACUUUCGUGUUAGAAAUUGACUUCCCUACCACUGAGUAGGGACCCGAAACAUUCAUCACCUACUUCCAGGUCACAAGACGCGAGCACGAGAAGCUUUAAGAAUGACAGAAAAGCAAAGAGCGAAAACCCUCUUUUCGGUUUAAAAACUCCUUUUUCUCGAAAAACCGUACAUCAGAUUUGAAAUCCGUCCAGCUGCCAUUGGUUCCAGGAAUACUGAACCGAUCGAGGAGAGCUAUGGAUCACUGAUGAACGGGAUCCGAUACAUGCGACAGCCAACUUACUCGUAACUUCUCUGAAAAAUCGGGUUAUAUUUCGACUUUAAAGUGAAAACUAAUAAUCCGCGUAACUUCUCCGUUCUAGCUCCAUUUUCUCCUGAAACUUGACGAGUGCUUAUGUAAUUUAAAUUACACACAUAAACAGUCAAUCACAGAAGUAGUUUAGUUGCAUUGUAAAAUCUCCAGUCCUUACACAAUCUUUUACAGGACAUGCUUAACAAGCACUUUUGGAAUAUUUUGAUUUUAUUAAAUACUAGUUUGGGAUCGCUUUCUUUUUUUUUCGUUUCGCGUUUCCUGGAUUGAUUUGGACAUUUAAGGGGAAAAUUAAUUUUUUUGUGCGUCUAAUUAAUAUUGUUGUUGGUGAAAUAAAGUAACCCAGUUUAAUUUUUUUGUUGUGUAUUGAUAAUUUUUUAUUUAAUUUUUUAUCUUUUAAUUUUUGUUUGUUUUUUAAUUUAUUUUUCUUUCUUCGAUUUUUCUUGAUCUUGAUGCCCUAAAAUUUAAUUAUACUAUGUUAAUGUAAAAAGAACAACAGAUUAUCUAUUUAGGAGUUCAUUGGGCUGUUCAUUGAAGUCCCCAGUUUACAAUUUUAAUAAUAAAUAGGCAAUUGGGAUUACAAAAAGAACAAAUGGCGAGUUGACUUAGAUGCAAGAUUAUCCAACUUAGUUUUAACUAUGUUUUGCACUAAAUUUAUUCAUUUUUGUAAAUGUAUGUGUAUGCAUAUUUUGUUAUUGUUUAUUAACUUCGCUUAUAUUUGUUGGGUUUGCCUCUAUAUUUAUUAAUAGGUGUUGUUAACUUAAUGCUUAUUUACACUUGUCAUAAUUUGAGUAUAGAUCAAGAUGGAUCCAACUUCCCUUGAAUUUGUUAUGAUGUUAGGUAGCAUUAUUGCCCACAUUUGCAAUGCCAAAGGCUUCUUCGGGUUGUAAAAUUACUUCAAAUUUAUAUAAUUUUAGAAACACAUAAUAAGCACCAUGGGGAGACCAAGCCAAUCGAAAGCAUUUUAUAAGGAUAUGUGCACAUUAUAGAAAGGAAUAAUUUAUGAUAGUGAUCUUGCAUGUUAUGAAGAAUGCACGUAUGGGCAUACGUAAGAAUUAUCCUCCCUUUGUGAUUACUUUCAACAAGAGGGAGAUUGAAAGCGAAUUUGAGAGAUGCCUGUGAGGAGAUGGUGUCCACCGUUUGCUAUGUUCUUACAUCUUAUUGCUUGUGUUAAAAUAGGAGUAUUAAAGGCCAAUUAUGUUAGCAGUCAGAGAGAAACAAAAGUAGACAAUUUAGGUAUGUCUUACCGGCCAUCUCAUGUCACAACAUUUUUGUUUAACGAAACCCAAACCUGCCCAUGAAAAACUCAUGUGAAUGAGCAGGUGUGAAUGUCAAGUAGGGCAAACUUUUAUCCUGGGUCACUUUUUCCUUGCUUAUGCAAGUAAAUCCAAGUGCCCCAAGAAUUGUCACCAAGUGAAACUAACAAAUGUAUCGAAAACCAUUAGAAGAAUCAAAUAGGUGCAGGAUUCCAAUACACUUGGAUGUAUUAAACUCAGAAGUUCAUAAAAACUUUUCCCAUUUUAAAGAUUUUUGCAGGUUGGGGGGGGGAAAAAAAACAACUCGGCAAUCUCUUUGUUAAAAUUAGACAAAAAUUCACAACAAUGGAAUUAGAAGACAUAGAAGGUAUCAAAAUAUUAACCUUUAGAGUCUGGAAGAUGACCGCACUUCCUACCGGUGUUAUGCCAAUAAGCUAGAAUUUGUAUGUAGUCCCCUUGUUUGCUACCAAAGCUGUAUUCUUUUGCAUCAAACAAUAAUGGCUUGUGGAAUUUUCCUUCACCAAUCUGUCUUUCCCCGUGCGUUCUGUCUAAAAAAUUACGAAUAAGGCGUGUGAAGUUAAACAUUGCUAUUCAGCAUCUUGCGGUAGUUUACCUAAUAGAAGCUAAAUUGGAUGAAAAUGAUGGCAUGGAAAGGAAAGGGUCUCAAAAUCUGUGGGCACUUUUUGCGUAUCAACUAUAUCUAAGUUCUCAUUUUCCACCAAGUGCAUAGAAAGCAGCUUGUGACCAAGACAUAUAUUAAAAUUAUAAGAAGAUUGUGGUUGGUGAGUUUCAUCCAGUAUUGGAAUCGAACUCAUGAGAAACGAUUUUGAGGAACUCAAUUAUUAUUAAUUACCAUCCUCAGCCAUGUAUCUUUAAUACCAGAAGAUAUAAAGUAAGAAGAAUAGCUACUAUCUUUACAAACAUGAAAGGAGAAGCCUUUCGGGAGCUUCCCGGGUUUCGGGGUCUUUUUUUUUUUUUUGUGUUUCUCUCUCUCACUCUCAUCUCACAUGGGUACGGCUCUCUCUCUUCUUUGACUUAUAUACCUCUCUCUCUCUCUCUCUCUCAUAUAUAAUAAUAUAUAUUAUAUAUUAUAUAUAAUAUAUAUAUUAUUACAUAUCUCAUCACUCUUCUCUACUGUAUAUAUUAAUGGCCAGCUAGAAUUUAUUAAUAGUAAAACGCUUUUUUUGCUACUCAACUUUUUAACCUUGUGGAAUGAAAAAUUAUUAAAAUUUAUCGAUGAUAUUAGUCAUUUUAGAGUUGAUAUGGUUCUCCCGUAUGGGUUGAGUGGUGUCCUACUGGAUACUCUCUCUCUCAUUCUAGAUCUAUAUAUUAUAUAUAUACUAGUAAUUAUAUAUAUUAUUUAUUAUAUAUAUUACCUCUCAUCUUUAUAAAAUAUUUUUAAAAUCUGUGAUUUUUAUAUAUAUAAAACGCUUCUUUUCUAUCAACUUUUUAACGUUGGUAUGAAAAUUGUGAGGUGUAUUAGGAUGCUUUAGUAUUUAGAGUUGAAUUGGUCCUCCCUAUGAGUUAAGUGUGCUAUCUGGCAAUAUAUAUAUCUUUAAUUAAUAGUUCCAAAUGUAUUGAAAAGGUUGAUUCGGAGGCUUAAUACAAACUCGAUUAGCAAACAAUAAAAUUUGCUCUAAUAAGAAGCCAGUCCCAACUCGUAUAUUAUUAUAUAUACUAUAUAUAUUAAUAUAUAUAUAUAGUUAUAUUUAUAUAUUAUAUAUAUAAUAUAAUUUUAUAUAGAUUUCAUACAUGCCUCUCUCUCUCAUAUAUUAUAUAAUAUAAUAUACAUAUAGAUAAUUGAGAAUAGAAUUAUUAUUAAUAGUAAACCCUCUUUUUGCUAUCAAUUUUUAAUUCUGAAAUGAAAAAUUAUAGAUUAGAAUGAUAUUAGUCAUUUAGAGUUGCCGUUCCAACUCUCUCUCUUUUCUUCUCUACAUGAUAAUAUAUACACUCUCUCUUCUUCCUUUUAUAUAACAUAUUUUAUAGUCAUAUAUAUAUAGUUAUAUUAUAUAUUUUAAAAUUUUUGUUAUAUAUAUACAUCAUAUUUAUAUGUAUAUGUAUUAUAUUAAUUGUCUUAAUUUUUGUUAGUAUAUACUUAUAUCACAGGUUACAUGCCUUCUCACGCUAUCUCCUUUGACUUAGUAUACCUCUCUCUCUCUUCAUUUAUAUAAUAUCAGUCGAUAUAUUAUAUUAUUUUAAAAUCUGUGAUUUUUUAUUAUAUAAUAAUUUUUAUAUUUAUAUGUAUAUAUGAAAUUCUCUUUGAAUUUGGAUCUAAUUAAUUUUCCACUCUUAUAUAUAUUUAAUAUUAGAUUAUUAGUGAAAAUUUUACUCCCUUUGGUUCGUAGUUUCUACUUUGCCCUCCUGGCUGUGGUUUAAGGGUGUGGUGGGUGUGUGUGGAUUUUGUCGGUACUUUGUUUUCGUUAAAUUAAUUUAGCAUUAAAUUUUCGUAUAUUGUGAUUGUUAUUGUUGUGUGAGUUGUUUACGUUUGAUAUCCUUUAAUAUUUAACUUAUUAUACUUUACUUUACACGCACACUCACUGCAUUGCAUAAAAAAAGAGAAAAAUAAAACCACAGCGGGGCGAAAUUGAUACAUUUUACACCCAGGGGGCCAAAGUGAGAAAAUACGAAACCAAGGAGGUUUUUUUAAAGGUUUUCCUCUUUUAUUAUAUAUAUAGAUUAUAUAAUACCUUAUCUCUCUCUCUCUCUCUCGAAUAUAUAUAUAUAUAUAUUUAUAUUAUAUAUAUAUUAUCUCUCUCUCUUUAAUAACAUAUUUUUAUAUAUACAUAUAUAUCUAAUAUAUAUAUUAUUUAUACUAUUUUCAAAAUCUGUUUGAUUAUUUUAUAUAUAAUAAUCUUUAUAUCAUAUAAUGUUAUAUAUAAUUUUCUUGAUUUUUGUAUUUAUAUAAUGUAAUUAUAUGAUAUAAAGAAUGUUCUUAAAGUCGGACGUAUCGGCUAGUGAUUGCGCAUUCAGAUUCUUGAAGAUAAAAACGACACCGGAUCGGCAAUUUUUUUCUCCACAGCCUCUUGAGUAUUUUCGAGCACCGUGCGGCUAGAUUUUCUCCUCGCUGCCUCCGGCAUGGUACGCAGUCCUAAUCCCUAGUCCCGUCUCUUUUUCCCUUCAUUAAUUAUCACGUCGUGGCUGGUGCGGGUUCCCAAUUCGGCAUCAAUCGUCGCCGUCCUUGCGGUAUUAGGUGCUGGACCUGUACAGGUAUGGCAAGUUCCUGUGGGGUGUUAACAAAGCGCGAUCUCCCCUUCAGCUGGGUUCUCCCUUUCCUCUCGAAAAAUCUAAUAGGCGCGGCUUUUUCUCAACCUUCCCCCCUUUUGUUCCUUCCUAUUAAAUGUCCCUCCUGCUCCGUCUGUUGGUCUCACAGGUUCCAUUUCCCUUCUAUGAACGUGGUCUCAUGUCUCACCCUCCUUCUCCUUCCUCCCUCCUUGCCUCCUUGCCAUCUCAUUCUCUCUCUCUCUAUCUCUCUCUCUCCCUCUCUCUCUCUCUGUCUGCUCUCUGUGGGUCCCGCCGAAGGCCCCCGCCAAACGCGGGGAGGCCCCCUGGUGCUCGGCGGGCGCACAUGGUAGCUCUCUCUCUCUCUCCUUCUACUCUGCUCUCUCUCUCUCCCUCUGUUCUCUCUCUCUCCCCCUCUCUCUGUACGCUCUCUCUCUCUCUCCUCCCUCUGUUCUCUCUCUCCCUCUCUCUCUCGCGCGAGGCACCCGCAAAACGCGGGGAGCCCGCUGCAGGGCGGGGUUCGCCGCGGAGGCGACGCGUGGCGGGUUGAGGGUUCGCCUUUUAUUAGUUGUAUAGAUAUCAAUCUUAUUUGGUAACUUAUUCCACCACACCUAGUGGACGCUAUUCUUUCAGCUUCUAGAAUAAAGAUUGACCGCCGAGAAGGGAGAGAGAACCGAUGGCAAUACUGUGACGAGGGAAAGAAAACGAAGAGGCGACACACUAGCACUCUUUUGUUGAUAUCCUGAUCCAUGGCUUCACUCGAUAGCGCCCAAAUAUCCCUCCGAUGCUCCUUCUCCGUCCGACUCGUGUUCUCUCCUUCUAACGUCCCCCUCAUCAAGAAAUCCUAUGCCGUUUCGGUCGGUAAUGUCUUCUGGCUAGACAGUCCGAUCAGAUUCAAAGCUUUGAACUUUGUUGGAAGAGCCGGUCCUAACCAAACCCCAGUUCACUCGCUCUCCGACGAUGGGGGAGGUUCCACUGAUGAUGACCGGAGGCCUCCUUUCGACCUCAACCUUGCCGUCGUGCUUGCUGGGUUUGCUUUCGAAGCCUACAUUAGUCCUCCGGUUAGUUUCUCUGCCGCUCUUUCUUCUCUGGAAUUUCGUUUCAUAACUCCUUUGGGGGUUUUUUUUUUUUGUUUUUUUUUUUUUUUUGUUUUGUGUUUACUUUUCUUCUCUCUUGAUAGGAAAAUGUUGGGUGGCGCGAGGUCGAUGCAGCUGAUUGCCAGACAGUUUUCCUCUCAGAGUAAGUUCGGAAUUGCUAUUAGUUAUUGUCAUCUCCGUUCAUUGCUUUUCUACGUUGAUGAAUUGUUGCCCUUUAUUUCUGUGGAUUAAAGAAUACUAGUUAAGUAACCCCGCGCAAUGUGCUAGAUAGUGAUUAUAAUAGUUAAUUAGUAAAAAAUUUAGAAAAAAUAUAGUAUACCAAUAAAAUAACAUUAGUCACCAAUACAUGUAGCACAAUUUAAGUUAAAUCGAUUGUAAAGAUGAAAAAGUUGUAAGAGGAUCUACUUAACAUAAUUAAUACUAUUGUUUUAUGUAUGAAGAAAGCAAAAAACAAAAUCGUAAGGUCAUCUAGUUUAUAAAUAGAUUUAAUAAAUACAAAAUAUAUUUUUAGUAAGCAGUAAGCAUGAUAAAAAGAAACAGUAGUAGCUCUAGAAUGGUGGCUAGCCAAAUGUAUGAUUUGUCUUAUGUACAUUUAAAUUUUCUUGGAUUUGUAUUACCUUAUGCAGUUUAUUAAAAACAAAAUAUAAUAGGUUCAAAUCAGCCCGUCUAUCAGACCUGUAACAUGAAAGCGAAAUAAUAAUAACUAAAAGUAAAUAAGAGGUUGUCUAGAACAUUAUUAAGCUAUUUCCUUAUUACUUGUGUGAUUAGUCUUAUGUACAUUUAAAUUUUGUUGAAAUUAUAUUCAAUAGUGCAAUUUCUACAAAACAAAAUAUAGUGAGGUUUAGAUUAGCCCAUCUAUCAAACAUGUGAUAUAGAAACAAAAAAACAACUAAAAGCAAGCAAUAGAUUAUCUAAAAUAUUAAUACAAAUUCAAUUUCCAAAAUGUUAUAUUGCAAAUAGUUGCCUACAUGGGAGUUAGCCAUCCAAAAUUUGUCAAUCUUUACAAUAAAAUCUUAUUGAAGAAAGGGAUACAUAGCAAGACAAAAUGUAAUCAUCAAGACCACAGAGCCAAAUCGUAAAUCUAAAAUUAACCAUUCAAAGAGAAAAAGGCACAAAAUGAACAUUAAAUCAAAUUAGUUGAGAACUUUCUACAUCUAAAUAUUAAAUUUAAAAGUUGUGUCUCAAUUAUCUUAGUAACAAACAUCUUACCGGAAAACGAAAAUCCUAACGGACAAUUCAUAAAAUAUCUAAUCUGCAAAUCAUGCAGCUCUCAAAAUUGCAAGUUGAAAAGCAACUGAUGCAUGUAAGGACAGAUCAUCAGAGCCUAAAAAUUGAAAGCAACCAAAAGAACAGGGGAUAACCAUAAGACAAAAGCACAAAAAAAUAACUAAAAAUCAAAUUAGUUGAGAACUCUCUACAUCUACAUAUAAAAUUUAAAAGUAGUGUCUCAAUUAUUUUAGUAACAACCGUCUUGCCAAAAAACGAAAAUCCUAACGGAUAAUUCAUAAAAUAUCUAAUCUGCAAAUCAUGCAGGUCUCAAAACUGCGAGUUGAAAAGCAACUGAUGCAUGUUAGGACAGAUCAUCAGAGCCUAAAAAUUGAAAGCAACCAAAAGAACAAGGGAUAAUCAUAAGACAAAAGCACAAAAAAAUAACUAAAAGCGGCUAAUAGGUUGUCUAAAGCAUUACAACCAAAUCCAAUUCCUGAAACUUAUUUUACAAAUGAUUGCCAACAAAAGAGUAGGGCAUCAGAAUUUUGCCAAUUGUUAUAUCAAAAUCUCUGCAAAGAAAGAGGAGAGAACAUGCUGUAAAAUUCCUCUUCCAUGGUGGAAAGCGUCGUGCAGCAUUGUUUCUUGCUACUCCAUGUAAUGGCGUAAUGAGAGAACAAGAACACAUAGCCAUAUGUUGAUUUUCGCUUGUGCAAAUAUUUUGCCUAAUCUGCAUCUAUAUAUCCAUUUAAAUGCAGAUCACCACCUUGAUAGUAAAGCAUAUAAUAGGAAGUCCCUCGUGGAUAACGUUGUAUCCUUGUUAUGGCUUCUAGUGGGCAAUUCUGGGGUUCGAUUGAUAACAGUUAACUAAGCCAACUGCUGAUAGAUAUUUGGAUUGGUAAACAUGGUGGUUUACAUCAAGCUACCGACGACACUCGCAUAAGGAACAUUGGCCAUCUUCUCUCUUUCUCUACUCCUUUGGGCACAUUUCAAGGCUAAGUUGCUCCUUUUUGUUGACUGGAGUGUCAAUUGGCUUGGAGUUAUACAUUCUAAAUUGUUUCAAAAUUUUGUUGAUAUAUGUCACUUGAGACAAACUCAAAAGCCUUUUGGAAUGAUCUCUAUAACUUUAUACCUCUAGCACAAAACUAACUUCUCCUAAAUCUUUCAUCUCAAAAUUGAAAGGAAGCCAUUCUUUUGUAGAUUUUAUCAAGUCCAUAUUGUUCUCAGCCAGCAAUAUCAUCAACAUAUAUAACAAAAUAAUAAACUUUUUCCAGACCGUUUUGUAUAAACACAAUAAUUCUCAUGAAUCAUUUCAAAACCAUCUGGGGUAAAGGUACAAUGGAACUUCAAAUACUACUGUCGAAAGGACUGCCUUAGGCCAUAAUAGAGCGAUGUAGUUUACAAACUUGACGCUUCUGACCUUUAGCAGCAAAACCGAUGGGCUAUUCCAUAUAGAUUUCCUCAUCUAGUUUACUAUUCAAAAAAGCAGUUUUCACAUUCAUUUGGAAAAGUUCUAAAUGAAGGUGAGCAACCAUAUCCAAAAUCAAAUGAACAGAGGCAAACCUUACUAACUAGAGAAGAAAACGUCUUCUCCUAAUCUGUACCUUCUAUUUAGGUGAACCUUUUGGCCCCUAAACGAGCUCUAUAUCUUUCAAUAGGCCCAUCUGCCUUGCGCUUCACCUUGAAGCCCUAUUUAUUUCCGUUGGCUUUGCGCCCAGGUGGAAGAUCAAUCAAGUCCUAGAGAUGGUUUAUUUUCAUGAGCAUUUUUAUUUAUUUUUUACCUUCUUCAUCAAACAAAGUAUGAUUUUGAACAUUACUUGGUCAGCUGCAGAACUUAUUGCUAUUGCAGGAAGAUGGAACAAAUUAAUUACUUUUAGUAUAGUGUCCUAUGCAACUUCUCCUUUUCAUUGAUUUUCCUCCUCAGAGACUUUUGUUUUCUUGCUAAACCCACAUGUGUAUGUCUUUAGGGAUAUUGACGUGGCAAUUUUGCAGGAAGUUUCUUCAUGAAAUAUAUGAUGGGCAACUAUUCAUAAAGUUAAAGAAAGGAAUAGAUCUUCCUGCGAUGGAUCCAUGGGUAUGAUCUAUAAAAUUGAGUUUAUAUUGUAUGUAUAUUCACUAUGAGAUUCAUUUCUUUAUAAACUCAGGCCUCAUUUGUUACUAGUGCCAUUUUUUUGUUUUUUAUUAAACACUAAUUCUAUAUAAUUGAUAUACUAGUAGAAGGACUUUCUUCUUGUUUCUAUGAUUGGUUAGCUUGCAAUACAACCCGGCUAUUUGAUGGAUGCAACUUCUUAAAAAAAUCUCGGAAGUUAAAAAAGGUUUCUACCAUUCUUUUAUUUAUUUAUUUAUUCUGCCAAACAAACACAUUGGAUGUAAGGAUUCCAAGCAAUCCACCAGCCCCUUGCAUACUAUUUUAGGAAGAUUCUAUUUUAGUAAAAAGUAAAAAAAGCAGCAGCAAUAACAAACAUGGUCUCAACUUUCCAUCAUGUAAACAUGGUUUUAACUUUCCAUUACAUUCAUCCUUCUCUUUGAAGUGUUUAAGGAAUGAAAUGUUGGCAGAUUACAUUUGUUACUACUGGGUAAAAUGUUUUAUUUGAAGGAUUGUUCCCCUUUCAUUGUCUUUCUUAUUUGGAUUCUUUACAGCUGAUUUCAUCAUUAAACUUAUGUCAACAAAAAUUGGUUAUGAUCAAAGUAUUAUUUUACUUCUCUUUCUUGACUGAAUUUCCGGGGAACCAAGCUUAAGGAGAAUUAGAGGAAAGAUCAAGAUUUGUUCACAUUUUGACCAACUGGAUCUGCCAUCCAUUAGUAGAGUUCUCUAUUUAGUUGGUGUGCAAAAGGGUUAAUUUACUAUUUUGGAUGCAUAUUGGUUGAGAAGUAUUUCUCAUAAAUUAGCAUUAAAUCAGCAACUUUUUUAUCACCCAUUGUCAACCUGACAUAAACACUCAAGAAAUUGCUUUUUGAUCAAAAUGAAAUUAGCGUGUAACAGGACUUGCAAUUUAAUCUAGAAGGCCAAUUAAAAGUUUGAGUUAUUUUCCUUUUUGAUUACACAUUAGGCCCAAGCAAUCAAUAGCUUCUAUGGAUUCGGACCGGUCUUAUUAGUACCUGACCCUGAACUGUGCCUAAUUGUAGUUGUCCAAAUCCCAUUGUCAGAUUUUGGUGUUGUAGAAUGGACUGCUAAUUUAUGAACUGCGUCUUGGUUGUGUCUAUUUAUAUUUGGGCUAUGAAGAACAUAUGUGUGCAAGAAUUUGAAAGUGUCGGUGCAGUGAGGUUACAAGACAAUUAUUUGAAAUCUCUCUGUCACUCUCUAUAUAUAAUCAAAAAUAAAGAAAAGUUCGGUAGCAAAUCUAUUCUUUUCUUUGUGAAUUUACUUAUUACAUUCAUGUUUGAAAAGCUGGAAUUUUCAGGGCACAAGCGAUCCUCAUGUUGUUUUUCAAUUGGAUGGUCAAAUUGCAAAGAGCAAGAUAAAAUGGGCGUAAGUACUAAGUAGCUUUCUUCUUACUUCAUGUCAAUAUGAGAGAUGUCAUGUUAUUUUAUUAGCUAGCAGAUUGUUAGUGGUGAUUAAAAAGGUUGCUGAUUUGACCUACUAAAUGCAAUUUAAUUUUGGUAAAUUUCUAGCAUACGACUAUCUAACGUUUAAUUGAUUGGAGUCGGUGAAUAUUAGUUUCAUUUAUAUAUUUUGAAAAAUACAUUAUUUGCAUGAGUCUAUCAGGAGUUUUAUUACCUAAUCAUGUGCUUCUCUGUAUACUGAUGGAUCUGAGACAGCACUAACAACAUCAUCUUGCACUAGCUUCUAAGCCAUUUAAUAAGUUUAUUUGCAAUUCGUGGUGUGAUUAUAAAAAUCUUGUUGAACACAUAAAAUUCUUCUAUGCUACUUAAAAGAAACUUACACAUGAACCAACUAUCUUUAUCUUUGGUUAUGCUUCUAAAAGCAGGAUAUAUUUAUGGUAAAUCAUAUUGGUUUCUUAACCGGAAAUUCACAUUAAAAGAAUGCACAUGACCAUUGCUUCUUUUUGAUUUUCUACUUUAUUCCCUAUGCUAUCUCCUUAUCAUUCAUUGCUGCGGAGUGCAUAUAUCUAUAUGACCUUCUUUUCAAUCAAUGUAGGACAAAGGAGCCUGUGUGGAAUGAAGAUUUUAGCUUCAAUAUAAAGCUAACUCGGGCGAAACUUCUUCAGGUGAAAAUUUAUGAGUAAUAGAACUUUCUGUGAUCUACUAGAAAAGUAAAUCCUUCCUGUCCUGUUAUGUGUUCCCCUACAUCAGAGAGUCAUGCUGUCACCUGGAGUAGUAGUUCCAUGAUUAUUUUUAACGUGGUUUGGUUAGAAUUUAGAACAGGUAUACCUAAGCUUUCUUUGUUGCAUUUUCCAUAACAAGGGAGAUAAUUUCUCGUCUCUCUUUGUUGCAUUUGUUUUUGAUCAAUCAAACUACUUGCUGUUGUGAUAUUCAAUUAACUAAAUUUGAAGUUGAUUGAUCGACUUUUUUGAUUGGCUAAGUUACAUAUCUAUAAAAUUUCAGCUGAUGUAGUAGCAAAAGUAAUUGUGUGAUUUCAUCAAUAAAAAAGUUCAUAGAUUUUUAAGAAUUUGAGUGAAGUGCACUUUUAGCCUCCGAACUUCAAUUCAAGUUUCAUUUUGAUCCGCGAACUUCUAAAUUCGACAUCGAAGAUGUUGAACUUUUCGAUAAGGUUUCCUUUUAGUCCCUGAAAUUUCACUUGUGUUUCAUUUAAGUCCUUACUAGUAAAUUAUUGCUUGCACCUAGUUCAUUUGUAUGUUUGUAUACCAUGAAUUUAUUAUUUCUUCAUCUAUUCACCUAUCCAAUUUUUAUAGAGAGAAUUAUAACUUAAUGGGUGGUAGGGUAGACAUAUGAAAAAGAGCCGAUAAAUGCAUGGUAUAUAGUUAUGCAGAUGCAUUGGGUGUAGGCAAUAAUUUGCCCUCUAAUACUAAAUAUACACAAGGACUAAAAUGAAACUCUUUAAAGAGUUUAGGUACCACUAACGUCAAACUUAACAAUUUGCGGACCAAAAUGACAUGGUGGAAAUUCGGGAAGUGGUGCAAUCUACUCGUGACAAUAUUGUUGAAUCAUUUGAACAGUUUCUCCAACUAUCUUACAUUGUUUACUUUAGGUUGCAGCUUGGGAUGCAAAUCUUGUAACUCCACACAAACGUAUGGGAAAUGCUGGGGUGAACUUAGAAUCACUUUGUGAUGGUGGGCUUUCUGUAUUUGUAAAUAUUUGAAAUAGUUAUAAUUCAUCUUUAUAUACUCUACCUAUUCGCUACUUAUUAUGCUUUUAGCUACAGUAAUUUAUAAAAUUCUACCUUUCAAACGAAAGCAACUAUCUUGUUGGUAGAUGCAAUGGAAGACUACAAUCAACUUAUGGGGCACCCCAAUAGUCCUGCAUCAGAUGGGAACGUGGUUGUGAUUGAAAAUAUGAGAGACCAUAGUAAUUGGGCUUAUGUCGGUGGUUUGGGCCCAACGAGCUAUUAUUGUUAAUAGGCCAAGUCUUUACAUUUGGUGUUAGAGCGAUCUUCAACCACAAAUCAACCACGGUUUAGGUCGACCCAUAGGAUGACCUAGGCGUCUAGGCAUGUGAGAGUGCGGGGUUUGUUUGGGUUUGAGUCCUGCUAUGUUGAGUCAAGUUGACGGUAAUCCUAAUUUGACUGUAACCCUUCUUUGUGUCUUAGAAUAUGCCGCACACGAGAGCUACCACCUGGGGCAAAGGUGGACGGUGCUUUGUUGGUCAAGCGCCAAGAGAUGCGAACUGUUUUAGAUGGCUCGAGGACCAAGUGGCUGUGCUGAUCGGCCUAGUUCAACUGGUUGUGCAGUAGCAGAUCUGUCAUACGCUCGGGCUCUUUUAUAAAAUGUCAUGCCCCGCCCCAUUGCACAACGGAGGCUAUGUGGGCGCGUGCACAGAUCUGCCGAACGGAUGGAAUUUUUCCUAUCCAUUCUAGGCAUAAACAAAACCAAUACAUUGAAUUUCACCUAGGAAAAACAAUAUAACACAGUUUUGCACGAGGACAUAUCACAAAAGCGAGAAUGUAAAUCUAACUAUUACAACAUUGGAACAUUACAUUUUUACAUAUAUUUUUUCAAAUUUAAUACAUAUUACAUGCCUUUUUCCUUAAUAUACAACUUUGCUCUCAAUUACAUUUCCAUUUCUAAAUUAUUUACAUUCUCGUUACUUGUACACGGGUAAUCUACACUUGGUGACCUUGCUAUCCAGUGCGUAGCGCCCACGUUUCGGUCUGGAGCUGCUCCGCUUGUGGUUAUCUCUACGAAAUAGGGGUUGAGAACUAAAAGAAGUUCCCAGUGGGUUCGAUUGCCAACCCUGGCGACUUUCCCAUUAGGUCCAAUUAAGGCAUAAGUAGAUAGAAUAACCAAGAAGUAGCAAACACUUACACUAUGCAUAAACUGGAAUAAACACUACUAUGCCUUUAUGAAAUGAAAUGAGUUCCAAGGUCCAAUAUGCUCAACUUGACCCCCUAUUUACCCCUGACGCAAUCAGGUCAGCUCGCCAUAAGGUCAAGCCCAACUCACCCUCUCAGCCACAUAAGGAGAUGUUACGCGACUCAAUCACCUACCUUGGGCUGUUUGUGGAGGAAGCAUAAUCGACCAGUCACUAAACAUGUGACACUACUACUAUGUUCUCUCUACAAAGUACACACAAGACGAGACCUACUAUACUUUUUAUGUCUUUUUCUUUUACCUCUUGACCCAAUCAUACCAGCUUACCAUAAGGUCGAGCCCAACUCGCAUUUCUAAGCCAUGUGGGGAGGCGCUACGUAACCCAAUUACCCAUCUUGGGCCGUCUAUUGAGGAGUCAACCGCUCAACCCAUAUGUGUUACACUCCAGAGCUCACUGCUUGUGGAGUCGCGACCUCCACAACAUAGAACAGACUAUAUGAGUAUGAUUCAGUUCUCUUAUCUAGAGAACUAACCACUAACCAUGGUAACACUAUCUCGGGAUCUAUCAAUCCCUAGCAUGCUCAUCUUACGGUAUAUGCAACUACGGCAAAACACCUAGAACAUAUUACAUGUACAAUCUCAACACAUAAUGUCGUAAUCCUCUAUACUUGUACAAUAGGUUACACCCAAUCCAUAGUUUAAUCUGUUACUAGGUUCAUGUUUGACAAUCAAUGACGCCUAGUGUUCCACUACGUUUUCUAUCUCCAUACAACUAGUUUACUCUACUAGUUCAAUGCAUCACUAGGGUUUAUAUGGCACUAAUACUCAUGCAAACUAAGUUUUAGAGUUCUCAACAAUAGUUGUCUACUUCUAAUAUUGGAAGCAUGUAAUUUACAUGGCAGUAACAUACAAUUGAACCCUAACAUAUACAUUCUCAAUCCUCUAUAUGUUCUUGAGGCUACAUUUAUUCUAUGUCACUAUGUUCAUGUUUAGUAACUACAUUAACACCUAGUGUUCCACAAGAACGAUCUAAGUCCAUUCGCUAGUUUGUUUUACUAGUUUUCUUGCAUUUCUAUGGUUCCCAAAGUUCAAAUGGCCCUAUACUCAUGCAUGUUAGGUUAGCAACUUGCAUCAAUGAUUAUCAAUUGCAUAGAUCAAAUAGCAUGCAAUUUAUAUGGGAACAACACCUUCUAGAACCCUAACAUGCAUUUCUAUAUAUAUACAUACACAAUAUGCUUAAUGAAUGGAGAUAGACAUAGGAAGAAAAUCCAACCAUUUUUGAGUUUAUAGGAUUUCAAAGCAAUUGGCUUUUCAAUGUCGACUCGGCACGCUGCAAGCCUAACGAAUGAAAUUCCUCCAAUUGGAUGCCAUAACCUCGUCGUAAUCCAAAUUGGAGUUGUCCUCUCCAUCAUACUAUCCUUCAAUUAGGGAUUCAAGAGGUCAAUUUAACUCAAAACCCCAAAACCACAAAAUCCCUAAUUCUCAACUUAGGGUUUCCAUUUCAUCAGGAACACAAAAUCCAUGGUGAAUCUUUAAUCAAUCUAGUUUAGAAUCAUUUAGGAUAUCCAAAAAUCUCAUUUUCAAAGGAUUUAACAAAAAUUCUAAUUCAAAUCCAUAGAUCUCACCUUGGCCACCAUGGGCAAGAAGCUUGAUCCACCAUUAGAGAGCUCUUCCAAGUUGCUUCUCCAACUUGAAGCAUCCAAAAUCUCCCAUUUCUCCUCUUUGAUGGAGAGGUUACAAGAGAGAGGGAGAGAGAGGUGUUCAGAGGAAGAGAAAACCUUCCUCUAUUCUCUCGUGUUUGGAGAGAACUAGGGUGGCGUGGGAUAUACAUAUAGGCCCCCAAUCACUUAUUACAAUUUGUAGGUUAGUCCAGUUCAGAUCCGAUACGUCCAAUUGGAGCCCUUCUAAAUGUCCAUUUGCGCUUAAAUUAGAAAUACAGACUCAACUAAAGUCAAUUAGAAGUAAUUUGUCUUAACUUUUCAGUUUUGAAUCAUUUUAGGUCACUGAAAGAUAUACCGACUAAUAUUUUUAGCAGAUUGCUGUUAGGCUCUGUUUUCACUGCUCGAGGUAUCCGAAUGACAUAAAACUUUAAAUCUGGCUUCAAAAAAAUAGUUUCGACAAAUUCUCAAAUUUUCAUAAUUUUCUGACACUGAAUUUUUAUCUGAAAUAUAAGUUCUGUUCUUUACAGAAAAUUUCAAAUCACAUAUUUUCAUUUCAAUUUCAGCACAAGUCAUUUGCAACUUAUCUUGUAGUUCUCUAAAUUCAAUAAAAAUAGUAUCUCACACUAUUUUUAUUUACACUUGCAUAUAUAUUAAAAAUCCGGUGUAUUACAUAAAACCUCAACACCGGGCUCUUUUAUAAAACCUUUUGUAGAGAAAACAGUGAAAAGCAUACUUUUCUUUUAAUCAAAAGACCAUUCAGAACAUGAACAGAUCUGCCACUUGGGCAAGUCUCCCUUGUACAUUCAUGAUGCAAGGACAUAGAGUACAAUAUUCAACUAUCACAUCAGCCACAACAGUAAUAACAACAACACCAAUAGAUAGGUAAUGGACUAAUUGGAUAAAUAGAAAAACAGAUACUGUAAAGAGUUAUUAACAUUGAAAACCAAAAGAAGCUACCUGAAAAUACCAAAAACACCAAAUUGAAAACCAAAAGAAGCUACCUGAAAAUACCAAAAAUACCAAUCCACAACUACUAACAUGAAUAAUAACUAAAUAAUAGGAGUCUAAAACAGAAAAGGUAAAACUAAAUCUCGAAGUUACUGCUAGGGGGUCUCGUCUAUUUAAUAGCGCUCUCAUGCAUCGUCUCGAACCUCACCUCCAGCAUCACUUGUGGAUAGUGGGUGAGAAAUAUAUACACAUUUUUCAGUGGGUAUUGCAAGUCAUUGAAGGCAAGUUGUACUCACUGGUCAAUAUGAGAGAGCGACAAGAUAAAUACAUUAGGUAUAAAUAGGUAAUAACUGAUACAGUAGCAAAAAGUAAAACAAGAAAGGAAGCAUGCCACUAAAUAUCUGAAAUAAUACCACUACUGUAACAAGAUAAGCAAAUGUAUAUAUGCAUAAACCAAACAAAUAGUCCAAUAUCGAAAUGUCGCUGUGUUGGUCUGAAGACCUCAGACAACGCCACACGUGUGCUCAGUCACUUGUUAUAUAACCCCACUGCGAAGAUACCGCAUAAGGUUCACGGUCGGAACACUAUCACUUUUCUAGAAAAGAACAUCGUUGCAGCGGUCAAAUCGUUGGUGUAUGUGAAAUGCUGCAUGAGCGGGGGUGAUUGAUGAUUUGAUGUAGUAAGCUCAACAGCCAAACCAUCGGCAAAUAGCCGCGAGAGACAACUAGAUAGUCCACUGACCAAUAAAGUCACACAAUGUCACAAGAGUAAUAGUUAAGUAAUGAAAUAUCUACCGAUGUGUAACACUGACCAACUAGGUCAACAUCUGCUUUAUAAACGAGUAAUAAGAUAUCUACCGCUCUUCAACUUAAGAACAACCUACAUGAUGUAUCAACUAAAGUAGAGCAACUUUGAUGAUAAGUAGAACAACUAUCAGCGAUCUUGAGCACCAUUCGCUCCUGCAAGUUCAUCCAUUUUGUGAUUCAAAUUUUCCACAACCUCUUGUUUAGCAAGGACAUUGAAUUUUACGACACCAAAUAUCCUAAUUGUCACUUUCAAGUUUUUUGCCCUUAAUGAAGUUAGCAACAAAUUGUUUUGAGGUCAUUUUUAUCACAUCUCUAAUGAAUAAACGAAAAAUAAGUCAUAAGUGCGUAAAGGAAAAUUUUGCUAAGCUCAUAGUCACAUUUAUACGACCUACAACCUAUUUUUUCAUUAUUUAGUUCAGUUGUUUAAAAUUAUAAAAUUAAGAGGAAAACAUACAAUUUGCUCUCCAAAAAGGAGCGCCCAUUGGACUAAGUUUGCAUUUAGAAGAAAAAACACUACGCCAAAAUCUACAUCUUUGUCAUAAGGUAUAAUCAUUCUAUCAAAUUUUCAAAUGCAUGCAAUAUAGGAUCAUAUAAUAUGCCAAAUAAAAGUAUUUUUUUUUCCUUUUUUUAUACUCUUCUUUUUCGUGCUUGUUGCACAUAGUGUGUGGCUGGGCCCACUGGCACGUCGUUUGCUCGGCCUGAGCACCUAUGCCCUGCAGGUCCAGCCCAUUGUGUUAUUUGGCUCUUAUUGGUUAGUUAUUUGUUAUCCUUGAUUAUAAAUUGGAGAUAAACAUAGCUGUAGUCACAUUAGAUAACCAUAGUCUGACCAUGGGCACACUUGAUUUGGUUUGAGCAAAUGCCAACAGUACUUGAAUGAUUAAAGUUAAUUAGAUUUAUUCAUUUGGAAGAGAAGCUAUAUGAUUAAAUUCUCAUUUGAAUGAUAAGUGUUUUUAACUGGAAGGAGCAUAGGAUAUAUAUGUGUAAUGAAAAUUUUCUUUUGUAAUGUAGGAAAUUUGCAUGACUUGGCAGUGGAAUUGGAGGGCAUGGGAGGUGGUGGAAAGAUUCAUCUAGAGGUAAAUGUUUUUUUAUUGUAAUUCAUAAACAACAAUCAAAUGAAGGUAUUCAGAAGGGUUUUCCUUUUUUGAAUUUUGGAUCUUUAGUCAAAUUAAUUAGUUCUUAAUUGUGCCCUAUGAUUUCUUCUAGCUAUCAUAAUUAGCAAUUUUCCACAAUUCAGAAGCAUCAGAGCAUAAUUUUCAAGUCAUUGAGAAAUCCUUGUAGCAUUCUUAAAUUUUCUGUUAACAAAAUAUUCCCGUGAAGUUGUUAUUGUUAAUGAAGAAGUAUUAACAUUAUUGACAGAAUAAUGAUAUAUUCAUGAGAGUCUUUAAAGUAGCGAAGUAGACGUGUAAUGUAUGUCACACAUGAUUGAAGAGGCGAAAGUGUAUGUCUUUUUCAAACAAAAGAUUUUUUUGAUCAUCAUUGGGGAUCUAACUAUUUAUAUAUACUUAUGAAUUGAGAACCCAAACUCUCACUCUCUUUAUUUCACUCUUUUAAAAAAAUUUUUUUCACUUCACACACUCCCCCGAUAAACGUUUUUUUCGGGAACACACUCUCUCUCACUCUCUCUCUUUGUUUUUUUUUUUUCUUCACCCUGGGUGUCCCGGGGGGUUUGGGCCCCUCGGGAACNAAAAAAUUUUUUUCUUACUUUAUUUAUAUUUAUUUAUUUAUAAUUUAUAAUAUUAAUUAAUAUAAUUUAUAACAUUAAUUAGUAUAAAUAUACUAAUUUGGAACCCAGAAAAGACCUCCCCUUAUUUUGUGGAUUGUGGGGCCCACAUCAAUUUUCUAAAGGAUUAAUUGCACAUUGGGUCCCAAUCUUUCCACUCUUUUUUUAUUUUGGUCCCUAAUUUCUAAACUUUGCAUGUUUUUCGCUUUAGUUCCCAAACAAUUUUUUGAGAAUUAAUGUAUAUAAUAAUAUAACUACUGAUUUCUUCGCUAAUUUAAAAUUUAAGAAUCAAAUAUUUUAUUAGUUGUAUGUGUAGCGAUAAAAGUUAAUGAGAGCACAACGGAGACGUUGCCUCCAAGAAUACCAAAGAUAGUACUUUCACUCCACUUAAUUUAUUUAUUUAUUUUUUUUGUAAAUUCUACCUUGAUGAUAAUAGAAAAAUAUUAUUUAUUUUUCUUAAUACUGUAAUGAGCUUUUGUUUUAUUUUAAACUGAUUUAUUUAUUUUACUUCUUAGGUUAAAAUAUUUUUAGAAAAAAUAUACUUUAAUUUCAUUCUUUAAUUUAUUCUUUAAUUUUUAAUUAUUCAAUAUGGAGAUAAAUAAUAUUUAAAAAUAUUAAUGCAUAAUAGAAAAAAAAUGAUGUUAAUAAUUCUAAUAAUUUACUAUUAUAUUGGCUUCCCGCCGCAUCGCGCGGGGCCCCUUAACUAGUACGCAUGAAGAUAGCUAGAGAGAAACAUAAAAAAACUAUGGAACCGAAAUAAUACUUUUUAUUAUUGGAGCGAGGCCCUCUAACCUGAAAACCAUUUUGAAAUAAGCCCCUCAACUAUACUUUUGUUUUAUUGACACCUUUUUUUUAAAAUUUCAGAUUAUAAUUAGGUAAGUCAAAUAUUCGGUUAAAUUUAAUGGUACCAUUAGUGAUUGGUUAUUAAUUAUUUCAACUUAUUUACUAGAAAGUGAUUAAAUCACUAAAUAUCAUAAAAUCACUGAGAAACUAUGGUGCCCUAACAAUUCUAUAUCGGAUGGGAAAUUUAUUAUGAUUGAGUAGAUAACAAUCAGGGACCGUAAUACUAAUAGCUAGACUUAAGCAUUGGGGCCGACGGUUUGGGCAGAAGUUAUCAGUGCUAGUGGGAUGAGUUGUAUCUUCCGGUUUCAAAGCCAGAUUGCUAGUUGGAAGUGUGAUAUAAGUCUCACAUUUCUUAACUUUUGUUUUUCCGAAAAUGCCAAUAAACUCUAAUUUAAUGCCAAUUUUGUAUUAAGCAUCCUAUUCCUCGGUUGUGAUUAAUUGUUAUUAGUCUUACAUUUAAAAUUUACUUUGUCAAUAAUAAUUUUUUGCAAUACUAAUGGAGCUCAGAUUUGAUCCGGCGAAUGACAAAUAAAGUAUAUGUUUUUUUUGUUCGCAAAACACCCUACUUUCUCAUAGAAAGAAUACAAGAAGUAUUAUAUUAUCGCCUACACAUUCGCGAAGUAUAGUAGCUCUAAGCUAUAUAUAUNGAUCGUCGAUUUGGAGGCUCUAUCAUCGAAAACAAAUAGGUGGCAAUGGAGCCCGUUUGCUAUCGAUAGUAUUCUAGCUCAACUCUCUCUCUCUCUCUCUCUAUAUAUAUAUAUAUAUAUAUAUAUAAAACCAACUUCUUUAUGCUUUCGAUAGUAUAGUAGCUCUAAGCUACAUAUAUAUAUAUAAAGCUAGGCUCCUAUACUUUCGAAAGUACGGAGGCCUCCGUGCUUGUAAGUUGUUUUCGAUAAUGGAGCAUUCGAUUCGGCGAUCGGCUCCGUUAGACAUGAUCUAUGCUAUUGGACUAUUUAGAAUCCAAAUUUUAUAAUUUUUUGACUUCAUUUGCCUAGCGAGCGAGUAGGCUCAAAAUGACCGGCCGAAAAUAAAAAUCUCACAAAACAUAGUGAUAAAGGACUCAAAUUUCAAAUCGGAAGUAUUAUUCUUGCUCUUGAUGUUAUGUAGAAUUUUCUAUUAAAGUUUCAUGUAAUUUGGAUUCUUCUACACCGUUGAACUUUAAAACGUGCCACAUCGGCCGUUAAAAUAGUCAAUUUUGAGACUCUUUCAUCACUUGGUAAAUAAUGUCAAAAAAUUAUGAAAUUUGGUUUCUAAAUAGUUCUAAUAGCGUAGAUUAUGCUUAACGAAGCCGAUCGCCAAAUCGGAUGCUCCAUCAUAAAGAACAACUUACAAAUACGGAGGCCUUCGUACUUUCGAAAUAUAGGAGACAUUCUCUCUCUCUCUCUCUCUUUCUCUCUCUCUCUCUCUAUAUAUAUACAUAUAUAUAUAUAUAUACAUAUAUAUAUAUAUACAUAUACAUAUACAUCUAUAUAUAUAUAUACAUAUACANACAAUCAUAUCUAACAUGGUCCUACGUUGACUUAUUACAUAUUAUUCUUUUCCUCUAAAUAAUAAGUUCAAACAUUUUGAUUUAGUGCACUAAUUAUCACAGUAUGGUUAUUAAUAAUUCACCUCAAAUUUGAAUACUUCACUGAAUCACCAAUGAUAUCUAAACUUCUUAUUUAUACUGUAUCUCAUGAAAUUAAAUACAAAGAAAUGGAGUUAUAAAUUCUUUUAAUAAAACUUUGGUUUUUUUUUAAAAUUUUACAUUUUCAACAAAAAUGCCUAAUUUUGAAUUUUUUAACUUUUUUAUUUCUUACUAAAUUUCUGAAAUUUUAUCGAAAAAUUUAAAGUCGAUGCCAUUUAGCGAUUGGGGUUUGCCAUUUUGCAAUGUUCAGUGCUGUUAUUAAGUAUUUUGAUCAUAAAAAAUACAAGUUAUUAAUAUAUAUCUUAUAUUUAAAAAGAAUUAAUUUACAUUUUCUAGAUGCACUGCAUGUACACUUGACUAGUGUAUAUAUUAACUGUGUCGAAUAGUGUUUAACUGUUGGAAUAAUACAAAUUGCUUGAAUCUUCAAUUGAUUUUUUUUAAUUAUCUAGCAUAAAAUCUGCAACUUUGAUCUUCAAUUUCAGAUUCCUACUGCCUAUUUUUAGAAAGUUAUUUAAGUUUGACUUCAUUUAGUGGUCUAGAGCAAUCCGUUGAUUGAUUUUUUGACUAAAAAAAUUCUUUUGACUCUCUAGAUCAAGAUCUAUAAUUCUAAUCAUGGAGUUAAAUAUUCGAUCACCUACUUUUUGAAAGUUUGUUUGAUUUUGAUGGUUCAUUUUUAGGCCACUUGAUGAAUAGAAAAUUGUUUUCCAAAAUUACAAAAUUGAGUGCUAAGAAAGUUUAAAUAUGUGUGUGUGUGUGUGUGUGUGUGUGUGUGUGUGUUUUAUAUAUGUGUGUGUGUAUAUUUAUAUGCGCACGCUCACCCCAAAAAUUCAAUUGGUGAACAUUACAAAUUAGACCAAUUUUGUAUAGAUGAGUUUUGCGGGAGCUAGAUUGUGUUUGUAGAUUUAAUGAACUUCAUUUUAUUUAAUUAUCUAAUAUAUAUAUAUGCACACACUCACACGCACACGCACACGCACGUGCACACACACACACAUAUAUAUAUAUGUCACGCCCAGACUCCAGCGGAAGCCUACCCGACGCGUGCACAGACCCGUUGUAUGCACAAGGUAGCCCCUGGUGCACACAAGGCGUCUAUAAUAAACAAUCAAGAGAAUGAACAAGGAAAAGUAAUCCUAGUAUGAUAAUCAGAGCAUAUGUACAAAACUAAUCACUGAAACAACACAUGGAAGGAAGGUAAUACAACUAUAUAUAGAUAUCCAAAAGAAUAUACAUCAUAGUAACCCAAGUAACUUAACCAAAUAUUUUAGGCGGUCUCUAUACAAUAGGGCCAAAUAUACCUCUUCAAACUAACACAAAACGGAAGGUGUCCACCUACACGGAUAUCUCCCAGCUAGCUCUAGCUAGACGCGACUUUCUUGCCGCGAUCCCUAGCCUCUCCCGCAGUGGAUGGCUCUGAAAACAAAAACAACAAAAACAUAGGAAUGAAAACUAUUAAUCAAUAGUUUCCAGUGGGUAAGCUGCCGAGAAAAGUGAAUUGCACCACUAGGUCAGCUGAGGCAUAAGUAGGUAAUAAAAUGACUAAUGAUAUAGCAUGAAUAUUAAGCAAGAAUUAAAAUGCUAGUACUACUAUGCCUCCAAUUUGCUAUGCUAUUUAACAUGUAAGAACACUACUCUAUCAUAUGAAUGAGCAUGUAAAUAGCUAAUGUCAUAUACAAAUGCCAUGCACUAUCUAGUAGUGAUGUCCAAUUAUUAUGAUUAAUUAUUAUUACCCAAUUAACGAGGACCUACACAAGGUGUAGUCUUGGCUUGUGCCGUGCCUAAUGGCCCCGUGGUAGUCAACAUUCCUCCUUUAGGAAUGAGUCUCGUCCACGACAAUCCACUUCGGUGCCCAAUCCCGCACUGGCGAGCAUGAUGUCGUGUAGGCUAACUUCGGAGUGCCGGCUUGUAGAGAGCGACCCUCAUAAGCUUGUGCGAAUGAGCACAAUGAAAAGUAAGUGUGAUCAACAACAUAGAGUUCUCGAUCAUCAUGUCUAAAAUAAGCAAUGUCAACUGUCGACCUAGAGGUCGAGUACUAUGUCACAAUGUGAAACUAUAGUUAUUCAACUAAGUCAAGUACACAAAGUUAAGUUCAUAUUUUGCUAUUACCAUACCAUGUGUCAUCUUUAUAUUGUCUACAACAAGUAUGUUAAGAACAUGUAAGUUGAUUCCCUAAGCAUAUAAAGUCCAAUAAACUUAUUCUUUAUUCAUCCCUAACAUGUUUUCUAUUAUUGUAUAAAAGGGCAAAUACUAUUAUACUCCAUUUAGACUGCAAACCCAUAUCACAUACCUCUACUAUAUAGAGUAUGAUAAAUUUCUAUAUAUAACAUGUAUGCCUUAUGUAUUAAAAAAUUCCAUUAUGAUGUAUCAUGUAUCUAACAUGAAUAUGCAUGAAUUUCAAUUUUAAAAUAUUAUGGAAGACAUAGGGGGAGUUAACCCAUUUCGGUGAGAUCAAACCCACCGGAUACCCCUCGAUCUUCUUCGUUUCCUGGAACAAAGUUGUUCUCUAGUCUCCUAGCACCCUAACAAAAAUUUUAAGAGGGUUAGAAGCUUCUAACAAGCUCCCCACGAAAUUCAUCAAAAAUCACAUAAAAAAUAAGUAGAAAAUACCUUGGAUCAAGAGAAACUUGUCCAAAACUCCAAUCAAGGCUAGGAAGUUUCAAUUCCUACCUAAAAGAGAAUUUUACAGCCAUCAAUUAGGUUCCAAAAACCUCACAACAAGAAAUCCUCAAUUUAAAUCCUAGUUUUUCAAAACUAGGCUUAAUUCCACAAAUUCUCAAGAAUUCACAACCAAAGUGAUAAUAAGAUUACUAACCUUAUAGGAAGCUCCAAACCAAGCUAAACCUAAGCUAGGGUUGGAUAUUAAUCCUCAAUUAAGCUUCCUUCUUCACUUCCAAGUCUUCUUCAAAGUCCACCAAGCAAGCUUCUAAGGAAAGGAGGAAGAAAAUAAGAUGAAUUCUCAAAUUCCUAAGAGAAUUGAAGAAGAAAUCAAGAGAUAGAGAGAAAGGGAACUCAUCACUUCCUCUCUCUGUUCUCAGCACAAACGAACAGUGAAUGAGGAAGGAUGGGUUUAUACACUAAUGUAACAAUCCCCAUUAGACCCCUCAAAAUUCCAGAAAUUGCAAACUAAACGAAAUUACAUUCUGCAGCAUUGAGUACUGGUACUUAGCCCAGUACCGGUACUCGCAACCCGAUUCCUCAAAACUCGAGAGCUGCUUAUUUUGGCACUCUAUAGUGUUUCGGUACCCUACUUUGGUACCGGUAUUCAGCACUAAAAACCUGCAGUUUGUAGAUUUUAAUGUCAGGAACCCUUUCUCGCGCCUACAAAGCACAAGUCAUGGGUCGAUAUUCUACCAACGAUCCUAAACACCUAGAAUAGUACAAAAUACUAUUCUCGCACUAGAACCUUGCAAUUUGCUAAGGUUUAGUGUACUGCAUUCUCCCCUCCUUAAAAGGAGUUUCGUCCGCGAAACUAAUAAUCAAGUAUCUUAGGAAUCCAUCUGAAAAAGAUGGGGAUAACGCUCCUGGAGUGCACUUUCUAACUCCCACGUAGCUUCGCGCUCGCCAUGGUUGUUGCAGAGCACCUUCAGAUAUGGAAUUUCACGAUUCCAAAGCUUCUUUACCUCACGAGCCAAAAUUCUCACAGGUUGCUCCUCAAAGCUCAAAUCCUCGUGUAUCUCUAACGGAGUAGAGUCCAAAACAUAAGCUGGAUCGAAGACAUACUUCCGGAGCGUGGAAACAUGAAAUACAUUGUGUACUCCCGAUAGGUUCUGCGGCAAAGCAAGCCGAUAUGCUAUUAGGCCUACACGCUCCAAAAUCUCAUAAGGUCCAAUAAAUCAAGGACUCAACUUCCCUCGAAUGCCAAAUGUGUUAAUUCCUUUCGUCGGUGAGACCUUCAAAAAGACAUGAUCUCCUACCUGAAAUUUCAAUUUUCGCCGACGUCUAUCAGUAUAGCUCUUCUGCCUACUUUGAGCUGUAAUCAACCGCUCUCGCGCGAGGCAAACUUUACCUUCAGCUUGUAGCAUAUCUGGGCCCAAAACUAGCUUCUUAUCUACUUCACUCCAAUGAAGAGAUGAUCGACACUUUCUUCCAUAAAGAGCUUCAAACGGUGCCAUCUUGAUGCUUGCUUGAUAACUGUUGUUGUAAGCAAACUCUGCCAUAGAUAGGUAUUGAUGCCAUCCGCUUUGGAAAUCCAAAACACAAGCUCAGAGCAUAUCCUCCAGAAUCUGGAUAGUACGUUCGGAUUGCCCAUCACUUUGAGGGUGGAAAGCAGUGUUGAAAUCCAGUCGAGUACUUAGUGCUUCAUGAAGACUCCUUCAAAAAUGCGAUACAAAUCGGGGAUCUCGAUCUGAUACUAUAGAUGUAGGCACUCUAUAUAGUCGCACAAUAUCAUCAAGGUACACUUGUUCGAGUCUCUCGUCCGACCAAGUGGUGUGAAUAGGAAUGAAAUGGGCAGAUUUUGUUAACCUAUCCACAAUCACCUAAAUCGCAUCAUGCCCGGCUUGAGAGCGAGGCAAGCCUACAACAAAAUAUAUCGUUAUUUUCUCCUACUUCCAUACGGAUAUGGAUAAACUUUGCAGUUUCCCCGCAGGAAGUCGAUGCUCAGCUUUUACCUGUUGACAAGUUAAGCAUCGAGCUACAAACUCUCCAACAUCCUUUUUCAUUUCGGGCCACCAAUAAUGCAACUUUAAAUCCUUAUACAUUUUUGUACCGCUCGGGUGGAGAGUGUAGGGUGCUGGAUGAGCUUCCAACAAGAUUUCUUCUAUAAUCCCCGACUCUGCUGGCACACAAAUUCAAUUGUGAAAUCGUAGCAAGCCUUGAUCAUCCACAUGAAAAUCACCGGCGUGUCUAUCAAUGAUCCUGGAUUGAAUCUUUUGCAAUUCCACAUCUUGGACUUGUUUUUCCUUAAUUCUUUCCAUCAAAGUAGGUUGUACAACCAAUGACAUUAAUCUCAAAGGCGUGUCAGGAGCCACUACUUCCAAUUCCAACCGUUUCAUCUCCUCUAUCAACGGUGGCUGGGAAACAACUAACAAUGCCAAAUUUUCCACCGAUUUGCGACUCAAAGCGUCUACCACCAUAUUAGCUUUUUCCGGGAGGUAAAGGAUAGUCAAAUCAUAAUCAUUGAGUAGCUCUAACUAUCUGCGCUGCCUCAAGUUCAACUCCUUCUGCGUAAAGAGAUAUUUCAAACUCUUGUGAUUUGUGUAAACUUCACACCGCUCGCCGUACAGGUAAUAACGCCAUAGUUUUAAAGCAAAAACUACAGCCGCCAAUUCUAAAUCAUGUGUAGGGUAGUUCUUUUCAUAAUUCUUUAGUUGGCGGGACGCAUAAGCAAUUAUUUUUUCAUCCUGCAUCAAAACACAUCCCAGACCAUUAAGUAAAGUAUCACUAUAAAUCACAUACCCCGCUUCGGUGACCGGCAAGGCUAAAAUCGAGGCGGUUGUCAACCGUUCCUUCAACUCGAGAAAGCUUUUUUCAUACAUAUCAUUCUAAAUAAAUUUGGUGCCUUUAUGUGUGAUCCGCGUGAGGGGAGUAGUCAAUUUAGCACAUCCUUCGACAAAUCUCCGGUAGUAUCCGGUGAGAUCGAGGAAACUCCGAACCUCUGUCACAUUAGUUGGUCUCGGCCACUACUUGAUUGCCUCAAUCUUCUUAGGAUCCACUGCUAUACCUGCUCCCAAAAUUACGUCCCAAGAAUGCUACUUCGCGGAGCCAAAACUCACAUUUCUUCAACUUAGCAAAAAGCUUAUUUUUCCGGAGCACUUGUAGCAUUUAUUUCAAAUGAUCUUCAUGCUCAUUGCUUCGGGAAUACACCAAGAUGUCGUCGAUAAACACCACGACAAACCUGUCUAGAUAAGGUUUAAAGAUACGGUUCAUUAAAUCAAUGAAAGUUGUCGGGGCAUUAGUAAGCCCAAACGGCAUAACAGUAAAUUCAUAAUGUCCAUACUGUGUUCGAAAAGCCGUCUUAGGAACAUUUNAAAGAUCAAUAACUCUGAUCUUAAAUUGAAGGAUCCGAUCAUCCAUUUUUUGGACGUCGUUUGGUUUUGAUCGUUCAUUUUAUGCCCGUUUGAUGUACUUUAUUAUGAUUUCAAAAAAUUACGAAAUUUAUUUUAUUUUGGCUUUUUCUUUUUUGUUUGGUUCUCUGGGGUAUCGAGCCCCCCUCCCGGGCCACCUAUAUUGUCUUUUUUUUUUUCGCUUUAUUGUUUUUUUUUCAACUUUUUUUUGCUUUUUGACGGAUGCCUUUUUUUUAACUUCUUAUUUAUCAAUAUAGGAGUAAAUUUUUAAUUGACAUACCUGAUCCAUACCGCUUCCACCACAGACAUCCAUUUUUUCUUCGCAAAAUAUUUUGUCAAAAAUUGUCGCACCGCGAAGCUUUCAGUGAAUCAAGGGAACAAAAAUCGAUCUCCUAAACAAAUUUUGAUCAGAUAUUUUUAAAAAGAAUAAAAGAACAAAAUAUGGAUGUAAUAUUUGGAAUAUAUGACUUUCUCACAAUACCAGCAAUACUUAUAUCAAUAUUGUCAAAUAAAUCUUGUAUCUGCAGAUGACAAUACGCCAUAUGAUCAAGCGUGACGAUCUAUGUAGAAUUAAGCAGUAAUCUCUAUAUAAAGAUGUAAAUUUAAAUAAUUAUUGUACUUGUGAAUUUUAUUAUUGUAUUUUAAUUUUUAUUCUACAUCAGGUAUAGUUGUAUUUUAUUUAUAAAAAGCUUAUAUGUAUAUUAAUUGAUGAAUGUAGUAAGGUAUAUAUAAUAAAUAUUCAAAAUUAUUUAUUUAAAUCUUUCAAAAUAACAUUAUAAGAGUUUAUUAAAACCAAAAAAACUGAAAUAAGUCCGUGCCAAAGCGUGCCACUAGGAGGUCACGCGUAUCUAUCGGCAUGCAAGCGUGCCUGUGCCGUACCGUGCGAGGGACAUAACGACACGACCCCGUGCCACGGCACUUCCCCGUGCCACGGCACUUUAAUCCUUGCUAUGUUCUCGUCAGCUCAUCUUUCAGCAUUACUAAUUCCUGCUUCAUCAGCAAUUAUUCUGAAUGGUCGUGGUGGAUCUCCAGGCUCAUCGAGUAAUGGGUCCUCUUGAUUGUCUCUAUCUUGUAGCCAAUUAAGUACGGGGUCUGAUUCAUCAUUGAUAAAACUUGCAUCCAAGGGAUCAUAAGUUUUUAAUUCCUUUUUCUUAUCAUACUCCUCUUGCAUGCAUCUUAAACGGAGCCUCAUAUUAUAUUGGAUAUAAACUAGCUUCUCUAAUCGAGCGUACUCUAAUCGGUUACGCACUUUGGUAUGUAUAAGUGCGAACGUGCUCCAGUUGCGUUCACAUCCACUAGACAUUGUCGUUUGAGAUAAAACACGCACAACAAUCUUUUUUAAAUGCUUUGCUGAUCCACCAUAUUGUAGCCACCACUUAGCUGUACAAUUAAAAGUUAAAAAUAUAUCAAAUAAGAUUUAUCGUCAGUUGUAAACUGUCCAAAUUAUGGAGUUACUUACUAGGAUCGGUAUUGUGUCUUUCGUUAAUUGCAUCGCUUCACCAAAAGUUCCAGAGGAUUCACGAAAUAUUUUUCCCUUUAUUAUGAUAGUAUAAUAAUCAGAAAUCAGUAUAUUAACAUCUAGCAAACUAAUAAUACAUUGAAAUAAUAUUAUACCUCACUUAUGGCAAGAGUAGCAUGUGUUAGAUCCGUCUCCAAUCUAUUGAUAACGUUUCGUAAUUCCUUCAACAGUUCAUCAUCAAAUCCAAGAUUAUAACGAUGAUGGUACGAUGGAUUAAGAUAAUAACCUAUCAUUAAGAAAGAAAUCACUCCAUCAACAAUACAAGACAAUCAGUUAUAAAUAGUUUUGUUAUAAUUUAUAACUUACCUGCUAGGUGUAGAUCCCGGCUCAUCUGGACGUCUCAACGUCUGUCAAUAAUUUUUAGAAAAGAUUGACACCGUAGCGGAUUAUUUUUUUUAAUAUUAUUUUUAACCAUCCUCAGUUUAUAAUAGACAUGUCCCCUUUGAGGUAUUUUUUCCUGAUCCACUAAACGGAGGGCCACAUAUAGCGGCUCCACAAUAUCAACAAUCUCUUUCACAUAAUCCCAAAACUUGGCAGACAGAAUUAUUUGCUCAAUCGAUUUUCCAUCAGCCGUGGAGGCAUAACGAGAUGUUUGCCAUUCAUCUGAUGCAAAUAUGGACUUUAAUCCAUUUUUAUUUUGAAGGAUACUGUUUAGAGCAAUAAAAUUUGUUGCAAAUCGUGUGAUACCAGGACGUAAGAGUUCUCGUCCUGUGAAUUUCACCAUUAAAGCAUGGACCCAAAGAUGAUUAUACAAAUACUUAGAUAUACAUUGUGCAGUAUCUACAAUUUUUUUCACCCGAUUUAUCUCACCAAAGUCAGACAUCAUUAGGUUGAUGAAAUGCGCUGCACAAGGAGUUCAAAAUAAAUGUGGAUGCCUUUGCAUUAAUAGUUUGCCAGCUUUCUUAAAGUUUGCACCAUUGUCCGAUAUAACUUGUACCACAUAUUUCUUACCAACCUCACGUAACACUUGUUCCAAUAGUGCAUAUAUAUAGUCAGCAUCUUCAAAUCGACCGGUUGCAUCGAUUGAUUUGUGAAAGAUCACCUUGCCAUUACAAUAAAUUAAAAAAUUUAUAAUGCUCAUUUUUGUUGGUCCUGUCCAACUAUCACACAUCAAAGUCACCAUACAUCUCCCACAGCUGUUUCAAGUUUUUUACCCAUAGACCUUGGCGUCAAGGUAUUUGCCAGAGAUCUCAUACGGCGUUGGGGGUUCAACUCCUUGACCCUUUUUUUAUAUGGUAGCAAUCAUUGAUCUAUAAUAUAGAGUGCUUGCUGCAUUGGAAGGAAUAUGACUAAAGUGAAAAAACUUUGCUAUUGCUCUACCAAUUCUACAUUUUUUAUCUUUUUUUAACAUUGUAUCUAUACGUUGUUGUUGAGCAUCUGAGUGUGGAAAUGCCAUUGGGUCUAUAUCUAUAAUAUUUGGAUGCCUAUCACUUUUUUCUUUUGGUCCUUUUUUAAAUCUGUCAAACAAAUGGCUAACAGAACCACUGCGAGCUAAACCAGAUGGUGCAGACCCAAGCCCAGACCCACCACCGGUAUCAAACUGAGAGCGUCCAAAUUGUGCUCUAUGUCGUUGGACUUCAUCUUGCUGCCAUCUUUCUUGUGCAGGUGCUUCUAUGGCAGCUCUAGUAUCAGCAUCUAAUUCCUCACCUAUACAUUCAUAUGAGUCAAUAGGGGGAUAUUCUGCCGCUCGUUUAUCUAGUUCACCUCGAUCAUCUCUUUUUUUUUUGCUAAUUUUGAUGAUUCUAACUCAAUUUUCAUUGCAUGUCUUAUUUCUUGAGGGACUUUAGGGCAGUUCGAUACUUCAGAAAAACUCCCAGCAAUAUGUUUCUUUAGGCGAGUGACACCUCCGCCCUUUCCGACCAUAUUACAAUAAUUGCACUUCCAAUGAAACCUAUUUCUAUCAAUCAUUUGUCCAUGUUGCCAACCAUAAUCUUUUGAUUGUUUAGGUGGCAUUAUGAUCUAUAAUUAUUGACAUCCAAACAAAUAAAAUAAAAUCUAUUCCAGAAAAAUAAGAAAAAGAACGAUAUGAUGAAAAAUGUAUCAUAUCUACCAAGUACCAACUUUGAAAAUUCGUUUGUUUUUAUUUUUAUUUUUGAUAAAUUUGAAAAAAUUAUAACAGAUAAAAUUAUCGAAAAUUUUAUUUUUUUUCUAAAAACUUUUCAAGAUCUCUAUAUUGAUUCAAUUAUAAAACAUAUAAUGACUAGAACAACUCAAAUAGGACCGCAAUUACAUCCAUAAUUUUUUCCUUUUUUAUUCUUUUAAAAAAUAUAGUAUAAAAUACGAAGUUAGCGAAAUAGUUUUCUAAAAAUUAAUUUAAAUUUAUUUAUAUUAUUUUUUAAAAUUAUUGCAGGUUAUAAUUUUCAAAAUACAAAGACAUCUUUUUUUUUGCUAUUUCUUUUGAUCGUAUUACUGCCUUUCUUUUACAAGAUACAAAAACAUAAUUUUAAAAUUUUUUUUGUAAUUAUUUUUAAAUAUUUUUUUAUUAAUUUUUUUUUUGAAAAAUUGUUAGAUCUUCAAAAGAAAUAGCAAUAAACUAAAUGACAAAUAAAUUAAAUAAACUUAAAUAUCAAUUGAUUUCAUUUGGCUUUUAAUUUUAUCAAUAUUUUAUAUCUUCUAAUGCAAAAAAAUAAAUUAUGAUUGAUGUUGUUUACCCUGAUUCGCUGAACGCUUCACGGUGCGAGAAAUUUUGAUAAAAUAAUUUGCUCAAAGAAAGUGGAUGUCUGUGGUGGAUCAGAUAUGUCAAUUAAAAAUUAGCCCCUAUAUUUAUAAAUAAAAAAUUUAAAUUAUAUUUUUUUUGACUUACCUAACAAGAAAAUCUGCGAUAUGAAAUAUUUUUGCCUUCUUUUCAAGCGACUUCUUUUCAAGCGACGAAAGAAAGAGGACAAAUAAUUUUAGGAAGAUAUGUAAGAACUGAAAAGAAAAAAGAGAGAGGAGAAGAUAGCUAAGGUUGCUAAGUACCGGCAAAAGAAAGAAAUGGGAAGAAAGAAUACGAAGGAAAGAAAGAUGGGCGCGGAGGUCAGGAGGCGAAUUUGCAUGAAUUUAUAAUCUCACAACCUUUGCAUUAUAGUUGUUUGGCCCUGGCCUUUGGGUUACCCAAAGGCCAAACAAAAAGACAAAAAAAAUUAAUUACGCUGUAAGCAUGUGACAUGAUGCCCACAGCAACCCGAAUGCCAAAGAAAAGGACAAAAAAAAAAACUUAGGCUGUGGGCAUGUGACAGAUGCCCACAGCAAAAGCAGAUCCAAAGAGGAAAAAAAAAGAAGCAAAAGCAAACAAAAAAACAAAAGCCAAAAAAAAAAAAAACAAGGGCACGGCACGCGGCACAGUGCCGCGGCACUUGACCGCGUGUCGCUUUGUCUCGAGCGGCACGGGUCAUGUGCUGCAGCACAUGGGGGGGGUUCGAGACCCCCCCUGUACCGUGCCCCCUUCUUGGGGGCACGGUAUGGCACGCCUCGUGCCGUACGGCACGGGGUGGCACCUUAUUCCUUGGUUGGGAUGAUGGUGGUGGGUGGUGGUAGGUGGUGGUAGGUGGUGGUAGGUAGAAUAGUGUUUGAUCCAAAAGCUAUUAAUAAUAAAGGAGUAGAUCUAAGAGCUAAAAACUUAGAAGCACCAAGAAGGUGGUGCUUCUAAAAUAUUACAAUUCAUAUAGCUAUAAUUAUAGUAUAGAAGAAGAAUUACUUUUAAUUAAUAUAUAGUAUAUAUAUAUAUAUAUAUAUAUAUAUACUAUACUAUAGAGUUUGCUAGAAUACUUAGUAAAAACGAAAAAGCCGUUUUACACCUAUAUUGUUUUUCGAAUGAUAGAGCUUCAUAAUUGAGAACGGCCUUACCGUUGAACAUGAUCUAUACCAGCUUGAUAGUGUUUAGAACAUCACAAAUUUCAAAAUAAUUUCGACAUCAAAUUUUGCCUAAUGAUCAAAGGGUUUCAAAAUUGUAAUUUUAAUGUCGACUCACCAGAGCGUUUUCCUCGUUAACGACGUUAAAGCAUAUCCAAUAUCAUGUGCAUUUUUGUUAGAAAAUUUUUAAACUAUUUAAAACAAAAUUAUACUCUGAUCUUGAUUACAAGACCCUAUUCAUCAUUUUUUAAAAAUAUAUCCAUUUUCAGCCAUUCAUUUUCUCCUGUUCACAUUGAUGGAUAAAGAGAACAAUAUCGAAAGGCGUUGAAAAUUUGAUUUCUAGCAUAGUUUUAAAUGGUUUAGAUCAUAUUAUAACAGAGUCGAUCUCAAUUUGGAAGCUCUAAUCAUCGAAAACAAUCGGUAGUAAAGGCUGCGUUCACUAUCGAUAGUAUUCUAGCUCAACUCUCUUCUCUCUCUCUCUCUCUCUUCUCUCUUCUCCUAUAUAUAUAUAUAUAUAUAUAUAAUAUAUACGUUGGGGCUACUAUACUAUUAUGAGUAUUGGGCCAUUCGUUCUCAUAAUGUUGUUUUCGAUGAUGGAGUUCCGAAUCGACGAUCCAACUCCGUUUAAAUAUGAUCUAAAUAUUGAAACUUCUAGAAAAUAAAUUCGUAAUUUUUCGAAAUCAUAAUAAAAGCUCCAUUAAGCGGCGGCCAAAAAUGAACGGUCAAAAUCGAACGAGUCUUAAAAAAUGGAUGCUCGGAUUCUUCCCAAUUUAGAUCGGAGUUUGAUUCUAUAUCUAGGUAGUGAAUUAGAAUAUUUCUAUCAAUUCAACCAUUCGAUGCUUGCAACCGUUAAACUAACAAGUAUUCCAUACUGGCUUUAAAAAUUGUUAAUUUUGUGAGCUUUUGAUCGUAAGGUAAAUGAUGUCGAAAAAUUAUGAAAUUUGAUUUCUAGAUGUUUCAAAUGCUCUAGAUAACGUUUAAUGGUGUGGAUCGUCGAUUCGGAAGCUCUAUCAUCGAAAACAACUUAUGAGUACGAGGGCGAUCGUACUCAUAAUAGUAUAGUAGCCGACUCUCUCUCUCUAUAUAUAUAGAGUUGAGCUAGAAUACUGUCAAAAGCACCAAGAGGGUGGUGCUUUUGAGUUUUUAGCCAUUGGAUGGAGAGAUAUAAGGUUGGGAUGAUGGUGGUAGGUGGUGGCAGGUGGAAUAGUGUUUAAUUCAAGGGCUAUUAGUAAUCAAGGAGUAGAUCCAAGAGCUAGAAACCUAGAAGCAUCAAGGAUUUGGUGCUUCUAAAGUUAUUCUAGCUCAAUUCUACAUAUAUAUAUAUAUGUAUAUAUAUGUAUAUAUAUAUAUACACAUAUAGAGCUAGGCUCCUAUGCUUUCGAAAGUACGGAGGUCUUCCUGCUUGUAAGUUGUUUUCAAUGAUGGAACAUCCGAUUCGGCGAUCGGUUCCGUUAAACAUGAUGUACGCUAUCGGAGCUAUCUAGAAACCAAAUUUCAUAAUUUUUUGACUUCGUUUGUCUAGUGAACGAGUAGCCUCAAAAUGAACAGCUGAAAAUGAAAAUCUCAUAAAAAACAAUGAUAAAGGACUCAAAUUUUAAAUCGGAAGUAUUGAUCUUGCUAUUGAUGUUAAGUAGAAUUUUCUAUUAAAUUUUUAUGUAAUUUGGAUACUUCUACAUCGUUGAACUUAAAAACGUGCCACAUCGGCCCUCUCUCGAAUAGGUAUAAAUCUCUAGACAUAGCCCUCUCUCGAAUAGGUACACCCUGUGCAGCUCGUCCCUCGCAAUUGAACGGCACGCAGUUAAGCAACCACGUGAACUCCCUGAGGUACUCCUGCAUUGAUCUGUCUUCCUGCUGUAGAUUCUUUAGAUCUUUUUUGAGUUUCUGCUUUAUGCUGUUCGGAAAGUAGGUCUUACACAGUAAAUCAUGGUACUCAUUCCAAGAUAUCUGCUGGGUGCCUUGAAGUCCACUGGGUCUAGCCCUCCGCCACCACGCAUUCGCAUCUCCCUCCAAACAGUGCACUGCCAUGUGUACUCUCUCUGCGAUGAAGAUGUCCUCAAAUAGCUUCUCCAUGGCUGCCACCCAAGCCUCCACUUCCUAAAGCUCAGCAUCACGGCCUGCAAAUCGAGGUAGAUCAAAUCUACGGAAAUGGGCCAACCGCUCUGGUAAUCCGCUCCUGCUCCGCCUCUGUCAACGACUUAUCCUCCCUAGAUACCUCUUUACUAGGCGACAACGCUGUCGGUGCUGUGAUUGUUGAAGGUGUAGGGGCUGUGGGAAUCUUUGCUGAUGUAGUUGGUUGUGGUGCUUGAGGUUCUGAAGCUCGCGGUGCCGUGCUAGACCGCUGUGUCAACACCUCGCACAUACUCUCUAACAGUGCACCCUGCUGCCUGGUAAUCUCUGUCAAGGCAGCCAACAGCUCCCGAAGAUCCAGUGGUACACUCGGUCCGUCUGCUCUGGCUCCGUGGGUGGCGGGGGUGUGGCCUGUGUCGGUGGUCGAUCUCUGCGCGUCAUCUUGAUCACCUGCAAUAGCACAAUGUCAGUCACACACAGUAACUCAGCACUAGAUCCAAUCCAGCGGAAGUCCAAGACGUCUCUUCGCCUGUGUAAUUAUGUUGUCUACAGCUGACUUAAGUACCCAACAGGGGUAGACAUGCUGAUCACUCUUCAAUUCUUUUUGAAGAUUUUAUACACAAUUCAAUCAUUGACUUUCGCUAAAAGUCACGACUCUCACGUCUUGCUUUCCUAAGGUCGGCCAAAAGCCUAAGGUUUUCUAAGUCCCAUCGACCUAUCCUAAAGCUCUAAUACCAACUUAACUUGUCAUGCCCUCGGUUAUACCCACCAACUUAACUUGUCAUGCCCUAGGUUAUAUCGGAAUCCGGGCUUGCCAACAGAUCUGCCGCAUACAUGGGAAGCUCUGUGCCUACGAAGUGGUAGUACCUGCUCAAAGUAUAAUGAAGCCAUACAGAAGAGCAAAAUAGAGCUUAAGUACAAAACUAGCUAUAGAUUGAAUUGUACAUAAACAUCAUCCGAAUACAAGAUCGAUCCAUCACCCAGAUGUAAAAAUAAAUACAACCAAUUGGCAAAAAUCAGACCCAAAAUGUACAAUAGUCUGACAAAAAUAAUAUCCGGAUCCACAACUAGCCCACAAAUUUACACUAGACAUAGAGUGCAGUUUGCAGUUUUCGAUGUGUUAGUUCAGACCACCUAGAGCGCAAAUCCAACCAUGGAUUGGAUGAAACUUAGCGGGCACGUGUCUCAGAUCCCAAAUUACCAAGAAGAGCAAUAAAAUCCAAAGCAUCCCUGUUGGAUUGAGCUGAAUAAAAAAUCGAGCUAAAUUCCAAGGAAACGGCGAUUCGGUUGGAAAAGCUAAAAUUCUGCGAUGCAUACCUCAAAUCAGCAGCUCAAUCUUAAAUCAUAGGUUCCUCUCAACCUUAGGAACACCCAGGAAUCUUCAAAUCGCAGCAACGAAGUCACAAUCAAAAGGAGUUUCGAAAAUACUUCGCUGCUGUCCCUGCACUAGGCUGCUGCUGUCGCUGCUGCUGUAGCUGAGUUCCGGCGGCUCCUACAGCUAUUCCAGCAAGCUUACAACCAAGGCAAUGGGAAAGACCACAACACUCCCAAGUGUGUCCCCAAGCUCCUAAUCCGUCAAAAAAACUCCAUAGUUACCACGAAAUCACCAUGAAAAGGUGAUAAAAAAACUCAAGAACACAAACACCACAAAAUUCUGAUUUUGGGUUGAACUCAAAAACUGAAAUUUACUAAAAACCAACCAUUGAUUCAGCUCAAACGAAGUUCCCACUUGCUUUGGAUGAAAUUAAGAUUCUCCCCAACCAAAAGAAAGCUCAGCUUGAAGAGAAAAAUCCAAAGAAAAUGCAUCAAAAUCUCAGCUUGCUCAAAAACUGGCAGCUUUUACCGAAACUUCAAUAAAUCCAAAAAUACAUGGAGAUUUGAUGAAGUGAAGUCUUCCACAAACUCUUAACUUCAAGAACUAGCUGUGCAUGCAUCUCUCCUACAAUUCCAAGGUUUGAAACAUCAUCAAAAUCCAAGAGGAAGUUGAACUCCUCAAGCUGCCAUGCUGUUGCUGCUGUGAGAGUGCUCCAAUAGUGAGUAGAAGAAGAGUAAUGAGGGGAGUAGAAUGUGAGGGAGAAGGAAAUGAGAGUAGAAGAGUGAUGACCUCAACUGGUACUACACUCCAAACUCCCAAUUAGGAGGAGUUGGAGGUCUAAGUAGAGCCUAAACCCCAACAUAACUCAUUAUAGUAUUCCGGCGGAGAUCAAAAGUACUUAGGAAUUAUUUGCGAUACCAAUUUCGUGUUCGAAUCAAUUCCGACUUGUUUGAACACUUUUUUGACAUGUUGCUUAAUUCACGAACUGUAAUCAUUCCGAAAAAUAAAAUUUUAAAAUAUAUUUAUAUGUAUAUAUUUUUCGAAACACUAUGGAAUGAGCAAUAGUAUGUGAGUCAUCAUCAACCAAGAUAUUGGUGCUAGUCUGCUACAUGAAGAUCAUGAAUAGUCAAAUAGCUAAGAGAAGAGUGAAGUGAAUGGAACCAAGUCAUCAGGGUUUCACUAAAUCCAUUUCUGAUUGCUGCACCUACCUUAAAGUAGCUGUUUCAAUGGACACGUUAUGUCACGCCCCAGGACCCAGCGGAAGCCCGCCCGGUGCGUGUCUAGACCCGCCAUAUGUCUACAACAUAUAAGGCGUCUACAACAAAGCGAUAAUUAAAACAAAAGUAAAUAGGUAUCUAGAGAUAUCAUAUCAUGAUUACAACUAAGUUCUAAUGACAAGAAGAAUAAUAAACGAACUAAACAACUAACAUAAUCCAUAAGGUAGAUACAUCAAAAGAUCCAAAUACAAGUGCUAGAUAUACAAAAAUAGUGGUAUCUACAUAAGGUACAAAACUCUCAACCUUUCCAAAUAAAACAAAAAGAGAGGUGAACCACCUAAAAGCAAGACCCUUCGAUACUAGCUAGUGGCGACACCCUUGCCGCGGUCCCUAGCCUCACCCGGUGCAGAAGGCUCUGUAACAAAAACAACAAAACAGGGGGCGUGAGAACUAUUAAUCAAUAGUUUCCAGUGGGUAAGCCGCCGACAUCAGCGAAAUACACCACUAGGUUAUGGAGGCAUAAGUAGUAUGUUCUAAUAUUUAAAUGAAAUGUACAACAUGUAUGUUAAGCAUGGAAUAAACUUACUAAACUACUAUGCCUCUACUUAGCAUGAAGUUCUACAAGUAUGUGAGCUAUUCUAACAUAAAUGAGCAUGUAUAUAAAUAGCAUAAUGUCCACAAGUACAACUAGUAGAAUGUCAACAUUUACUAAUUAGUCUAAUGUCCACAUUGCAUUUUAGUUCAAUAUUAUUCCAAUCACAUAGGACCUACACAAUGGUAGUCCGGCUUGCGCCGUGCCUAAUGGCCCCGUGGUAGUCAACAUUCCCACCCUAGGAAUGAGCCUCCCCCACGGCUUUCCAUUUCGGCACCCAAUUCCGCACGGGUGAGCAUAUAUCGCGAUGGCUAUCUCCGGAGUGCCGGCUUGUGGGGAGCGACCCUCACAAGCAUGUGCGAAUGAGCACAAUGGCAAGCAAAUGUAAACAUCCGUCUGAAGUCCAAAGUCAUCAUGUCUAAAACAUGGUAUAAAGGCUAAUGUCCCAAUGGCCUAUCACUAUGUCACCAAGUGAGAGUUUGUUCGUUUACAAAGUCGAAUGCCACUUUAUGACAUUUAUGUCCACUAUGUCAAGAAUGAGUUCUAUGUCCAAGAGUAUGUUAUAUUUGUCAUUUUCACUAUAUGAAACAUGAUUUUUAAGCCAUAUCAAAGAAUGCUAUUCACAUACAUAAUUGCUAUACACAUCUCUCUACUACAUAGAGGUGAUUUUUCAUGAAACAUAACACAUGUAUUUUAAGCAUUCUAAAAUUCACAUAUGCUCUAUCUAGCAUGAAGAUGCAUGAAUUUCAAUUUUUAUAACAAGGAAAAUAACAUAGGGGGAGUUCACCCAUUUCGGUGAGGUCAAACCCACCAAGAACUCCUUGGAUCCCUUUCGUUUGCGCCAACGAAGAUGUCCACUAGCCUCUUAGCUCCCUAGAGAAAAUUCUAAGGGGGAUAAGCGAAAAGAACGAACACUUCUAGAGUCAAACUUUAACCAACCUAAGAAAAGGGCAAAACUCACCUUGAAUGGUGAAAAACCCUCUCAAGCUCCAAAUGGAAGGUAGAGAACUUCUAUUCCCACCUAGAAGAAGGUUCUACAUCUAUCAAUUAAGCCCUAAAAGCCUCAAUUCAAAAACCCCCAAAUAAAACCCUAGAUUCCACAUUCUAGGUUUUCAUCUCAAAAACUCAAGCAAAACCACAAUCACAAAUAAUAGAGAGGUUACUAACCUUUCUUAAAGCUCCAAACCAAGCUAGAAAGGUGCUAGGGUUGGACUUCUUCCCUUAAACAAGAUCAAACCCUUACUUCAAGGCUUCUCUAAAGGUCCAAGAGCAAAUCCCAUGAAGAAGAAACAAAAGGAGGAGAUCAAACCUUGAAAUCCCCUAAGAAAAAGAGAUGAAAUCAAGAGAGAAAUGGUGGAGGAACUCACCUCUCCCUCCUCAGGUUGCAGUACAAAAGAACCCCUCAAAGGGGUGGGGUGCUAUUUAAAGAGAUGCUACAAUCUCAAAAAGACUCCUCAAAAACAUGCAGACUGCAGUCUGCACUACGUACCGGUACGCGGGCUGGGGUACCGGUACCAGGCCGUAGCACGCGCAAACCCGAGCCUCGGGUAAUCGAGCAGACGCGCAGGGUACCGGUACUUCCCCAAUGCCGUACUGGUACCAGGUCCAGUACCGGUACCAGGCCGAUGCAGUACCGGUACUCUGCCCUGCAGAAUCCAACCCGAGAGCAGCCUAAAUUCUUCAUUUUAGAGAUUUUGGCGCUUAGUUUUCACCCUCACUCCUCGAGAUGCGAGUCAUAGGUCGGAACACCGUCAACGACCCUCCAUAAUACCUGAAAAAACUCAAAACACAGAUCAAACACUCGAACCUCGCAAUUUGCAAAAGUCCAGACAUGCGCAUUGUUUUAUUGGUUUUGGAACCAUAUUUCAGGUUCUGAAACUCGAGCUUCUAGGCUGCAUUUCUCAAUUGCAAAUUCCACAAUUUUGCAGAAUCAACGUAGAGUUAACUAGAAUCAACUCCAAUUUGUUAAAGGCUCUUAUAGGGCUCGUCAGCAACGUAGAAGAUGUCACACUCUGGGGCUUGAUCUGUAAAGUCUUUAUAUAAUAGGUAUCGUUUGAAAACCAAAGUUUGCGAAAAAAUGCUCAUUUUUUUUUUUAACUUGCCUUGCCCUUGGGUUGUAUAGAUCCGCCACAAAUAUAGAGAAACUCUGUCCGCGCGGACAGAGUUUCUCCUGUAUUUGCUAGGCGCACCGGCCUAUCACUAUGCCAUACAACACAAUUCACACGCACCAAACAGAACAUCAAAUAGCCAUACGCGUAUGCGCAUAAAGCUAGCCAGUCCUUAUCUAUAUGAUGCAUGCCCUAAGCAUUCCUUAGGCGAAGGAUGAUGUGAAAUGCACAAUACAACAGCCAUUGAGAUACCUCUAUCCUUUGAAAGUGUUUCCCACCCGGAAACUUUAUUUUGAAAUCUUAAGGAUGUGAUAAAAUCGAAAUCCAACUUGAAAGCCAUUUUGAAAACCAUUUUCCGCACAUAAAUUUUGCCUUUUGAAAACCAACUAUCAUGAGAGGGGUAGAAAACUGUUUUUGAAAGAAACCAUAAAACCAUUGCCACAAAACUGAUACCGUGAUGCCAAUCAUAACUGAAAAUCAUAUUAGUCAAAACCGUUCAAAUACCAUAAGCAAUCAUGCAUUCACAUAUGCACCAAUCUAACUGAACCACCAUUCACAUCUAUUCAUUUAACGAUAAAAGUAAAUAGGUGAGAGAUAAUAAACCAUAGCGUACUAGAGGACUAUUAGUGUGAACUAGCUUCACUGUGUCUUCGCACCGUGCCUGACCUGCCAUCCCACCGGAGUCACCUGCAGAAAAUCAUGGGGUGAGAAACCAACCCGAGAUUUCUCAUUGGGUACGACAGAGCCACGAAGGCAAGCCGUACUCACCGGAAACGAGUCAAAGGAGAUAUAGCGAUAAAUAUAGUAAGCUGAAAGUAAACUUACAGUAGCAAGAGAUGUGAAUAUGAACAAUAAACAAUCAAUAUGUUGCUACUAUAAAGAACCUAUCUCUAUAUGCCUCAAUAGACGAAUAGUCCAAUGCAUGUACCCAAUCUACAAUCUGCCAUAUGAUCUGAUGGAAUUAAUGCCUACAGUAGCAAGAAGUACGUAUGAAUAGAAUACAUGACUAGAAGCUGCUACUGUAAAAGAGAAACUAUCCAACUAAUAUGCCUCAAGGAUGAAAAGUCCAAGUCAGAACCCAAUCCAUAACCUGCCAUAUUGGUCCGUCGACCUCAGGCGCUGCACGCCACUAUGAUGCACUAGCCUUCAUUCACGCGUCAUGAUGGACAACUUAUUCGGAUAAGUACACCUCUUGUCGGUGGCCAAACGACUCAGUGUCUAGAAUACUCUCUAGGGCAGUGACAAAUCAAUGAGAUGAUCAACCAAACAUCAACAUAAUGUCGACUGUCUUGGUGCAUAGGCGCCGAUAGCUGUGGCAUAAAGCCGAAUUUCUUGGCGUAUGUGUCACGACCCGCAACCACCCGCCAAUUUGACCGGGUCGCGGCGCCGCCGACAGACCGCCGAACGGACAGAGUUUUCCCUGUACGUCCUAGGCGUCGCAAUCAAAACAAUACAAGCGCUUCCAACCAGGAGCAGUAUUCAAUCAUAGAUUGCAAAUGGAAAGGUAUCAACAACAUAAACACAUUCUAUGUUAUUACAACAUUCAUAUUCAUAUGUUUUACAUCCCAACCACCAUUCUUUUACAUUAGACUUUCAAAUACAAUCUAAGUUAUUACAUCAUAGAUAUUACACAUUUUGUUCUUUUCAUUUUCUAUACCCCUAAGCUACGUCAACGGGGUACUGCUAGCUCUGGUCUCUGGGGGUAGGGCGCUAUCUAUGGAGUUACGCCCUUAUCUCCCGCCGCCGCGCCGCUCACGUGCGAACCUGUAAAACCCCAAAACAACGUGGGGUGAGAACCAACUUCAUAGUUCCCAGUGGGUACGGCCACCCAAGGGAGGAGCUCGACCAACAGGUCCAAGGGAGGCAAAUACAAGUUAGUCCAAUAAACAGAUAGAUAUGUAUAUCAUAAACAUGCAACUAACUUUACCUUGCUUUGCCUCACAACUGCAAUGAUGCUGUAAUGCCACUAUAUGCAAAUCAUGUAAGAAUGCAACAAUAAGAAGUACAUCACUUGAUUCUACCUCUAUCUCGCUCAGAUCCAACUAACCUCUAAGGUUUCUAUUACCUUAGGUUCAUCACAUUUAACACUAGCCCUCAAGGUUCUUUCUACCUUAUUCCAGCUAGCCACCCGACUCGGCUUCGAGUCAAUCAAUAGCGGAUAAUCCGCGCUCUGCCUGGCUCGAGGUGAAGGACCCUGUCACAACGCACCUCAGCCUGCAAGCCAAGAACCACAUUGCCCAACGGUCCGCCCGAAGGUCCGUGCACCGUGGUCAGGGAUCCGCCAAAGGGAGAGGAAACAUACCGCAUACACCCAUAGCCAAGAUCCCCGAUAGGGAGAGGAACAUGCCGCAUACACCCUAGCGCUCUUUGUUCUUGCUUAGUCACAAUCCUCAAAGUUCUUCCGGUGGGAGAGGAACAUGCCACAUACACCCGCGGUCCAAGAACUAUUGAAUUCACAAGUCUCAGGAUUCCGAAAUCCACUUUACAAGUCAAGGGUCCAUAUCCAACCCUACACUAUCGACCUAUCUAGGUCCAAUGCACUUUCCACCCUAGGUCCAACUGACUCUAGGUCUAAUGCCUCAAUUUUACAACCUAGGUUUACUUUAACUCUAGGUUCAGUUCUCAACCUAUAUUCUUUAACAUUAGGUUAGAUGCCACACACCUAGAUCCCGACUCUAGGUUCACACUCAACCUAUGUUCUUUAACACUAGGUUAGAUGCCACUCGUUAUUUAUCCUAGGUUCAACAACUCUAGGUUCAAUGUCAUCUAUGUCCGACCUGUGUUUAUUAACACUAGGUUAAUGCCACUCGAUCUACUUGAUAUCCUAUUUGUCAUAACGAGUCCACAUGCACAUGCAUCUUAUCUAACAUGCUCACAUGAUGCUACAUGCACCUAGUAUACAUUCCAAUGCACACAUAUAUAUCAUUUUACAUGGAUCUACUUAGCAUUUGCAUCAUAUUAUUAACAUGCAUUAACUACAUGAAUCAACCACAUGCUUUAUUUACAUUUAUAUGCAUCAACAUGGAUUCUUAAUCAUCUUAGACAUAAAGGGCGACCUAGUCGCUUCGGUAAACACAACCCACCUUAACUCGCGUUCCGAUUGCUGUCGACACUUGCAAUCGGCUUCCCGCGGCACUCGGCACCCGUUUGGGCCCGAUCUCACAGUUGCUCUCCAAGAGCGCGCCGCUUCGCCGUUUCAAGUGCUAACGGUCUUCGCCUUGCCGUUACGAUGCUUGGGACCCGAUUUCACGAUUUAUGGACGUCGCCUCGGCCCUCCAGGCGGAAACGAAGCUCCAAGCGUCCGUUUCUUCAAUAUCUUUGCAACGGCUCGUCGGAUUGCCGAACCGUCUUCGCCAACGUGUUUCGUUACCUAUCAAUUAGGUUUACAAAGGGUUAUUUGAGAUCAAACCCAUCUAUUUACAAAAAUCCUAUUUUUGAUGCCCUAGAUGCUACUAUUUCAAAAUACCCCAAAUCGAUCUCCGAUUCAUGCAAUAACCAUCUAUCUAGCAUCAAAGGAGCCUACUAAAUCCACUUCUAGAGCAUUUAGACCUAUCUCUAGAGAUCUACCAUAAGAGGGAGUAGCAAGCUUACCUCUCAAGCUAGCCCAAUGGAGAGGAAGAAGAUGAGAAGAUGAAGCUCCACCUUGCUCUUCUUCUUCUCCACCAUCUCCUUCUCCUCCUUCUUCUUCUUCUUCUUCCCCUUCUUUUCUUUCUCUUCUUCUUCUUUCGUUUAGAGAGAGAGAGGGAUGGUGUUGGGGUUGAAACGGUGAGGGAAAGAGAGAGAGAGAGGUCUUCAUCCACUCUAUACACUCAACCCAUGCACAAAAUGCAUAUAAGUCCCUCAACAAUGCCUCUCUUGGAACAGCCCGAACUGGGCAUUUUCGGGGUUCGGGGACCGGUCUCUGCAUGAGGGACCGGUCCCUUAGAGACCUCCAGCCCAGACUUAGCCAAUUUUCAGCUUCAUCCGUUUUCGCUCCGUUUUCGCUCGUUUUCGUUUGUUUGACCUCCGAUUCUUUUCAAAUCGAACCGAGACUCUCCAAACAUGUUUUCAAACAUGUUUUCAUUAUCUUUCCAUCCUCGCUAAUGCCGGAUUUAGCUCACGGCCCAAGUUAGCGUUUCGGGUUCCGUUUUCGCGCCUAUGCGCACCGAAACGCCCGAUUGCUCCAGAACUUCACCGAACUUCACCGGGACGAUUCAAAUGGCUUUCCAAAGCAACGUACACCAUAACUUCAUAGUUUUUGAAGUCUGGUACCUUACAGUAUGAAUGCCGGUAACUGUGAUCAAAUGAUCGAAUCGUGAUGUAUAUAAAGGUGGCGUGAUGCCUAGACCUGAUGGUCCCCAGAUAGUCAAGAAAUAUAGAAGCCUACUUUAUAUGUCAAGCAAUCAUCUGCCACUAUGCAAGAUAUUAAAAAUAGAUGCCGGAAAUGAUGUAUAUAAAGCCACUUUUGGGCAGAACUGACCAAAAUUACACUGUUACAAUUGUUUAUGUCUUCUAUUAAUUUGGCCUACUAUCCUCCUGGUUUUCGAUGUGCAAUUCUUGCAACCUGCUUUGCAGUGAGUGAAAUGUUGCAUUAUUUGUGUUUUGCAGUGAGUGGAAUGUUGUGUAAUUUGUGUUCUUUCACACCAGUUUCAUAACCACUCUCAUAAGAUCAAGUUGUUAAUGAGCUAUCUUUUCUUCCAUUUGAUUUCCGCAGAUUAAAUAUAGGAGCUACGAUGACAUCAAAAGAGACAAACAGUGGUGGACAAUACCUUUUGUCUCUGACACUCUCCUAAAGAGUAGCUUAGGAAAUACUUUUAAAAUGGUUCUUGGAUCUGAGAGUGUAAAUGCUAGCCAGUUCGUAAAAUCUGCAUUUGGGCAGUUAAAUUCCUUCACAUACGCAUACAUUCAGAAACCUUCCUCUUCUGAUAUUUAUAAUACCGAUAAAUCUAAAGAAUCAGAAAAUUCUACUAAUACUUUGGCUGGCUCAGAGGAAGACAGAGGUAAUGAAUCAAACGUUUUGAAUGUUAGUGGCAGCGAGAAUAGUUCAUUGGAAAGAAAGUGCAAGUCACCUUCUCGAUCAGAUGAGUACUUUUGGAAAGCAUUUACCGACAUAGUCAGCAAAAAUGUCCUCCAAAGGUUUGGAUUUUCUCUUCCUGAGAUUAAAAUGUGGGAUGGAUUUGAUGUACUUAAUAAAUUGGGUUUGCAAUCAAAACAAAUUGCAGAGAAGGAAUAUGUUGAUUUUGGACUAGCAACCCCAGAAAUAAUAGAAAAUAGUGAAAACAAGAAUGAGCUUUCUUCUACUAAAAAGAGCAUUCCAUCUUCACUUUUAGACAUUAAGAAAGUAUCUGCUGAUGUACUAAGUCAAACAGAGACUAUAUUAGGAGCACUGAUGGUUCUCACUGGGACCCUUUCACAACAGAAAAAAAACUCAUCUACUGUGGGAGAAGAAGAGAAUAAAAUAGAUGCUUCUGUGAAUGAAGAACAAGUUCCAGAAUAUGCCAUGAAUAAUGAAGAUUGUAUUGCAACAAAAGAACAGGUGUUAGAUACAAGAAAAGCAGAGGAGAUGAAGCAAUUGUUUUCAAGUGCAGAGAGUGCUAUGGAGGCCUGGGCGAUGCUUGCUACUUCAUUGGGCCGGAGUAGUUUUAUCAAAUCUGAUUUUGAGAAGAUAUGUUUUCUCGAUAAUAUUUCUACGGACACACAGGCAAGUUCUUCAUUUUCAUAACUGUGACCUUGCAAAUGAAGUUAUAUUAUUGCUGGGUAAAUUCUGUAAUUGCAGCUUGACCCUGAGCUACAAUUGUAUCUUUUGCUAUUUAAAACAUUUGAUGCCGACUGACUCGACCAUUUUAACCUUGUUUCAAAUAAACUGAAAUGCAGUUAGUCACUAAAUUGAAACACAAUUAGUCAUUUCACAGGAGAAGGGUAAAAUGGUUGCUCAGAAGAAAAUUUUCACCUAUUGACAGCCAAGGAUGAAAAUUACAAGAUAUAAGAAGUUCAAGGACUGAAGACUUUGUUAAAAGUUUUGGGAUUAAUUAGCUAUAACAAGGACUGUCCAUACAAUUAGCCUUAUUGUUUGGGUAAAUUAAACCAUUAGUCUCUAAUCUAUUCCUUGAGUUGCACUUUGAUCCCUAAAAGUUCUCAAAGUUUAAAAAUCUCCUAUUGUUUAGUCGUGCCAUAAACUAUUAUCGCACAGGGAGUUGGAAUCUACUGUGGCAGGACCACUCACAAUUACUAAGAUUUUUUUCUCAUGCGUGUGAGAGAAAAAUUCCACCCUCAAAUCUCUAAAUUGCAAGGGUUUGUAUUGGUCACAUGGGUAAAAAUGCAUGUGACUUGGCAUUUCGGGUUUUCUAUGGCAAGUGCUUUUCUAUCACAUAUGAUUUACGGGCAUAGAAUAUGUGGCUUGACAUACCACAUCGAUUUCCAUCUUUCUGGGUGGUGGAAGCUGACAGUGGGACAGAUUGAAUUUUACGAGUUUGCAGCCCUAAUCUAAAUUUCAUAGAUCAAAGUGAAAUUUGACUCUAGAUUUGGCUAAUGUGGUAAUUUACAAAUACUGUUUUCACUGAAAAAUAUCUGACAAAUCUGAUGAUGAAAGAGCUGCAGGUGGCUAUUUGGCGUGAUUCUUUGCAGAGAAGGCUUGUGAUUGCUUUCAGAGGAACUGAACAAGUGCGUCAACCUUUUAGAAACCCUUCCUUUUAGUGAAUGGUGAAUGACCAAUUAUUCAAGUAGUUCAAAUAGUAGAUAAUCCGGUUAUCCUCUCUUCUUUUGCAGGCUAAGUGGAAGGAUUUGCUGACUGAUUUAAUGCUUGUCCCCACUGGGUAAAACCUGUUUUGUGAUUCGAUGCUUCCACUUAUAUUGCUAAUUAGAAAAAGUUGGCAAUAAAAUAGAUACAGUGCUGCCUGAACUACUUGAUAGCAUGCCUCUUACCAUUUUCAUCGGCAUAACCCCUCUGAUAGUAGUUGGGGAAAGUUUUCUUUAGAUUUAAUUCUCAAUUUUAUCAGUUAGAAUUUUCAUUAGUGGCCUACAGGUUUCCUUAUUUCUUUUAUUUUGUCAGUUCUUUUCAAUGAAUGUGAAAGGGCGAAAUUUGGAAAAAGUAGUAAUAAACCCAAAAAGAAGUAAUAACCCUCUUCUUAUUUGGUUUGAAAUCUACUGCCAAGGGAUAUUUGGAUAUAAAAAUAUAAUUCAGCGCUCUUGUAUACUUUAGGCUUUCAGAGAGUGGUAAUUUUGUAUCAAUAUCUGUGAACACUCUUUUCAGAGUGGAUGUUAAUUUUGUAUCAACAUCUAUGAACACUCAUGAGCCACAAUGAUGUGUGUUGCGAGUAAACUGAGACUAAUAUGCAUAUUCUUUCUAUUUAGAGAAGUGAAUAUGGAGAUUAAUACGGUUGCCUUCGGCCUGUUGCCAGUACUAGUAAUUUGGGCUGGAGCUUUCUCAUUGAUGUUGGUAGGCCCAUCUUACUUGAGCUAUGCCUAUUGGUGCUAGUAGGUCAAUUGAAGCCUUAGUAUCAGGACACAACUUAAGGUAGUCUCAUAUUAUGGAACCUUCAGAAUACACAUGAAACCUUUUAAAUACAUGCCUCAGCUACAUUCUUCAGAAUACCUAUACUCUCGAAAUGAUAAAAUGCUUGCAAUAAAUCUGGAAGUUCCAAACAUUCACCUGACCUAAACUAUAGUUGAAUCUAUUCAACAAAAUGGUUUCUUUAUUUCCAAACCUUUUCAAUAUUCCCUGUUGUUCUGUGUUGAUAUAUCAUUGAUAUCUUCGAGUGACUAAGCUUGAUUUGCCAUUUGCAGGCUGAACCCUGAGAGACUGGGUGGUGGCUUUAAACAAGAACUUCAAGUUAAAGUCAUAUAUGUUUUCCUGUGUGUUUUUUAUAGCUCUUGCUAAACAUUUCGUUAUCUAUUUUCAUGUUUUAAGAAAGUCUUCAUUUUUGUACAUUCAUCAGGUUCAUAGUGGGUUCUUAAAUGCUUAUGACUCUGUUAGGAAUAGAAUCAUGGCGCUGAUUAAAUUCUCCAUUGGGUAUCUGUAAGUGUUGCUCUAAAAAGUUUAACUUCAUACUGAAUUUCUUCUUGAUUAAUAUCUAGCUGUAAGCCUACAAGAAAAUCAGCGAUCAUAGGUUAUUUCCCUGUAGUUUAAUGUGAAGGUCUUUGCCAAUCAUAAGUUUUAUUUGUCUUACAGACAGGGACUUUACUGACAUGAUUGCUUAGCAUUUGCUAAUAUGAUUCGUUAGCAUUUGCCGAACAGACCUAGACACUGGAGUCGGGAUAUAUAUUUUUUUUGCAUGGUAGCUGUUUAUCUUGCUAGUUCUGUAGACUGUUAGGUGAUUUCUCUAAUUUCAAGCCAUGAAGAGGCGAAAAUUUUCAUGUAUUAAAAUUUCUUUGUGAAUACACUAGUGUAACUUCUGUAUCUACGGAGAAAAAUUCUUUGAUCCUGUUGUGGUAUUAUUUGGUAAAACUUUCAGCACUGCUUAUUUACAAAUAUAUCUGUCAGAUAUCUCAAAUUUUCUUUUUAGUUAAUAUUUCAGGUCCUAUAUGUAAAAUCCGCUAACUAUAAAUAAAGUUUUUUGGUCUUAGGGUUAAUUAGAACCCUAGCCCUUUCUCUAAUUGUCUUCUGCGAAACCCACACAGUAUCAGAGCACUAAUGAACAGAAUAGGGUGAAUUAAUCUCAAAAGAAGAAGAAAAGGAAAGGUCCAAGUGGGUUCUCUUUGAUGAUCGGGCCUCCAAAAAUCCUUGCUGCUCACUCCAGUCCCACUCACCCGAUUCCGCUCACUCUCCAUCAUCAUUGCCAACCAAUCAUCAUCGCUGCUUGGUGAAGGACACGUGAAGGGCUGCCACAACCACCCAUGCAAGGCAUAGGGGAAGUGUGGAGGACUUACAGCGAUAGAAGUGCAUGGGUUUUGCAUCAGCGUUGUGCUGGAUGCUAGAUGGGCGAUGUCACGUCCCAGGCCCUUUUUCAAUAAACUUAUUUUGAAGUCAUUUUUGUUUUGAUUUUGAUUUAUUUAUUUAUUUUUUUUGAGAGGAUGGUAGUAUGCUACCGCUUUGUUCAUUUUAUUUGGAAAUGAACUUAGCUGGAAAUUUGAAGCAACUAUGCUUCGAACUUUGAAUCUCGGGUACGAACCAUCAAGCUUUUUGCCACUUGCGUUAGGGACAGUUGGUUUUCAUUUUGAAAUGGGAGUAUGACGGAAGUUGAUUAAAAUCAUUUAAAAUCUUGCCCGGAUUGUGCAUAAAUUAAAACUGGCACUUCUAUCAUCUUUUCUUUGAUUUAUUAAAAGCUUUGGUUGGGGAUUUUGUCCACUUGAAAUCUCCUUUUUUAAACAAUUUGUUAGUGGGGUCAUUAUGGUACUAAAUCCCUUAAUGAACCUACGAUAAAAGGUAGCUAUGCCAUGGAAGCUCCUAGCUUCGUGGAUAUCUUUUGGUUCAGGCCAGUCUUAUGAUGGUUCUUACUUUUUCUGGGUCUAUCGAAAUACCUUCUAUGAACACAACAUAUCCUAGAAAAAUGACUCAAGGUUGCAUAAAAGUGGGUUUCUUUAAAUCAAGGUUUAAAGUGCCGUCCUAUGCCGUACGGCACGGGGCGACAUAUACUGUGCCACCAAGAAGGCACGGUACAGGGGGGGGUCUCGGACUCCCCUCCAAGCCGCGACACGGACCUGUGUAUCGCACGAGACAAAGCGAUACGCAGGUCCGUGCCACGGCACUGCUGUGCCGGCACACUAUUUUACUAUUAUUUUUUUUUUUACAUUUUGCUUCUUUUUGUUUUGUUCUUUGGGAUACCACGAAGCAUCCUACACCCCCCAAGGACAUUGCAAAUCGAAAAUCUACUUGUUAGGUAAGUCAAACAAAUUAUAAUUUAAUUUUUUUUGUCUAUCAAUAUACGAGCAAAUUUUUAAUUUACAUAUUUGAUCCGUAUCGCAGGGGGCAAAGCCCCCCGCACCCCCUUUGUCGGCCCGAGCCCUCCACUUCCAGCACAUACAUCCAUUUUUUUCAUAAAUUAUUUUACCAAAAUUUAUCGCUUCGCAAAAUUUUUGGCGAAUUAAGGGAAUAAAAUCAAAUUCAAUAAACAAAUUUUGAGGCACAUCAAACAUAAAUUGUUUUGCAUUAGAAGAUUAAAAAUACUGAUAAAAUUAAAAGCUAAAUUAAAUCAGUUGAUACUUAAAUUAAUUUAAUUUAUUUGUCAUAUAAUUUAUUGCUUAAUUUUUUUGAUAGAUCUAAUAUUUUUUGAAAAAAUUAAUGAAAAAAUAAAUUUUUUAAAUACUUUUUAAAAUAAUUUUUUCAAAUGUUUUUAAAACUUAUUUUUUUGUAUUUUAUAAAAAGAAAAACUGUAAUAUGGUCAAAAGAAAAAAAGAAAGAUGUCUUUACAUUUUUAAAAUUCUAAUCUGUAAAAAUUUUUAUUCUUCAUCAUGUGUAGUUGUACUUUACAUAUAAAAUACAAAAAAAUAAUUUUUCAAAUAAUUUAAAAAUUAUUUUAAAAAUUAGUUUUUGUAUUUUAUAAAAGAAAAACUGUAAUAUGGUCAAAAGAAAGAAAGAAAGANGUAAAAAUUUUUAUUCUUCAUCAUGUGUAGUUGUACUUUACAUAUAAAAAAAGCUUACAAGUAUAUUAAUUGAUGAUUAUAGUAAGUUAUAUAUAGCAAAUAUUUAUAAUUAUUUGAUUUAAUCUUUUCAAAUAAUAUUAUAAGAGCUUAUUGGAAUUUGGAACCAAAAAAACUGAAAUAAGUUCGUGCCAAAACGUGUUGGUAGGAGGUCAUACAUAUCCAUUGGCACGCAAGCGUACCAUGUGUCGGCAUGAAAGUGUGCCGGUGUCGUACUGUGCCAGGCAGACAGUGGCAUGCUCUCGUGCCACGACACUUUAAUCCUUGCUUUAAAUGAAUAGAACUUUUUUUUCUUUUCCCAUAACUUCAAAAACUUGCCUAAUGUAUUCUUUUUCGGCACGACUAUAAAUCAGAAUGUCAUCAAAAUACAUGACGAAGAAUUUUCGUAUGAAUAGUCGAAAGAUCCGGUUCAUGAUGUGCUAGGGGGCAUUUGUCAAUCUAAAAGGCAUGACGAGCCAUUCAUAUAAUCCUUUUUCUGUUUUUAAAGUAGUUUUCCACUCGUCCCUUAGUCUAAGACGAAUCUGAUGAUAACCACCACGAAGGUCAAUUUUCAUGAAGAUUGAUGACCCACAUCAUGUCUAUCAUGUCAUCUAGGCGUGAAAAUUGAUGACCACGAAGGUCAAUUACCGUCCCUUUUGUGGGGGUGAGAAGUGUCGAGGCUGUCCAAGAACUUAUUCCCGCACAAACCCUUUUCUAAUCAAAUCAUCAACGUGACUCUUCAACUCAACAUGUUCUAUUGGAUUCAUCCUAUAAAGUGGCAAAUUAGGUAAGGACGAAUUAGAGACAAGGUUAAUAGCAUGUUGUAUUGCUCUAAGAGGUGGGAGUUUAUCAGGUAAUUCUUCAAGUGUUGAGCCACUAAAUUCAAGAGCAAGUUCUUAAUAGCUAAAUGCGAUGUAGUCGAUUUAGGGGAAAUAGUAAUCUCCUUAGCUACUAAAGCGUAAACAAUGUCAUCUACACAUCUCCUUCAAUCACUCUCCACACUCACGGGAGAGUUUCUAACAAUUCAAUUGCCGACUUUCGCAGCAUAUCACGUCUCUCAUGUCUUGUUUCCUAAGGUCAACCAAAAGUCUAGGGUUUACUAAGUUGCAACGACUUAUUCCUAAGCUCCGAUACCAACUAAAUCUGUCACGCUCGGGGUUACCACCCAAUCUGGACUCGUCAAUAGACCUACUGCGCACACAGGACUUCCUGUGCAUACGAAGAGAAAGCACCUGUAAACAACACGAGCACUACAAGUGCCAGAGCAGAAAUUAAAAGCUGCUAAAACUAAAAGCAAUCCACUAUACAUACAUGCUCCAAAAUUGUACACAGCUAAAUCCAUCAGAUACAACUACAUCUCACAUAAGCUGAAAUAAAAUACAACUAUAACUAUAUGUACAGUGGCCUACCCUCCCCAAAAUCAGCUAACUCGGGUACUCUAGCUGAACCAGCAAGGACAGGCAGGGAUCUGAUUCGCAACUCCCUUACCUCGAUCAGUAGUAGCGACAGGGACGGAGGGCUCUGCAAGAAAAUAAAGUAACAAAGGGCGUGAGAACUACGAUAAACAAGUAGUCCUUAAUGGGUAUCGUCACUAACGCGGACAGUCUACGCACUACGCCUGUGAAAACUAAAAGAAAAAGCUGGGUAAGUAAAAAAGCUAUAAGUAGUAGAGCUGGGAAGAAAUCUAUAGCUACUAUGGAUCUACACUACUAACGUUCAAAUAAAACUGUCGCUAUGAUAAAUGCAUCAACUAUUUAUUGAGCAAACACCACCAACUCAAUCCAUAUGACCGCCUCCAGGGCCGAUCAAGCCUGCGCCAACCUAUUACUACGCACCACCCUCGAGGGUGGCUGGUCUAAGGUAGGUCGCCUGAAAGGCUGCUGCAACACCAACGCGAAAAGGCCUCACUCUGGUGAGGCACUUGGGGGCUACCCAAUCGAGUAAAAAGCGUAGUCUCUUUCGAGCUCGAAUCUGGCUCGUGCAGGUUAAGUCGAAUGCGGAUGAUCAAUUAGAUUAUAAAACGGUGACUCAUGUGCCCCAGGCAUAAUCUGAUGCAAAAUCUGAGGAUUCGGACUACCAUCGACUGAGACGGCACCCUAUUAUAGAGCUUAGUCUAACAACUGCUAUAACAAUCACACUCAGUCCCUCAACAUGAGCGUUAAUCCAUCCUACACUAAUCCACAUGCUCACUACCCUCUAAUAAGGGUGACAAACGAGUAAAAACGGUUAACGAAAAUAAAUGCUAAUGACGGAGCUACGGCGGUAUAGUGCGGAUUUUGUACAUGUUCCAAGUCCAAAUUCAGCAUCUAAAUUCUUCUAUAAUUAUGUUUAGCAUACUCAAAGUCCAUAUUUCAUUAUUAUUCAUGCCAAUCCAAAGAUUUGAAGCUAAACAAUUUAACAUUGAACAACCAUAAUAUACAUGCUGAAAUUUUCGCAAUUUAGUGAAAAUUUCGCGAAUUUGGUAAAUUUAAACCCACCUAGUGCUCUAAUCCGACCUCGGAUCAAGGUGAAAUUUCAUGAGCACCCUCCCUCAGCUCCAAAAUUUUCGGGAAGUGAAGAAGAAUCCAACAAAUCCCUGCUGGAUUUAAGCCGAAUCAAUAAUCAAUGAAAAAAUCUAGCGAAAACCGAUUUGGUUUGAAGAAACUAAAAUUCAGCGACACCCACCUCAAAUCAACUAAUAACACUUAAUUCCCAGGUUCCUAAAACACCGUAAACCAUUCUGAUCACAGUAAUUAACUCCACACAAACCAAUUUUCACAAAAUAAUACCUGCCGCUGCUGUUGAAAUUCUGCUGCUGCUGAAAUUCUUGUUGUUGCUGCUGCUUUUCCUGAUCCGCAGCCAGGGCAGAAGAGAGAGUGGGACAACUUUGAUAGUGUUCUCUGGUUCAUAAGCCAUAGAAAAAGUUCAAUAAUCACCACGAAAUUUCAACAAAAAGGUGGAAUAAAGUUCAAGAACUCAGCUUCAACAAAAAACUAUUUUUUUUUUUUCAGUUGAAGACCUCAAUGAAAACUGAAAUUCAGAAAAAAUUAAUGUUCAAAUCAAUUCAAACGAAGUUCCUAUCAACUCUAGAUGAAGGUAAGAUCACUUUCAACCCUUCAAAAUCUCAGCUACGUAGGUAGAUUAAAAGAAAAUUCAAUUAAAACUCAGCUUGCCCAAAAUUCAGUAUGAAACCAUAAUUCCAGCGACCCUCACCAUUUCAGCAAUUAAACCUAAAUUACCAGAUAAUUUGCUGAAGUAGAACACUUUUCAGGUUCACCUCUUCGCCAAGAAUGUUAGUAACCAAUUCCUCAGCAGUUUGGUUUCGAAAUUCCUUAAAUUCCUACCUUGAACUCUACUGCUGGUGCUGAUUUUGCUGCUGAAACUGCAACUGUUGUUGUUGUAUGUAGUAGUAGCUGCUACGGUUGGCUGCUGCUUCAGCUGCCAACAGAGUAGGAGGAGAAGAACAAGAUGGUAAGGUAGUUCUUAACUUUGCUGCUGCUUCUCUUCUACUUUUGAAGAUGCUUGGCUGCUGCUGCUUCACACCCUGCUCCGGCUGCUGCUUCUCACCUUGCUGCUGGAGCUCUCCGCAGGGAACAAGGCAGCAAGGAGAGGGAGAGUAGAGGGAGAAGAAGAAGAAGAAGAGAAAGAGUAGGAAGUGAAAGAAGGGAAUGAAGGAAUGAUGCAAUUUGCUGAUUACUACAGUCCAAAAAUCCCAUUUAGGGUGGUUGGAAUUAGGUGAGGUGUGCCUAAGGCAUUAGCAACUAGCAAGCAAAUGUGUUCCAGCUAAGGAUAAAUUUCGAUUCGGAAUUAUUUGUGACGUCAAUUUCGCAUCCAAUUCCGACUUGCCCUGACAUUGUCCAGAAGUGUUGAUUAAUUAAGAUCUGUAAUUAUUCCAUCAAAAUAACAUUUUAAUUUCUUUAGAACACUACAUCCUACCUUGGUUGGACAGAUUGAUAAGGCGGACACAAGCUUGACUUUGAUGACCAUGCCGAACAAGACAAGCUUGUGCCCGUCACAUCCACCUGACAAAAGGGAGUUGUUCGCUCUCCGAGUUCAGGUCCAGAAUGAGGUGAUUGAUGCUAUUAUUGAUCUUGGCAGCCAAAGGAACUUGAUCUUGGAGAAUCUAGUUCAAAAGCUGGGUUUGUCGACUACUCCACACCCACACCCACACCCACACCCAUAUCCAUGUCCAUUGGGGUGGAUUACCAGCGACGUCGAGAUGAAGAUCGAUCACCAGUGCAAGGUGAAGUCUGCGGUGACUAAUAUCUACAUAGACGAAAUAGUGUGCGAGAUUGUGUCACUGAACAUUUGCAACCUUAUCUUUGGUUGUCCCUUCCCAUGGGACAGCGAUGCCACCUUUCGUCGUCUCCAGCAGUACCAAUUUGUUAAGGAUGGGCGGAAAUUUUAGUUCGCUAUAAAGGCAUUGUCCGCAACUAUAGACCUAUGGCUCGCCAAGCUAAGAGAAUGAUCAAUGUUUGCCAAAAUUUUGCCUUGCUGGUCAAUCGACCAGUUGAAUCUAAAGAUGCAAAUAACAAGUUGUUAAGUUUUUCGCUUUCGUGCAGGGAAAGGAUUGACGAUGUUGCCAAACUGAUUGGCGAGCACAAGAAGUCCAGGGGUUGCCAUCAAAGUGGGCCAUGGAAAAUGAGAUACAAUUGAUCAGCAACGCUCCAUUAUUGAACCUCGGCAUGUAUCGAGACUUUGUAGUGGAGAAUGCUGCUCGAGAGUGGUGCUAUCAAAACAAGCAGCUUCCCCUGUGGUUCCCCAAUCGUGUUGGUGCCAAAAAAAGACAGCGGGUGAUGAAUGUGUAUCGACUACUGCGUCCUCAACAAAAUUGCCAUCAAGAACCGGUACCCUUUCCCACGAAUUCACGAUCUCCUGGACCAGUUGAAGCAUGCUUUCUACUUCACCAAGCUGGACUUGAAGUCUGGCUAUCACUAGCUCCGGAUUCGGGAGGACAGCACCUGGAAGACCGAGUUCAAGAUGCGGCACCUGCCUGACAUAGCUUAUGCAGUCAGUGUAGUAAAGCAAUAGUUGUAUGAUUCCAAAUUAACUCACUUAGAGGCUCUUAUAUCUUGAGUUAUUUAAUGCCAGCCUCCCGUAGAGGGCCGCUGUUCUCAAGCACUGGUCAUUUAAAUUAAGGCUUUUAUUGAUGCUGAUUGAGCUAGAUGACUUGAUUGCUGAAGAUGAGAAUUUUGCGGGUGGAAACUUGGUCACUUGGCUCAGAAAAAAGCAAACAACAACACAUGAAUGAUGAAGGCAGAAAUUAGGAAUAAAAGAUCCAGUGCAUAAGCUGAGUAUAGAGCUAUGGUGCAUGUACUCUGCGGAUUGCUGUGGCUUGAAAGAUUUAUGUAGAAAUUAGGGAUGAAAGAUUAAGACCUCUAUGUUAUAUUGUGGCAACAAAUAGGGGUGGCAAUCCAGCUCGCUGCUCGCGAGCCAGCUCGUGUUCGGCUCGAAAUGAGCUCGAGAUCGAAUCGCUUGUUUAGUAAACAAGCUGAACACGAGCUAAAUUUUUCAGCUUGUUUAAUAAACGAGCCGAACACGAGCUGGGGUCAGCUCGCUCGUGUUUGGCGCGAUAACAGCUCGAAUACAUAUAUUUUAUAUUUGUAUAGUUUAUUUAAUUUAUAUUUUUAUAUAUAAAUAAAUAAAAAUAUAUAAUAUAUAUUUUUAUUAUUUAAUUUUUAGCAAAAUAAAAAUAUAAAUGCGAGCUUAAUUAUAAAAUUUAUAUGUAAAGUUUCAACUAUUAGAUCAAAGCCUAAUGGAUAAGAUUUUAUAAUUUAUAUAUAUUCAAUCUAAUCCUUUGUAAUUAAUUGUUCGUUGGCCAGCUCGUGAGCCAGCCCGUGUUCGGCUCGUUAAUAAACGAGCCGAACACGAGCUGAAUUUUUCGGCUCGAUACCUUAACGAGCCAGCUCGUGUUCGGCUCAAUUAAUAAACGAGCCGAACACGAGCCGACCUCAGCUCACUCGUGUUCGGCUCGUUUACACCCCUAGUGAUGCAGCAAAUAAACCUUAUUUUAUUUUUGAAUGUAAUUUUCUUUUAUUUUGUAGGUUCGUGUUUGAUUCGGACUUAAAUCAUUUAGUUUUAGUUGAUUUGGCUAACCCAAACCCUUUUCUCCAAUAAACAAAGAAACAAUCCCCAAAAGACCUUUGGAAUUUUCCAAAAACAAAGACCUUUGAAAUUUUCAAAAUUGCUUCGUUUUCUAUGCAUGACUCUUGGGUGAUCGUGUUAUGUUGAAAACGAAAAGACAAUAAUUUAUUAUAGGAGGGCUCUCAACACUAUAAAUACAUGAUUUUUGAAGCCUUAAGUGAGAUAUAUUUGGAUGAAUAGAAAAUCAUAUUCUCACUCUUUAUCCUUGGUGUUCUACUUCCCAGGAAGAUCAUCGACGCUUCUUCCUCGCGCCGAGAUCGUCUUCUUCCUCAACUUGAUCGUUGUCACUUCUUCCUCGUGACAAGAUCGGUUUCUACUUCUACCCCUCCUCUUCUUCUGAGUCACUGUCUCAUCUUCUUCUUCCCCGUUGCCGAAUUUCUACCUGUGGUGCACUGCCCUCCUCGUCGAUUGUGGAUCCCCGCAAUCGUGUGAACGGUGCACUUUUUGUAUCUCUUAUCUCUUGAUACCCUAUUAUCCCCUUUUAAUCUAGCCUUCCACCAUUAUCAAUCAUAUUUGCCAAACAACCAAACCUAAAGUUUUAAGUCCGAUAAAGCCGAAUUUACCUUUUGGAACUAUUAUAUGUAUUUUCAGUUGAUUGUUAUUAUCUCAUAUAUUGAAGGUUUAUCAUCAUCUUAGUAUUACUUCAAUUCGAUUUUAAUUUUUUUCUUGCUGAAAUUUUUGCUUCCUUGCUUAAAGUUCAUCGGAAUUGAUAAAUUGAAUCUAGUUUUAUCUUUAAACAAAAGCAAACUUGAAAACUCAAUUUUGGCAACCUCUCGGUUUGCAUCACCUAGCAACAAGGCAGCUAUUAAUAUUGCACAACCUUGUGCAACAUGACAGAACUAACUAAGCAUCAUGACAGAACUAACUAAGCAUGUUGAACUUGAUAGAAACUUAGGGAGAAGUUGGACAAAGGAAAUAAUCUGCAUUCCUUUUGUGAAAUCGAAAGAUCAACUUGCGGAUAUCCUUAGUAAAGGGUUAAGAAGCACUAUAUUGAAUAACAGUUUGUUUCAAGAUGGCCAUGAGAAACAUUUAUGCUCCAUCUUGAAGAGGAGUGUUAGAUAUCUCAGUUUUACAAUUUAUUAAUAUUUUAGGGUUCUAUAUGUAAAAUCCUCUAACUAUAAAUAAAGUUUUUGGUCUUAAACUUAAUUAGAGUUCUAACCAUUUCUCCAAUUGUGUUCGCUAAAACCCAUAAUAUAUAUUUAAACAACUAAAGUUACUACCUGGGUAGAUGACUAUAUUUUGUAUAUGACAGUGAUGAUGAUGGUAUGGAAGUCCAACCUAAAUGGCAUGUUUAUGUCACGGGACAUAGUUUAGGUGGAGCACUUGCUACCCUUCUUGCUCUUGAACUUUCAUUAAGCAAAUUGGCCAAGUAAGUUAAAUUUAUCUAUUUUUAUUUGAAUUUUGAUAAAUUUUGAUGGAUUAGUUGCAAACUUGGUCCUUGAGGUUUGAACUGGUAUCAAUUUAGUCCUUAAAUUUCAAGUGUAACAAUUUCGUUGAUAAAGUUUCAAUUUCAUCGUGUUCUAAUUUUGUUGUUGAACUUUGAUCUUGAUUUCAUUCGUCUUUAAACUUUGACAUUAGUUUCACUUUCUCUCAUAGGAGUUUUAGUUUUAGUAAAUUGUAAUCAUGGUACUGAGAUGGCGACUUUUGGAUGGUAGACUUCAAGGAUGAAAUUUUCAUAAUUGACUCUGUGAGGAUGAGAUAGAAAUUGAAGUCAAACUACCUGGAUGAAAUUUGUAUUUUACCCAUAAGUACUUCGCACCUAGAGCCAAUGACUUACUGUUGAGAUUCCACUUCAUGCUGAGCUCCAUAUUUCUAAAGCAAUUACUAAACAGGAGGGUUGAAGAGUGUCAUGCCAUACAUGUUAUAGUUUGAAAUGCAAUCAAAAUGUGGAGCAACAAAUCAUUUACCUUCUGUGUUUUUACUAGAAUAGUGAAAAGAUGAACAACUGAAAGCAUAAGUUCAUAAUAUGCACUUCUUUUGAACAACUCUGGUAUAUUAUUGGGAUAAUUUUCUAAUGUGCAUCUUAAUGAUGAUUCCUAGGCAUGGUUUGAUAUCUGUGACAAUGUAUAACUUCGGUUCUCCGAGAGUUGGAAAUAGAAAAUUCGCAGAAGUUUACAAUGCGGUAAUGUCAAAACCAUCAGCACCAUGAAUUUGUUAUAGCACAGAUAAACUCUUUUCCUAGUUGUUCAUGUAGUUUCUUUGGAUGCUUGUGCAGAUGUAAUGUGAAAUCUCUCUGCGUCUUUGAUGAGCUUCUUCAUCUAUGACUUUUGACUUAAUUUGCUUAGUAGGUAUAUUUUUCACAAGGUGAUAGUAAAUGGUGCUAACCAAAUAAUUGCAUUAGCAUUACUGUCACCGACAGGCCUCUUUUGGUAUUGUUUCCACUUUUUCGUUUCUUGAAUACAAUUUUAUGUGACAGUGUGUCUUUAUAUUUAUCUCCUUGGUUUUAGCCAUUUUUGAUUACUGGAGUUGAGCAACCUUCUCUCUUCAACUUCUAGUACUAGAUUGCCAUAAUGAGCAAACAGUCUUUUGAAAGCAUAUACUAACAACUUUUGGGCCUUUGGAUCCUUAGGGUUUACUAGUGAAGUAGUUAGUGGUGGUUAUAGUAUGGAUCCAAGGCCCCCAGAAUUUGGAAGACGAUACUUCCAAUAUAUAUACGUAUAGAACUAGGCUAGAAUACUAUUAAUAGCACCAAGCCAUUGGUGCUAUUAGGUUUUCGGCCCUUGGAUGAAGGCAGAUGCAGUUAGGAUGAUAGUGGUCUCUAGGGUUUAAUAGGUGGUUGGUGGAAUAGUAUGAUCUCAGGGAUGGAAAUGAUCAAAGGGUAGAUCUAACGGCGGAAAACUUGGUAGCAUCAAGUGCUUGGUGCUAUUUAUACUAUUGUAGCCGGACUCUCUCUCUCUCUCUCUCUCCCUCUCUCUCUCUCUCUUUAUAUAUAUAUAUAUAUAUAUAUAUAUAUANAUUUAAAUAUUUUCUUUUGAAUAGAACACAUUUAAAUAUUCCACCACCCAUAACGCAUGUAAGAUUUUUAGAGCUACAUAUACUUGCUAAGAAAGAUCUCUCUCUCUCUCUCUAAACGAGCAAGAGAUUAGGAGAGCAAAAAAGUCAAGAAUAUUAAGUAAAGAAUAUUAAUCUAAAUCUUCAUAGAAUCCAAUCCAGCAAUGCAGUAAUUACUGUUUGAAGUUCUCCUUAUAUAAAAAGUCUCCUGGAGAUACGUACUUGUCCUUUUAUAUAUAUAUAUAUAUAUAUAUAUAUAUAUAUAUAUAUAUAUAUAUAUAUGAAGUUUUGUUGGGCUACAUCGGUAGUAAACGACACGGUUUACUGCCGAUUUGUUUUGUUUUCAUUGAUAGAGUUUUCAAAUCGACGAUCAGCACCGUUGAACAUAAUUUAUACCAUUUCAAUUAUUUAGAAACUGAAUUUUAUGCUUUUCUGAUAUCACUACCAAACAAGGAUUUAGUCAAGUUCAUGGCACUAAAUUACUUAGGUUAAGGGUUUUGUGCUUAGAUGCACUGUACCCUUAUAAUAAAUCAGUGCAUUAGUCAAUUAGAGAAUAAUUUAACUAUUUCUAUAUAUCACGGUUUGAAGUUCCGCCCCGUGUCAUAUGGCACAGGACGGCACGUACCGAGCAUGGGACGGCCCGUGCGGCGGUACCUCGCGGGUAUCGCGUGAGACAACACGAUACUCGCGAGGGUACCACCGGCACGGUUCCAUGCUGUGAGGGUUUUUUUUUUUCUUGUUGCUUUUUUUAUUUUUUAUUUUUUUUUGUUCUUUUGGAGUACCCGAAGCAUCUUGGGUUACCUCCCUCCCUUCUUUUCCUUUUUCUUUUUGGCCUUUGUCUUGAUGCACUUUUUUUUUUAAAAACUUUUUUGCUUUUUUUGCUUUCUUUGUGCCCCGGGUACCCCCCCCCCCCCUUUUUCGCUUCCUUUCUACUUAGUUCUUGCAUAUCUUUCUAAAAUUAUUUUUUUUCUCUCUUUUUUUUUUGUCACUUAAAAAGGAGGCAAAGACAUUGCAAAUUGAAGAUCUACUUGUUAUGUAAGAAAAUUAUAAUUUAAUUUUUUUUUGUUUAUCAAUAUACUUGCAAUCUCCCUUCACUGUUGUUCUGUUCUCUUCACUCUCCCUAAUCCCUUAAUGUUGGAUUAGCAAUGAUGGGCUUACCAGCUAUUUUUCAUAUCCACCGAAGGAAGAGGAAUGCGCCUUAAAUAUCCCUCAAACGGAGACGUCUUGCCUUCCUAUCAUGAGGAAACAGAUCAUAGGGUAGCACAUGGCACUCCCUAGCCUUAGGUUUCACACGUGUGGUUGAAAUGUCUAGAGUGGCAUUAAUCCAGACGGUGUUAAUUGGCCACAUUUAUUGGAUUAUGAAAUCCAAAUCUAACAUAGUUCAACAGUAGUUCUGGUAGUCCUUGCCUGAUUCUAAAUGUGGUAUUACGACUACAAUCUUUUGCCAUUGAAGAUUGAGUACAUUGUGCUUAAUCAGCGCGGAGAGUUUAUUGGAGUUCUAUAUGUAACUUUUAUCUCCAUCGAGCAUGUUGGACCUAAUAGUGUAUCCUUUUAUUAUAUACAGAAAGUGAAAGAUAGCUGGAGAGUCGUCAAUCACAGAGAUAUUAUUCCAACAGUGCCUCGCCUUAUGGGCUAUUGUCAUGUUGCUGAACCUGUUUAUCUGGCAGUUCAUGGUCUAAAGGAGGCGUUGGUAAGUAGAAUCUCAAUCUUAAUAUAAUCAGUUAACUCUUACUCUAGCAUCUAUAGUCGUUGAUUGCACCUCUCUUGUCAGAUUUCAUACCCUUGUAUGCCAUUUCAGAUGAUGUAUUUUGGAUCACAUGAUUAGAUCCAACAAGUGGCUAUUAGUGUCGGACAAUUCGGGACAUUGCGUAUGUUUUUGGAACAACUUAUAUAGAUAAAUAUCAUGUGGAGUUUGUCAAUCAAGUAGUCCAUGUCUGAAUAAUACAGGGACUCUAUUUCAGUACAUGAAAACUAGCAAAUUAUUAGUAGCAACUUGGACAAAGUAUUUUCUAUCAGGUGGUUUAAGCCCAACUAUUCGCUAAUAUUUAACGCUAAUAUUAGUGGCUAGUUGGGUAAUUACAUUAGGAAUUGUCUUUAUAUUAUGUCUUCUAGGCUUUUAUAAUGGGAGCUAUUAUUAUGUUCCAUUCUAAGAUCAUUUUAAGUCCAAUUUGUAGUUAUCAGAGCUUUCUAUGCAUUAUUUAUCAAUGUAUGUUAUGAUGACAGAUGAACAGAGAAGUUUUAAGUGAUGGGUACCAAGGUGACGUGAUAGGAGAAUUCACUCCUGAUCUUCUCGUCAGUGAGUUUGUAAGUCUCAUUCUAUUCCAUUUCCUGUGCCUAAUCCACCUACGUGCAUAAUCAAUCAAUGAUGUAAAUUAAUUGAUUAUUAUAAACUAGCAGUUGAUGAUCCUAUGUUGUAUGGACUUCUAUUUUUGAGCAUGAGUAGUUAUCAGAGUUUGUUGUGAGUUGUUAGAUUACUGUGAACAAAAUGUAGGGGGAAAAAAAUGAACAUUAAGUGAACUAUUGUUAUAUCUUAAACCUAGUUUGAGCAUACGUUUUCUCGAUAUAAUCACUCUUAGAGCUCUGCCACCCUUAUGCUAAUAAAUGGUGGUUUAAACUGCCACAAUUUCGAAGCAACAGAGGGUGAAAGAAAGGACUAUCAGGUUCUUUUGGAGCUCUAUAGUAUUAGAGCAGUUGCAUUUGGAGCACCGAUACUUUCCUUUGAUUGUUACCACCGUGAUUUUGAUCCAUCGAGGGACGAAAGUGAGUUGUUGUAUUUGGGAAACACAAUUUCAAGUUAGGCCUUCAAGAAAUUCAGUGACAAUAUUGUUUAAUAAAUAUUUUAUGCAGAUGAAAGGAGAGAAGCAGCUGGUAGAAAAGAUUCUGCAGACGGAGAUAAAUCUUCUCCGCUCAAUCAGAGAUGGGACUGCUCUUAUGCAGCAUAUGGAAGACUUCUAUUAUGUCGCACUUUUAGAGGUAAUAUUUGCCUUCCAUAAAUACUCUUUCUGUGAAAAAGCUUGUGUGUUAUCUUGAAAUUUGCUCGGAGUUCAGAGGAAAUUAAGCACAGUGUAUUUGAGAAGAAAAAAAUCAAUAUAUUCUGUGGUUUAAUCCAACUCCAUAUUAUCACCUUGAUGUUCAUAGUGCUAAGGCACUUGGCAUCAUUUUUAACACCAUUUUAGUGGGCAGGUUGUUGCAAAUUUAUCUUACUACUCACUCUAAACCUGAUUACAUGGCGGAAGAGUAUUGCAAGCCUUAGCAUGUGAUUUCCGUGUUAUUAUCUGACUAAAGCUAAGGGUUUUGUGCAGAGUGUAAGGUCAAAAUACCAAACAGCCAACGGUGCAAACUCAAGUGAAGGUCCCUCACUGGCUGCAUGAGCCCAAUCAUAACGGGAAAUAUGAAUAUUGUGGCAUCCACCUACCUAUAUCUUGUCCCAAUUCCGAUCGACAGAGCCCACGGACAAAGAAUUUCGCAAGCUGUGGGUGUCUUUGCUACAACAAUUAGCCUUCUUUGUGCUUUUUUUUCUUACAUGAAUUAAAAUGUUCGAAAUAUUCUCAAUAGUGUUUCUCUUCUUUCUUUUCUAUUUGUUGAGGAUUGGUGGGCAAUAUCGACUACCCCCGUAGCGACACUUCCGAAAGGUCUUGGCUCAUAGUGUCUAGAUCCCAACGAGCGAUGCCAUCUAGCAUAUAGUAUUAUUGGACUUUUGCAAGGUUUAGUUACAAUCACAUAUUCAUGGGUUACCAUUUUCAUGUCACUUCAAACGCUUUACGCUAUCGACUUGUUGCCAAUCAUGCAAAUUCAAAUAUCAUCUUUGAAUUCUUAUUAUCUAUUUCGUUGGUCGGAAACCAUGUCCUAUUAUAUUAUUUCGAAUUUUUAUUUUGUAUAUCCGUAUUGAAUGGGGAAAUAUCUUCGACCAAAACUAUUAUUAUUCUGCACGCAGGGACCUUCUGAAUGAGAAAAAAUUAUUAUUAUUAUUAAUUUUUUUUUUGAGAGAUGGGUAGCACGCUGCCCGCUUCGUUUAUUUCAUUUAGAAAUAAACUUAGCUAGAAAUGUGAAUCAGCUGGGAUUCGAACUUGGGUUUCGGAUACUAACCAUCGAGUCCUUUGCCACUUGAUCUAGGGAUAGUCGGUGAAUGAGAAAAGAAAAAAUUACCCUAGGUCGGUGAAUGAGAAAAAAUUAUUAAUCGCGCCAGGUUUCCGACCACCAAAUUUAGCAAAUUGGGAGGAAAAAUGAAUAAAUUUUGAGUUAAAAUAAUUAAUUAAAGAGUACCUUAUUGUUGUAGCUUUUCAGCUACCUCUCGAAGCUGGAGAUCCAUGUUAGGUACAGGAAAGCACCAUUUGACUUUGAACCAAACCUUUUGACCGCCAAAUUGUACUCGAUUGUCUACACCCACUUGUUGUAUUAAUCUAUCCAUGAGAAUGUAUCUUUUGAUGUACCGAAAAUCCACAGGUAUGAAAAUUUGAUUGGAAUCCAGUUUGGUCACUGUUUUUUCCUUUUUUAUUCAGAAAUGUAGCGAAGCUGUAGUGAAAAUGACUAAUUAAGAGAAAUAUUGUUAUUUUGACGAUCGCAACUUGUGUAUGCAUUAAACAAAAUGUUACAUGUAUCCUAUAUAGGACUAAAUCUUUCGUCCUAUCCAUCCUAGGGUCCGCAAAAUUCUUGAGGGUUAAUAGUAUUUAUUAAAAAUAGUUAAUAAGACUAGUUAUAAAUUAUACGCUUUUCGAUGAAUAAAAUAUAAGAUCUACACUUAUACGUGUAGGGUUAUAUUGCUCAACUAAAGUUGAAUAUACGAGGGAAUACGAAAUCUUUUUUUUUCCGUCAUUAAAUUAAGAGAAAAGAGAAAUAAAUAAUUAUGGAUCAUUGAUUCUAAAAUCCUUUGGGCCUUUAAUGACUUCAAAAACGAAAAAAGAAAAAUCCUAUUAUGAUAUUUUAAUGGCAGAGGAAAAAGCAAAGCACCAAUACAUAUACAAAUAAUGUGUAAAUCUCACAGAAUUGAGCUAGAAUAUUUUUAAAAGUAUCAUCCGAUUGGUGCUUUUAGAUUUCUAGCUCUUAGAUCUACUCCUUGAUUACUAAUAGUCAUUAGAUCAAAUACUAUUCCACCUACCACUACUUACCACCAUCAUCAUAACCUUAUAUUCCUCCAUCUAAUGGUUAAAAACUCAAAAACACCACCUCAUUGGUGCUUUUGAGAAUAUUCUAACUCAACUCAAUCUCACAUUACAUCUACAUCUAUCAAAAGACUAAUAUUUUAUCAGUCGUGUUAUUUUUUUAAUACUAACAUUUAAAAAGUAAAUAUUAAACUAUUAGGCAGUUGAGUAUAAAUUUAUACGCUCAUAAAAUAUACAUAUAGUAUUUUUUUUUAAAAAAAUAGAUAAAUUAAACGGAAUAUUGAGAAAAAUGUAGAGAGACUUUAUGAUAUAUUUUAGGACUUUUUUAUAAAUUAAUCUUCUAGAAUUUUAAAAUUUGUGAGAUAACUCUCUCAAAAUUAUAUUUGUAAAAGUAACCCUUCUUUCGCCACGUAGGCGGGAGGGAAAAUUUUUCUUAUGAAGGCGGUGAAUCGUUCACCGCUUUUGUCUUACCAAUAUAAUUAGUAAAGACCGUGAAUGGUUCACUGUCUUUUGCUGAUUUAAUAUUUUUUUCUUAUAUCCCAUAUAUAAUGUUAACAACCAUAUAAAAAUUAUAACAAACUAUAUAUAAUUUUAACAGCCUAAAAAUUCUAAUAAUCUGUCAAUACAAUCAUAAAGUGAGGUUGUUAGAAUUAUACGUAGAUUAUAUGGGAAAUAGAAAAAUGUGAGGUUGUUAGAUGGAAAAUAGGAAAAAGUGAGGUUUUUAGAUGAAAAAUAGAAAAAAGUGAGAUUGUUAGAAUUAUACGUAAAUUAUAUAGGAAAUAGAAAAAAGUAAGGUUGUUAGAUAAAAAAUAGGAAAAAGUGAGGUUUUUAGUAUGCGUAGAUUAUUGAAAUUUUUAUUUGAUUGUUAGAAUUGUAUGAAUAGAUUAUUAGAAUUUUCAGGUUGUUAAUGUGAUUUGUUGUAAUUUUUAUGUUAGAAUUAUAUGGAUAGGUUUUUAGUAUGUGAUUUGCUAAUUAUAUUAGUAAGACGGUGAAUCGUUUACCGUUUUACCGAAAGUGGUAAACAAUUUACCGUCUUUAUAAAAAAAAUUCAUCCCGACGCCUACGUGGUGAGAGAAGAAUUAGUUUUAAAAAUAUAAUUUUAGAAAAAUUAUUUCUCAAAUUUUAAAUUCUAUUGCGUUGGUUUAUAAAAAAGUUCAAUAUUUUACAUGGACGUGUCACUGUCUUAUGGUUCACAUCAAUCGGUCUCCAUCUUUCUUUUGCAGGUUACAAUAUUGACUUUGCAUCUAUUAUACUAUUGAUUUUUCUCUUUUGAAUUAACCCAUAAUCUGAACUUGAUGAGGUACGUAGUAUGGUACCUAUUACCCUAAGUUGUACAAAUAUCUUUCAGCAAGAUGUUGAUGUUAGGAAAAUUAAGUACGAUAAAAUCGUAGCAAAAAAAAAAAAAAAAUCAAAUAAAUUUAAUUUUUAAAACUUAGAGAUUUGAUUUUGAAAACCACACAAAUAAGAUUUCUCAUAUUAUUUAAGAUUGAAGGAAAAUGGAAGAUCCAAUUUUUAUCUUUGCGUGGAUAGAUCUUUGCCGUAAUUUGAUGAUCGUAGAAUUAUGUUUUCUUGAAGCCACACACACGUCCAAUCUCUAUAGAUAUCCAUACGAGAUUGGUGAUUUGAUCAAUAUCCUCAUCAGGGUGCUAACUAACUUGCAAAAAAAUAUCUUUUUGCUAGAAAAAAAGAGAUAAUGAAAGAGAGAGAAAAAGAAAUGAUGGAUAGGAUUUUCUAAAAACUCCUAUAUAUUAUAUAUAGGGAUAUAAUGUUCUUUUUAAUAAUGUAAAAAUAACUAUUAAGGAUAAGAAUAAAUCUAGAUUUAAAUUUAUCCUUUAUCUAAUUGGUCAGAUCAAUUAAAUCCUAAUUUGAUUAGAUUUUAAUUUUAUCCAAAUUUGAUCAUAUCAAUUUAAUAAUGCAAUAUUUGCACAUAACUUCUCUCAUAAUUUACUAACGGUUAGUAAGUUCUCUCUUGUAACAUUUAUAAUUUAAUACCACUACUUUGUAACAAUUAUAAAUUAGUCUAAUUAUCAACAUAUUGACAAUUAGAUCAUUCGGCAAUUCAAAAAUCACUAUCUAGCUAUCUAAUCAGUCACAACCUUUUAUGUGUGUGACUCCAUCGAUUCUAUUCUAUCCGUGUCACGCCCCGGGGUCCCUUUGGAUUUAAAAAUCCAAUGCGGAAGUGCCCAAUUUUUUUUUUUUUUUUGAAAACUUUGACCUCAGAGUAUGUCAGAUUUGCCAAAUACAGGAAAUCGACUGUUCACACAGGCAGAGUCUCCCCUAUAUUUGUAUGGCGUAGCACAAGUACAAAAAACAACCACAUAUAUAUGAAUAUCCACAUAAAUAUACCACAUCACAUUCACAUCCAUUUCAUCACGAAUAGUCACAUAUCCACAUCUAUCAGUUUAAAAUGUUUCCUACCCGGAAACUCAUUUUGAAACACUAAGUCAUGAAAACCAAGCAAACCUUUUAAAAAUUAUUUCCCACACGGAAACCUUUUUCUUUUAAAAGCGCGCUACCACGAAGGGUAGAAAAUCAUUUUCAUCUCAUGAAAAUCAUCAAUUCGCUAUUACAUUCACAAAAUCUCAUUAAAAACCAACUGAAUCAUAAUGUCUGAGCGGGAGAAAAAGAUUAAAAAUUAAACCAUGAUUCACCGGGCCGGAACACUCUACGACGACUAACCACGUGCCUCAUGAACCAUCCCGACUCGGACCAGCAACAUUACCUGAAAGGGGGUGGGGGUGAGAACAUGUACACAUGUCUCCCCUCCCAGUAGGUACCGCAAGCCGACGAAGGCAAGGAGUACUCACUGGCAGAAAGAGAUCAUCAUAGUCAUAGGUGUUAAGUCAUGUGUGUUGGCAAGUUUCGUGAAAUAAGUCGGAGUCUUGAAAAAUCAGUGUGUAUCGUCGAAGAUCGAAGAAUUCAAGAUUUCGAAGAAAUUAGAAAAUGACUCACGAUGUGAAUCACGAUAUCCAGGUAAAGUGUUAAUUCAUGUUAUGGUGAUUUAUACUUAGUUGUAGGCAUUAGAAUCAUAAUAUCAAUGUUUACUGGAUUAGAAAGUGUAUCGGAACUUUGCAAAACUCGAAACAGUGAAAAUUUGCAAAGUGUACCGGUACAGCAUCAGAAGUGUACCGGUACAAAAUGUGUACCGGUACAGCCAUCAACAUGUAACUGGUUUCACUGUUUCGUCAGUUUUUUCGUUCCAUCAUCGUGUAACCGGUGAUAGCUUAAAGUGUACCGGUACACAGUGUAAAAUUGUGAAAACUUUCUGAUCUGACUCCGAUUGAUUCUAAAGUCUAUAAAUAAGCUAUUGAGAUUCUCUAACAGAUUAAGCAUCACGAAAAUACAUGUUUGAGAAACCCUAAAGGCUCGGAUUUCAUUUAAAACCUAUUUUCUACAUAUUAGCCUCUUUUAGGUCAAAUCUAGAGAUUGUAAUUUGAUAUCAAUAUGUUGAUUUGAUCUUCGCUUCGCUUGGAGAUCUAUUUCCUGGUUUUCAUCGAUACUCUAAGCGAAGGAUCACCAUACACAUGAUGUUCUUCAUGAUGGCGUCGUGGAUUCGGCGUGAUUGACAGCGGUUUGUGGAUUCGGAUCGUGAGCUUCGUGGAUUCUGAGUGGAGGCAUUUCGUGGAUUCGGAACGUGGCUUUCGUGGAUUUGAACGUGAGGGCGUGGACAACCCGGAGGAUUGCGCGAGAUUCAUAGGAGGUUAAGAGAGGUCGAGUCCGUGGAGUCGGUAAUCACCUUGUAAUCUUUUCUCUUAGUAAAUUAUUUUUUCGCGUGUUGGUCCCGUGGGUUUUUCUCCAAGUUGGAGUUUUCCUACGUAAAUCUCGGUGUGAUUUUUAUUUUCCGCAUUUAUUUUUAUCGCAUUGAGAUUUGUGGUUUUUGGCUAUUACACCUAUUCACCCCCCUGUAGGUAUUAGAUACAAUCUAGAUAGAUCCUUAGGCUUCUCAAAAUUUUCAAUUGGUAUUAGAGUGGGAUCUAGAUAAAUUUUUAUCUAUUGGCCGAAGGCAGAAACAUUAAUCGACCACCACUCUUUGAUGGCACAAACUAUGCCUAUUGGAAAGUUCGCAUGAGAGCUUUUCUAAUCGCAAUCGAUGUGCGCAUUUGGCAAUCAAUAGAAUUUGGAUGGAAACAUCCUAGUGAAAAGGUCGAGAAUGUUGAAACGCCAAAACCACGGAACAAGUGGACGAAAGAUGAAAACGAGUCAUCUUCGUUUAACGGUAAAGGAAUUAAUGCUUUAUUCAACGCUUUAUCGUAAACGGAGUUUACUUGUGUUUCGGCAUGCGAAACGGCAAAGAAAAUUUGGGAUACUCAACAAGUUACACAUGAAGGAACAAGGUUAGUAAAGGUUCAAAAAUUAUAAAUACUAGCAAGCAAAUUUGACUCAAUUUUCAUAGAAGAAAACGAGAUCUUUACCGACUACUAUACGCGUCUACAAGACGUUGUGAGUACAUGCGCUAACUUGGGAGAGAAAAUUCCGGAUGCUAAGGUUGUUAGAAAGAUUCUUCGAACUCUUCCGGAACGCUUUCGGGCAAAGGUUGCCGCGAUCGAAACCGUUAAGCAUCCGGACGAGAUGAAAGUCGAAGAGUUAGUAGGCACUUUACAAACGUAUGAGAUGACUUUUCCUACUAACCCAUCUUCUUCCAAGUCUUUUUCUAAAAGCACAGGGGUUGUACUCAAAUCAACAAAGAAAGAAGAAGACGACUCGGAUUCCGACGGAGAUAUUUCACUCGCGGACUUUGAACAUCAACUUGCACUCCUCACGAAGAAGUUCCGACGGAAUUUCCGAAAGAAGAACAAUUCGGACAAGGCUUCAUCUUCGAAGCAUAAAACUUUUUCUAAACAAUCUUCAAGUGCUAAAUCUAAGGAUAAAAAACUUGCAAAGUCUUCGAAAGAAAAAGAUGAAUUUGAAGGCGAAAUUCAAUGCUACAAAUGCAAAGGCUACGGCCAUAUUGCAACGGAUUGUCCUUCAAAGAAGACUUAUAGACAAAAGGCUUUGCAAGCAAAAACUUGGGUGAUUCUACUUCUAGUGAAUCAUCUUCAAGUGACGAAGAAAAGGAUGAUCAUAUUGCUUUACUUGCUAAUAAUUCUUUGUUUUCGUCUAACAUUGUUUGUUUAUCUUCAGUUGUUUCUAAUUCCAAUGUUUCUCUGUCUUCGCAUGGGUCUUCGCACAGGGGUUGCACUCAAAUCAACAAAGAAAGAAGAAGACGAUUCGGAUUCCGACGGAGAUAUUUCACUCGCGGACUUUGAACAUCAACUUGCACUCCUCACGAAGAAGUUCCGACGGAAUUUCCGAAAGAAGAACAAUUCGGACAAGGCUUCAUCUUCGAAGCAUAAAACUUUUUCUAAACAAUCUUCAAGUGCUAAAUCUAAGGAUAAAAAACUUGCAAAGUCUUCGAAAGAAAAAGAUGAAUUUGAAGGCGAAAUUCAAUGCUACAAAUGCAAAGGCUAUGGCCAUAUUGCAACGGAUUGUCCUUCAAAGAAGACUUAUAGACAAAAGGCUUUGCAAGCAAAAACUUGGGAUGAUUCUACUUCGAGUGAAUCAUCUUCAAGUGACGAAGAAAAGGAUGAUCAUAUUGCUUUACUUGCUAAUAAUUCUUUGCUUUCGUCUAACGUUGUUUGUUUAUCUUCAGUUGUUUCUAAUUCCAAUGUUUCUCUCUCUUCGCAUGGGUCUUCGAGCGACAAUGGCGAAAACGAGGAGGAGUCGAACGACGAGGAUAUAGCGGAAGCAUACAACCAACUUCUUAUUGAUUCGAAAAAGAUGACCAAGCUCAAUAAGAAGUUGAGGCGUCGUCUAUUGGACAUUGAGGAAGAAAACAAAAAUUUGAAGAUUACGAAUAAAGCUCUUGAGGAGGAAAAGGAAUCGAUUUCUAAGAAUAACUUAAUCCUCCAAGAGAAACUUGAUGAAGUGGAAUCAAUGAUCAAAUCGUAUAAAGACAAGGUUGGAUUUUUGGAGCAACAAUUCGAGGAAUCGCACAAAUCCAAUCAAUUCUUGACCAAUCAAGUUCGUCAACUUCAGUCCGACAUACAAAAAUUUUCUUCCGGCUCAAAGAAAUUAGAUCAUAUGCUCGGAUUAGGUCAAACGAACAAGUUGGGCCUCGGAUAUGAGAGAACGUGUGUUGAGAAGGAUUUAAAGUCGACAUCUAAAGUCUUAACAACUUCGAAAGAGAAGGUGUGUCAUAAAUGUGGCAUUGAAGGUCACAUCAAAAGGAAUUGCCCGGUGAAAGAUAAGAAGAAUCAUUCGGCAACUCCUAAAGCUCAAUCGACAUCAUCUACAACUUGACUUCCCCCACGGAAUCAAAAGCAAAAUCAUUUAAGUCAAACACCUCAAGGAAAUCGGACUUCUAAGCCGCAACGUCAAGUUCGAUCAUUCCCACAAGCAAACCGGAAUUCAAAGUUUCAUCAACAAUUCCAACUGAAGCCUCAAGCGAUGAAACGACCAAUAGUUGAUAAAAAAUUAAAGCAAAUUGUGCUUAACGUUGACAAGACAAGAUAACGGAAAAUUCGACAAGUUUGGAUUGGGAAAUGUAAUGCUUUGAUUGGUGCUUGUUGCAUAUUUUUAUUCAUUGCAUUACAUGAUGAUUUUCGUGUGCAAAAUUUUAAAAAAAAAUGAUUUGAGGAAGGAUGUUUGAGAAUUUAAAAUUUUUUUUUUGAGAAAGGAGACGAUUGAAAAUCUUUAUUUUGGGGAGAUUAGAAUUUGUUUCAAAGUAUUUUUUAACCAGAAUUCAUCUUGAAUUAAAUUCAUAUUAAUUAUCAGGUUUUACUUCACUUUUUAUUAUUUUGACGAUAAUUUAAUAUAUGAUUUCUUAAUACAUAUAUUCAACAAAAUUUUGAAAUCAAAUUUGAUCUCUUGAUGAUUAAUCUAUCUCGGUUGUGUGUGUUGGAUAUGAUAGAUGGAUAUUCGCUAAUAGACUAAAAUUUGUCAAAAUAUUUUCAAUUGUGAGAUUGUCUAAUUUAGGGGGAGUUUGAAAUUAUUUUUUUUAAAAAAGAAGAAACUCCUAUGUUUAAAAGAUGUGAAAAGAGUUACAUCCAAAAGGAGUGUGAAAACUACCACCACAUGUAGGAAAGAGCUACCACCCCGGUCGUCCGGCAAGUGUGUGAAGCUACCACAUGAAGAUUGAAUUGAAUAACCGAAAGGGUUGAAAAAAAAAAUUGAAUAUUUUAGACUUUUCGGAGUUAUAAGGUGUUAGUUUGAAAAAGAAGCUCAAAGAGCCACCCCCGAUAUCAUAUUAGUUAAAUCUCUAUUUUGAACAGAUUGCGACAAAUUGGUGUCAAUUUUGCCGAAUUUCUAAAAAUUAUUUUUCGUGAACCGUUACAUUUUGAUGAUUUUGAAACUCAAGGUCAUUUUUGAUAACAAAAUUGUGAUGUUUCGAUAUAUUUUGAAAUCUUAUAAUAUUUUACCUUCAUUAUAAUAAUUUUUGGAGUAAAGUCCUUAAUUUGUAUGAAAUUAAUUUAAGUUUAAAGAAUUUUUAAAUUCAAAUUUUUGAAAUUUGGAUAAGUGUACCGGUACAAAAUCCCGUGUACCGGUACAAAUUACUGUAGCCACGGAAAUAAAAUCGGUUACAGGGCUUUUUUUUCUUCUCCAAAUCUAAAUCAAAUUUCGUUCUCUCUCUUUCUCUAAAAUCCCCAGGAGACAUCCUCUUCUAGAUCUACUCGGUUUUUCCAAAAAUUAGUGAGUAUUUAGCUUAGAUUUAAUUGUUUCAUCGUGUUCUUGCCUAUUUUUCGAGAAUAUUUCGAGUUGAAGCUAGAUCUCUGUUUUGAUUCAUUUUUGAUGGAAUUUUUUGCUUCGUUUCAGUUUGUAUGCAUGUAUUCUUGCUUCUAGAACGUUUGGAUCAUGUCAUAAUGUGUUAUUUUUUGCUGAUCUAUGAUCUUUAUAUCAUUAUACAUGAAAUUUCGGGAUUGUUGUUGGAAUGUCAAUUUUUGGUGAAAUUUUUUGCAUGAAUGAGUUUGAAAUAGCGUUAGUAUGCAUUCUAAGAAUAUUAGAUAUUUUUUCGCUAUUUUUACAGAUUUUUUCAAAAUUUUUUUCAUGAAUGGCUCAUUUUAAUGUAGGAAAAUGGCGUUCUCGCUUGUGAUUCUGCUUUUGGUGCUUCUGGCCGCCGGUCGUGGCCGUGGUGGUGGUCGAGGACGUCGCGGGACAUCAAAGAGAACUCGUACUGCCGACGAGUCAUCAGGAUUCGAUCCGGAUUAUCAAGCAAGCUCACUUGAAGCCACUGAAGAAGCUGUUACUAGGGCUGCUAAAGGAAAAGGCGUAGCAGGAGAAUCCUCACGAGGAGGUGAUUCUCGUGCGCGUGAGAGUCGCUCCAAACGUGCUGCAGAGGCUUCAUCAGAGCGACGGAGGAUAUAUUCAAGCCGAUCAGUUCUAGCUGAGCGCUAUGUCAACUUUAUUGAGCUGAUCAAGGAGGUUCCAGAUUUUGGUCGAUUGCUGCAGAGGGUCCCUAUUGAGCCCGUUGGACGGGUUCCAGCUCGUGCCCAUUCUGUGUGGAACUCAUUCGGGAGUUCUACAUGAACGGGAUGGUGCUUGCAGAGGAUGAGGAGACUGGGACUUAUGUGUUUGAGACAUAUGUGCGUAAGCAGAAGAUUCAAGUUACUCCUUACACGAUUGGAGAGCACUUAGGGAUGCAUGUUGAUACUGCUGGCCUUCACUAUACGACAGGGCUUUAUCAGUCUUCGACCAACUGGGAGACUGUUAUUCAAGCUAUAUGCAAGGAAGGCGUGAGAACGAAUCAUUCAUAUGUGGAAUCCAAGGAUUUGCUACCCGAGUAUCAUCUACUCUCCUUGGUGAUGAGCUACAAUGUUCAACCUACAAUUGGAACAAAAAGGAUUCGUUGGGAUCGUCUGGUGCUUCUAUAUCUUCUUGGACAUCCUGAGGAAGCGGACGGGUUAAAUAUCAAUAUUCCUUUUCUGAUGUGGCAAAGAAUGGCUCAUGUUAUACAGUCUCAAGUUUGACAUGAUCUACUUCUGUUUCCGUUGUUGAUCACGAGGAUUCUUCAAGAACACGGAGUUGACAUGUCGUGUGAGAAGUAUGACAUUGGACUUGGACCGAUUGAUGCUGUAACCUGGGCCAAGUCAAGAAGCACACUGAAGACUUUUUAGUAAACUAAGGGAUCAUCCAAAGGAGCUUCUAGUUCAGUACCUCCACUUCGAGCAGAGCGUGAGGGAUCUUCAAGCUCAGGGGGAGUGAUUACUGUAGAAUCACUUCACCAUGGGGUGCGCUCUUUGAAGAAGAAAGUGGCAGAUCUUGCUAGAAAGGUGGAGAUGGAAAUGAAGAGAAUGAUGGGGAAACUGGGAUAUAGGCAUGAUGAUAUUUUUCCUACUCAGCCUAUCUACUCCACUUAUACCAGAUCGACAUCGCGACAUCCACUCAUUCUAUCGUCCGGUGAUGCUCCUGAGGCUGGGGGAUCUGGAGCUGGUGUAGGAGAUGAUGAUGAUGAUGACGAGGACACUGAGUGACUUCUUCCUCGAGCUCUGUUUUUCUACGUUGCUUUUUAGAAUGAUGUUUUAGUUUAGCUUUGCUUGCUUAUCUUUCUUUUGCAUGUUUUUACUUUUGCUUUAGGCUUGUAACUAUGACUUGACUACUCUUUUUGCUUCUUAGUGUGUUCUUUCUCUCUAUGCUUUAUUUUUGGCAAUUUUUUGACAAAAAGGGGAAGAUCAUAAGAAGAAGAACAUGUAUUGAUCAAAGCAGAGGAUGAAGAGGUUGAAUUUCAAAAACAAAGGGGGAGAGGUGAUUGAGAACAAAAGGGGAAAAAGGUAUAAGAAUCUAAUGUUAUACAUUAUCUUGGAUACUCUCUGUUUUGCAGGAAAUCAAGACUUCAAGACUCCUAGUUGCGUCUAAGUCAUAGAGUCUAUUUUAGGAGUUUUUUGAUGUACUUUUGAGUUUCGAAUUGUAUAUGGACUACAUGUGAGGGAUUCGAUGUUUUGGUGAUGACAUUGAACUUCAUUUUUUCUUUAAGAUGUAAUUUUUGAGUUUUUGUGUGUUUUGUCACGAAAUUGCCAAAGGGGGAGAUUGUUAAGUCUUGUGUGUUGGCAAGUUUCGUGAAGUAAGUCGGAGUCUUGAAGAAUCGGUGCGUAUCGUCGAAGAUCGAAGAAUUCAAGAUUUCGAAGAAAUUGAAAAAUGACUCACGAUGUGAAUCACGAUGUCCAGGUAAAGUGUUAAUUCAUGUUAUGGUGAUUCAUACUUAGUUGUAGGCAUUAGAAUCAUAAUAUCAAUGUUUAUUGAAUUAGAAAGUGCAUCGGAAUUUUGCAAAACCCGAAAUGGUGAAAAUUUGCAAAGUGUAUCGGUACAACAUCAGAAGUGUACCGGUACAAAAUGUGUACCGGUACAGCCAUCAAUAUGUAAACGGUUUCACUGUUUCGUCAGUUUUUUUGUGUCGUCAUCGUGUAACCGGUGACAGCUUAAAGUGUACCGGUAUACAGUGUAAAAUCGUGAAAACUUUUUAAUCCGACUCCGGUUGAUUCUAAAGUCUAUAAAUAAGCUAUUGGGGUUCUAUAACAGAUUAAGCAUCAUGAAAAUACAUGUUUAAGAAACCCUAGAGGCUCGGAUUUUAUCUGAAACCUAUUUUCUACAUAUUAGCCUCUUUUAGAUCAAAUCGAGAAAUUGUAAUUUGAUAUCAAUAUGUCGAUUUGAUCUUCGUUUCGCUUGGAGAUCUAUUUCCUGAUUUCAUCGAUACUCUAAGCGAAGGAUCACCAUACACAUGAUGUUCUUCAUGAUGGCGUCGUGGAUUUGGCGUGAUUGACGACGGUUCGUGGAUUCAGAUCGUGAGCUUCGUGGAUUCGGAGUGGAGGCAUUUCGUGGAUUCGGAACGUGGCGUUCAUGGAUUUGAACGUAAGGGCAUGGACAACUCGGAGGAUUGCGCGAGAAUCAUAGGAGGUUAAGAAAGGUCGAGUCCGUGGAGUCGGUAAUCACCUUGUAAUCUUUUCUCUUAGUGAAUUAUUUUUUUGCGUGUUGAUCCCGUGGGUUUUUCUCCAAGUUGGAGUUUUCCCACGUAAAUCUCGGUUUGAUUUUUAUUUUCCACAUUUAUUUUUAUCGCAUUGAGAUUUGUGAUUUUUGGCUAUUACACACCUAUUCACCCCCUCUAGGUGUUAGAUACAAUCUAGAUAGAUCUUUGGGCUCCUCAAAACUUUCAAUAGAUAGAUAUCACAAAUACAAUAGCUAAUAUGCCGAAAGGAAAGGUAAUAGUAAUAGAACCUGUAACUACCGCUACUGUAAAAUAGAACAGAAUGCAUACAUGAAUAUCAUAAAUACAGUAGCAAUGAUGCGUGGGUAAACAGCAGUACAUAGGGGUAUAACUAGCCGCUACUGUAAAACAGAACAAAAUGCAAGUAUGCAUCAACCGGACGAUCAGUCUAAAAAAUACCCAAUCAGAAACCUGGCAUGAUGGGCUGCAGGCCUCAAGCUUAUGCCACUACCACUCUAUUUGUAUAUGACCCAGUUCUGACCGCUGGGCUUACGGGCUGCAUAUUACCCAGUUCUGACCGCUGGGCUCACGGACCGGCACAUCCAACCACUUUUUCAGAAAAGAACACCUGGCCACGGUGGAUCAGACCGCUGGUGUUCGUGAAAUGCGAACGAAUAUGUCACACCCCCGCCCUGAAACCCCUACCAAUUUGGCACGGUUGGGGCGCGGUGAACGGACGCCGAACGGGCAGCAACUCCCCUACCCGCCCAAGGCUCACAACCUGAUCAUGUACAAGAAUUUACCCAGGAAAAUUAAAUUCAUACAUACACGAUCAACGGGGAACAAAUAGUGCCAACAACGAAGAGCAAGUAAUCCACAAGAUACACAAGUGAAAUAAAGACAGAACUACUAGCUAUUAUAUCACAAUUGUAUUCUUUAUACAAUUAUAUUUUUUUUCCCAAAAUGAUAAUAUGUCAUCAAAAUACACUCUCCAAUCCUCUCCUACAUGAAUCUCUCUCAAAUACAUAGGUGUGCUAAUGCAAAAGAAAAGCUACUACAUGCUACUGCUCGGGCGCGAUGCACUUGCCGUGAUCCUCGCCCGGCGAACUGGUACUAGGCCCUGCAAAAAAGUAGGGUCAGAACUAUCUUCCAUAGUUUCCAGUGGGUUCGGCCGCCGACUUCGCCGAUCUCCCCACUAUGUCCGAGUGGGCAAAAGCAGGUAGAUAGAUAGAUAAAUAGAAAUCAAAGCUGUAAAUGCGAUAGUAGGAAAACUAUGCUACUAUGCCCAAAAUCAUGUAUCAUGCAUGCAUGUAUCAUAUAGUGAAAUGUCAACUUACCAUGUCCAACCAUAAUGUCCAAUAAGCAAUGUUCAAUUAACGAUGCUAUACGCUUGUUCCAUUAAUCCUUGGCGAUCCACUUGGGUUCGCCCAUGACUCACCUCAAACAUCGUAUGGUAAGGAGACGCACCUCGCUCUCAAACCCGGGGCUGUCUGUAGGACAUCAACUCGUUCCUCUCGCACCAAACUCCGGAGUGCACGAAGACUCGGGUAGAGCGACCACCACAAGUAUAAACAGACUGUGAGUAUGAUCAAUCCUCUCAACUCGAGGAUACCCUACAACUCUAAGGUUACAAGUGACUUGGGAAUCCACCUAUCCCAAUGUCCAAAUACUAUGUUUGGCCUCAUCAUGUGUUUAUGCAAUAAGUCAUUUUCUAGAAAAUCCACGUAUCCCUAAGUUCACAUGCCUCUAGUGUUAUUUACACUAAGUCAUAUACUAUUCAUCAUGUCUUUACAUUCAUCGAGUUCAUUUUUCUUCCUCAGCACUAUAGGAUCCAAAUGUCAAGACCCAAUCCUUAUCUAGCCGAAAUCAUGCAUUUCUACUCAUACAUCGAUGUCAAUAGCAAGCAUAAGGAAUGGAAAUACGAUGCAAUCCUAUAAUGCAUAUGAAAGAGAUGCAAUUCAUAAAUGCUAAGACAUAGAAAGGAGCCCGGUUGGUUCGGGAUGACACCACCCACCUUUUGAUGACGUGGACGGUUCGGAAACGCUAUUCGGCACACUUUACGACGAGGUCUCCACCACCUAGGUAGAAACGAAGCUUAUUCAAUGUUGUUUCAUCCUUAUCUCUUUAUCCGAUCGAUGAAUCAUAAUUCCGACUUCGCCAACGCGUUUAAACACCCACCAAUUAGGUUUAGAUGCUAUCAAAAGAGAUCAAUCUCAUCAUUUAUCAAAAACCCCCAUUUGGGUGCCCUAGGGUUCAUAUCUUGCAAUUAGCACUAUAGAACCCUAGCUUCUAGCUCUAUUCCACCAUUAAUGGUGCUAGAGGUCCAUUUGACCUCAUUCCCAAAGCUCAAAACCCAAAACCCUAGGUUCUACCAUAUUAGGGUUUAGAGCUUACCUCUAGUGCUAGCUCCAAAGGGAAGAGGAGAGGGAGAUGGAGGUGUCCAAGGCCUUCUCCUUGAUCUCUUUCUUCUUCUUCACCUUUCUUUCCUUCUUUUUCUUCCUCUCAUUCUUCUCCUUCUACUUUGCUUCAAGAGAGGGAGAGAGAGAAAGAGCUUAGAAAGAGAGAGAAAGAGAGAGAGAGAGAGAGAGAGAGAGAGAGAGAGAGAGGAGAGUGUUUGGGAGUAGAUGAGAGAAAGAGAGAGGGCUUUCCUCUCUAAUACCCUCCAUCUAUUAUAACAAAUGCAGCUAAGCCCCUCAACUUUGCUUCUCUCAAACAGCUUUGCCUGGGCAAUUUUCGUGCGGAAGGACCGGUCCUCCCAAUGAGGGACCGGUCCCCGAGAGCCUUCAGCCAGGGUUGCGCUCACGGGAACCGGUCCCUCGGUCGGGGGACCGGUUGCAUUGCGCGUCCGCUGCAGCCCCAGCUACGGGGACCGGUCCUUCUUUGCCAGGGACCGAUCCUCGAGAGCAAACUCUGCGGAGACCUUGGUUUGCUCGAAUUCCUGCUUACGGGAACCGGUCCCUCCCCCUAGGGACAGAAUCUGCUAAGUGCAGAUUUUGCACUAUUUGCUCUCGUGGACUCACUUUCAAUGCACUUUUUGGGUUCUAGACAUCUUUAGCUUCUCCAAAGCCUACCUACUCGACAAUUAGUUGAUCCUCCAUGAAGUUCAACUCUCAGAUUUCGAGAAUUCACUACAUUACAUCCUCCUCUCCUUAAAAAAGAGUUUCGUCCUCGAAACUGAUUCAACUUAAAUUAAACUCAGUUUCCAUACCUUAUUCCUCAAACAAGUGAGGAUGAUGCUUUCUCAUCAGAUCCUCGAGUUCCCAGGUGGCCUCGCGAUCAUCAUGAUUGCUCCACCGAAUUUUCACGUAGGGAAUCUCGCGAUUUCUCAGUUUUUGCACUUCUCGAGCAAUAACCAACACCGGAAAUUCUUCAUAGCUCAAGUCCUCUUGGAGCUCCGGUGGCUCAUACAGUAGAGCAUGCUCGGGAUCAUGAAUGUAUUUGCUAAGAUGGGAGAUGUGGAACACGUUAUGCACAUCUGCGAGCUUCGGCGUUAAUGCAAGCAGAUAAGCUAUGGUCCCAAUUUGUUCCAAUAUCUCAUAAGGUUUGAUGUAUCGGGGACUUAGCUUCCCCUAAACUCCAAACCGCUUUACACCCCUCAUGGGUGAGACCUUCAAGAAUACGUGGUCGCCUACUGCAAACUCCAAGUCUCGACGGCGCUUGUCCACAUAGCUUUUCUGCCUUGAUUGCGCCGUGAGCAAUCUCUUGCGAGCAAGACGGACUUUCUCCUCUACUUCCCGCAACACAUCGGGGCCAAAUUUAGCCCGCUCGCCCACAUCGCUCCAGUGUAUAGGAGAUCGACACUUCCGCCCAUAAAGAGCCUCGAAUGGUGCCAUCUCCACACUAGCAUGAUAACUGUUAUUAUAGGCGAACUUGGCCAUCGGCAGAUGAUCACACCAACUCCUUUUAUAGUUUAUGACAUACACUCGCAACAUAUCCUCCAGACUUUGAAUGGUCCUCUCUGUUUGCCCAUCUGUCUGAGGAUGGAAUGCUGUACUAAAAUUGAGCUGUGUGCUAAGGGUUUCCUGCAGGCUUUUCCAGAAAUGUGAAGUGAACCGGGGGUCGCGAUUCGACACAAUUGACUUCGGCACCCCGUGCAGUCUCACUACCUCAUCGAGGUAUAUCUAAGCCAAUUUGUCACCUGUCCAUGUGGUGUGGAUCGGCAAAAAGUGGGCCGACUUCGUUAAUCGAUCCACAAUUACCCAAAUUGCAUCGUGGCCGCCUGAUGAACGAGGCAAGCUGACCACGAAAUUCAUCGAUAUAUCUACCUAUUUCCAAACAGGGAUCGGUAGGCUGACCUGCUGGAAAUUGACGCUCUGCUUUCACUCGUUGGCAUACUAAACAUUUCGCCACGAAGCGUCCAACAUCACCCUUCAUUCCAGGCCACCAAUAGUGUCACGUCCCGAUAUCGCCAAUUUGGUCGAUCCGGGCCUGUACACAGACGCCGAACGGACAGCACCUCCUCUGUCCGCCCAAGGCUCAACCACAACGAGUAUCUGUAUAAAGAAAUGAACAACUCUCAGGAUAACAUUUCAGUAUACACGGCUUUCACGAAGGCAAGCAACAAUCACAAGUGAUAAGAAGCUAACUAUACAUGAAAUUCACUGUAAUUUUAAAACUCUAAAACUGAACUAUAAACUGGAUAACUGAGGCAUUUAGUUAUUUACAUCAUUUACACUUUCAUUUACAUUUCUCUCUAUUCAAUAUUAUGUACAACAUGAAACCCAAAAUGGUAUACCACUAAACUCGGGUGUCUGCUAGCUAGGCUGCUGGGCUCUUGCCACGAUUCUCGGCCACACCGCUCGCACUGGAAUCUGUAUGGUUAGUAGUAUGAAAAUUACUAAAAGUUCCCAGUGGGUUCGGCCGCCGACCUCGCCGACUCACCCACUAGGUCUUUUCAGGCAUAUGUAGGCAAGAAAAGUAAAUACAUAGUAACCAACAAUAACAUGUAACUACUACAGUGCCUGUACAAAGCUAAAAGAAACAAUAUAUAAUAACUGAUAAAUAUGCAUGCAUACUUUUAAUGAUGUUACCCAAUAAAACUGGUUAACCCUUUUGGUUAACAAUAACUCACCGACGAUAUCCCAAAUAUCGGAGAGACGCAAGUUACAUCCCGACGGGACUGUCAACUCGGGGAGACGCUAGCUCCUGAUCCAGUUAAGAUGACUACUCCGGAGCUCAUCGUUCAAGGAGGAGCGACUUUCCUUGAACAUAAAACUGAGGUGAGUAUGAUCUGAUCUUCCUUUAGAAGAUCCAAUGAAAGACAAUGCUACACUUUACUCUAACUAGCCCUUUAUGCUAGUUUUACAAUUUCAUUCUCGAUGCUAACCAAAUAUCUAGUCAUGAUGUCACCCAAUUCACUAUUGUUAUAGUCAAUGCAUUUAUAGGGUUCUAUGUCCACAUAUUAAUAUUCAUAGGUUCUUCUUUUGAUAAAAAUUCAAAUAUUCAAUUAUCACUUGCAUAAUGCCAGUACCCUAUAAUGCAUGAAUAUGAGUAAUUCAUAUAUAAAUAUGCUCAAUGAAAUAUCAUAGACAUAAAGGGGGAUUCAAAGAUUUCGGAUAGCACCACCCACCUGUAGGGAUGCCAACAAACUGGAAUCACCGUCUCGCACUGUCUCAACAACGAGCUCUCGCGACUCCGUGCAAAUAGAGCUAAAACGGCUUCUACCGUAAUUCGUGCGCCGCAGACCUGUCGGAAUGUCAAUUUAGACUUCCGAGCAUGUUUAACUUUCAUUCUAAACCAUUCUUGAAGUUAACUUAACUUGGUCUCUCCUUUUAACAUUAUGCAUGUAGAUAUCCAUAUAUACAUACAUAUAUACCUACUACAUAUAGCAUCAACCAGUUUUAGAGGAUUCAACUAAGAACUCCUCAAUGCCAAUUCGAGUUUCCUUUAGUUCAUGCUGACUCAUACUUAUCUCAAUUAGUUGCUUAAUUACUCUAUUUCAUUUGCAAGAGUACUCAAUUUCCAUGCUGAAGUAAUGCUGAAAUCUGCUCCAUUGCAAUCAUUUCAGCACACAAGAAUCAAUUCCAUAUUUUAUAACUCCUCUAACUAAUAAACAUCCUUUAAAUUCAGAUUUAAGAUAGGUCAUCUUAAUAUUUAUUAUUUCAUUGAGAUGGAGUACACUCUUCGAAUCAGAAAAUGGCUUGUCCAUACCUGAUUUUAGAACUUCACUGAGCCCUUCUUCAAUUCAACUUCAUGAGGUAGCAGCCCUACAACCCGCAAGCACCGAGUUGUCAGCUUCAGGUGGCAACAUCAAUUUUGAUACUUAAUAAUGCAUUCUAAUUUCAGCUUAUGUAUAUAUAUCACUACAUUCAUACCUAUUACAUACAAUGGGCUAGUUUACACUUCCAUCAGCUUAUACUACAAAGAACUUCACAUUAACUACUUUCCAAGGCAAGUAAGUAAUUCUUCCAUCAAGUUUACCGUAAUUUGGAGUUCCUCCUAGUUACUUUCAGCUGUCACAAGAAAUAAUCUUGCUUUACUAGCUUCUCUUCACAAUCUGCUCUUCACAAUCUGCUUAAUUGGAAGCUUCACUAUGCUCCCUCCUCCAUCUGGGUGUCCAGAAUUUUCCAAUUUUCAGCACUACAAUUCGGAAAUUAGGGUUAACAUACCUCCAAUUUCAUCUCCAUUGAUUUUCACACAUGUAUUUAUACAUAUUAUAUGUUAUUCCAGCAGUAACUACUCCUUUUACCUAAGAUUUUGAGUUUCCCUCAGCUGAAGCUUUAACUUGGCAGCUCUACUCAGCCCCAAGCUUGAGACUUUACCAAUCUCUUCCUCUAAUCUGGACUGCAACUUCUCAGCUGUAGCUCCAACAGCCACAACUCAGUCCACAAGCCUUUUCCUUUCUCAGCUUUACUUAGUUCCCUGCACACAUAUAGACAAAUACUAAUUUAACUCACUUAGAAGUAUUGCUGCUAUGCUAUUCUAUUAAGCAUAGCACAGGAGCAAUUACUCACUUCAAUUUCCAAACUUCCUUAAUCAAGGCAUCAACGUAGCAGCCGCAAUCAGCAUGGAAUUUUGAAUUCCAUGCACAUCAAGCUCCCAAGCUGUACCAAGCUGGGUCUGCACUUGGCACCCUGCGAGAAUCAGGUUAGCCCCAAAUUCCAAGCUCUCUCAGCUAGAAUCCCUGCUCUGCAGCAUCAACAAGCCCAAUCUAUCAAGCUGCCAGCUGCAAGAAGUCCAUAUAAACAUCCUCUCCAAAGUAAUUAACCUAUCUAGAAAUAAAUACUAAAGAUGCUGUACCAGGUUGUUCAGCAACUCCAACAGCAGGAAUUCUCUGUUUGGAUCAGGCUUUACUCCUCAGCCCGCAACUCCCCAAGCUGCCAACAUCAACUUCCUCAACCCUUCCUUAGCCUAGAGAGAGAGGAAGAAGAAAAGAGAUGAAAGAAGGAGAGAGAGAGAAGAGUCCUGGUGGUUAGACAGGUGUUAUUAACUAGGAGUAAGGUGAUUAGGUUGGAAUUUUUACAACUUAACCCCUCAAUUCAACAAAAUUACCUUUUAGCCCUGCUGCAGAUUUCUAUAUGCUAGUACCUCAUUGAGGUACACAUCUGUACCUCACUGAGGUACACAAUACAAUUCUGCAGUAUGCUGAAUUUCUGGCAGCAACAGCAAAUCAAGACCAUUUCGUAUUUCUAAUUUGCCUCGAACACGUCUAAUCACUUCCAAUUCAUGCCAAAUAACCUCUACAAGUUACCAAAUUAAUUUGGAAGCGAUUAAUUCUCAUUUUAGCAAUAUUAUGAUCAAUUUGAUCCUAAUUAGCCCGUAGUCGAAAUCCGACAUAUUACAAAUAGUGUAUUUUCAAUCCUUGAUACAUUUUGGUGCUACCCGUGUGAUCACAAUAAGGCGACCGAUGUGCCUCUUGUAAGAUUAGCUCUUGAAUCUCCUCAUUAUUUGGCACACACCAUCGAUUUCGGAAUCGAAGUGCACCGUCGGCGUCUAUUAUGAAAUCACCGCCACGACCCUUCUUGAUGUCGCGCCGCACCUUUUGGAGUUCUGGGUCCGCGGGUUGCAGAUUCUUGAUUCUCUCCAACAAGGUCGGUUGGAUAACGAGCGCCAUCAACUGAGUCGAAAUCUCAGGAGCAACCACCUCAUGGUUCAUUCACUCCAUGUCCAGCCAUAGGGGUGUUUGAUUUGUAACCUAUAUAGCGAGGUUCUCCGCUGACUUUCGGCUGAGCGCAUUCGCGACCACAUUAGCUUUCCCGGGGUGGUAAAGGAUGUCCACGUCAUAAUCCUUCAAUAGCUCCAACCACCGCUGUUGUCGCAUGUUAAGCUCUUUCUGUGUGCAAUCUCUUGCGAGCAAGACGGACUUUCUCCUCUACUUCCCGCAACACGUCGGGGCCAAAUUCAGCCCGCUCGCCCACAUCGCUCCAGUAUAUAGGAGAUCGACACUUCCGCCCAUAAAGAGCCUCGAAUGGUGCCAUCUCCACACUAGCAUGAUAACUGUUGUUGUAGGCGAACUCGGCCAUCGGCAGAUGAUCACACAAACUCCCUUUAUAGUCUAUGACACGCUCGCAACAUAUCCUCCAGACUUUAAAUGGUCCUCUCUGUUUGCCCAUCUGUUUGAGGAUGGAAUGCUGUACUAAAAUCGAGCCGUGUGCUAAGGGCUUCCUGCAGGCUCUUCCAGAAGUGUGAAGUGAACCGGGGGUCGCGAUCCGACACAAUCGACUUCGGCACCCCGUGCAGUUUCACUACCUCAUCGAGGUAUAUCUGUGCCAAUUUGUCACCUGCCCAUGUGUAAUACACUGGAUCUUAGCAAAUUGCAAGAUUCGAGUGUUUGAUUGGUGUGUGGAGCCUCUCCACAGUUUCUGGAGGGUCGUUGAUAGUGUUCCGACCCCUGGCACGCACCCCGAGGAUGUUGGUUUGAAGCUUGGUACCAAAAUCCAAAAAUUGGAUUCAUUGGACAGCUCUCGGGUAGCCUGCAGCAGGGCUUGUACCGGAACAAGACUGNUGCCGGGCGGGCUUCCGCUGGGUCCCGGGGCGUGACACCAUGUGGUGUGGAUCGGCAAAAAGUGGGCCGACUUCGUUAAUCGAUCCACAAUUACCCAAAUUGUAAGGAAGUGAAUCCUCGAGAUCCGAGGAUUAGACUUCCUUUGGAAUCGACUUUUUGUCGAGUGUAUAGGCUUCGGAAAGUCCGAAGGUGACUAUAAUGCCUAAAGCGCAUUAAGGAAAGGUCCACGGGAGCACUAGUGCAAAAUCUGCACUGGAGCAGAAAUGCUCUCGGGGACCGGUCCCUGGCAGGGUGGGACCGGUCCCAUCAGGCUGGGCUGUGGGGGUCUCUGAUGAGACCGGCCCCUGGCAGGCAGGGACCGGUUCCCGAACGUUGGCCCAGUAAAAAUAGCCGAAAUUUGGCUAAGUCCCGAAAACUCUACUCUCGGGAACCGGUCUCUCGGACAAGGACCGGUCUCCCGGGGACCGGUCUCUCAGGCAAGGACUGGUUCCCGAACGCGAAAUCCUUCUGCCUGAGAUGGAGAGCUCUCGGGGACCGGUCUCCCCGAGCUAGGACCGGUCCCUCACUGCGAAAUCAGCCCAGUGAGAGCUGUUUAAUAGAUUAAAAGUUGAGGGGGCUAUCUGCAAAAUGGCCUUUAUUAGAGGCUAGGGGACCUCUUCUCUCCCUCAUUUCUCUCUAACUCUCUCUCACUCUCUCUCUUUCUCUCUCUAGAAAGAAAAAGAAGGAGAAGAAGAAGGAGAAGAAGCAGAGGAAAGAAAAGAGGAAGAAGUGGAAGGAGAAGUCCAAGAAGAAGAAGAAGAAGGUCUUCUUCCCUCUCUCCUUCAAGCUAGGGCAAGUUUGGGGCUUGGCUUAGAGGUAAACUCCAAACCCAUCCAUGGUAGAUUUCUAAGGAUUGGGUUUUAUUGCUUAGAAUUGGUUCAAAUGGAACCUAGAGAAGAUAAGUAGAUGGUUCGGGUUCGCAAUCGAAGCUCGCACCACGGAUUUCUUCCUCGUUGCCAUUCUGGGGCACGGAUUUGGGAUUUUGGUAAAUUUAGGGUUUUGAUCGAUCUUAAUAGGUCGUAAACCAAAUUGCUAGGUCUCGGAACCCGUCGGCGAAGACGGUUUGUCGAUCCGACGAGCGAGUGCGGAGUUAUCGCCGAAUCGGGUACUCGAGGGCUCGUUUCGCCUCGAGGAGUUGAAGCGGCGUACAAAGACCGCAGCAUCAAGUUUUCUACCAUUGCGGCAUCGCCAAGAAGUGGGUGGUGUCCAUCCCGAAGCAAUCGGGCUCCCUUUUAUGUCUUAGUACAUGUCGAUUCUUGCAUCUUGUAUUAUUGCAUUAUAGGAUGAUUGUGCAUUGCCUUUCCUUAUCCUUUCCUAUUUGAUGCUAUAUUAUGUAUGAAUUGCUCGAUAUAGGGGAUUGAUGAGGAUUGGGUCGAGACUUGUAAUCCUAUAGUGCGGCGAUGAAAGAAUGAUGUAAGGGUUGAAACAAAAGAACGAGUGGCAUCUAGUUGUUAAUAACCAAAGAACGNACUAUUCACAUCAGAUUGUAGCUCAGGUACAAAUAUUUUUCGUCCGCCCUUCUGAACGUCCGAUUGAGCUCAAACUUGGCAGUCAUGAUCAGUUUAACCUUACUUAACGAAAGAAAUUUUAAUCUUUCAGUUUCGACCCCGUUUGGUCACGGAAAGCUGUACCAAACUGUAAUCUUUAUCAAAUAACUGUCGAAUUUAAUUUUCCACCUUCCGGGUGUCAGAAUGGCAUGAAACUUUAAAUCUAGCCUCAUAAAAAUAAUCCUAACAUAUUCCCAAAUUUUCGAAAUUUUCUGACACUGUGCAUUUUCUGCUGAAAUAUCAGCCCCGUCUCUCACAGAAAAUUCUCAAUCUUCUAUUUCACUCCGAUUUCCGCACAAGUCAAUCUUGACGUAUAAUUUACUUGUCUAAAUCCAAUAAAAAUAGUAUCUCACACUAUUUCUAUUUAUAUUCACUUUUUAUUAAAACAAAUCCGGUAUGCUACACAUUGUCUGCUCCCAACUUGUGGUGGUUGGUCCACACAAGUAGUGCGCUCCAGAGUCGGUCACGAGGGAUAGCCUAUGUGGGGUCCCGUGGGAUAGGGAUAGCCUAAUUGGGGUCCCGAGGGAUAGCCUAUGUGGGGUCCCGCAGACGGUCUCGGAUUCGUAGUAUCGAAACGGCUAUAUGAGUAGUAGGCGGAAUCCUGAAUGAGCCACGAGGUUAAUGAACGAGUAAAUGGCUUUACUUCUUGGACAUAUGAAGAGCUAGUUGAUUAUCUAUUUCAUUGUGCAUGCAUCCAUUAUAUUCAUGAUUCGGGCACAGUAGAGUAGCUUACUAUCCGUUUCUACAGCUUUUAUAUUUAUCUAUCUGUUUAUCUACUCGUGCCCACUUGGACCUAGUGGGGAGACCGGCGGAGUUGGCGGCCGAACCCACUGGGAACUAUGGAAGAUAGUUCUUACCCCACUUUUUUCAGGUUCGAGCUCGGGCGUCCCGGGCGAGCGCGAGGAUCGUGGUAAGGGCCUAGCUCCCUAGUUGCAUUAGCUACCUACCCUUUUGCAUUAGCUUUACCCUGUAUUCUGUUUGAGAGUAGAUGUUGUAUAGGGUGAGGUUUGAGUGAUUGUGUUUACAUUUUGGAAGAAUGUAAAAGAUGUAAUUAAAUGUAUUAAGUCGAAUGAAUGUAAUAAAUAGAAUCUUCUCUUUUUAUCUACUUGUAUGUUUCAUACUUGUACCUUGCUCUCGUCUUGUUAGCACUGGUGGUGCUCCUUGUGAUCGUGUAUUUAUGAAUUGAUUCCUGGGUAAAUUCUUAUACAUGAUCUGUUGGUUAGCCUUGGGCGGACAGGAGAGGUCCUGUCCGUUCGGCGUCUGUUCGACGCGCCCGGGGCCGGACCAAAUUGGUAGCGGUCUCGGGGCGUGACAGAUAAAGUGGUAUCAGAGCACCAGAGCAAGUAAAGAGAGAGUCUAGGAUGACCUAGGAGACCCUAGGUUGGUAAGCCCUAAGGUUAUAGGGACGUGAGUGAACGUGAACCCAUGGCGGUNNNNNNNNNNNNNNNNNNNNNNNNNNNNNNNNNNNNNNNNNNNNNNNNNNNNNNNNNNNNNNNNNNNNNNNNNNNNNNNNNNNNNNNNNNNNNNNNNNNNNNNNNNNNNNNNNNNNNNNNNNNNNNNNNNNNNNNNNNNNNNNNNNNNNNNNNNNNNNNNNNNNNNNNNNNNNNNNNNNNNNNNNNNNNNNNNNNNNNNNNNNNNNNNNNNNNNNNNNNNNNNNNNNNNNNNNNNNNNNNNNNNNNNNNNNNNNNNNNNNNNNNNNNNNNNNNNNNNNNNNNNNNNNNNNNNNNNNNNNNNNNNNNNNNNNNNNNNNNNNNNNNNNNNNNNNNNNNNNNNNNNNNNNNNNNNNNNNNNNNNNNNNNNNNNNNNNNNNNNNNNNNNNNNNNNNNNNNNNNNNNNNNNNNNNNNNNNNNNNNNNNNNNNNNNNNNNNNNNNNNNNNNNNNNNNNNNNNNNNNNNNNNNNNNNNNNNNNNNNNNNNNNNNNNNNNNNNNNNNNNNNNNNNNNNNNNNNNNNNNNNNNNNNNNNNNNNNNNNNNNNNNNNNNNNNNNNNNNNNNNNNNNNNNNNNNNNNNNNNNNNNNNNNNNNNNNNNNNNNNNNNNNNNNNNNNNNNNNNNNNNNNNNNNNNNNNNNNNNNNNNNNNNNNNNNNNNNNNNNNNNNNNNNNNNNNNNNNNNNNNNNNNNNNNNNNNNNNNNNNNNNNNNNNNNNNNNNNNNNNNNNNNNNNNNNNNNNNNNNNNNNNNNNNNNNNNNNNNNNNNNNNNNNNNNNNNNNNNNNNNNNNNNNNNNNNNNNNNNNNNNNNNNNNNNNNNNNNNNNNNNNNNNNNNNNNNNNNNNNNNNNNNNNNNNNNNNNNNNNNNNNNNNNNNNNNNNNNNNNNNNNNNNNNNNNNNNNNNNNNNNNNNNNNNNNNNNNNNNNNNNNNNNNNNNNNNNNNNNNNNNNNNNNNNNNNNNNNNNNNNNNNNNNNNNNNNNNNNNNNNNNNNNNNNNNNNNNNNNNNNNNNNNNNNNNNNNNNNNNNNNNNNNNNNNNNNNNNNNNNNNNNNNNNNNNNNNNNNNNNNNNNNNNNNNNNNNNNNNNNNNNNNNNNNNNNNNNNNNNNNNNNNNNNNNNNNNNNNNNNNNNNNNNNNNNNNNNNNNNNNNNNNNNNNNNNNNNNNNNNNNNNNNNNNNNNNNNNNNNNNNNNNNNNNNNNNNNNNNNNNNNNNNNNNNNNNNNNNNNNNNNNNNNNNNNNNNNNNNNNNNNNNNNNNNNNNNNNNNNNNNNNNNNNNNNNNNNNNNNGUAGUGGUUGUGUCGGCGGCCGACGACGCAACGCUAAGAGUCCGACACUAGAGCACUUGCGAGCUUCCGCCCGAUUUUAUUAUUGAGUCGUUUAAAUUCGCGAACGUUGCAAGGUUAUCGGAUUGAGAUAACUAACCGAGUUGUUGCUUUUCAGGAGCAAAUGUCCCGAAGAUGUUACGUGCGUAGGUCUGCUCCGGUGCAGCCUUCUGCGGAGCCCGACCAGCCAAGAUCGGAGGAAAUGCAGGAACUACGGGAGCAGGUCGCUGCAAUUUUGGGCGCGAUGCAGCGCCAGGAGGCUCGAUUCGAGCAGCUCCAGGAAGUUGUGGAGCGGCAAGGUUCAUUUGCUCCAUGUCCAGCCAUAGGGGUGUUUGAUUUGUAACCCACAUAGCGAGGUUCUUCGCUGACUUUCGGCUGAGUGCAUCUGCGACCACAUUAGCUUUCUAGGGGUGGUAAAGGAUGUCCACGUCAUAAUCCUUCAAUAGCUCCAACCACCACUGUUGUCGCAUGUUAAGGUCUUUCUUUGUGAACAGAUACUUCAGACUCUUGUGGUCGGUGUAGAUCUCAUAAUGCGCACCAUAUAGAUAGUGCCGCCACAACUUCAAAGCGAAGAUCACUUGUCACGCCCCGGGACCGUCUGAGGCCCUCCCGGUUGCGUGCCCAGACCCGCCAUAUAUCAGCACAUAUAAGGCGCCUAGGUCAACAGCGAAAAUAAAACCAAAGAUAAUCAACAUCUAGAGAUAUCAGAGCACAAAUAGAUCUAUCGUCUAACACAAGGUAAAAGAAAAAUACUAAAGCAAUAAGAGUGAAACAUAAAGUUAUACAAUAUCUGUCCAAAAAGGUACAUAAAAGGGUGGUCUCUAGUACACUGGUACAGCUCUCAACCUCUCCAAAAUAAAUACAUCGAGAGGUAGACCACCUAUCAACUCGUCACUCGCUGAAGAGCUAGCUCGAGGCAACGCCCUUCCCACGGUCCCUAGCCUCUCCCGACGUGGAAGGCACUGAAAGAAAAUAUAAAACAGAGGGUGUGAGAACUAUAAUUUAUAGUUCCGAGUAGGCAAUUACUGAUGUCACGCCCCGGGACCGAUACCAUGUAGCACACUGGACCUUUGCAAAUUGCGAGGUUCGAGUGUUCGAUGUGCAUUCCGAACUUUUCCACACUUGGUGGAGGGCCGUCGAUGGUAUACCGGUCUAAAAGUUCGAUCUCGAGAGUUUUGGUUGAGUCCCGAGAGUUUUACUCUCGGGGACCGGUCCCUGAUAGGAGAGACCGGUCGCCCCAGNCAGGGACCGGUUCCCGAACGUCGUCCCAGCGCAGCCAGAGCUGCUGCGCGCAGUGCAACCGGUCUCUCCUUGGGGGGACCGGUCUCUGGGGGACCGGUCUCUCAGGCAGAGACCGGUUCCCGAGAGCUGGUUUCUCAGGACUUAGCCGAUUUUUCGACUGUCUCAUCUCAUACGCGUUCGGGGACCGGUCUCUCCCACCAGGGACCGGUCCCUGAGAGCUCAAAAUUUGCAGUUUUGCAGAAUUUGAUUCUAUAGCUCUCGAAAACCUCCCAUAACUCACUUUUACUCAUUUUAACACCUUCGGACUCUUCGAAGUGUACCGUCCUCGCACUUUGGUCAACUUGACUAAAGUUCGAUAUUUAUUUUCCGAAUUGUCGGUACAUUACAACUGACCUCAGCUCAAUGCACUACUAGGCCCCAAAGAAAUCGUAAGUAAAAAAGAGAGCAAUAAUAAUGAAUAAUUUCAUUUAAGAAAGCAUAAUUAAAAUGCUAAGAUACUACAUUGUGUCAAUUAAGAUGCACCUUUAUUUCAUAAUGAACAAGUAUGUCAUCCCCACAUGACCACAAGUAACAAUCAUGAUUUGUUUUAUGAAAUUUUGCAGAUCAUGCUCUACUAUAGUAAACAAUGUUUACAUAAAUGCAAUAAGCAACAUCUCCUAGUAUGCUACAUGUACAUAUGUAUACUCAAGUGCCCAACACUAUGCUAGGAGCAAGUCCAAGUAAUCCAACUACUACUCUCUAUCUAGUAGUGAUUAUAACACACUAAACACCGUGUUGAUUUCCAUUUCCAAUUAAGGAACUACCCAAGGUAGUCCAGCUUGUGCCGCCUAAGUGCCUGUGGUAGCCCAACAUUCCUGCUCUUGGAAUGUGUCAGUCCCACUCGACCCCGUAGGCUUCUCAAUACCGCAUGCGCAAACAUAGGUCGCGUAGGCUAACUCCGGAGUGCCGGCUUGUAGGGAGCGACCUUUACAAGCAUGUGCGAAUGAGCACAAAUGGCAAGCAAGCGUAGUCAAAGGCUCAAGUAUCCAACCCUCAUGUCUCAACAUGGCAAUAGCUACAAGUAACCCAAUGGUCUAGCUCUAUGUCACAAUAUGAUAGCUCAACACUCACUUGCUUAGUGCCUCUUUAUGACACUUAAGCAUCACAACUAAUCAAGCUCAAUUCAUGUUCUAUGUUCCAAAUAUGACAUUAAUACCAAUGUUCACUAUAGCCCGGGGCCGAAUGCCUCUUUAUGACAUUGGCCCAAUCUCUCAAAUAGUUUAAGUCCCCAAGCCUCUCUAGGCUUCCAAAGUCCCUAAUGUCAAAAUUGGGCAUAAAGGUUAAAUGAAUGAAAGUAAUGUUCAUUUUCAUAAUAGGAAUCAUGGUUCCAAGUCUCAUCUAGAAUGCUAUAUUUCACAUGCAUGCACUUUACCAAAUAGAGGUACAAAAAUUUACUAUACAUUACAUAGGCAUGUUAAGCAUUCUAAAAUUCAUAAUAAAUAUAUCUAACAUGAUUAUGCAUGCUUUAUCAUUUAACGAUACUCAAAUCAUCACAAAGGAGAUUUUCUCAUUGUGUGGCUAGGUCAAACCCACCGAACCGUCGCGUAGUCCCUCGUUUCGCCGAACGAAGUUGUCUACGAGUCUCAAAAUACCCUAAAAGUAAUGAGCGAAAAAUAUACGGGCAUUACGAUCAACUAUAAGAUCAAACAUUAACCAUCAAGGCAAAAGGGCUAAAAACUCACCUAGGGAGUGGAAAAACCCUCACAAGCUCCUAAAGAGAGCUAGAAUCCUUCCAAUCUAACCCAAAGGAAGGUUCUAAUCCAAGUAAUCAAGCUCCAAAAGCCCUAGGUUCAAAAUGCCCAAAAUAAAUCCUAAGUCUCCAUUCUAGGGUUUCAUCUCAAAUCCAACAAUAAAACUCAAUUCUAGAGGGAGAGAAUAAGUAGAUUACCUCUUAGAAGCUUCAAUCCAAGCUCUAAACUCUCUAGGUUCUAAGAUCUUUCCUAAACUAUGCACCAAAUCAAAGGUCCAAGCUUCAACAAUGGUGGAAAAGCCUCCAAGAUGCAAAAAGAAGCAAAAUGAGGCAUAAAACUUCAAAAAAUCCAAACAAAAUAGAAGGGAAGGGAUGGAGGGCUCCCUUGCCUUGAUCUCCUCCUUCCUCAGCUCAAGGAAGGCUCAAGAGGGCGUGGUUGCUAUAUAGAAUAGCCACAAUCGCGAAAAACCCCCUGCAGUUCAAACUGCUCAAAAACAGCCACUGCGUACCGGUACACGGGCCCACGUACCGGUACACAUCCCACGAAAAUGCCAAACCCGAGCCUCGGGUUGGCCUCAAAACUGCCUGUGUACCGGUACACGAGCCCGCGUACAGGUACAACCAUCAACCCUGUACCAGUACAGUCAUCAACCCUGUACCGGUACACAGCCCAAUGAAGGCUACCCGAGAGCUAACCAAAAAUUCGAUUUUUCGGGUUUUGGUGCUAGGCUUCAGACUUCAAUUCUCGGGGUUCGAACCAUAGGUCGGAACACUGUCUAUGACCCACCAGAAAGUCUGAAAAAACUCAGAACACAUCCAAUCACUCGAACCUCGCAAUUUGCAAAGGUCCAGUGUGUUACAUCACUGCCGCUAGCUCCAGAUCAUGGAUGGGGUAGUUCUUCUCAUAGCUCUUCAGCUGAUGGGACGUAUAAGCGAUUACCUUCCCGUUUUGCAUCAAUACACACCCCAAACCCAUAUAAGAUGCAUCGCUAUAGACCACAAAGUCUUCACCUUGCACCGGUAAGGCUAGCACCGAAGUCGAAGUUAAUCUCUCCUUCAACACUUUGAAACUCCGAUCGCACUCGUCGCUCCAGACGAACUUGGUGCCUUUAUGAGUCAGACGGGUAAGUGGAAUUACUAUCUUCGAGAAGCCUUCCACGAACCGUCUAUAAUAGCCCGCCAAACCCACGAAGCUUCUGACUUCCGCGACGUUCGUUGGGCGUAGCCAAUCCUUGAUUGCCUUCACUUUCCUCGGGUCUACGGAGACUCCACCCGCGGAAAUCACCUGCCCUAAGAAGGCGAUCUCUCAAAGCCAGAAGUCACACUUCUUCAGUUUAGCAUAUAGCUUCUCCCCCCGAAGGACUUGAAGCACUAAUCUUAAAUGCUCGGCAUGUUCCUCGUCAUUGCAAGAAUAGACCAAUAUGUCGUCUAUGAAGACCACGACAAAUCGGUCCAAGAACUCUCUGAAGACACGGUUCAUCAAAUCCAUGAACGCUGCCGGGGCAUUCGUAAGCCCGAAAGGCAUGACCAUGAAUUCGUCGUGUCCAUACCGCAUACGGAACGCAGUUUUCUGCACAUCCUCCAGCUUGAUCUUCAACAGGUGAUAGCCAGACUGCAAGUCUAUUUUCGAGUACACACACGACCCCUGCAACUGGUCGAACAAAUUAUUGAUUCGUGGAAGUGGGUACUUAUUCUUGAUCGUGACUUUGUUCAACUCUCGAUAAUCCACACAGAGUCGAAACGAUCCGUCUUUCUUUCGCACAAACAACACCGGGGAUCCCCACGGUGAUACACUUGGCCGGAUAAAGUGCUUGUCGAGAAGAUCCUGUAGUUGAUCCCUCAACUUUUUCAGUUUCGCCGGCACCAUUCGGUACGGAGCCUUGGAGAUCGGUGCGGUCUCGGGGCGUGACAGAAGCGAAUGGUAUCAGAGCAAGUUAAGAACAAGAAAAGAGAGAGUCUAGGAUUGACCUAGGAGACUUUAGGUUGGAAAACCGUAGGGUUAUAGGUGCGUGAGUGGAACGUGAACCUAUAAUGGUGGUGGAAGUGAUUCGAUUGGGUCGAGAUAGGAGAUACGUCUCUACUAGUUGCUAGAGAUGGAUUCAAGUGGUAUUAGUUCUUGACUUGAGGUUGUUGUGUCGGCGGCCGAUGACAUGAUGCCAAGAGUCUAGAACAAGUACACUUGUGUGCUUUCGCCCGAUUUUGUUGUUGAGUUGUAGUUGCGACGAAGCGAACGGGUUAAGAUAAUUAACCCAGUAUUUGCGUUUCAAGAGCUAAUGGCACCAAGGGGACGCCCUAGUACGAGAUCUACUCCGGCACCGCCUCCUGAGGUGCCCGAGCAGGCUGAACCAAGCGAGAUGGAUUGGUUGCGGGCGCAGGUGACCGCAUUGACCGAUGUGGUGCAGCGCCAGGAGACCCGAUUCGAGCGGCUCUAGGAGCUUUUGGAGCGGCAGGUUGCGGCGGCGGCCGCGACGGUGACCGAAGGCGGCGGUCCAUCCGCACCCUCGGUGCGUGUACCUGAAGCGGCUGAGGGUGAGGUGAUAGUGGCAGUCCCGGUGGCGGCACGUCCCCCGCCGGCAAUUGUUCCUCCGGCGGCAUCGGGAUUGACGACACCCGAUGUGACGGCCGAAGAUGUGGAAGGGGAGCGCGCGUUGGCGGCUCUUAUUAAGUUCAAGAAGUUCAACCCGCCAAUCUUUGAAGGGGAGAAGGUAGAGCUGGCAAUGGUCGAGUCAUAGAUUGACUUGAUGGAAACGCUUUUUGAAGAUUUGCGCACUUUAGAGAGGGACAAGGUGUAUCUUGCCACUCACUGCCUAGAGAAAGAGGCAAAGGUGUGGUGGAAGCGUGUAAAGCGAGAUCGGCCUUCCGAUCUUCCAUCGAUGUUGUGGGAGGAGUUCAAGAGGGCGAUGUUUGCCAACUACUUCCCCGAUACAUUGAAGCAGAAGCUCCAGGAGAAGUUCCGCAAGUUGGAGCAGGGGGACUGCUCAGUGGCGGAGUAUGAGCAGGAGUUCUCCUACAUCAUAGACUAUGUCCCGAAUAUGGUAAGAGAUGACCGGGAUCGGGCCGACUGGUUUUUGCGAGGACAUUGGUCGGGGAUCUAUAAGGCUGUGUAGAUACUCAAGCUCACGACCUUUGCGGAGGUCUUCGACCGGACACUUUGGGCGGAGCACGGUGACGGUCAAGUCCGGGAGAAAAGCGAGUUGUUGGCAUAGUCCAAGGACAAAGAGAAGAAGCAUCAGGGUGGUGGUUCGGGAGGACAAGAAAGUUCCAAAAUGCCCCCGAAGUAUCCACGGACUCAAUACAGGGGCCGUGGGGCGCAACGGUGUGUCAUAUGCGGCGGAGGCCACCUGACGUCGUGAUGUGAGCAGCGCCAGGGCAGGUGCUUUAAGUGUGGGCAACUGGGGCACUUCGCACGUGACUGCCCAGGAGGGGGAGCUUCACCUGCUCCAUCUAGUGCAUCAAUGCCGGUAGCUCUGGCUUAUUAUGGAGGAGCUCCACCGGCGACAGCAUCAGCGGGGCGCGCGAUGACCCCACGACAGCCCGAGAUGGCGCGUUCGACCCCGAGCGAACGGGUAUUCGCCCCUCAGGUCCAAACCGAAGAGCCUGUAGAGGCAGAGGAGCAUCGCCUUGUGGCAGGUAUGGUUUUGACUAACGAAGUUCGCUCCAGGGCUAUGUUUGAUACAGGUGCCACGCACUCAUUCAGCAGUAGAUCAUUUGCACGCAUGCAUGAUAUAGUCAUAGAGGUAAGUGAGGGUAAGUGGCGAGUUGAGGGCCCUGGGUCGACCUUUAAUACUUAUGCGGAGCGUUCUUCGUGUCCAGUACAAGUAGGUGAUUGGAUUCGGAUGUUGGAACUCAAGUGCCUUAAAGAGUUCGAUGCCAUAUUGGGCAUGGACUGGCUCUCUAAGUAUCAUGCAACGAUUGAUUGUAAGAACAGAGUGAUCACAUUUCGAGAGCCAGGAUAGAAGGAGUUUACUUAUCGGGCUUGUCGGAGCUCGUGCUUCGCCGCGACAGUGUCGGCAACGAGGGCAAGGAAGUUGGUCAACAGUGGUUGUGUAGCGUUUUUGGCGAUCGUUGUAGAAGUGGAUCGAGUGGCUCCGACCUUGGAAGAGCAGUCAGUGGUACGGGAGUUCCCUGAUGUAUUUCCCGAAGAGUUGCCGGGGAUACCGCCGGAUCGGGAGAUCGAGUUCGUCAUAGACUUGAUUCCUGGUACUGCGCCGAUCUCGAAGGCUCCAUACUGAAUGGCGCCAACGGAACUGAAAGAGUUGAGGAGUCAGUUACAGGACCUCCUCGACAAGCAAUUCAUCUGACCAAGUGUAUCACCGUGGGGAGCCCCGGUGUUAUUUGUGAGGAAGAAGGACGGAUCGUUUCGACUCUCGUGGAUUAUCGAGAGUUGAACAGAGUCACGAUCAAGAAUAAGUACCUACUUCCCCGAAUCGAUGAUUUGUUUGACCAGUUGCAGGGGUCGUGUGUGUACUCGAAAAUAGAUUUGCAGUCUGGCUAUCACCAACUGAGGAUCAAGCCGGAGGAUGUGCAGAAAACUGUGUUCCGUACGCGGUAUGGGCACUAUGAAUUCACGGUCAUGCCAUUUGGGCUCACGAAUACCUCGGCGGCGUUCAUGGAUUUGAUGAACCAUGUCUUCAGGGAGUACAUGGAUCGAUUUGUCGUGGUCUUCAUAGACGACAUAUUGAUCUACUCUUGCAACGACGAGGAACAUGCCGAGCAUCUGAGGAUAGUGCUUCAAGUCCUCCGGGAGGAGAAGCUAUAUGCUAAGCUAAAGAAGUGUGACUUCUGGCUCUGAGAGGUCGCAUUUCUAGGGCAUGUAAUUUUAGAGGGUGGAGUUUCUGUAGACCCGAGGAAAGUUGAGGCGAUCAAGGAUUGGCCACGCCCGAUGAAUGUGUCACGCCCUGAGCCCCGCCUAUUCAGCCGGUUCGGCACGCCGACAGAUCGCCGAACGGACAGAGUUUCCCCUGUACGUUCUAGGCGUUGCAAUCAAUACAAUUACAAUAGGUUCCAACCAGGAACAGUAUUCAACAUAGAACGAUUGCAUAAGGAGGCAAGCUGUAGAUUAGUUCAAUAAACAAAAUAGAUAUGAUAAUAAGAUUAUGCAACUAACAAUACCAUGCAUUGCCUCGCGAUAUGCAAUAUGAAGAUCAUGCAAUAAUGCAACUAUACAACCAACUAGUAAUUCAAUCGAUUACUACUUUCAUCCAAUUGGCAUUUAAGGUUUUCUGUCCUUUACCAUUUUGUCAUAAAGUUUCAUCUACCUUUACAAGCUAACCGCCCGACUCGGUCUUGAGUCAAUCGUCUGCGGAGUACCGCACAAAGCCAGGCUGGAGGCGAAGGACGUCUUACUUGCACCUUAGCCUAAUGUCCACUCUACUAGGACUCAACUACCGCUCAUGCCUAACUUGCAUAAUUCUCGUGAGUACAUUACCCAAUCUACUGGCUAGCCAUCUCGAUUCGUAGGGAGCCGUCAUCGGGACCCCAUGUAGGCUAUCCUUCGUGACUCAAACUAGGAAUCCGAGACCGUCUGCGGGACCCCAAAUAGGCUAUCCCUUGGGACCCCAAAUAGGCCAUCCCUAUCCCACGGGACCCCAAAUAGGCUAUCCCACGUGACUAACUCUGGAGCGCAUUACUUGUGUGGAGCGACCAUCACAAGCUGGGAACAGACAAUGAGUAUGAUCAAUUCUGUGUCCACGAGAAUAUCUUGUCACUAGGACCAUCAUGCAUGUCACGCCCCGGGACCGGCGGAGGCCCUCCCGGUAGCGUGCCCAGACCCGCCAUAUGUCUACACAGGCGUCUACAAUAAAAGCGGAAGUAAAGACAAGCAGUAGAACAGAUAGAAGAAGUGAAAUAACUAACAACUAAUGAUAUCAGAGCGAGUAAAGUUCUAACAUCUACACCAAUAGUAAUAGAACAUAGCUAACACAAGAAAGUAAACAUAAGUUAUACAGUAACAGCCUCUAAUACAAAAGUGGUGGUCACUAAUACACUGGUAGAACUCUCAACCUCUCCAAAAUAAAACACAACGAGAGGUAGACCACCUAGCGAAUCGUCCUCGAAGGAAGCUAGCUCGAAGCAACUCCCUUCCCGCGGUCCCUAGCCUCACCCUGAGUGGAAGGCUCUGAAAAACAUCGAGAAAAAGAGGGCGUGAGAACUAUAAUUUAUAGUUCCCAGUGGGCAAUUACUGNUAUUUAUGCCUUAUUUUCGGUUUUUGAGGAUUUGUUCUCAUUAUGUUGUUAGAGCUUUGCAUUUUUGCCCUGAUUUUACCUCUCGACAUGUUAGUCAACAUUUUCAUGCAUUAUUUCAUAUUUUGAUACAAUUGUUUGGUAAUUUUUGCUAUGUUUUUUCAUCAAGACCUAAUUUUUCAAAUUUUUCGAAAAUUAGGAUUUUACUGAAUUUUGAUGCUUGAUUUGUCUAUGAUUUUCAUGGUUAAGUGGCUCUAGGAUUAUCUAGUAUAUUACAUAUCAAAUUGCUAAGGUUUUUGGAAUCACAAAUCGAUUGUUCUUAUGUUCAAAAUAUAUAAAUCAUUGUGUUUAACAGGGGUUUCUUCGAAAAUGUACUCGUGGUUACUUGUUCUUGUGGUUCUUAUGGCUGGCGGUGGUCGUGGAAGUAAGCGACAGCGCUCGAAAUCUAAAAGGCCGAUUGAGUAUCAACCAGAGGAUGAAGAGAGCGAAUAUGCUCCUGGCGAUGAACCUGAGGAGGACGAGCCGGAUUGGGAGACUUUUGUUCCUGAGGUAUUGGUUAAGGAUAAGGAUACUGGGAAAGGCAAAGGAAAAGGAAAAGCCGUGGAUAAAGGCAAAGGAAAAGCAACUGAACGUCUCAGUCAUCGUAAGUCCGGGGGUGUUGAAAUUCGAGAACCGGGUUCUGAGCCACCACGUCACAGUCUACAGGAUGUUCCGUCUAAUCGACGGUCGAUGUACUCGUCGAAACACUGCAUUGGUGAGCGAGAUGUUGGGGUGGCCAGUAUCUGAAAGUUUUGAGGAGNUUGUACCGGUACACGGGAUCUUGUACCAGUACAAGAGCUACGAAAAUUCAAGACCGAGGCUCGGGUGCGCGGUCCUGCGGCACUGUACCGGUACAGGCCCGAUGGCUGUACCGGUACAACCAUCAACAUUGUACCGGUACAAGACCACCCUUGUACCGGUACAAGACCUGCGAAAAUGCAAACCCGAGGCUCGGGUUUGCGAGUUCGCGGCUCUGUACCGGUACAGGCCCAACCUUGUACCGGUACAAGCCCGCCAGACAGCCAAUCCGAGAGCUGACCAAAAUCCAAAUUUUUGGGUUUUGGUGCAAGGCUUUAUACCACACCCCUCGGGACACGUGCCAUAGGUCGGAGCACAGUCAACGACCUACCAGGAAAUCUGAAAAAGUUCAGAGCACAGCUAAUCACUCGAACCUCGCAAUUCGCAAAAGUCCAGUGUGUUACAAUGCACAAGUGUUCUUUUAACACUAAGUUCUAAUGCCACUCGUCAAGUUGUUUACUUGGUUGCAUGCCACUCGUCACAAUGUAAUACCUCGACUAUUUAGUCAUAUAUCAUCAUAUUCAACAGUGCAAGAUUAAGUUAUUAUUUAACUUGUCUCUAAAGGGUUCUAGGUCACCAUUCCUCUAUUCUCAUGCAUCCUGACUCAAAUAUCAACUCAUGUUGCUACACUACUAAGGAUCAUGCAAGAACAAAAAUGCGACUAUCCAAUACCCUAUCAUGUAUAUAUAUAUAUCAACUAGCCUCUCAUGAUAUGUCAACAUCAUAUAAUGUAAUGCACUGGAUCUUGCAAAUCGCAAGAUUCGAGUGUUUGAUCUGUGUCUGGAGCUUUUCCAUAGUUUUUGUAGGGUCGUUGAUAAUGUUCCGACCCCUGGCACGCAUCCCGAGGAUGUUGGAGUGAGACUUGGCACCAAAAUCCCAAAAUCGGAAUUUUUGGACAGCUCUCGGGUAGCCUGCAGCAGAGCUUGUACCGGAACAAGACUGGUCUUGUACUGGUACAAGGUUGAUGGUUGUACCGGUACAGCCAUCGGGCUUGUACCGGUACAGAGCCGCAGACGCCGCGACCCGAGCCUCGGGUUUGCAUUUUCGUGGGCCUUGUACCGGUACAAGAGCUCGUGUACCGGUACAAGGAGGCAGAUUUCGAGCAGUUUGAACUGUAGGGGGUUUUUCGCGAUUGUGGGCUUUUUAUAACAGCACCCACGCCCCUUAGGGCUUUUUUUGUGCUGGAACCAGAGGAGGAGAAGGUGAGAGGAGCUCCACCUUGCUCCACUUGGAUUUGAUCUCCGUUUUAGANNNNNNNNNNNNNNNNNNNNNNNNNNNNNNNNNNNNNNNNNNNNNNNNNNNNNNNNNNNNNNNNNNNNNNNNNNNNNNNNNNNNNNNNNNNNNNNNNNNNUCUUCUAGCUCUAUUUCCGCUGGUUGCCUAUUCAUCUCAUAUGAUUCUUCGGUCUUCUUGACCGAUUUCGCUUGACCUUCCUUCUCGGUCUUAUGAACCGAGUCUUUUAUGGUCUUCUCGGCCUUACUGGCCGACUUCUCAGGUGCCAACACAUCGGCUUUGGCAGCCUAAUUAUCCUCAUAGCCGAUCUUGUUGAUCGGCCCAUCUUGUUGAGGCUUGUGCCAAGCCUCUAUCCCUGAUUUUUGGGAUUCCAUUUUAACCAUCUUGGUGGCUCUUCAACAACCACCAUAGCAUUGAUAUCUUUAGAGAGAAUUAAUUGAAUUCCCUCCUCUGUUACUCUCACAAAGGAAAUCUGAUCUGGAUCAGCAUCGGCCCAAUUGUGAUGGCCGAUGUCCUCCAUGUUGACAUCUAUCAUUUGAGGCCGUCCUUCGGCCCGGACUUCUUCUACCUUGUCUCCUAUCCACUGGAACAAUUUCCCAUGGAGUGUAGAGGGCACGCACUCAUUCGCAUGGAUCCAGUCACGCCCGAGUAGUAAGUUGUAGUGGCUGUCAGCAUCCACCACAAAAAAUGCAGUUUUUAAAGUUUUCGAACCUACCGUAAGUUCGGUGGUGAGCACUCCUCGGGCUUGUUGACCGUUUCCUGUGAAAUCGGUCAUGAUCGAAUCGGUAGGCUUCAACUCGUCCUCGUCUUUGCCUAACUUCUUAAAGAAAAAAGUAGGCAUUACGUUAACCAUGGCACCGCCGUCCACCAUCACUCGGCCUACCGGCCGACCUUCAAUCAAAGCUUUUAUAAAAAGAGGUCUUAUAAACCUUAUCUGCAUGGCCGAUGGCUUCUCAAAAACCACUGCGUCGGCCGGUCGAACAUCUUCUAAUUGCAACUGGGCUACUCUAAGCCCAUCUUCCUCCUCCUCUCUAUAUUCUUCAUACUCGAUAAACUCUGCCUUAAAGGAUUGAGGCAGAGCAUACACCAUGUUUACUUCAGCCGGUGAUUCUUUGACUGAUUUUCCUUUGGUUCUUUGUUUCUUCUCCUCCGACUCCUUUGUUGUUUCGGCAGAAGAAUCACUUUCCAUCCGGACCUCCCUUUCUUUCGGAGGCCAUCUCUCUCUUUUGAUCAUAGUCUCGAGGGAAGCUAUUUUUUCUUCCAACUCCCUCCUGAUCAUCUUAUCUUCUGACUCGCCCUCGAUUGGCCGCUCUAUUCUUGACUUCAACUGGGGGGCGAGUGAUGAGCCGCCUGCCUCGUGAUCAUUUCUUAUUGGACGAAAAGGGUGUGACUGCUCAUCAGGGCGCCUCAAAACAUUGAGCCUUAUCCCUUUCGCCUCCUCAUAAUGUUGCCUUGCUUCGGCUUGUAUCCUCUGCUGCCGACGUUUCUGAGUUUUUGUUAACAUCGGCCCACGCCAUCUAGCCAAUGGUUUAACUUCAACGUCGUGCCAUUCAUCUACUGGCACAUUCGCCGGUAUCUUCACCGUUCUUAAAUGAUUUUUCAAAAUUUCUCUUCUUUCCCAUGGUCUCGGCCAAGGUUGAAUGCCGAGCUCAUCGACUAACCUUCGACCGAGGAAUUCUAUGUCUCCCUCGGUCAUUCCUUCAAAUUCUGGCUCUGAUCUCGGCCUGGCUUGUUGUUGCCAAUGUGGCCGAUACCCAGGGAAUCUUUGUUUGGAGCCGAAAGGUCUGUCCUGGAAGUCCUAUCGGCCAUGACGUUCUCCACGCCUAUUGUUGUAGUAAUCAUGCAGAAUCUUCUGCAUCAUGAUGUCUUUCUUGCGUUGAACCGAAUCUAUUUCCGAUUCGGUGUCAUUAGAGGCUGCAUCCGAGCCUUCUUCUCUAGGUCUUCGCCAUCGGGAAUAUCAUCCCAAUCCUCGGGGAAUGCCAUCAGUUCGUUCCAUUCGUUUCCCCUUUUCUUGGCAUUCACGAUAGCUUCCCAGUCUUUUUUCGUCAUUUCGGCCUUGCACCUAAUGCAUAGCCGAAGGUGUUUCUUGGCAUGAGCCACGUUGUCAGCGGUCUCCUUGUCUAAAACUUCCUUUCCUUUGAUAUUCACCAUAUUGACCUGAAAUGGAAAUGAAGUUUUGUUAAUUAUUCGAUUUUUAUUUUCUUGGUCGGCCAAUAUGAGCCGACCCUCUUCUAUUUCCUCUUGAAUCUGCCUUUUUGCAGUCGCUUUCCCUUUUCCUUUCAUAUUCACGGUGUUGACCUGUGAUGGAAAAGGAUUCUUAUCAAUUUCCAUAUCUUUGUUUUCUUGGUCGGCAAAAAUCAGCCGACCCUCAUUUAUCUCUUUUUGAAUUUGCCUCUUAAAGGCAGUGCAUUCACUAGUUUUAUGGCUCCAUGAAUGGUGCCAUUUGCAGUAUCUUCUACGUUUCAAUUCUUCUACAGGAGGUAUGGUUUGACCUUCCUGUAGUUUAAUUCGUCCAUCUUUUAACAACCGAUCAAAAAUAAAAUCGGUUUUAGAUAUAUCAAAAGAAUAACUAAAAGCAGACACAUGUGCUUUUGCCUCUCUUGACUUUGCAGGUUUUAGCAAAGCACAUUUGUAUGGUUGAUUAUUCUUCACCAUCUCGGCAGCACAUAUUUCGGCUUCGUCAGCCGAAUCUUCUGCCUCCUCAGAUGAAUUCGGCUCCUCAUGAGCCGAGGAUUCUUCAAAGAAAGAAAUAUUUUUCUCUUUCCCUUUAUUCCAAUCUUUAUUUCGGCUCCACCUAGGCCGAUCUUCAUUGUUCCCUUUUCGAAAUUGCUCGUAUUGAGCAACUCGAACUCCCAAAUCAAAAAGAUUUGGAAAGAACUUAUCUUCAAAAUGAUCCUUAAUCUUAAAAUGCAUGCCGUUAAAUGCCAUUCUGGCAAAUUCUGAUUCCGGCAUCCUCACAAAACAUCGGCUUCGAGCCGUCUUGAAUCGGUUUAAAUAUUCAUCAACCGAUUCUCCCGUUUUUUGUCUAAAUUGAGCCAAGUCUGCAACUGACAACUCAGGCUCAGUUCUAUAAAAUUGCUCAUGAAACUUACCUUCUAAUUCGUCCCAGUCUCGGACGGAAUUAGCAGGUAAACUCGUAUACCAAGUGAAAGCUGUCUUGGUCAAUGAAGUAUUAAAUAAUCUUAAUUUCAAAAAAGGAUCUGCCGCAGCUUCGCGGCAUUGGGCUGUAAAUCGAGCGACAUGUUCGACCGUAUUUUCGGUCUCAUCUCCAGAAAAUUUGUCAAAUUUCGGCAUCUUCCAAUUUGCCGGAUAUGGGUGUUCCACAUCUAUAUUAACAGGAUAUGGUGAUCUGAAUACAGGCCGCAUUGCCGGCCUUGUGCCUACUCCGAAAGUGUUUCGGAUCGCUUCUUCUAUUUGCGCAUAUAUUUCAUUAUUAAUCCCCGGCAAGGGGGCUUGCGCUGGUACUGGGUUCAAUGGUUGUUGAAUCCCAAUAUUUUGCCCUAGGGGAUUAACCCCUUGUGCAUUCGGGAGCUGCCCCCUAGCCUCUACAUUUUGAGGCUGGUAGGCUGCAAUUGGAGGGGGUGGAGGUAAACCCCAAGCCAUUUCUGGCUGUUGACCGGCAUUACCGACAGCCGGUCUAUAAACCGCUUGAUACUGUGCCCCCUGGUAUUGGGGCUGGCCACCUACCGGUGUUACUGGAUUCUGUAACACUGGUGUUACCACAGGCACUUGAAGGCCUGCUAUCGGCUGCUCGUUUCGAGCUAACAACUGCCCUAUUCGGGCUAUAUUUUCGUUAGAGGCCGUGAUUGCGGCCAAAACGGCGUCCAGCCGUGCGGUACUUGCAUGACUAUUUUGGUCCAAAGUCUGUAGGACCCUAGUCAUCUGGCCAAGUGCUUGGGUCAAACUAGGCUCCUGUUGGCCGGAUUGACCGCUAGUUUCACCUUCCGUCGGUAAAACUGCUUGGCGCUCCACAGCGUUCUCCGAAUUACCGGGCUGUUCACUCCCAGAAUUUCUGGGAAUGGCCCUAUUACGGAGAUUCAUGGCGUUGUCGUCAGCCAUAAUCAAAUUCAAAUUUACCUCAAAUGUGAGUCCCACCGGGCGUGCCAAAAAUUUGUUGAUAGCCGAAUUUCCCGAUGCCUUGACCCUCCUCGGGAAGUGUGUCGGGGUGGAAAUCGGCUGCUGAUAGUGACCCUCGAAGUUUGCGCCCACGACGGGUCAAGCGAUUCGACCGAUGAGGGAUCAAAUCGGUCGGGUCCGAAAACCUCCUUAGUAAAUUCGCUUCGGCAAGAUGAGCCGAAUGAACAGGUGGGGCCUAUAUUUCGGCUGAGAGAUGAGCCGAAUAGCUAGGACAAAAACGAGAUCUGGUCGGCCUGAGGAGCCGAAAACGACUUUCUAUUAAUAAGAAGGGAGUGAUGCCCGGAGGGCAGACAGACUCCGAGGUGUACAAGGGAGUGAUGCCCCGAGGGCAGACAGACUCCAAGGUGUUUACAAUGAAGUAAUGCCCGGAGGGCAGACAGACUCCAAGGAGGCUAAGUUAUAAGAACUACUCCUAGGCAAAAGCGAGAAAUGCAGGGAAAAUAAAGGUGGUCUUUUGUGCGCAGGGGCGAAGACCCGUUUUCAGGGUACUACAAGCCUAUUUAUAUAUUUUCCCCUUGUGUUCAGUUAUUGCACGAUCGGCCAUCUUCUCCGUAUUUGGAGGACCACGUUCGGCCGAUUGGAACUGCCGUUGGGAACUGCCCAUAACCGCUUGCGGUUGUCACGUUUUUCGAACAAACGCGGCUCAUAUCUCCUGGCGCAUUUUUCCGUGCUCCCGAUCCAGCGCUUUGAAUCCUGAAUAUGGAUAUGAACUCAGUGUGCCAACUGUCCGCGCCAGAUUGGUUCAACAGAGAGGUAAGGAAAAGUGGUCUCUUGGAGACACUUGAAUACCCGAUAGCCAGAUGGAAUUAUGGACAAUGCUCUCUUGAGAAUUGGAAGUCGAGAUAUGUCGGGGUAGGCCAUCUCGCGGUAGAGCAAGGUCCGAAUGUGGUUGGAGCACUCGCGAUUGGUCGAUGCACCAAUGAUAUUGCUUCUAAGCAAUGCCGGUGAUCGAAUCGGAGUGUGUUCCCUGACGGGAUGAGAAAUGCAAAGAGGAGUUCUUGCAUGCCAAGUGGUGAAUGGUGUUGGAGCGCGUAGAGUCGAUGAGGUUCAACUUGCGCUACCACCAAGAAUAACGGAGACCCGUAAUGCACUUUCGGAGUUACGUUUAGCAAAUGUGAGUGAAUUUAGUCUCACAUCCUCCGUAGAAGGCCUUUGGACAGUUCCAAUGAGCAUAAGGCCACCCCGGAGUAUAAAAGUGCAUUGGAACCCUACGUCGCUCGAUAAGUCGAGUUGAGGUGUGAAUUGGUUGGAAGUAAGUUAGUUUCGAGGACGAAACUCCUUUUAAGGAGGGGAGAAUGUAAGAUACCGGACUUCUAAAAUCAUGAAGUUACGGUGUACGUUUGGUUGGAGAGCCAUUAGAAUGGUUUCGAUGAAGUUCGGUGAGGUUCGGGAGCAUUCGGGUGUUUUGGUGCGCGUAGGCGCGAAAACGGAACCCAAAAGGCUAUGUUGGGCCGUGAGCUAAAUCCGGCAUUAGCGUGGAUGAAAAGAUGAUGAAAACAUGCUCAAAGACAUGUUUGGAGAGUCUCGGUUCGAUUUGAAGUGAAUCGGAGGUCAAACGAACGAAAGCGAGCGAAAACGGAGCGAAAACGGACAAAGCUGAAAAUUGGCGAAGUCUGGGCUGGAGGUCUCUCUGGGACCGGUCCCAGGCAGAGAGACCGGUCUCUCAGGGACCGGUCCCUCAUGCAGAGACCGGUCCCCGAACCCUGAAAAUGCACAGUUCGGGCUGUUGUAAGAAGAGACUUGUUCGGGGAUUUUUAUUCAAUUGUUGCAUAGGUUAAGUGUAUAGAGGGGUUAGAACCUCUCUCUCUCUCUCUCUCUCUUUCCCUCACCGUUUCAACCUCAACACCAUCCCUCUCUCUCUCUAAACGAAAGAAGAAGAAGAGAAGAAAAAGAGGAAGGAGAAAGAAGAGAAGAAGAUCAAGAAGGAGAUCUUCAUCCUCUCCUUCGUCUUUCUCGUGCUCGGAGCAAGCUUUGGAGAGGUAAGCAUCUUAGCCUCUCAUGGUAGAUCCCUAGAUAAAUGGUUUUGAUAUCUAGAAAUGGUUUAAUUGGUAUCCUAGAAUGCUAAUUAGGUGGUAAAUGUUAGAAUCUAGAGGUCUAAUGGUGGAUUUUUACUUAGUUGUAUUUUAGGGCUCCAAAAUGGGGUUUUGCUAUAUGUGAGGGUUUGAUCUCUUUUAACUCUCUGUAAACCUAAUUGGUAGGUAACAAAACACGUUGGCGAAGACGGUUCGGUAAUCCGACGAGCCGUUACAAAGAUAUUGAAGAAACGAACGCUUGGACCUUCGUUUCCGCCUGGAGGGCCGAGGCGAUGUCUAUAAAUCGUGAAAUCGGGUCCCGAGCACCGUAGCAGCAAGGCGAAGACAUUUAACUCUUGAAACGGCGAAGCGACGCGCUCUUGGAGAGCAACUGUGAGAUCGGGCCCAAACGGGUGCCGAGUGCCGUGGGAAGCCGAUUGCAAGUGUCGACGAGCAAUCGGAACGCGAGUUAAGGUGGGUUGUGCUUCCCGAAGCGACUAGGUCGACUUUAUGUCUAAGAAAGACUAAGAAUCUAUGUUGAUGCAUAUAGAUGUAAAUGAAGCAUGAAAAUGAUGUAUGUUAAUGUAAAUGCCAAGUAGAAAUGCAUAAUGAUAAGAUGCAAGUUACAUAAUGCUAGAUGAUGCAUGCUAUAGUAUGAUGCAAGUAGCUAGACAAUGCAUGAUAAUAAUGAUAUGAUGUAAAUGCUAAGUAGAUGCAUAUAAAAGAUUAUAUAUGUAUGUGAAUAAGAAUGAAAUGCAUGUUGAAAACUCUAGAAUGAGUAGACCUAGAAUCAAAUAGAUCGAGUGGCAUCUAACUUAGUGUUAAAGAACAUAGGUCAUGAGUAGACCUAGAAUCAAAUAGAUCGAGUGGCAUCCAACCUAGUGUUAAUAAACAUAGGUCGGACAUAGCAAUGUGGAACCUAGUAUCUGGGAACAUAGGUUGAACUAGUAAACCUAGAGUUUUAUAACCUAGGCUGUGGAAUAGUAAACCUAGAGUGGCAUAGAAUCUAGGUUGUUGAGUAUAGUGGUAGCAACCACUAGAAUGUUUUAGGUCGACAGCAUAGGAUUGGCUAUGGACCCUCGACUUGUGGAAGUGGAUUCCGGAAUCCCAAGACUUGUGCUAUGCUAACCUUGGUAUCAAGGCUAGGGCGUGUGCGAUGAUUUCGCCGCUGAGGUUAAUAUCAAGGAUGGAUUGUGGGGGUGAGCGCGCAGAGAUCACCGCCCGGGGCUUGAACCAUUGUCGUGGCGUGUGCGACGAUUUCACCGCCGGAUGGUUAAGCCAGCUUGUGGAUUAUGCCGCCAGAUCGACUUGAGCCAUUGUUGGGUGAGGUGCGAUUCGUUUGCCGCCAGAUGGCCAAGUCAAGGGACUUGAACCAGUGUUCGGCAUGUGCGACGACUUCACCGCUAGCUGGUUAACGCACAGAGUGCGGCCAGUGCGCGGACUAUCCGCGGAUGAUUGACUCGAGGCCGAGUCGGGUUGUUAGCUUGAUUAGGUUAAUAGAAACCUUGAAAGCUAGUGAGAAAGAUAAGAGCUAAGGUAAUAGAAACCUUAGAAGCAAGUUGAGCUUGGAUUGUGGCGAACUAAGGUAGUAGAAACCUUAGAAACAAUUAACAUGAGCUGAGAUUAGCAGAGUUAAUGUAGAAUCAAUAGAUCUACUAAAUGGUUCCUUAAUUGUAUAGAACUGCAUAAUAUUCAUAUUGCACGUUGCGAGGCAUGUUAUCUGUUAGUUGCUUAAUAAACUAUGAUGUAUAUCUAUAGAUGUUUUUGGACUAAUAUGAUUGCAGUGCCUCCUUGGACCUUUUGGUCAAGCUUUUUCCUUGGGUGGCCGUACCUACUGGGAAUCAUGGAGUUGGUUCUCACCCCACAUUGUUUUGGGGUAUUACAGGUUCGUACGUAAGCGGCGCGGCAGCACGAGGAAAGGGCGUAGCUCAGUAGAUAGCGCCCUACCCAGAUAUCGAGGUAGCAGUACCCUGAGGCAGCCUAGCUUAGGGGACUAGAGGGAAAUGAAAAGAACACAAUGUAUCAAACUGUAAUAAGUAAAUAAUGUAAUAACUUAGAUUGUAUUUGGAGGAAUCAAAUGAGAACUGUGAUGUAAAAAUAUAUGAAUGUGAAUGUAUGUAAUAACAUAGGAUGUGUUAUGUUGUUGAUACCUUCCUUAUGCAAUCUGUUUGUUAAGUACUGUUCCUGGUUGGAACCUUUGUUUUGUAUUGAUUGCGAUGCCUUGAACGUACAGGGGAGACUCUGUCCGCAGUACAGGGGAAACCUUGUCCAUUCGGCGCUGUCAGCGCCGCGACCUCGGCCAAAUAGGCGGGUGGUUGCGGGUCGUGACACAUUUAGUAUUUUCAUUUAAUUACAAUUGUCAUGAGAUUUGGUCACAUUUGUGGAACUUUCAAUUAUAGAAUUAGUUUUGCGGUUUUAAAUCAGAUUGGUAUUUAAAUUAAAUUCAUGAUAGAUUAUAUCGCUCGAUAUUUGCAUGUUUUGUUGCCUUACAUUUCUGUAAUUGAAUAAUUACAGACAUAUGGCUUCUGUUGCGUUUCGGGCUCGAGGCAUGACAUCACCACCUUCAAAAGCGAUAAUUGACUCACUGCCUUUAAAAGCGGUUAAUGGUUCGCCACUUUAUAAAAGUGAUGAACCAUUUACUGCUUUCUUAGUUUUACCACACGAGAGAAUCCUAAAAAAGCAGUGAAUGGUUCACCACCUUCCACUAUGUCUAUGCGGUGAACCAUUCACUACAUACGAAGAAUUUAGGGCGUAUUUGGUUUGCCCUUUUUUCACCCUGGAAUCGAAAUCGGAAUGGAUGAAUCCGUUUGUCUGUAUUUAGUGUGCAGAAUUUUCAUUCCGAUUUCGAUUUUCGGGUGAAUAAAAAUUCCCAAAUUACCCCUUUUUCCAUUUCAGACUAGGAGGCCAGAUUGAAAAUUGAAUCUGGAGCAGAAUAGAUUUGUUCGAAUUAAAUUUAACUUUUUUAAGCUUACUUUUUAAUUAAAAUAUAAGUUUAAGUUUAAAAAUUAUAUUAUAAAUUUUAAUUUGAACUUAAAUUAAAAAUUAAAAAUUCAAUCAAGCAUUUCUAAUUUAAUUUAUAAAUUUGAAUUUAAUUUUAAAUUUAAUUUAAAAUCUAAAAUUUUAUUCAAAUUUUAUUUAAAAUUUAAAUCAAAUUUAUGGAUUCAAAUUGAAAUUGAAAUUAUAAUUUUAAGUUUGAAUUUGAAUAAAUCGAAAUUUAGUUUUAUAUUUUGAAUUAUCCAUUCAAUUUUCAAAUUUUAAUUUUUUUUAAAAAUAUAUUUAAAAUUUUGAUAUCAUUUUAAAAUUUUGACAUAAAUUUUUAAUAUUUAAUUUUUAGUUUGAAUUUAGACUAAUAUAUUAUAAAGAUAAAAUUGGCAUAUUAAUUUAAUUACUUUUUUGAUAUCUAUCUGACCAGACACCGACAAUGAAAAUGAUUUAUUUUGAUUCCGAUUCAGGUGGCGAACCAAAUAAAAUAAGAUAAUUAAUCAUUUCGAUUCCGAUGCCGACUUUGACUUCAAACUAAACACACUCUUAGGGUCCAGACAGUUGAUCUGACAUACUUGAGACCUACUUUUAUAAUAAAAUUUUUAUAAGGAUUAUUUUUAAAAUUAUAAAAAUAUGGAUGAUUAUUUAUAAAAAAUUCAAGCUUAUCACUUUCGAUGACUUUGAAAUUUUUUGAGCCGAAAUUAACUCACAUUAUCAGUUCACUUUUGUAUAAGAUGUUAUUUUCUAAUAAUGUGAUUUUCGAUACUUUACUUUAGACUAACCAAAUAUAUCCUUAUAUAUACUUAUUUAUAUACAUUCUAGAUAGUUUGAAACCGAAUAAAAAAAUCUCCCUUCAAUGAGAAAUGAAAAUUUUCAAAGUUUAGCUCAAAACAAUACCGUUGGACCUAUCACAAUCAGAUGCUGACCUCCAUGAUGCUCCAAAUCGAGCCUCACAUCAGGAGACCUAAAACUAUCUGAGCCGUCGAAAAAGCUGACGUUCCGAUCCCACUCAAAAAUAGCCAAUAAAACGCAAAAGAAAAGGUAACGCAGCCAUUGCCUUUGCAUGAACCACCCCAAUAGCGUCCAAAACUACCCUAGUCACAGUAUGCACCGCCACCAACCAGAAUGAUGUUUACAUCCCAACCAACCCGUUUCUUUCUUUUUUUUUUUCUUUUUUUUUUUUUUCCAUUUCAAAUUUGGCCCCUCCAAGUUCUUAAGUUUCCAAUCCAAACACUCACGACCCAAAAAAAAGUAACCACACAAAUAACUGUUCCUCCCUCCGAUCAUAAAGCACACGUGCCCCUCAUCCAACUUGUUUAUAAGGAAACUCGUUUUUUCCGGCGGUUAUGGUGCCCGAAAAAGAUUUUGGACGGGCAAGAUCUUGGCACGUUUCACCAAAAAUCGCUCCUAGUCCUAGGGUGGUCGCAUAUUGCGGGGUGGCGCUUCAGCGAAUUAACUAGAACUAGAACCAGAACUAGAAUGAUGAUGAUGAUUGGGUUAAAUUGUGCACUCCGCCGUUCCAGAAGUUUCUAUAGUCUCUAGAUGGGCACGAAGAUGUUUCUCUAUGCGAAAUUACGCAUAUGAAUUUCUAUGCGUUCUGUACUGCGGACCGUUGGAUUAAGAAAUCGACGCCCGAUCCCCUCUCCCGCAUAUUAAGUGCCAAUAGUCUUACACCGCAGAAGAAAAGGAAGAACGAACCUGUUUCAUCUAUUUUUGGUACAUUGUGGCAGUAUAGUAAAUAAUGUCGUUCAAAGUGGCAAUUGAUUUAAUUUUCCACUACCAUACUUUUGAACCCUUCCCUUUCUCUCUCUUUCUCUCUCUGUGUCUCUUUUUCACUCUACUCUCGCUUUUUUUUCCUUUCGCCCCCCCCACCCCCCCUCCCCCUCCCCCUCUUUCGAUCUCGAUCUCGAUCUCGCUCUCUCUCGCAAUUUCUUGGCCAACCAAAUUCCGCAGAUCUAGUCUCCAUUGUGCUCUCGUCGAUCGGGGGAGUUGCGAAACCCUAGGCCUAACGCUAAAAUCUUGGCUCCGGUGAGUAGUGAGGGUUUGUGGGGGGUGGGGGGGGCGGCGCGCCGGGGCUGAGGAUGGACACGAAGGAACGGAUGGCCGGGGUGGAGCGGCUCCACGAGCUCCUGGAGGUGACGCGGAAGGCGCUCUCGGCGGCGGAGGUGACGGCGCUUGUUGACUGCUGCAUGGAUCUGCUCAAGGACAACAACUUCCGCGUCGCCCAGGGCGGGCUCCAGGCCCUAUCCUCUGCCGCUGUGCUUGCCGGCGACCACUUCAAGAUCCACUUUAACGGUCUCCUCCCCGCCAUCGUUGAGCGCCUCGGUGACGGCAAGCAGCCCGUCAGGGAUGCCGCGCGCCAACUUCUCAUCACUCUCAUGGAGGUGCGGAAUGAGUUUUUUUUUUCUUUUUUUCCCCUUUCAUUUUUAGGGUUUCCUGUUUCUACCUAUUUGAUUCGUUUUCUUUUCAUUAUUUAUGAAUCUUUUCAUUAUCUAUGAAUUUUGUAGCUUUUAGUGGAAUUCUAUUGGUUCGAUUACUGGAGGUGGAAGAUUUGGGGAAAUGCAUCUAGCUUGUAAUGAUCGGGUGUUAAGUGAUUGGUGUCAUUGGAUCUGUUUGUUCCCAAGCUGCAUUUUCUCAAUUGUAGGUUUUUAAUCAUUUCCGUCUUCAGAUCGACGUAAUAGUAGCAGAAGCUGUGUUCUUGCGUUUUAGGUGUUUACCUUCUCCGCAAGUUCCAGUUAUUUUGAACCAAUGCUUUGCUAAUUGAGUUAAUUUCGUGGAUACUGCAUCCUUGGUGAUCGAUCUAUCAACAUGCAUGAGCUUUUAUUAGAUUGAAUUAGCAAAAUUUGACAUUUGGUCGGACAUUCUUUUCAGUCAUCCGCCGUCAUUAUGUACGAUUUGAAUAUAAUGUACUGUGUGGAGAAGGGGCUCUGUCAAGCUGUGAAACCUUUGAGAUCACAAUCUCAAAUUUCAACUGUUCUCUCCCUAUCGGGCAUAUCAUAUUUUCUUUUCUUGAGCAAACCUGACAUUCUAAGUGGACACUUUUGAGUAAACUUGCUUCGCUACCUACUAUUGUUUGUGAAAAAUCGAGAUGGAAACUCUCAGCAUGCUGUAGUUGUUUGAUAGUUUAGCGGCUUCAUUUUCUGUGGCAGCUGAAAGAUAUUAAAUUUCACUGUAAACUAGGUUUCUUCACCAACCAUCAUUGUUGAGAGGGCUGGCAGUUAUGCCUGGACUCACAAAAGCUGGAGAGUAAGGGAAGAAUUUGCACGUACAGUUGCAGCGGCUGUUGGUCUUUUUGCGUCCACAGAGCUACCUCUUCAACGAGUUCUACUUCCACCUGUAUAUAUCUCUGGAAUUCCUUGUAUUUGACUUUUCUGAUCAUUUAUGUGUUUCUUUAUGUUUUGAUUUAUAAGCUAUAAGAGACCACAUUUGUUCAAUUUGGUAUUUUGUGUUUAACAGGUUUUGCAGUUGUUGAAUGAUUCUAACCAAAGUGUCAGAGAAGCUGCUACUUCAUGUAUUGAGGUUGGUGUUGUUUUUUUAUCGGGUACCUGCUAUUUUGGUGUUUUGCACUUGCUUCUGCUAUUUUUCAGAGGGUGAUUUGCUGUAUAAGCUAUUUUUGCUGACUAGACUAGAAAAUUUCAUAAUUCUGUUGCUGUAAUCGCUUGGUUGUUGUGUCCUCGAGAAUUAAUGUCUGUAAGCAUUAACAAUCAUUCCCAUGUAAAUGUCUUGUUUCAGUAACUUCAUGGUGCUAAUAUGAAUACAUAUUGACUCAUGACCUUCUUUCUUGCAUAAAUAAAAUGCUGCUGUUAUUACUUCACAUUGCAGGAAAGCAUGAAAGUAUUGCUUGCUACUUGUCAGAUGUAAUUUGAUAGUCCUUUAAAGGUCAUGAAAGAGGAAAUAAGCAACUCUGUAUGAAGCGUAAUGAACUUUUAACGAUGUCAUGGUGCUCAAAGAUCUUUUUGAUGCAUGAUUUUUGUUUGCCACGUCCAAGCGCAUCACCGCUGCAUCAAAGAUCAAACUAUAAGUCUAUAAUAUAGAAAUUAAGCCUACUUUCGCAAUUAUAUAACUUGAUACCAUGAUACUUCACUUUGAAAUCAUUCAUCUUUUGUACCAUUGUGUAUACAUGAUAAUUUGUGAUUUGGCAAUUGAUUGACCGAAGAAUGAAAUUAACACCAGGACACCUAAGUGUGAGUUAGUGGAUUAAAUAAUGCUUUAGUAAUAUUCCCUUGUCUUUGAAGAGGAAGCUGUUUGCUUUGUAAUUCUUACCUUCUUAUCAAUUUGGGAAAUCUUGAAUCUUUCCUUUGUGGUUGUUCGUACUUAAACUACAUAAUCAACAUGGUAAAUUGCAUACAUAACUUUUCUAGGUUUGCAUGUCAAUCCGUAGAUUCUGUUCUCUUUCCGUGGUUGCUAUAGCGAAGUAAAUUGUAGUAUGUGUUAUUAAGGUCCCACUUGUUACUUGUCUCGAGGGUUUGAUCUCUCGCGAGGCUCACAACUUAAAAGAAACUUGGUGGCUAUAAGAUUAUGACUAUGCAAAAUUAGAUUAAGGGGAGCGUUUAAUAAAUAAUACUGUAAUAGGAGUUGGUUGGGAUGCAAUUCCAAAAAGGCUCUUGACUUUUGAAACGAAGUAAUUAUACCAUAGAAUAGACAGUUGCCGCUGAAACAUGUAUUAUUCUGCCUGAAACAGUCCGAAUAGACAUCAAAUACUAUCAAGAGGGAUAACAAAGUACAGUAGCCCUCUUUAAAUUUAUUUCGUAUGCACAUAAUUAGGUAUUCUUUGGCUAUUUUUUUUGCCUUAAGGUGGACUUUUGACUAUUGUUGACUCUUAUUAUUACAAGUAACUUGUCUAUCCAAAUAGGAGUUAGAACCUUGAGAGUAAUUGUAGCAUAACUUUGAUUUGCUGGACUUUCUAAAUUUUUACUUGAUGUGCAGAUUGGAAGAAUAACAAAACCCGCAACAGAGCCUAAGACCCUAUAUUGUUCUUUGUUCUAUAUCAAGCUUACCCGCGAAUUUAUUUUCUUCAUUUGGUGUUCUCUCAACCAUCAAAAUCAGGGUCAAUCAAUGUUUUUUUUUUUUUUUUUUUUUUUUUUUUCCGUUGCACAUGUGAGAAAUGUGAUUAGAGGUUCUUCUAUAAUUUCAGAAUUUCUGAAUCAAAGAAUGGAUACUCCUUGUUUAUAUAUGUAAUUAUGCUUUAAUAUAGGCUGAUGUAUGAUGUAUUAUAUCCCAAGUGAUUUUCCGAAGAUGGCCUUUUGUUGUGUUUUUCAUUUUAUCAUAAUCAGAUACUAUUUUCUUUUUCAUUUCCUUUAACUAAUAAAACUAGGAUAAUAUAUCUUGUAGGAAAUGUACAAGCAUGUUGGUUCCCAAUUUCAUGAGGAGCUGCAGCGUCACCAUCUUCCUUCAUCUAUGGUAAUAUGUUAGGCUUCAAUAUCUUUUGCAAGCUUUUUCUUUCACACUUUUUGCAUGUUUUAGUGAUAGAAAAUGUAGAAUUCUGAAAUACUCUGGAUGCACGAAUUCUAUUAGAAGCUACUCUGUACUUUUGAAGGUCCAUUGCUUUGAGAAAUCAUAACUCGAUAUUGCUUCUUGGUGAACGCAGAUGAAGGAGAUAAAUAUGAGAUUAGAGAGAAUAGAACCUAAGGUUCAUCAAUCUGAUGGGGCAGGAAGUAAAAUGAUUUCCACGGAUGUCAAAUCUGUUAAUGUUAACCACAAAAGGAGUAGUCCAAGGACGAAGAGCACCCCACGAGAAAGCACAUUGUUUGGAGGCAAGUUUUUAUUUUUAUUAUUUUUAUUUUUUUCACUUGAGACAUUUGAAUUGCAAUGUUAAAAUAAUUAUUGUAGAAAAUUGAGGAUUGCACUCUAGAUAUGGAUAUUGAAGGACUCAGAAUUGAUUUUUUUUUUUUUUUGGCAUACUGUUGUUAUUUAUUAUUUUACCAUGGAAUCAAUGAGAUUAUAUAGAGUAUCGUUUUGGGUGUUUAUGGCAGUGCCGAGGUGCUAGUUUGUGGAUUUAGUGAGUUCCGUCUGUACCUCUUGAGUGGCCUUUUUAAAUAUCGAAGCUUGCAUUUAUAUUAGAACUGUUGUUUUAGGAUUGGGACAGAAAUUAUUUUGGUGCAUAGCAUAUUUUAAUGAAUAUAACCUAUCCUCUUGUCCUACAUCUACACCAUGUUGAUCCUCUGUGUACUCUGUUAAGAUUUGAUGAAAUGUGUGUUACAAAUUACAUAUAAUUCAAUAGGUAGAAAACUCAUUUUAGUAGAAAGUUGAUUAUUUUUCUUGCAAGUGAAUCAUUAUGUUAAGGAACACAUGCUGUGAUAGCUGUCUAGGAUUGAUUAGCGAAUCAAAUGGGAGAAAUGAAGCAAAGAUAAUUUGUUGAUAUAAAAAAUCUUGUAGCGUUUAAUAUUACUCAUGAAUUUUCAACAUGCUAUUUAGGGAUUGCAUGGAUAAGGAAAAAGAGAUGAUAAAAGGAGGCAGACAGGAUAUGGACAUCGAGUUUUAGGCCUGAUUAAUAAGCUAAUCUUUGAUGAACUGCUAGGAACCUGCAAAAGCAAUAUGUAGGUAGCAAGUCCUGUCGUUCUGUCUGCCUUGGAAAGAAAAGAGUGGAAAAGACUAAAUUGUAGAUCUGCUCCGACUCAAGUCUCCUUAUCAACAUAAUUAGUUUUCCUGGGAAUCUAGAAUGUCGAAUCUCUUUCAUAACCAUCAUGUACUUUUAAUAGGCACAUUGAUUGCCAUUAUGUUGUCUUCUUUGUUGCUAAUGCACAGAAGAUCAAAUAAUUCGGUUAUUUUACCUGGUUUUGAUGUGCCUAUUAGUAGAAAUCUGAAUUGGUGCAGUUCACGAUAUUUUAUCAUAUUCUUCUUUUGGUCUAGUUCUCUUGUUUUGGUGUUUAUUUUGCUUUGUUCUCACCAUCUUUGUAUACACUAGGCUUCUUAAAAAUCCAAACCUUUCUUAUUCUAACUAUCUUAUGAGGCAAUCUUAUAGGAGAACCUGAUAUUACUGAAAAGCCAGUGGAGCCCAUUAAAGUGUAUUCAGAGAAAGAAUUAAUAAGGGAGAUAGAGAAGAUUGCAUCCACUCUUGUCCCAGAAAAAGAUUGGUCACUUCGGAUUGCUGGCAUGCAAAGAGUUGAAGCUCUCGUCUUUGGAGGUCUUAAGUUCUUCUUCUAUUGCUAUUCUGCAUUUCACUAUAUUGUUCAUGUGUAUGCUCACAAAAUCAUUCUUAAUAUCAAUAAUUCAAAUUUCGUUGUGUAACAUAGAUAUUGGAUUCUUCACUUGCGGAUGAAAUCAUUUUCUUUCUAUUUGGUCCAUGUGCUGUUUGCAUUAAAGCGUGAAUGUAAUCUGAAACAUUAGAAGUUUCUGGAUUAAAUAGUGCCUUGUACUGUCAAGGUUUUGUUGUUUAGUACGGCACACCACCUUUCAAAGUGAAGCACCACAACCUUGCCUUGAUUGUACCAGAAUGUUUCGGAGGAUAAGAAAAUCAGUCAGGCGGAGUAUUGAACAGUAUCAAGAAAAGAUAUUACAUUAUGAUGCCAAUCCAAGAAUGAAGUGCCUGUAAACAAGCUACUUGAUACUCACACCGGAACUAUUUUUAAAAUUCUUCUUUUAAUGCUUUAUAUAUGAUCCAGCAAUUCCUGACUCCUAUAAUCAUCUCAUUGCAUUGACAUCGGAUAAGUCUAUCUGUUCAUCAUAAUUAAAUGUCAAAUAUUUUGAGUUUAGACUGCAUGGUUACUGCCUAUACGAUCUGUUUUGAGAUAAUAUUAAUGUGUAGCAUCCAUACUGUCUUAAUUUUGAGAAUUUCAUUUUUAUAGUAUGUGAAUUUGUUUAAAGUUUAUUCUGUUGCUUGUGAUAUUUUAUUGAAACCCGAGGUUAAUCAUCAGGUGCUGCUGAUUAUCCGUCAUUUCUUAUGCUUUUAAAGCAGCUUGUUGCUCCUAUAUCCACUCAGCUAUCUGAUCGACGAUCUAGCAUUGUAAAACAGGUGCUUUCCAACUUCUUGGACUUCAUACAUGAUAGAAACUUUCCUUUUUCUUUCAUUCUCCACCAUAUGCUUUUUCUUUUUCUCUCAGAGGAUGCAUAACUUGGUGUCAAAUCAGAAGUCAGAAAUUUGCCUCUUUUAUUAGCAUGACAUAAGUUGGCUGAGGAUACAUGGCAUAAAAGAACUGCACUUGCCGAAAAGUCAAUUUCAGUGUGAAAGUGCCAUAACAACCUCCAAGAAACAAAGCCUUCUUCAUUCUUAACUGAUAAAUGACUGACUUUGUUAGAUCAGAAAUUACUGUUGAAAAUGAAUACAAUCCAUCUUUUAAUUUAAAAUCGUUUGCCUUUUUGUUUCUGAUAUGAUGAUUUAUCAUGGCAAAUGUGAAUAUCAGAUCCGUAUAUGUGCCUAAGUGAGAGAUGCAUGAAGGUCUUCUCUAUUUACCCAUCUUGUUUAAUUCAAUUCGUUGGCAUCAAUUAAAAAUCUUGCUUCUGACUUCAUCAUGUAGCUGAAAUUGCAUCCAUAAGAGGUCAUGCAACAGUAAUUAUUCUUGUUUGCUAACUAUGCUUGCUUUCUUUAGGCUUGUCAUUUGUUAAAUGUAUUAUCAAAAGAACUUCUGGGGGAUUUUGAGGCUUGUGCUGAAAUAUUCAUUCCGGUAAUUUUUGCAACCAAAUUUAACAUUUUGAGCUUACAUAUGGCAAACAAUGCUAACUUUUGCUGAAGUUUUUCAGAUACUUUUCAAGCUUGUUGUGAUUACUGUCCUUGUGAUUGCUGAAUCUGCUGACAACUGCAUAAAAACUGUAAGAAACGCUACCGUAAUUUUCUUUUCAUAUCUUUCCUCUUUUGCAAGUAUAGCCUUUGGGGUGCGUUUGGUUCAAGUUAUCCUGGCAGGAUUAUAGGCAAUCCUGCAAGGAUUACUACAUUUGGUUUAUCCGGUAUGUAAUCUGUUAGGUAUUGCAGUAUUACAAAAGGUGUAAGAUUACACUGAAAAUAUUACCGGGGGUGGGGGGGGUGUAUCUUGGAUUACAGAAGGUGGCUAAUCUUGCAUGUUAUAUAAAAUUACAAUUUUACCCCUCUAACUCCCGAAACCUUUCAAUACGUCAUUUUAAAAAUUUUAAUUUAAAAUUUUGAAUCGCCAAUUUUAAAUUUUAAAUUUUGAAUUUUAAUUUUCGAUUUUAAAAUUUAAAAUUUAAAAUUUUAACUUUUAAAUUAUAAAUUUUUAAACUUCAAAUUUUAAAUUUUAAAUUCUAAAUUUUUAAACUUCAAAUUGUAAAAUUUUAAAUUUUUACACUUUAGAUUUGUUAAAAUUUAAAAUUUAAAUUAUAAAUUUCAAAUUUUAAAUUUCAAUAUCAAAUUUUAAUCCUAAAAUUCAAAUUUGUAUUUUAAAUUUCAAUUUAUAUUUUAUUUUAAAAUUUAAAUUUAUAAGUUUUAUAUUUAUAUUUUAAAUUAAAAUAUUAAAUUUUAUAUUUUUAUUCAAAUUUAAAAUUUAAAAUUUAAAAUUUUAAAAAUUUAAAUUAUUUUAAAUAAAAUUUAGUAAAAAAAAAUAUUACUUGUAAACAGUAAAAAAAAAGUUUGUCAAAUAUGACUAAGGGCAAUUUUGAAAUAGACUAUACUUUAUUGUCAAGAUUACUAAAUUUUAUAAACUGAAUCAAACAUAGUAAUUCUAUAAACACUGCAAUUCAGCAUUACAUUAUUGGAUUAAACCAAACACGCUAAUGCAACAUCAGUAGUAAUUUCAUUUAGAAAUUCAAGAUACUUAGAUAUAUGGAAAUACUCUUUAAUAGUACGUAACUCGAACCAAAUGCGCCCUAGGGCUUGUUUGGUUCGCGUUAUCUUGCCAAGAUUGUAGGGUAUCCUGCAGGAAUUUUUUUAGAUUACUUUAUUUAGUUCAUCUCGCAAAUAAUCUAGUUGGUAAUGCAGUAUUGCUAAUAGCGUAAGAUAACUCCCAAAAUAUUAUCAGGGAGGGAGUUGAAUACCUUGCAUUACUGACCGCAGGUUAUCCUAUCAGUUACGCAAAAUUACAAAAUUACCCCUCCCCACCCCCAAUUACCUCAAAAUUUAAAUGUAAAAUAAAUUUAAAUUUUCAUUUCUCGUUUAAAAUAUUUAAGCUUGCAUUCAAAUUUCUUUUUAAUUUGAAUUCAAUUUAAAUUUGAGAUCGAAUUUCAAAUUUAUGUUUAAAAUUUUUGAUUUAAUUUGAAAUUUGAAUUAAAAUUUUAGAUUUGAAUCGAAAAUUUGAAUUAGAAUUUAAAAGUUGAACUCAAAAUUUAAAUUUAACAUGAAAUAUGAAUUCAUAAUUUGAAUUCAAAUUUAGAAUUUGAAUGAAUUUGAAUUUAGAAUUUAAAUUAUUAAAAAAUUAAAUUGAAUUAGAGCCUAAAUUUGAACGAUCCAAAAUUAGAAUUUGAGUUCCCAAUCAAAAUUUGACUUUUAAGUUUUAAAUUUGAGUUAAAAAUUUAAAAUAUAUUUAAAUUUGAAUUUAAAAUCUGAAUUUUUGUUUAAAAUUUGAAAGAAAUCUGAAUUGAAAUUUAAAAUUUAAAUUAUAUUGUUGAAUUUAAAUUAAAAAUUUGAAUGUAAAAUUAAAAUUUAUAUUUAAAAUUCAAACCCAAAAUCAGAAUUUCAAUUUAAAAUUGUUAGAGCAAGUACCGCACAGAAAAUCCGAUUGUGAUUAAAAUCUAACUAGUUUUAUUAUGAAAAUAAAUAAAUCAACUUACAGAUAGACGCAAAUAUUCCAAUAAAGAUUUGAUCUUAUCCGGAAGCGUGCGAGGCACUGCCCUAGGGCGUAUUCCCGUCAUUACGUGCGGGAUUAACCGGGAAUAACACCCCAAGAUAGGAUCGGAAUUCCUCCUCUUGCGAGCACGAUCGUGAAGGAGGUUGACGGAGAUUCUCUUAACACCUAGUAGAUAAGAGGAAUAUUCAAAAAUGCAAGAUAACCAAAAUAAAUGGAUAAGAAUUCACCAAUUAUCUAAAUCUCAUUCUUAACAGGGCAGGAAGAGGAGAUAAUGUAUAAUAAAGAGAAUUCACGCUCUUUCUCAUUACGAGAAAGGAGCGGAACCCACGCAACGGAACGGAAAGGAAUUCCGUUUGGCGCAAGAUGCGGAACGGAAAAUAUUUCGUUAGUUUCUUUCUCAUUAAGAAAGAUAAUAAAAUAAAUAAAUAAAAUAAAUAAAUAAAAAUAAUAAAUAAAUAAAUAACAAAUAAAUUUAAGUUCAAAUAAAAUAAAUUCAAAUUCAAAUUUUGAGUUUUUCUCCGAUAAUCCCCCACAAAACUCAAAAUUUUUAAAAUACAAAUUAAAGUAAAAAAGAAUGACCGGGUGUUUGUACUAUGCAAUGGGUGAGGUGUUUUUAAGAAACUUAACCCCACUUAGUGUAAGCAGUUUCCAUCAGAAGGAAUCGGAGUGAACUAGGUUUUGAACUACGUUCCUUUUAUCCUGACUUUAACCACCACACACACAGUACGGAAUUUUCCGUCGCGGGUCUGUGCGUUAAUGGCCAUGCACAGUACCUUGAUUUUCAUAAGAGUUUCUAUGGAUAGCCCAUAUCACAUAGCCGCGGCCACAUACGGAUACUCUUAUAUAGGUGGUUUCCUCCAGGGAUGUGUCUUAUAUAGGUGGUUUCCUCCAGGGAUGUGUGUAGAGUCACAUCUCGCGAAAAUUAUUGCCUUGGAUCCCAUUAAGAGCUAUCAGCUCAACCUAAUCCACUACACAGAGCACUACUCACCAUAGGUAUGGGAUUGGAGCUAAAGCUUCUCUAUAAAAUUUGUAGAAAGUGCUCUUUGGCCAACCCGACAGCUUGUUUUUACCACAUUGAACCUUCUUCAAGGGAUCUUCUAUCACAAAGGUUGGGUUCCCAUUGCAGGAAGGCCCUUUACGGGCAAGAUCCCACCCCCCUCGAUGACAGCAGGACCAUAGUCCUCUUCAGGCCUUUCAUCAAGUAAUCUGCAAAAUUUCUGAUCAGAUCUGAUAAAACUGAAAUAAAUAAUAUCAUAUAAAGUUAACCAUCUAAUAAAUUUCUAUUUCAAUAUAAUAUAUAUGUUAACCUUAAAAUUUACCAAUGUUCAUUUACAAACUGAACAUUAGGAUAAACAAAAUAAAAUUACGAAAGCAAUCAUAAUACGAAAAUUUGUGAAACUGAUAAAAGAGUAACCCCCCACAAGUUUUGAGAUACACUAAAGUUUAAAAUCAUGAAAUUUAAUCAUGUUUAAUAGAGUUUGAUUCAACAACAAAUAGAUGGCAGAAACAAUUUUUUAAAAAAUUUGAUUUCAAUUUGGUAAUUUCUUUGCAAACAAUAUAUUGCAAGCAAUGUAUAAAAAUAUUAAAUACAACAAGCAAAAUUAUCACAGUAAAGAUGUGCUGUUGUUUACUCAGUCGUGCUGAGAAGUUCAGAUAGUUGUAGUAUUAAAUCCAACAAAUAGGGUUUACAAUGACUGCAACAAUAAAAAUGCAAAGAUUAGUAUUAGUGCUGCUUGUUAGGUGAUCUCGCUCAAAGACCGUGCUUUUAGAAACUGUGGGUUCAAAUCCCACUUGGAGAAAAAUUGUUUAAAAUUAAUUUUGUAGUAGCAAAUUUUUUUUUUAAAGGAGCUACAAAAUAAAUAAAUAAAUAAAUAAAUUUUUUUAAUCCGUACAACCAGUCCGCAAGAAAUUACUAUAGCAAAUAUAUAUAUAUAUAUACACAGCUAUACACCAAAGAAUAUUACUGUAGCAAAACUCUAAAACCGUACACUAAUAAAAUUACUUUUACUGUAGCAAAAUUAUAUAUUUUUUUUGCCUUUUUUUUCGAAAAACAGUAUAUCUAUAUCUCUAAAAUUAAGUUUUAAUAUAUCUUUAAAAUUAAGUUUUAAUAAAUUCGAAUAGCCAAAAAGAAAAUACCGUACCAAUCAUCUUUUUAAGAGCUGUAUUUACUGUAGCCUUUUUUACCCAAAAAUUUUUACUGUAGCAAAAACAGUAAAACCCUUUUUUAAAGUCAGUAAGGUAUUAAAACAAUGCUACAGUAUAUAUAUAUAUAUUUUCUUAAAACAAAUUUAAAACACCCCAAAAUAAAUAAGAGAAUAUAAUAAUUGAUAAUUAAACUAUAUGCACUUAGCAAGUAAAUUAUAUGCAAUUAGAAUUUGAAAAUACUAAUCCUAAUUUAUUUAAAUUUGAAUGACAAAUAUACAAUCAAAUUGUCAAACAGAAAUAAUACGCAAUAUCUUUCUAUUUUAAGCGAAAUAAUAAUGCAAUUAAUUAAGUCACAUACAGGAGUGCGCUAGACUCAAGCAGUAGUGUCAUGCCCCGGGACCCAGGGGAAGUCCGCCCGUUGCGUGUCCAGACUCACCAUAUGCCUACAACAUAUAAGGCGUCUACGACAAAGCGAUAAUUAAAGCAACAAUAAACAAACAUCUAGAGAUAUCAGAGCAUGAUUUUAACUAGAUUCUAAUAGCAAGUGNNNNNNNNNNNNNNNNNNNNNNNNNNNNNNNNNNNNNNNNNNNNNNNNNNNNNNNNNNNNNNNNNNNNNNNNNNNNNNNNNNNNNNNNNNNNNNNNNNNNNNNNNNNNNNNNNNNNNNNNNNNNNNNNNNNNNNNNNNNNNNNNNNNNNNNNNNNNNNNNNNNNNNNNNNNNNNNNNNNNNNNNNNNNNNNNNNNNNNNNNNNNNNNNNNNNNNNNNNNNNNNNNNNNNNNNNNNNNNNNNNNNNNNNNNNNNNNNNNNNNNNNNNNNNNNNNNNNNNNNNNNNNNNNNNNNNNNNNNNNNNNNNNNNNNNNNNNNNNNNNNNNNNNNNNNNNNNNNNNNNNNNNNNNNNNNNNNNNNNNNNNNNNNNNNNNNNNNNNNNNNNNNNNNNNNNNNNNNNNNNNNNNNNNNNNNNNNNNNNNNNNNNNNNNNNNNNNNNNNNNNNNNNNNNNNNNNNNNNNNNNNNNNNNNNNNNNNNNNNNNNNNNNNNNNNNNNNNNNNNNNNNNNNNNNNNNNNNNNNNNNNNNNNNNNNNNNNNNNNNNNNNNNNNNNNNNNNNNNNNNNNNNNNNNNNNNNNNNNNNNNNNNNNNNNNNNNNNNNNNNNNNNNNNNNNNNNNNNNNNNNNNNNNNNNNNNNNNNNNNNNNNNNNNNNNNNNNNNNNNNNNNNNNNNNNNNNNNNNNNNNNNNNNNNNNNNNNNNNNNNNNNNNNNNNNNNNNNNNNNNNNNNNNNNNNNNNNNNNNNNNNNNNNNNNNNNNNNNNNNNNNNNNNNNNNNNNNNNNNNNNNNNNNNNNNNNNNNNNNNNNNNNNNNNNNNNNNNNNNNNNNNNNNNNNNNNNNNNNNNNNNNNNNNNNNNNNNNNNNNNNNNNNNNNNNNNNNNNNNNNNNNNNNNNNNNNNNNNNNNNNNNNNNNNNNNNNNNNNNNNNNNNNNNNNNNNNNNNNNNNNNNNNNNNNNNNNNNNNNNNNNNNNNNNNNNNNNNNNNNNNNNNNNNNNNNNNNNNNNNNNNNNNNNNNNNNNNNNNNNNNNNNNNNNNNNNNNNNNNNNNNNNNNNNNNNNNNNNNNNNNNNNNNNNNNNNUAAGAUAUAAUAGGGGGGGGGGGGGAGUUCACCCAUUUAGGUGAGGUCAAACCCACCAAGAACUCCUUGUAACUCUUUCUUUUGGGCGAACGAAGGUGCCCACAAGUCUCCUAGCUCUCUAAAGAAAAUUCUACGAGGGUUAGACGAAACGAACGAACACCUAAAGUAUUCAUCUUUAACCAAUCCAAGAAAAGGGCAAAACUCACCUAAAAUGGUAGGAAACCAUCUCAAAUCCCAAAUGGAAGCUAGAGCACUCCAAAACUAACCUAAAGGAAGGUUCUAAACCAAUCAAUUGAGCUCCAAAAGCUACAAAUCAAAAAUCUCCAAAUAAACCCUAGAUUUCUCAUUUCUAGGUUUCAACACAAAAUUCCUUCAAAAACAUGAUCUAAAGAGAGGAUCAUGGUUACCUUCUUGAUGCUCCAAACUUAGCUAGGAAGGUGUUGGGGUUGAAGUUCUUCCUUCAAACAAGCUCCAAUCCAAGUCUCAAAGCUUCUCCAAUGGUGGAAGGUCACCAAAAUGUAUAAUGAAGCAAGAGAGAAAGAUCAAUCCCAAAAUCCCAGGCAGGAAAAGGAAGGAAAAACCAUGGAAAAUAUGAAGAGGAACUCACCUCCUCCUUUAGUUGCAGCACAAAAGCCCCUGCCCAAGGGGUAUGGGGGUAUAUAAGGUAUUGCAACAAUAACAAAAAGAACCCUCAAAAAUUGGCAGGCUGCAUUCUGCACUGCGUACCCGUGACACGGGAUUUAGUACCAGUACCAGGCAGCAGCACGCGCAACCCGAGCCUCGGGUUGGCGAGAAAACGCACUGGGUACCGAUACCAGCUCGAUGCAGUACCAGUACCAGGUCCAGUACUGGUACCAAGCCGAUGUGGUACCGGUACUCUGCCCUGCAGAGUCAACUCGAGAGCAGUCCAAAUUCCUCAUUUUGGAGAUUUUGGUGCUAAGUUUUCACCCUCGCUCCUUGGGAUGCGAGUCAUAGGUCGGAACGCUGUCGACGAUCCUUUAGAAUACCUGAAAAAACUCAGAACACAGAUCAAACUCUCGAACCUUGCAAUUUGCUAAAAUUCAGUGUGUUACAAGUAGUGCAGCGCAAGGGCGACGUGAUAGAACCCUAGCAGCAAGCUACUGUGGGUGGACACUCCCCCACAAAAAAUUAAUUUAAUAUUGAGGUUGGCACAUGGUCCACAUAUAUCAAAUAUUAAACUAAUAAGAACAGAUAUUACACUUCAGUGAAAAUUAUAAAUUUAAUUAGAACUAUGAAUUAAUUGAACAACUAGAUUUGGUUCAGCAGAUCAAAUGCGGCCAGUGUGAACUUUUGUUAAAUAGUGCUCAAAAUUUACAGGCCAUAAAACUCCAAUUUAUUAUUAGUUUUUUUUUUUAAAAACAAUCUAUAGUAAAAUCAUAUCCUUUUAAAAAAGAUUUUUUUUUUUUUUUUAAAAGAGUGACAAAACUCUCUCUCCCUUUUCGAAGGCAAUACAACAAUAUAUAUNAAUCUAUAGUAAAAUCAUAUCAUUCUUUUAAAAAGGAAUUUUUUUUUUUUUUUAAAGAGUGACAAAACUCUCUCUCCCUUUUCAAAGGCAACACAGCAAUAUAUAUUAAGCCUUUUUUUUUAAUAAAAAAUCCGUACACUUAAACAAAAUUUACUGUAGCAAACUCUUUUUUUUGGGAAAAAAAGCUACAGUAAAAUUUAUUUCUUUAUACAACAAUUGUACAACAAAAAGUUAUAUAUGCAGAAAUAAAGAUUUGCAAUUUAAAGAUAUGUGAUUAUUAAUUUAAAGUGGAAAUCCGAAGAUAUUUAAAUUUAUGCGACAAAUUGUACAGUCAAGAUAUAAAACAAGAGUUACAUGAAAUUUUUUUUUUUUUAGGAUUAGCAUCCGUUAGAUUUUUAAUUACAAUCAGAUCGGAAAUACGCCUUAGAAUGUUAGAGCAAGUACCGCACAGAAAAUCCGAUUGUGAUUAAAAUCUCACUAGUUUUAUUAUGAAAAUAAAUAAAUCAACUUACAGAUAGACGCAAAUAUUCCAAUAAAGAUUUGACCUUAUCUGGAAGCGUGCAAGGCACUGUUCUAAGGCGUAUUAUCGUCCUUAUGUGCGGGACUAACCGGGAAUAACACCCCAAGAUAGGAUCGGAAUUCCUCCUCUUGCGAGCACGAUCGUGAAGGAGGUUGACGGAGAUUCUCUCAACACCCAGUAGAUAAGAGGAAUAUUCAAAAAUGCAAGAUAACCAAAAUAAAUGAAUAAGAAUUAACCAAUUAUCUAAAUCUCAUUCUUAACAGGGGAGGAAAAGGAGAUAAUGUAUAAUAAAGAGAAUUCAUGCUCUUUCUCAUUAUGAGAAAGGAGCGGAACCCGCGCAACGGAACGGAAAGGAAUUCCGUUUGGCGCAAGAAGCGGAACGGAAAAUAUUCUGUUACUUUUCUUUCUCAUUAAGAAAGAUAAUAAAAUAAAUAAAUAAAAUAAAUAAAAAUAAUAAAUAAAAAUAAUAAAUAAAUAAAUAACAAAUAAAUUUAAGUUCAAAUAAAAUAAAUUCAAAUUCAAAUUUUGAGUUUUUCUCCAACAAAAAUUUGAUUGAAUAUUUAUAUUUUUGAUUCAAUAUUUAAAUAUAAAUUUAAAAUCUGAAUUUAAAUUUAAACUUAAAUUCAAAGUUUAUAUUCAAAUUUCCAAUAACUAUAUAUAAGGGUAUUUUUGGAAUAACCUAUACUUUACUAUUUGGAUUAAUGAAAUGUAUAAGAUGAACCAAACAGAAUCUUAUAUGCACACUAAUGCUAGAUUACAUUACUGCACUGAACCAAAUGGAGUAAUACAACAUUAGUAGUAAUCUGAAUAACAAAUAUUAGAUUACUUGUUAUGUUGAGAUAACCAGCAAUGCUACAUAGCGUGAUCCAAACGGACCAAGUGUUAUGAAACCCUCAUUCUUCUCCUGUUAUUAACAUGUGCCAAUGGUGUAGAUGUUGCGGAAUUGCAAGGUCGCGCGUGUUCUUCCUCGGAUAGCUGAUACUGCAAAGAAUGACCGAAGUGCAGUUCUUCGUGCUAGGUACAGAAAAUUGUUAUAUCAUCAUUAUAGAUAUGAGUUUUGGAGUUAAUAUUCUAUAUCCACGAUAUCAGGUGCUGUGAAUAUGCACUUCUAACACUAGAGUACUGGGCAGAUGCCCCGGAAAUACAGCGCUCGGCUGAUUUGUAUGAGGAUCUUAUAAAGUGCUGUGUAGCAGAUGCAAUGAGUGAGGUAGGUGAUAGUUUUAUUGUAGUUUGUUUAUGUUGGAUGCGUGUUCUAUACAUGUUUUACCUCACAUUGAAAGCAUGGAGCUUGAGUAUCAUAAAUAUUUGUCAUGUGUAUGUUCAGUAUGAGUAGCAUAUAACAGAAUGAAUACCUCUAAUUGUUGUUAAAUCUAUUGGGAAAGCAGAAAUAAGCUCUAUUCAUCAUUUAAAUAUGAGAUUUUUGGGGAAAAAUGGAUCGAGAAGAUCUGACCUUUAUUUUUGGUUUUGCAUGGUGUCAUACUUGAUUUUCAGUUGAUUUUCAGGUGCCUGUUUACAUAUGGAUGCUUAGUAGUAUGUUUCGUUUUUUGCAUUUAUUCACUAAUGCAUGUAUAUUUGUGCAAUAUAUACCUUUUCCUUUUUCCUGAUAUUGUAGAGUUUCAUAUAUUUCUUUUCCUAUUGAUCAUUCACUAUACUCUUGUUUAAUUACAUUUAUGCUGGGCUUAUUCUUCUGUUACAAUUGUAAGGCUUGAGGAAGAUAACUAUACUUUUAUAUGAAGUAAAUGGAAGAUGUCUAUGGUGAAAACAAUGGAUUACGGUAAUAAAUAACCAAAAAUGACAGACUUCCAGUCCUUCACAUAGAGGAUGCAUUCUAAAUCAUUUAAGGAGAACAAUAGGUGGGCACAGUCAAAUCUUGCAAAAAUACAAAAAGGCGAAACUUCUCUAAAUAUUACUAAGAUUUCUUUGAGAAAAAGAACUAGUUAUUACAGUUAAUUUCUCAAGAAGAAUUUGGAAUAACCAAUUCAUUGCUAAAAUCCAAAAUGUAAAUUUGGACUGCUCUAGACCUACAAAAUUUUACGAACAAGAAGCAAAUGAAUUGUGUUUACCUAGUGUGGUGUUUGAAAAUUUUUAGGUACGUUCAACUGCUAGAACUUGCUACCGGAUGUUCACCAAAACUUGGCCAGAACGUUCACGCCGACUCUUUAUGUCAUUUGACCCUGUUAUACAACGGGUAUGCCAUUUUUCUUUUCUUUUGUCUAUGGCGAUCUCUAACCCUAAAAUUUUCAGUCUUGAAACUUAUAUGUUUACAGAUAAUAAAUGAUGAAGAUGGCGGUAUACACAAAAGAUAUGCUUCUCCUUCUCUGCGUGAGAGAGGGGCGCAGCUUUCACGCACUCCGUCUCAUGCUACUACGCAAUUACCUGGAUAUGGUACUUCAGCUAUUGUUGCAAUGGACAAGAGUGCCACUAUUCCUUCAGAACCAUCUCUCUCUUCAACAACUCUCCUUUUAUCACAGUCAAAGACAUUUGGUAAAAGCUCCGAACGAAGCUUGGAGAGCGUGCUUAAUGCAAGCAAGCAAAAGGUUUCGGCUAUUGAGAGUUUAUUGAAAGGUGUAAGCAUCUCAGACAAGCAGAAUUUCUCAGUUACACGAUCGACAAGCUUGGAUCUAGGUAGCAAAGAUAAUCUGUUUGAGAAUCUGCUAGUCCUGCCUAGCCUAGCUUCUGGAGAAGGCUCCGAGCAGCUGCAACAGCCAAUAUUGAGUCUAGCACUUUUGCUGUAGCAAGAAGUUAAAAUGACUUAUUGAGCCCCAAAGUGGAAGCUCCAAAUUGAAGCUUCUGCUUCUGCUGCAGUGGGAAACUAUUGGUGGGAUUUUUUAUCACAAAACCGCAUUUUUCAAAAGCUUGACUCAGAAAUGCACUGAUGCUGAAGCUCCAGCUAGGCUAAACAGGCUGUUAGUUUCGAACUAUUAUUUUCUCUCUCUCUUUUAUGUCUUUGUUACUUUUGUUCCAUGAUGCUGAAUUUUCUCUGUAUACGAGAGCCAGAGCAAUGGAGGGGUAAUGUGAGAGAGAUUCUGAUUUCUGUUUCUGCCUAGUGCAGGAGUUGACCCUCCAUCUUCUCGUGAUCCACAAUUUCCUCUUGCUGCUCCUGCUUCAAAUCACCUGUCUUUACAGAAUUCUGCAUUAAUAGAUUCGACUAUGACCAGCACUAUGAGAAGUAGCAAUAGAAAUGGUGGUUCAAACUCACUAGAUAAUUCCAAGUUAUCUUAUUUGAGUCAUUUGUCGUCUGACUCUUUAUCAACAUUAGCAUUGCCUUACGCAAAAAGAUCUUCAGAAAGAUUGCAAGAAGGAAACUACCCUGAAGAGAAUACUGAUAUUAGGUCAACAAGGCAAUUCGCAAACAUGCAGAUUGACCGGCAUCUCCUCGAGAUGCCUUAUAGGGACUCUGGAUAUAGAGAUGCACAAAAUAAUUAUGUUCCAAAUUUUCAGAGACCUCUUCUGAGAAAACAAGUCACGGCUAGGGCUUCUGCAAGUGGCAGAAGCAGUUUCGAUGAUAGCCAACUUUCAGCUGGUGAAAUGUCAAGCUAUAUGGAUUCCCCGGCAUCUCUUACUGAUGCACUUAGUGAGGGCCUUAGCCCUAGUUCAGACUGGAUGGCCAGGGUUUCAGCUUUCAAUUAUCUCCGGACUCUGUUACAACUAGGUCCAAAGGGAAUUCAAGAAAUUAUGCAGAAUUUUGAGAAGGUCAUGAAACUAUUCUUCCGUCACUUGGAUGAUCCCCACCAUAAAGUCGCACAGGCAGCUCUUUCCACACUCGCAGAGAUUAUUCCAGCUUGUAAAAAGCCAUUUGAGAGCUACAUCGAAAGAAUUUUACCUUAUGUUUUUUCACGGCUGAUUGAUCCAAAGGAGUUGGUGAGGCAACCCUGUACAACAACCUUGGAAAUCGUCAGUAGGACAUACAGUAUUGAUACUCUGCUACCUGCUCUUCUACGAUCUUUAGAUGAGCAGAGGUCUCCGAAGGCUAAAUUGGCUGUGAUUGAGUUUGCAAACAAGUCCUUUAACAAGCAUAAGGUAGAUUCCGAUAAUUACAAUAAUAGCGGCUUUCUUAAGUUGUGGCUUUCUAAGCUAGCACCAUUGGUAAAUGAUAAGAACUCAAAACUGAAGGAAGCAUCAAUAUCAGGCAUCAUAGCAGUUUACUCUCACUUCGAUUCAUCUGCAGUUCUGAAUUUUAUACUUAGUUUGUCUGUUGAAGAACAGAAUGUAUUGAGAAGGGCACUUAAGCAGUAUACACCUCGUAUUGAGGUUGAUCUGGUGAACUUCCUGCAGAGUAAGAAAGAACGUCAGCGUCCCAAGUCCUUUUACGACCAAGCUGAUGCUGUUGGAACAUCUUCUGAGGAAGGUUAUAUUGUGACAUCAAUAAAGAAAAACCAUCAGUUUGGUCGGUAUUCGACAGGCUCCCUUGAUAGUGAAGGUGGGAGGAAAUGGAGUUCUGCACAAGAAUCCACCCUUCUGGAUGCAUCCAUUGGUCAAGCAACUGCUGAUCGAAUGCAAGAUCAAUUUAAUCAAAAUGCAGGGCAUGGCAUUGAAAUAAACAUUCCUGCUGGUAAAGGAGGUGAAUUGAAGAGCAAUGCUAAUUCUGUUGUGGAAAGUAUUGGCUCAUGGACAAAUAAAGUUGAAAAAUCAGAUAGUAAAAUGGAAAGUGAGAGCUCUAUCUCUACUCCACGUUUAGAUAUUAGUAGAUUGGUAGCUUCUGAUGGGCUUAAAGCUAUUGGCUUGACUCAAACCAGUGAAAGCAUUCAAGAUUCAAAUUCCAUUAAUGGGAAGCUUAGUUUUGUCAGGAACAGUCCCCAUGUUGAUAGCGGCCCUAGCAUACCCCAGCUUCUUCAUCGGGUACUUACAGAAGUUUUCCUUUCCAUCGAUUCUAAUGCUUGAUGCUCUAAUUAAGUCUCCUUUAUUUCGUGUUUGUGAAAAAUCAAGAUGGUUGGUAUCUUUAGCUUAUUUCAUGUUUGCUUGUCUAGAUUUGCAAUGGAAAUGAUGUUACUUCAAGCUUAGAGAAACGCGAAGCACUUCAGCAGUUGGUCCAAGCUUCUGUAGUUAAUGAUAGCUCCAUUUGGACCAAGGUGUGUAUCAAAGUUCUGUAUCUGGUCAUUCUGUCACAUAAAUUACUCUCGUUGUUUCUUCAUAUUUCUAACAUCUCGAUACAUAAAUUACUUUUUCUGCUUUUUCGUCAACUUUGCCUGACUAUCAGCUACAUACAAUUGAAAGUGGUGGUAUUAUUAUUGGAAAUAUGGACAAAGUUUUUUUUCUUGUUUUUUUUUUUUUUUUUUGGGUGGAACUUUGCAUUCAGUGAAAACAUCUUUUACAUAUAAGUGCUAACAAUUUCUUGUUAUCUGCGCCUUAAGUUCGAAAUCAACCUGUCUAUACAUUUAUUGUUUGACCAUUAUUUUUCUGAAGAAAACCUAGAGUAGUUAAAAAUAAAAUCAAACUUUAAAAUUGAAUUAAAAUCUGGCAAUGUUUAUAAUUAUUUUCAUUGUGUGAAACUAUGAUGUUCUUUCAGUGGCUGUUUUGAUAUGCUUGAGUCAUCAAAGUAUCAUGAUUUUUUAUUCAAGUAGUACCAUUUGGUUAGACAAGAUGUGUGAAUUUAAAUGACAGGAAUGCUGGUUCCUUUACUAAGUGUGACUGUGUAUUCAGAGAUUUACUAGGGCUUUGGAUGUAUCUAAUUUUUUGGGACCUGGACGAAAUCUGGAUUUAAUCCAUUAGCUAUUCUAAUAUGCUUGUGGUCACUGAAUUGGUUCACAUUUGGAUGGUCUUGCUGGUUUACAGCGGUCAUUUCACUCUGCCAACUAAAGUAGUAAUUCCACCAAAAUUUGUAAGGAUAUAUAUAUAUCACUUCCACCCAUUAGAUUAUACUAUUCAACCAACCACCCACUCAACCCUAGGGGACCACUAUAAUCCUAACCGCACACCCUUUCAUCCAACGGCCGAAAACUCAAUAGCACCAAGCGCUUGGUACUAUUGAUAGUCUAGUAGCAUAAUUCAUAUAUAUAUAUAUAUAUAUAGUGUGAGGCUACUAUGCUUUUGGAAGCACGGAGCCUUCCGUGCUUCCAAGUCGUUUUCGAUGUUGCGACUUCCGAAUUGUCGAUCGGCUCCGUUAAACUUGAUCUAGAGUAUUUGAAGUAUCUAGAAAAUAAAUUUUAUGAUUUUUCGAUAUCAUUUGCCUAGUGAUCGAAGGGGCUCAAAAUCAAUAAUUUUAAUGGCCGUAGUGAGCCGUUUGCAAGUUUAACGGUGUAGAAAUAUUCAAAUCAUGUGAAAUUUUGAUAGAAAAUUCUUUAUACUAUAUAAAACAAGAUCAAUAUGUUUGAUCUAAAAUUUUAAUGUUAUAUUAUCACGUUUUGUAAGAUUUUUAUUUUCAGCCGUUGAUUUUGAGCCCCCUCGUUCACUAGGCAAAUAAUAUUGAAAAAUCGCAUAAUUUAUUUUCUAGGUACUUCAAAUAUUCUAGAUCAAGUUUAACGGAGUCGAUCGACGAUUCUAAAGUUGCAACAUGGAAAACGACCAUAGUAGCCUCACUAUAUAUAUAUAUAUAUAUAUAUAUAUAUAUAUAUAUAUACAUAUAUAAAUUUAUUUACAUAUGAAAUGUAUGUAAGAACAUGUAAAGAAAUAGGAGAGGGACAUUGUUCCCUACAUGAGAAUUUAUAACCUUCUAGCAUUUCUGAAAAGGUUGCCAAGCAUAUACCAGCUGCACUGGGUUGUGAGUAGCAUGUCAGGUACUUAAAGUGCUUGAACAUGUAACAAGCAUCUUCUAAUAUGAAGGGACUGAUGUAUAACAUUAGUAAACAGUAUAUGAAUGAUGAGUAGAACUAAUAAAUUUUAGCAAUGUGAAAUAGUAGAAAUCACAAAAAACAAUAAAUAGCUUUAAUGAAAGAUGCUAUUCUUUAACGAAAUAUGCUAUUCUUUCCAUUAAAUCUUAAGAAUGACUUGACAAAACAGAUUUUUGUUAGAAAAUAGCCACGCAACUCGCUACCUACUUGGGCUAAUGGCAACACCCUUCAGUCCAAUGAAUGGCAUGUGAUAGAGUCUGUCCAACCUUUCACUUGCCACAACCUGAAAAUGCUUCGAUCUACUAUUCUGUUUUAUUUUAUGGUGUUAUGGUUGUCAUUUGGCUUCUGCUUUUUCUGCAAAAUAUUGAUUUAUUAUAAUCAUUACUAAUGAUGUUUUCUGAUGCAUAUGAUCUGUUUGUUCUUGUCUUCUGUAAUUUAUUAACAUGCUAUUAUUGUCUAAAUUAAAAGAUAAAUCAUUAGGGUUUGUGCACAAUUUAAUAUCAUCUUGUAUGUGUGGCAGUACUUCAAUCAAAUUUUAACAGCUGUGCUUGAGGUGUUGGAUGAUUCCGAUGCAUCCACAAGGGAGCUUGCUCUUUCUUUAGUAGCUGAAAUGCUUAACAAUCAGGUUUAUCACUAUCUUCUUUGACAUUCAAACAGACUAGUUUUGUUCUUUACAUUUUUUUCUGUUCUUGCUCACUGAUAUUUUUAUGCUUUUUUUCAGAAAGAUGCUAUGGAAGAUUCGAUUGAGAUUGUUAUUGAAAAAUUACUCCAUGUUACAAAAGAUGCAGUUGUGAAGGUAUUUUUCUACCUUUUAAUGGCUAGUACCAUAUAAUGCCUUGUUUGUUUCAUAUUUUCUUCUGCUAUACUGCAGGUCUCAAAUGAAGCGCACCGAUGUUUGAGUAUUGUCUUGGCUCAGUAUGAUCCGUUUCGAUGUCUUGCUGUAUGUAUCAAUUAUCAAUUAAUAGUUCUUGUAGCUUCAGCAAUAGUUGAAUUUCUGUGUUUAGUUUCUUCUGCUCUUUAUCUUUUUCUCUGAUUGCAAAUGAUGCAGGUUGUUGUGCCUCUAUUGGUCAAUGAUGAUGAAAGGACCCUCGUUGUUUGUAUCAACUGUUUGACAAAGGUGUACCUUAUGUUUAUAUUUUUUAUAUUUAUGAUAGCCUGCUUUUAAGCCAAUGAAAAUUUUCUUUCUUUUCUUUUCUAUUGUGUUGUUUUCUAUCUUCCUUUUCUUUUCCUUUUUAUUUUUUUGCUUACACUUAGAGCUAUGCAGUACAUAGAGAUAUCAUACCAUAUUGAAACAUUUGUUGUUUAUUAUGGAAAGUGUGGUGUAAUGUGGGCUCUUACUUCUUACCAGUCAUAAAAAUCUAUUGAAGCAGAUUCAUAUUUUUUUGUAUUAUACAGGUAACUUUUGACUGUAUUUCAGUUUAUGAGACUAAUAUUUAUAAUUUGUUUCAGCUUGUUGGGCGUCUUUCGCAGGAGGAAUUAAUGACUCAGUUGCCUACAUUCUUACCUGCACUUUUUGAUGCUUUCGGCAACCAGAGUCCAGAUGUUAGAAAGGUGAUGAAUUUCAGAUCUUUUUUAUUUUUCGAUUCAAAUUAGUUAAAUUUUCUUAAAAAUGUAUUUUGCAGUAUUUCAAUCGCAAGAGAAAAAGAUGCAACCGUCAAAUUUAAUACGGUUUAUCUAAUACUUUAACAUGUUUUUCGAUGUAGUAUUGUUGACAAACUCUGAAGGGGAAAGUUUUAUGCAGGUCCCUGAUUUUUUAGACAAUUCUGAAAAAAAAGAAAUCUCCAAAUUUUCUAUAUAUAUAUAUACAUAUAUAUAUAUAUAUAUAUAUAUUAUAUGUAUAUAUAUUAUAUGUAUAUAUAUAUAUGGAUGUUUUCGAAAGCACAUGAAUAGUGCCUACUAUCAACUUUUAGUACUUGAAUCCAUAAAGGUAUCACCACUGAAUAGUAAACCCUAGGGAUCCAAGGGUUAAAAGUUGGGAUCAUGUGCCCCUAAUAUAUAUAAUAUGGCUGGGGCACUUCUCAAAGCACCAGUUACUUGGCGCUAAUAACUUUUCCACCAUUAGAUCUGCUCCUCUGACUAUUUCUACCUUUUUGAUUAUACUAUUUCACUAACCACCACUAAACCAUAGGGGGACCACUAUCAUCUUAUCUGUACAACCCCUUAAUCCAAGGGCGGAAAAGCCCACAAGCACCAUUUAUUUCGUGCUAUUAGAAGCAUUUCAACCCAAUUCGAUAUAUAUGCAGCCACAAGUACGACUUGUGUGCUUUCGAAAGCACGGAGGUCUCUGUACUUCCAAGUUGUUUUCAAUGAUGGGUCAUCCGAUUUGACGAUUGACUUGUCAGACAUGAUCUAUUCUGUUGGAACUAUGUAAAAAUCAAAUUUCACAAUUUUUCGAUAAUGGCUGAUGUGACACAUUUGUAAGUUCAGUAGUGUAGAACAAUUCAAAUUCGCUUAAAUUUCAAUAAAAAAUUAUUUUUACCAUCAAGAGUGCGAUCGGUACUUAUUUAAAAUUUAAGUAUUCCACCUCUCUUUCUUAUGAGAUUUUUAUUUUCAGCCGUUCAUCUUAAGACUUUAUUUACUAGGUAAAUGAUGUCGAAAAUUAUGAAAUUUGGUUUAAAGAUAGUUCCAAUAGUAUAGAUCAUGUCUGACGGAGGCAAUCAUCGAAUCAGAUAUCCCUUUGUUGAAAACAAUAUGAAAGUACAGAAGUCUCUGUGCUUUCGAAAAUAUACAAGCCUAGUACAUAUAUAUAUAGAGAGAGAGAGAGAGUAGGGCUAUUAUACUCUUAUGAGUAUAUAACCCUUCGUACUCAUAAGUUGUUUUCAAUUUUGGGAUUUUCGAAUCGACGAUCCAUACCGUUAAACAUGAUCUAGAGUAUUUCAAACUUCUAGAAAAUAAAUUUCGUAAUUUUUCAAAAUCAUUAUAAAGUCCAUCAAGCGGGUAUAAAAUGAACGGUUAAAAUCGAACGACAUCCUAAAAAUGGAUAAUCGGAUCCUUCAAUUUAAGAUCAGAGUUAUUGAUCUUUAUUUAGGUAGUGAGUUGAAUUUUCUAUCAAAAAUUCAACCUCUUUCGAUUCUUUUUCACCGUUAAACUAGCAAAUAUCUCAUACCGGCCGUUAAAAUUAUCAAUUUUGUGAGCUCUUGAUCGUAAGGUAAAUGAUGUCGAAAAAUUAUAAAAUUUGAUUUCUAGAAGUUUUAAAUGCUCCAGAUAACGUUUAACGGUGUGGAUCGUCGAUUCGGAAGCUCUAUCAGACCAUUUAAACUGUCUUGAAAUCAAAUUUUAUGCAUUUUUGAUAUUGUUCUCUUGUCCAUCAAGCGGACAUAAAAUGAAUGGCUGAAAAUAAAUAUCCUUCAAAAAGUAAUGAUAAAAUUUUUGUAUUCAAGAUCUAGAGUCUAGAUCUUGUUUUAGAUAGUUAAGAUAAUAUUCUAACAAAAAUUCAGCUGAUUUGGACUCUUGUAUAAUGUUAAACGAGCAAACGCACCGCAUCGACCAUUAAAAUUACAAAUUUUGUGACCCUGUGAUCGUUUGGUUAGUGAUGUCGGAAAAGUAUAAAAGUUUGUUACUAGAUAGUUUAAAUGGUAUAGAUCAUGUUCAAAGGCGAUCGUUGAUUUGGAAGCUCUAUCUUCAAAAACAAAUCGGUAGUAAACCUAGCCAUUUACUGCCGAAAGUAUCUAGUAAAGCGCUCUCUCUCUCUCUCUCUCUCUCUCUCUAUAUANAAGCUAUUGGUGCUAUUAGUUUUUUAACCCUUGGAUUGAGAAAUGUGUGGUUAGGAUGAUGUGGGCCCCCUAGGGCUGAGUGGGUGGUUGGUUGAAUAGUAUAAUCUAACGGAUAAAAAUAAUCAAAAGGGUUAAUCUAACGGCAGAAAACUUGAUAGCACCAAGUGCUUGGUGCUAUCGAUAGCAUAGCAGCCGGACUCUAUAUAUAUAUGUAUAUAUGUAUAUAAAUAUAUUCUCUCUCUCUCUCUCUGUAUAUACAUAUGUAUCUAUAUACAUACAUAUGUAUGUAUACAUAUAUAUGUAUAUAUAUAUACCUAUAUAAGUAUACAUAUAUAUACAUAUAUGUGUAUACACAUAUAUGUAUGGGUUAAUUGCAUAUAGCUCCCUGUAAACAUAGCGAAUUGUAAAUACAUCUCUACAAAGUUCAACUUUCUUAUGUUACCCUUGCAAAAGUCCUAAUGUUUUAAAAUAUACUCAUGCUGUUAGGAUUGGUUAGAAAAAUUUAGUUAACCAUAGGUAAAAUACUUAAUCCUGGUUCGUUAAUUAGGUAAAUUAACAUAUUUACCUUUUAUAUUAUACCUUCUUCUCUUAAUCAAAACCCUUGCAAUGGGAACUCUUUUUCUUCCUUUUCCUAUCUCUCCUUUAUGUUAGUUUCGAAGUUGUAACUAGAAUUUCUCCGUCCUUAUUCAUCCAUGACGCGUGUUGCUUCGCCCAUGUCGAACGCGUGUUGCUUUCCCAUUCAAUUUUCUUUAUAAUUUUUUCUUAUUUUGCUCAAAAGAAAAGGUUUAGGAGAAAAUGAGUGAGAGAAGAGGUUACAAAAAUGGUGGAUUGGGUUGGGUUUUAAAGAGGAAGAAGAUGGGGAAUAAGAUGACUGUUGAAAUUUUUUUGGGGGGACAUUUCUGCAUGAUUAUAGCAGUUAGGGCUUUUGGAGGGACAUAUUUGUGAUGGAAAAUUUAACAUUUCACUUAUUACUGUUAAAUAAUAAACAACUCUCUAACAAUAACAAACCAGAGGGACAUAUAUGAAUAUCAUUGGACUUUUGCAGGGAUAAGAGUUAAAAGUUGAACUUUUUAGGAAUAUAUUUACUAUUCGAUAUGCUUACAGGAAGUUGUAUGCAAUUUACCCUAUAUGUAUAUAUAUAUACAUAUAUAUGUGUGACAGCCCAACUUCCUACGGGGUCACCCAUCCUAGGACUACUCCCGUCCUAACACGCUUAACUCUCUUAACCUCUCGGGCCUUUCCACCACUCAAAAUGCUUAAGCCGGAUUAAGAGUUUAGCCCUAUUAUAUUUCAUAUAUAGGAGUACCUGAGGUCUCACAAUCUCCUUCUCUUUAAGCCCUGACGUCCUCGUCAGAAUCAAACUCACAAGUAUCAGGCGAUGUGAGACUCGUCUCGCUAUCCUAAACCGACCUUAUAGAGGAGCCGCGCUCUACCCACAACAGUCAACAACAUGAGGGCCUCGCUUUUUUCCCUGUAUAAUUCUGGCUCAGCCAAGACUCAUAUCAUAUUUCCGGUUGGUAAUUGGCUCUGAUUCUAACUGUGAUGUCCCAACUUCCUAGGGGGUAACCCAUCCUAGGACUACUCCCGUCCUAGCACGCUUAACUCUCUUAACCUGUUGGGCCUUGCCACUUCCCAAAAUGCUUAAGUCGGGUUAAGAGUUUUGCCCUAUUAUAUUUCAUAUAUAGGACUACCUGGGGUCUCACAAUAUGUAUACAUAUAUAUAUACAUGUACAUAUAUGUAUGUACAUAUACAUAUAUAUAUGUAUAUGUACAUAUAUAUAUAUAUGCAUGUACAUAUGUAUGUACAUAUAUAUGGUACAUAUAUAUAUGUACAUGUACAUGGGGUUUUUGCUUAUUUGUCCGACUAUUAUUCCAAAUUUUCAAAUUUACCUUGAAAUUACCAAAAUAACAUUCUAAACCCCAUUACCAUUAAACUCUACGGAUUUAGGAAUAUUUGAAGGGAUUUUUGGAAAUCAAUAAGCGCAUUUUGGUCAACCAGUGGUAUAUCAGAUAUUUUUGAAGUUUUGAAGGGUAUAGUAGAUUUUAUCCAUAUAUAUAUAUAUAUAUAUAUAUAUAUAUAGUCCGACUAUGGUACUUUCAAAAGCACCAAGCACCUCGUGCUUGUAAUUUUUUCGUAGUUAGAUCUACCCCUUUGACUAUAUUUCCACCCGUUAGACUAUUCAACCUACCACUCAGUGAACUCUAGGGGACUACUAUCAUCCUAACAACACAUUCCUUAAUCCAAGCACUGAAAAUCUACAAGGACUAAUGAAUUGGUACUUUUAAAAGCAUUGGAGCUCAAUUUUCUCUCUCUCUCUCUCUCUCUCUCUCUCUAUAUAUAUAUAUAUAUAUAUAUAUAUAUAUAUAUAAGCAAGAAGUCUUUGCCUACCUUGGUUGAUAGAUUGGCCUUGCUAGCUCGUAACAAGGUCAAUUCCGUCUCUUCAAUGGAGCUCCUCGGGUAAUCUGAACUCCCUUCUCGGAGUUGCUUAUCGUGGUUUCGACACGAGUGGUUGGGCGAAGGAUGGUCUAUCCUUUUUACUGGAGUGUGCGUUAUGUUUGAACGGGAUACAACUAGCUUUCUUACCUUUUUGUAUGAAUUGGAAAAUGAUCUUUAUAGGACGUGACGACGAUAUAUGAAAGAAAUUAAAAAAAAGCCACAGAAGCUUAGCCUACUUUACGCACUACUGCACUAAGUAGACAAGGCCAAUGGCGGGAAAUUGGACCUAUGAUCAAAAGGGACGGCCUAUAGAAGCCCGGAGCGAAAGGCUAAUGAAAAUUGUAGCUUAGUGCCUAGCAUCUUCCAGUGUCUUCUCAACGAAGUUAGUUAUGUGAUUUUGGAAUAGAAGGAAGGAGCGUAAUUUCAUUCGACUCAAAGAAAACCAUGUUCAAUCAAUCAAGGAGAAGUGGAACUUUUCUGUGAAUGUAGGAUGUCCGUUGGAAAGAAGAAGCAAUCUAGGUUACGCUUGUGACCACCGGCAUUUUUCUCCAAUCUAGGAUAAAGAUGAAUGUUUUGACCUAUCCCAAUUUGAAUCUAGCCUUUGGUUUUGGUUGAGGUUGCAGCUAGGCGCGGAGGUUGGAGCUCUGCUCUAAAAGGAUCUACUAAAUUCGUCGAGUUGUUCUAAAGAAUCAAAGCGGCCUCUAAAAUUUUUUUUGAUGAUGAGACUUCUGAAUCGACGAUCGGCUCUGGUAGACUUGAUCUAGAGUAUUUGAAGUAUCUAGAAAAUUAAUUUUCUGAUUUUCAAUAUCGUUUACCUACUGAUCGAAAAGACUCAAAAUCAACGACUAAAAAUAAAAAUCCCACAAAAAGUGAUGAUGUAAUAGUAAAACAUCAGAUCAGAUAAAAUUGAUCUUGCUGUAGAUAGUAUAAAGAAAAUUUCAAGACUUGAUCAUAUAGCAUAAGUUUUUAAAAUUAGAGGUAUUGAUCUUACUGCAAAUAGUAUGAAGAAUUUUAUAUCAAAAUUUCAUCCGAUUUGAAUACUUCUACACUAUUAAAACUUGCAAACGACACACAUCAAUCAUUAUUAAUUUGUUAAUUGAGUUCUUUCGAUCACUAGGUAAAUGAUAUUGGAAAAUUGCAAAAUUUAUUUUUUGGCUUCUUUCAAUUAGAUUAGAUUAAGUUUAACGGAGUCGAUCGUGCAUUCGAGAGUCCCACCAUAAAAAAUGGCUCAGGAGGCCUCCGUGCUUUUAAGAGCACAACAGUCCUACUAUAUGUAUAUAUAUACACAAAUAUAUAUAUGUAUAUAUAUGUAUGCAUAUAUGCGAUACCAACUAUCAUGGACUUAUAUUUUGCUCGCCAAAGCGCGUGUGGCGCUUGUCUUCCUGCUCGUAGAUGGACAAGCCUGUCUCGAUCUUGCUAGUUCGGACAUCCGCGCCCACAAAAAUUAAGUGCAAGAAAGAGAAAAUGAGAGAGAGGAAUAGAGGUUAUGCAAGAACUAAUAGAGGUUAUGCAAGAACUAAGUACUCUAUUACUUAAAAGCAAAAAUUACAUAUACAUUCUCUACUCUCUCUACUUUGGUCUCAGCCAACCCUCCUACUUAUAGCCUCUAAGUUACAUUGGACUUGCCCACUAGGAUGCAAUGGAUAACUUCCUACAUAAAUGCAGGGUGAAUCCGAGGGUUGCACGUAACCUUUGGGUUUCCACAGGACUAUUUCUUGAGGCAUUAACUCAUUUUGGGUUUCCACAGGACUGUUUCUUGAGGUAUUAACUCCUGCAGUUUCAAAAUGCUUCAUUUCCCACAAAAGCUUCCUGAACAAUGCCUCUUCGGUUGCCCAUUUAACGAAGCUGGGCCAGGGACUUGGCCGAAUUGAGAUGUUUCUAAGUGCUUGACAUUUUCCCCCACCUAACACGCAAACAUUUCAUUGCACGCCAAGCCGAUCCUGGUUCGUGUAGCCUUGCUUGCAGUUCACCAUGCCUUCGUGCCCACGCGGCCUCGAGCCUUGCUACUGCAGUUCGCCUUCGCUUCCGCACCACUCUAGUGCCUUGCCCCUUUGAGCACGAACAGUAGCUAGCUCGUUGCGCGAAAAAUUUUGUCAUUGAGCCUGAACCGUUAAGUGUGCUUGUCCUUCGCGACACACACGUGCACGCCGCCAAGCUGCGGGAUGCUCCCUGGUCCCCUCGGGCUCCUUUUUGGCUUUGUGCUUAACAGAGCAACGCAUCUCUCGAUUGGGUGCUAGUUGCUCCUGCUUUUCUUGAGACUUGACAGUCUCACCUUUGCUCAGGUCCUCGAGCGCUUCACCUCCUCGUAAAGCUGUAGAGCCAUGAGGGUCUGGUCCUUAGUCAGUGGGGCUAGACUCUGGCCAUGCCUUUUUGCGUCCCCUGUAUCACAACGCUUUUCCCCACCUUUUGCCUCGCUCACCUUAAGUGGUUUGCCAUGAUUGCUCUCGAUCCGCUCGGGUAGUGCCUCCCUCGCCUUGAGGCUUAUGACCUCCUUGACCUAGGCAUUGAUGUCGUGAAGCAGCACAUCUCGCGUAUCUCGCUCGUUGUUGUGACGGGCAUAAUCUGCCUUGAAUUGUUCCAGACGAUGGCGGAAUGUUGCCAUGGCUGCAACAAUAUCCUCCUCUAUCAAGUGAAGCACCUCGUCCAACAAACGCAUGGUCUGCGUCAAUGCAGAGGACCACUCCACUCUCAUUAUAACAUCCUUUUGCAGCUCUGCACGGUACUCCAAGGAUAUGGCCUGCUUCGUGAGUGCUUGCGGCUCCUUGCUUCUUUCCCGCUUAGUUUGCUUGGGCUCAGGGAUAACGUCUACAACGGCAGCAUCCAACGACGACAUGGUUCCUUUUCGAACCAGCUGUGAUACCAACUGUCACAGUAGUGAUUUUGCUCGCCAAAGCCCGUGCAACGCUCGCCUUCCAACUCGAAGAUGGGCAAGCCUACCUCGAUUUUGCUAGUCUGGAUCUUUGCACUCUCAAAGACUAAGUGCAAGAAAGCGAAAACGAGAGAGAGGGAUAGUGUCUACCAUCAACUUUUUAGCCCUCAAAUCUAUAGUAGUAUCACCAACGAAUGUUAAAUCCUAGAAAUCCAAGGGCUAAGAAGUUGGGAGCAAGCACAAUUAAUGUGCUUAUAUAUAUAUGUAUAUAUAUGUAGAGUCCGACUACUAUACUCUUAUGAGUACGAUUGCCCUUGUACUCAUUAGUCGUUUUUGAUGAUAGAGCUUCUGAAUCGCCGAUUCAUAUCGUUAAAUAUUAUCUAGAUCAUUUAAAACUUUUAGAAAUCAAAUUUCAUAAUUUUUCGACAUUAUUUACCUUACGAUCAAAAGUUCACAAAAUUGACAAUUUUUAACGACCUGUAUGGGACAUUAGCUAGUUUAACGGUGUAAAAGAAUUGGAAUAGGUUGAAUUUUUGAUAGAAAAUUCUAUUCACUACCUAGGUAAAAUUAAUAACUCCGAUCUUAAAUUGAAGGAUCCGAUCAUCCAUUUUUCGGACGUCGUUCGAUUUUGACCGUUCAUUUUAUACCCGUUUGAUGGACUUUAUUAUGAUUUCGAAAAAUUCCGAAAUUUAUUUGUUAGAAGUUUCAAAUACUUUAGAUCAUAUUUAACGGAGUGGAUCGUCGAUUCGGAAGCCCCAUCAUCGAAAACAACUUAUGAGUACGAAGGGCUCUAUACUCAUAAGAGUAUAGUAGCCCUACUCUAUAUAAUAUAUAUACACGUAUAUAUAUGUAUACACACACACACAAAUAUAUAUAUAUAUAUGUAUAUAUAUACACACAUAUAUAUAUAUAUGUAUAUAUAUACACACAUAUAUAUAUAUAUGUAUAUAUAUACACACAUAUAUAUAUAUAUGUAUAUAUAUACACACAUAUAUAUAUUCAUAUAUAUACAUAUACGGCUACUAUAUAUAUAGAGUUCGGCUACUAUAAUGAGUACAAUCGUCUUUGUACUCAUAAGUCAUUUUCGAUUAUAGAUCUUCUGAAUCGAGAAUCCAUAUCCUUAACAUGAUCUGGAGUAUUUGAAAUUUUUAGAAACCAAAGCGCAGCUUAGGUGGAAGGCGAAGAAGGCCAAUUUUAUAAUUUUUCAACAUCAUUUACCUUUACAAUCAAAUAUCUCAAAAUUGAUAAUUUUAGCGGCUAGUAUAGGGUACUUGCAAGUUUAACAGAUUAAAAAGAAUCAUAAUUGAUUGAAUUUUUGAUAAAAAAAUUUUAUUCACUAUCUAGAUAAAGAUCAAUUACUCCGAUCUUAAAUUGAAGAAUCCGAUCCUUUGUUUUUAGGAGGUUGUUCAAUUUUUAUUGUUCAUUUUAUGCUCGUUUGAUGGACUUUACUAUAAUUUUGAAAAACGAUGAAAUUCAUUUUCUAUAAGUUUCAAAUGUUCUAGAUCAUAUUUAAUGGUAUGGAUCGUCAAUUCGGAAUCUCUAUCAUCAAAAUGACUUACGAGUACGAAGACCUCCGUACUUAUAAGAGAGAGAAAGGGUGUGUGUGAGAGUGUGUGUGUAUAGAGUGUGCGUGUGUGAGAGUGUGUGUAUAAAGUUAUAUAACAGUCUAGCUACUACCCUCUUUAGAAGGUAGAGGCUUUUGUCCUAUUAAGUUAUUUUAGAUGAUCGGGAUUCCUAAUUUAUAAUCGGUAUUGUUGAAAUUGAUGUACACUAUAAAAAAUAUUUAGAAAUUGUACCUUGUAAUUUUUUAAAAAUCUUUAUCCAGACCAUCAAACAGUCGAAAAAUAAAAUGGGUCAAAAAAUGAAUAACCUUGUGAAAAUAAAGGUUUGACUUCCUCGAUUCAUUAUUGGAGUUAUGAAAUGUUAUCCAAAUAAUAAAAAGAUUUUUUUUAUUAAAAAUUCAAGUCGUUGGAUUGCUUCACACUAUUAAAAAAGCAAACGGCUCAUAUUAGGUCGUCAAAAAUUGUCGAUUUUACGAUCCUUUGAUCACUACAGAAAUAAUUUUUAAAAAGUAUGAAAUUUGAUUUCGAUACAAUUCAAAUACUCUAGACCAACUUUAAUGGUUCUGAUCAAGGAUUUAAGUGCUGUGUCGGAAACUUGCCGGCAUGGUGCGUGCCGGGCCGUGUCGAAGCGUGCUGGUCACAAAAAAUAUGUGUGCUGACACAUAAUGGCAUGAAAUAUUUAUUUAUUUUUUAGCAACAAAAUAUAACAAUUAUUUGUUAUGUGUUUUUAUCAAUUUUUUUGAACUUUAUUGACAAAAUUACUUAUUAAUUUAAAGAAUAGAGAAAUUUGAAUUGUGCCAUUGCCCCAGGGGCUGUAUCGUGUCGAUAUCUUGCUGGCACGAUACGGCACGGUGGAUACAGCCUAUGCCGAUGUGCACUUAAAUCCUUGGUUCCGAUCAUCGCUUCAGAAUUCCUAUUAUCAAAAAUGACUUGAUAGGACAAAGACCUAUAUAUAUACAAAUGGAGUCCAGUUGGGGGUCUCUAAUAACUCCAAUCACUUGGUGGUACCAACUUUUCCACCAUUAGAUCUAUCCUUUUGACUGUUACUACUAGUGAUCAUGCUAUUUCACUAACCAUCACUAAAUCCCAAGGGGACUACUAUCAUUCUAACCACACAACACUUCAUCCAAGGGCCGAAAAAUCACAAGCACCAAUAACUUGGUGCUAUUGGAAGUAUUCCAGUCCAGUUAUAUAUAUAUAUAUAUAUAUAUAUAUAUAUAGUAGGGCUACUAUACUCUUGUGAGUAUAGAGCCCUUCGUACUCAUAAGUUGUUUUCGAUGUUGGGGUUUUCGAAUCGACGAUUCACACCGUUAAACAUGAUCUAGAGUAUUUGAAACUUCUAGAAAAUAAAUUUUGUAAUUUUUUGAAUUCAUAAUAAAGUCCAUCAAGUGGUAUAAAAUGAACGGUCGAAAUCGAACGACGUCCUAAAAAUGGAUGAUUAGAUCCUUCAAUUUAAGAUUGGAGCUAUUGAUCUUUAUCUAGAUAGUGAAUAGAAUUUUCUGUCAAAAAAUCAACCAAUUCCGAUUCUUUUACACCGUUAAACUAACAAGUAUCCCAUACCGGCCGUUAAAAAUUGUCAAUUUUGUGACCUUUUGAUCGUAAGUUAAAUGAUGUCAAAAAAUUGUAAAAUUUAAUUUCUAGAAGUUUAAAUGCUCUAGAUAACGUUUAACGGUAUGGAUAGUCGAUUCGGAAGCUCUAU